CUUAAAGAUAAUUUUUGAAGCUUUUAUUAUAUUCUUAAUGACAUGCUGAUUUAGUAAUAAAUACAACUUAUUAGAAAUGGUGAAGUCUCCUGAAUGAGCCAAUUCUUGGGCUCAUGGCACCCCAGUCAGUAUAUCUUCUGUACUCUGCAGGUUUCAAGUAAUACUGGCGUCCUUUGUAAUUUGGUUCCUCAUAGAACAUCCAGUAGCCAUCAAGCACCUGGCAGGAGUGGAUGUCAUGGUAACGGAAUCUCUCAUUGACAUUAGGACAAUCUUCAGUGAACUCCAUCAUCUGACCUCGGAAAUCCUCCCUCUCAUAGACCUUUAUUCUGAAUGAUCCAUGGUGCUUUACGGAGAAAAAUUUAUUUAUAAACAAGAGUAAAAUAAUUGUAUAAUUACAUGUAAACAUCAAAAAUCUAAACGAGAAUAUAUAUUUUUUUUUUAUCAAUGUUAACCAACCUGUUACAUGACAAUGGAAUUGUGAAUUGAAGAUAUAUUCCAUAAAAUAAUUAUUAAUAGUCAAAAAAGGUAAUAUUUGCAAAGGUAAACCUAUAAUAAUAGGAAAAUAAUGUUUUUUUGUACUGCAUCAUAUUUAUGUAAGGUUCUUAACUAUUUUGGUAAAUAUCUUUACCUGUGGGCUAAUACGACAAGAUCUGAUGGAGUCAUUGAAACCCAUCCAUUGCUGGAAAUUAGGAUAUUCUCCCCUGCUAAGGUAAUACUGGUGUCCUCUAUAGUUGGGGUGCUCAUACAGAAUCCAGUUUCCACUUUCCACUCGGAUGGAAUUACAGCGCUGAAAAUAUGAGGACAUAUCUGGACACUCAGAGUUGCACUCAUAAGAGCGGCCCUGGAAGUUACGAUCCUCGUAGAAGACAAUCUGUGAAACAACCAUGCAUUUGAACAUUUUAGAUUUUUUAGUUUAUUAUUGUUUUAGUGGUUAAUAAUUUCAUUUAAAAAAUAGUUUCUGGUUUGAUUACUUGAUGCUAUAGAUUCCUAAAAAACAUCUACUAUUAUCCUGUUCAAAUAAUAAAGUGUAGGUGUUAAACAUAUAAGUUUAGGACCGAAUUGGAAUAUAUGUUUUUGGUACAUUUUGUGUUUUUUUAGAUUGGUGAACUUGCAUUCACUUUCACAUAAUUAUAGCAAUUUAUUACGGUUAAUAGUGGCAUUCACUAGAAAGUACUUUCAAAAACUGAAAAAAUCUUAAUCUUGAGUCUGAAAAAAGUAAACAUGUGAAGCAUGUGUUCUGAUGAAUUUGUAUUUGAUGAGGCGGCAAAUGUCCAAAACUAGUUUAUGGAAUAUUAUGUUGUCAUGUUUCUGGCCUAGAUAAACUCACCAGGAUAUAUUGUAUAGGAUAAAGUUUGAUGACAUUCAGUGUAAGCAUUUAAAAUUUUAAUUUGUUUUGGUUCAUUUAAAAAAAAAUAAAAAAAUCUGUUUAUUGUUUCCAAAAUUUCUUGUGUUGCAAAUAUUUACAAUAUUCAGAUCAUCUUACCUUUCCCAUUUUCAGUGAUGGUUGAUCUGCUCAUGCAAGUUGUGCUGUUACAUAGCAUGAAGAGCCUUUAUAUACUGUUUACCUUGCUGAUGCUGAAAACAGUACUGAGCUGGUUUCUUUUCAUCAGUAAUUAGAAUGUAUAGCUAUUGUAUACUCUGCUUCAGUAUAGCUAUUGUAUUGUAUCCUAUAUGCUUUUUUGUUUACCUGCUGGCACAAGCAUUUCCUGGUUCUAAGGGAGAUCUAGAGAAAAUGUGACAGGCCUUUUUUUCAACUAGAUUAUUUCUAUUCCUACUGAGGAAAAAACUACUUUAAAGCAUAUUUUACAAAAAGAAAAGAAAAAAGGUUUGACAUCAUUGCCAAUUGUUCUGCAACUUGUUUAAGUUCUGUUUUUAAAGAUAUUAUUAUUAUUAUUAUUAUUAGGAGGUUAAAUUAUAUAUAUUAUAUUGUGUGACAUGUAAUUUGAAACUAAAGUACAUUCAUGUUAGUUUUACCAGUCAAAUGCAUCAGUUAUAAUCACAGUCAUUUAUUCAUCUCAUUACACCUCCUGAACUCAGGCUAGAAUUGUGUUUUUGUGUAUUUUCAACGUUAUCACAAUCCAAACCAUUUGAACUAUUAAAAAUAAAGUUACAUCUCGGCUUAUCUCUUAUUGGUAUUCACAUUAUCUCAUGAUCAUGGAAUUAACAACAAAGUAAAUAGUGCUCUUUGUGGUUACAUAAAAUAUUUAAUGUUAUUAUUCUUAAUAAUCUUUAUUUUGUUUCCACAGUAAUAAAAUUACAUCCACACUUUUGCAUGCAUAGACAUUUACAAACAAACACAAUAACACACCAGAAACAGUUGAGAGGAGAGAAGACUGAGUUCUAUAAUAGAAGCAUGUACCCAUCCUAUGCAUAUUAUAGAUUAGAUUAUUAUAAAAAUAACUCUAUUUUAACUAUUAGAGCUAAAAACUUAAAUGCUUUUUGAAGACAACAUUCUCAUAUUCUUUUGUUUUUAGCUGAUGAGUUAUUAAUCCAACUCAGUCUGUUUUUCAUAAUUAAACUGGAAAAUAAUUUGAUCUUUCCUUUGGGAAUACAUAAUUUCUUGGGAUUGUUUCUAAAGUUCACCCUUUUAAAAAACUAUAGCUCUCCUGCCACCUUUGAUUUCUUUUCUGGCACAAUCAAGAUCCCUUUCAGUAAAACUAUCAUUGUUGCAGGAAUUUAACGCCCACCUAGCUUCCGAGUGCAUUACUUAAUUUCCUCCCCAACGCUCAUUAAGAUGAUAAGCCAUAACCAUACCUUGCUACAUCAGAUUCUAUUCUGUUGUCCUGACAGAAUCCAGUAGGUGGUAGUUCUCACUAACAGUUUCCGUGACCACUGUUUAGUGUCCUGAAUACUCAAAAUAAAGGCCACUAAAUCCUCUACCAAGAUUAUAAUCACCAGGGAUUUCAAGAAAUGUAAUCUUCAAUCCUUUCUAAACAAUCUCAAGAACCAACCAAGGCACAGAUUAUGUCUACUUCCAGAUCUAGACUCUGCAAUUGAAUUUUUUCAACCCUUGUAUGUUUAGAAUUUGCAUGUCCCACUGCGUAGAGUGUGAAUAAAAGGGACACACCUGCACUGGGUUAUGAAAUAUAUUUAUUGAAAUUUAAAUAUCUGAUGUGUUGUAGGAUUUUAUCUUUGCAAUAUGAAUAGCAUAAGUUUUGUAUUAGUUGAAAUUAAUUUCAUUUUAAAAUACUUUCAGACACAAGAACUGAGAGAUCCUAUUUAUUUGUUUACCAAUGUUCACCACAUAUGAAAUAAUGCUUGGUGAAAGCCUGUUGAUAUCACCUUUUGACCUAGUAUUGCAAGCAAGACUCCCAUGUGUAUUAGGAAGUUUCUUUUUGAAGAAAUUCAUUUAAUCAUGUAAACAGAAAGACCUUCGUGUAAAUUAUAUUUUACCCCCCAAGUAUAACCAUUUGUAUAAAACACAAAAUGGAGAAAUAAAGUAAACAGAGUGCAGGUCAGGAGUCUGGAUACAAGUCAAGGGCUCAUGAGCUGCACCACUGUAACCAACUAAUAGGGAGCUCCAAUGAGGACACUAGGGGAACUGGAACGUAGAUGCUAGUUAGUACUCCAGACAAUUGAUCCCCUGGGCACCAUUUAGUAUGUCUCCCUUUUUUCAAGUUAUACUUUUUGUUUGCAUAUCCCUUUUUAUCCUUAGAUUGAUUAAAGAUAGGGCCCCCUUCCUCAUCUCUUAUACAGUGGAGCUCUCCUGAUGUUAGUUUCCCCUUGUGGGACUCUAUAAAUCACCUACCCCUAUUUUCUAACCAUUUGUUUAACGUCUGGCUCUAAUCAGAGAUUGGACAGAAUGGUUAAGCCACAACCUUUUUCUAUGAUGGCCACAUAUUUUAACGUGUCAGGUAACCUUAUGUGUACGUCUCGUGAGUAACUGAAUUUUAGACAUAUAAAAACAUUUACAGUUAGAAAUUCCUCACCAAUACUUAUAACAACAAAAAUUAAUAUUAUCUUGAAGUGCUUACACAUUGCUGUAUUGGUCCAGAUUUGUGCAAAAACUUUGUGUUAUUUUCUCGUGGUGUGUAUGUUUGAAUAAAUAUAAAUUUUUGGCUGCAAUACAAUCUGAUUUGAUUAUUGGAACUUUGGUGUGACAAACAUCUCAGGAACAGCUAAUUUCCUACAUUUAAUAAUGGAGAAUGUGGGCAGGAUUUAAGUCUGUACAGAAAACCUGUUUAAGAUCCUGCAAAAUAACAAUCAUAUGUGCUCAAUUUAAUCCAAGACCUAAAGACUAGAAACCAAAAUUACAGAGAGUAUCUGUGGCAAAACGACCGUGGAACUCUAUUUAAAUUGAUUUACAUUAACAUUUAAAUUGAAAAAUAAAUGCUUGUAGUUAAAGGGAGUAGUUGGGUAACAAAAUUACUAGGAGUAUUAAUGUAUAUUCGUGCAACUGCAAAUUCUAAAAUGCAAGUGUCCCCUCAUGAGUUAAUGACAGGCAGAACAAUGUCAAUCACUUUCCCCAAUGAACUUUUUGUUCCAAGUACUUUCAAAUUUGCAUCAGGACAUGCUGAAUAGUUGAAAGUAUUACAGGAACAGCUGCAAUCAGUUUUAAAAAUGUGCUGCUUCAAAUAUUGUCUCUUCUGGUAAAAAAUGAGUUAAAGGGAUACUGUAGUGCCAGGAAUACAUAGCUGUAUUCCUGGCACUACCGAUCCUUCUACCUCCCCCUUGCCCUGCACCCCCUUCCCUAGUAAAUAGAGGGUUAAAAACCCUUUGUUUACUUAACUUAUCCCAGUGCCGAUAUUCCUCGGUGCUGUGUUGAAGCUCCGCCCCUCCUCCACCCCACGACAAGCAUGGUCUAAUGCACAUGUGCGACAUACGCCCCACGCACAUUAGACCUCCCCUUAGGAAAGCAUUGAAUCAAUGCUUUGUUAUGGGGAAAAUCUGAUGUCCUCAUGUGGAGCGUGAGGACGUCCAGCGUUAGAUAAUGGUCCAAAGUCUGUUCAAUUCUGGAAGCGCCCCCAGUUGCUGUCUGAUAGACAGCCACUGAGGGUAGACCUAGUGCUGCAAUGUAAACAUUGCAGUUCUCUGGAACUGCAAUGUUUAACAUUGCAGCACUAUGUUCAAAAGGGAAACAGCACCCAGACGACCUCAAUAAGCUGAAGUGGUCUGGGUGCCUACAGUGUCCCUUUAAAUAUGUAGCACUGGGAAACUAAGCAUAUACGUAAUGAGGUGAUGGUGAAAUCAUUGAAAACACCAGGUCCCUUGAAAGCAAGUUGCAGAUCCCUUGAAAAUAAGUUGGAAAAGGUCCUUAUGUUAUUCUAAAAAAAAUAAAAAUAGAAUACAGGUUCAAACACACUCAAAAAACAAACAAAGGGAACAGACGUGUGAACGUUCAGCUCCGUGAGCGAUCCCCGCAAAGCAGCGAUUUGACAAGCAUCCAAAGAGAGAUCACCCCCUUCUCCACAAGCUGAGAAGCUACCAGCAUUCCAGCCAUCAUGGCACAGCGCCUCCCGAAGAGAGCAAAGGCGAAAGAGGCCCCCAACCUACAAAUCUCGGCCAUGGCCUCCUCUCCCCGUCGCUCACAAGAUGGCGCCGAGAGGCCUACAUCACCAGCCUCGAGCUCCGGACGGAGCGAUAUCACGUCGGUCUCCCACAGAGACCUCCCGGCCACGGAAUCAGCGAUUCAAAAGAUGCUUAAUGGACUUCAAACGUCCCUACGAGCGGACUUCGCCCAGCUAUCAAAAGAAAUCAGAGCGGACGUUAAAGCACUGGGUGACCGCACAGACUACCUAGAAAAUAAAACUGAAGAAAUCAUCACAGCACAUAAUAAUGUGGUGACGGCCUUCGACUCCAUGGAGACUAAGAUCAACAUGAUACUUACAAAACUUGCCGACCAUGAAGACAGAGACAGAAGGAACAAUGUCCGCAUUAGAGGCAUUCCAGAAAGUGUGGGCCCACACGAACUAGGAGCCUACGCGCGCCGGAUUUUCCACUUACUGGCCCCAGAUCUCACAGAGUCCGCGUUACUAUUGGACAGGAUCCAUAGGCUACUUAGGCCUCAGCACCUACCACCGACAGCUCCCAGAGACACCAUCACACGGGUGCAUUACUACACCACUAAAGAGGCCAUAAUGUCAGCCGCUAGAAAACGGCCUAGCCUACCUGAAGAAUAUAACAAGAUUCUAUUGUUUACAGAUCUCUCAGCCCACACGUUACAAGCCAGAAGAAUCCUCGCACCGAUUACAAGCGCUUUAAGAGCGGCAGAGAUCCCCUACAAGUGGGGCUUCCCGACACGCCUCAUCGUCAAACGGAACGGUAAUGAAAGACACAUCGUGAACCUGGCAGAAGGGAAGAAAACACUGGCCGACUGGAAUAUUCCUGUCAACACAGACCCCACAGAUGGCACGGCUGCAAAAUCUGUACCCAGGUCACCAUUAAAGAUCACCCAAGAUUGGGAAACCCGACGCACAGAUAAGUGAACCACUCUGUAUCAGUCUAUGCAAACCCUUGCCCAAUGGACUAGCUCUCACGAUACAUGUUGUAAAAGUUGCUAUGGACUGGUAAUACCUAAUUACUGUGUUAUAUAUGUAUAGUUCUCCUCGAGCUUUGUGGCAUUAGUAGUUGGAGGGUCACAGGUUUUAGGCCCACGGACCUAGGUCCCCUGCGACACUCUUUACAAGAGCCCCUCCCCAGCCGUACUCCGAAGCAUGACACCUAAAAAGGGAAUGAAUCGGGCGAUAUCCCCAAACAUAGAUAUCCCACGUGAGGGGGAUACCGCACCCUUUUGCCUAACGACCCUCUAGAUCCCUGAGACUAUCACAUACCCAGGGCAAAACCAUAAUGUCGCUAGACAUGUAAGAGGCCUAGCGGAGCUCAUGCACCUCAUAGCCCUAAUACUACACGUAGCCUCAUCCCGAGCCUCUCACACUAGACAGGCUCUUGUCACAGGACAACAUGACGAGGCUAAUACUAUUCGCCCACACCAAGUUUUACUGUGCAAUUCUAUAUUUUUUUUCUUGUAUAUAUUUUCAAUAUUAUUUUGUAUAUAUCUUUAUCUCUUUCUACUGCCACUUGAUUUCCCAUAACAUCUCGUUUGGUUGGUGACCUGUUUCUCACCAUAAGCACUUGCUACUGUAUAUAACAUACCAGAUACAAAGUAUAAUUUUGCACAUGUAUGAUAUGUAGCCGCCUCUGGAUACACUCUGACACUGACUGAAAUGUUGUUUCAGGACCUGGGGGCAAAGGUAAAUCGUAUGUUUGGGUUAUAGCCCGCUAUAGACCGCUAGUUUUGCCACACUGCCACACUGCCGCUAAGAUACACGCAAACUAGGGAGAUGUCUGGAUUUCUAUAUAGGAAAUGUUCUCUCACACCACAUAAGGGCUUCAAUGCCCAAUAACACCAGUAAUAUCAGGUCUCACAGCAGAGACCUUUUUAAUGUACAUAGUUGGUUUGAUUUUCCCAGUUACUCCCCUUACUCCCCGCCCUUACCUCCCCGCAAGGGGAUCGCGUACCACCACAACAAAAAUAUCAAGGAUUCUUCCACAGGGCACAGGUCAUCCCACUCAUGCCCUCUAGAGAUCCAACGAGUUACGCAUUGGUUGGAUAAUGCUACGAUAUCCAAACCUCAGGACCAGUCACCUACCAUCUCCUCUCUCCUACCAUCCACGAUAGUCCAGCAACUCACUCUAGGAUCCCACAUCAACACACCAUGACACUUAACAUUCUAUCUAUAAACGCCAAAGGGUUGAACACACCACACAAAAGACGUAUGGCCCUUUUAGAAGCAAAGAAACAGAAAGCCCAUAUAGCAUUUUAUCAGGAAACCCAUUUUCAAACAUCCAACCAACACAAAUUCUUCUCCAGACACUUCCCCACAAACUACCACAGCACAUACAAGACAAAAAAACGAGGCGUCUCUAUCCUAGUUAGUAAAGACGUGACAUUCCAACUAGUUAAAAAAAUAGGCGACAAAAAAGGCCGGUACCUCCUACUUCAAUGCAUUAUUAAUAAUGCACAAUAUACCUUAAUCAAUCUCUACGGACCACACACCGACUGCCACACCUUUAUUGAACACAUCUUAGUUUUGGCAUCCGCUUAUCACUUCGAACAGGUUAUUAUAGGGGGAGACACAAAUUUCAUUCUAGACCAAGCUCUAGACACCACUUCCUCCGCAAAAAUUUCGCGACAAACAACGAACCAAAGAACUCGCUCCAUAUCCCUCCUAGACAAAACGCUACGUAUACACGACUAUAAUGACGCAUGGAGAACCCUUCAUCCUCUAGACAGGGACUUUACACAUUACUCCCAAGUGCAUGACACAUAUUCCAGAAUAGACCGCUUCCUUAUCCCCUCGACUCUAAUUCCGACAUUAGUCAAAGCAGACAUAGGUAUUAUUACAUGGUCGGACCACGCCCCGAUUACAUUAUCCCUAGCAACACAAUACCCCAUCUCUGGGACCCGCACGUGGCGCCUCAAUGACUACCUCUUGAAAGACGAGGAACUGGUCGCACAAUUCAAAAAAGAACUCCAUUCAUAUUUUGUAUUAAACGAUACAGAAGGGAUGAAUAUAGACACUCUGUGGCAAGCACACAAAGCCGUCCUUAGAGGGCAGUUCAUUAAACACACUAGCCACAACAACAAAAAGAGAACCAAACGUUAUGUAGAUACACAUAAAGAACUAGCCACACUCACACACACAAACAAGACAAGCCCAUCUCACACUAUCACCACACGGAUACGUGAACUACAGUCCACCUUGAAAGAUAUAGAGAUGGAGAAAACGACCUACCUCUUAGCGAAGUUGAAACAUAAAUUUUUCCAUACCGGAAACAGGGCAGGGAAAACUCUGGCCGCGCAACUUAAAGCAAGAUCCCCAUCGUCGAAAAUCGCCUUCCUUAUUUCGAACCAAGGCAAGAAAAUUGUAGACCCUCAAGAGAUAGUAGACGAGUUUAGCCAAUAUUAUAGCGGCCUCUAUAACCUAGCAAAGUCACAAGACAGUCCCCCCCCUAAGCAAACGGAUAUAGACCGAUUUCUGCAGGAUAUUGAAUUGGCAUCCCUCACCCCAGCUGAAUGUCAUGCCCUAAUUCAACCCUUCUCAGACCAGGAAAUAAUUGAUACCCUCGCCCAACUACCAAAGCACAAAUCCCCAGGCCCAGAUGGCUUUACAAACCUAUAUUAUUAUACAUUUCGGGACACCCUUGUACCAUACAUGAAAUCAUUCUUCACCCGAUGUUUCCAAACGGGCUCCAUGCCUGCAGCAAUGCUACAAGCCCACAUUUCGACCUUACCAAAACCUGGGAAACCACCGACUUAGUGCUCCAAUUUCCAAUCGAUAUCUUUGCUAAACUGCGACACUAAAAUAUAUGCCAAAUUGUUAGCUAACAGGAUAAGCCCGAUAUUAACCCGCAUCAUACACAACGAUCAGACAGGCUUUGUUAAAGGCAGGCAAGGAUCCGACAAUACCAGAAAAAUCCUAAACAUUCUCUCUCACAUUGCGGACCAAAGAACUGAAAGCAUAUUGUUGGCCUUAGACGCUGAAAAAGCCUUUGAUCGACUUAACUGGGCUUAUAUGGUAUCAGUAUUAAACAAAUAUGGUUUCCCACAAGAAAUGACCCAAGGUAUUCUGGCACUAUAUAAAUCACCAACCGCACGAGUGUCUAGCUCGGGCUUCACCUCCCGUCCUUUCGCUCUCUCUAAUGGCACCAGGCAAGGAUGCCCCCUUUCCCCUCUUUUAUUCAUCCUCGCCCUAGAACCUUUAGCGCAUAAAAUUAGAAACGACCCUUUGAUAUCAGGUAUAGACAUAGGCUCCUCGACUUUUAAACUAUCAAUGUUCGCAGAUGACAUUUUAUUGACAGUGGGAAAUCCGACGUAUACAAUUCCUCGCCUCCUCUCCCUCCUCCACGACUAUGGUAAAAUAUCGUACUAUAAACUUAAUAACACCAAGACACAAGCACUACCCCUCCACAUACCAAACACACAAGUCAACCUGCUCCGACAAUCCUUUCGAUUUGACUGGAGACAGGACUCUAUUACAUACUUAGGAGUAAAACUGGCGUUACACCCCCAUAGAACGCUGUCAAUGAACUAUGGUCUGAUUUCACAGACUUGUAAAUCACUAUGCAAUCACUGGAAACAUGUACCCUUAUCAUGGUUAGGACGGAUAAACACCGUGAAAAUGGUGCUGUUACCAAAAAUCCUCUACGUAUUUCGAAUGCUCCCGAUACAAGUACCCCCACAGACUCUCAAGAACAUCCAAACUAUAAUAGCCAGAUUCAUUUGGAACAAAACUAAACCGCGUUUACAUGUAUCCAUACUGCAGCAGCUCCAAUCUAGAGGUGGUUUAGGGGUGCCCAAGUUAACCACAUAUUAUGAAGCUGCCAUUCUAGACUCCGCUAUUCGAUAUCACGCUCCGAAACACACGUUCCAAUGGGCUGAUAUGGAAUCCGAUAGAUCCAAACCGCACUCCCUACUCCACGCCAUGUGGUCCCCUAAGAUCCAUCGACCACCGAAAUUGUCACUGUACCCCACCUCCGCAUUGAUGCUUAAAUACUGGGAUAGGCUAAUGGCUACUAUAACCGAAAAAGGGAAAUUCUGCCUACAGGCCCCGAUUGAAGCUUUGACCAGACUGACACCUUGGUUGUCCUUAAAGACCUAGACCAAGUAUGGAGUGAAACUUAUCCAAGACAUAUGCACACAAAAAGGAAUCAAGCCAUUCCCAGCCCUGCAAAUACAAUAUAACAUACCUAACUCUUGUAUCUUUCAAUACUUACAGGUAAAAAGUGUCAUCUCCACUCACGUAACCUUGAAUCCCCAGAUCCAACCAUAUAGACUAACAGACAUGACAGAGAUCUUUUCCAGAUGCCAUACGUCUCCACUAAAACCCAAAGCCCUGUCGCUAUGCUAUAGGACCACACUUGACUAUAAUACCCCCCGCUCAUUCUCCUAUGUACAAAAAUGGGAAAAAGAGGGAAUACCUACACUCACGGACUCACACUGGCUUUCGGCGCUCACUGCUCUCUCAGGCCUCACCUCUUGUUUCUCACACGUGGAAGCACAUAAAAAAGUGUUAUACAGAUGGUACCUCACGCUCCAAAGGCUUCACCAAAUAUACCCCAACACAAACUCAACAUGCUGGAGAUGCUUGUCAGACACAGGCACCAUGAUGCACGUAUGGUGGGAGUGUAAAGAGAUUUCACCACUCUGGUCACAGGUUCACUCACUUCUGCAACGACUACUCCAUCUUCAAGAACCCCUAACGCCGACACUAACACUCCUACUGAUCUUCCCUACACAAUGGAAGAAAGCAGACAAAAAGAUAGCAUCCUUAAUAAUUCUAGCAGCGCGACAUCUCAUAGCCCAAAACUGGAAAACCACCAGUUGCCCUUCCCGAAAAGACCUACUUGAUAGGAUAACUCUUUAUUACAAAUUUGAGCUAUUAGCUUCCACCUCCCACGAGCUCACUGCACAGAUUAUUAAGAUCUGGAAGCCAUUUGUAAAACUGGCUCACCAAACCUCUUGAUAGAUGACAAUAACCUAAGGCUUCCAAGGUAUAACAAGUUUAAUUGGUAUAAAACGGAAAUGUAGGGUGACUUCCCUUAGAGCUGGACAUAUGUGGGAACACUAUUGCUCUACUAACAUGUUAUAUUGCCUUAUACUAUUUGUAAUACCUUCCACUAUUUGGAAGUUGUAUUGCCUUAUACUAUUCGUAUUAUCUUAUACUAUUCGUAUUACCUUAUACUAUUUGUAUAACUUUGUUAUUGACAUGUAUAAAUCGAUUACCUUGAAUGUACCGAUCCCCUUCCCCACCCUCUUCUUUAUUCUGUACCCUUCUACCCCCACUCUCUUGUUAAUAUCUGAAAACUCGAAUCUUCAAAUUCGAGAAAUAAAAAUUUUCAAUUGAAAAAAAAACAAACAAAAAAUUUUGGUAGAAAAUGUAGUAAAUCAAUUAUUGUGCAUAGUGAUCAAACUUAAUAAUGUAUAAGAAACAUACUAAUGUAUAAGAAUAGCAGACUGCCAUCUGUUUUUUUUUUAUUACAGAACCAGUCAUGUUUAUUCAGGACAAAAACUGUUUGAUUUUAAAAAAGGACAAAUUGUUUGGACUUUCAAAGGACAUUAUGGACAAAGAGACUGUGCUCAUGGAUUCAAUUAGAGAGGACAUUAUUUCAUGGACUAAAUCAAAUCUAUUUUACUUUCUGGUUAAUGUAAAAUGUGUACAAUUGCACGGUAUAAUAACAAUGAUUCUGUUAUUAAUGAUGUUAGGUACAAUCAAUGCCAAGGGUUAAUUAAUUAAUUUGUGGAAAAAAUUCAAAGUCUAGAUCCAACUACAAUUGUAAUUGCUAAAAAAAAAAAGAACUUUCUUAUUAGAUAAAGGUGGGAGUCCAGACAUGAAGGUGUUAAAUUGCUUGUGAAAUUAGGAAUACACAGGUAUUUUGAAUUAGUAUGAUCCAUACUCUAAAACCUCCAAUUAUCAUCAUUUAAAGGUAAACCUCACAGCAUUAAAUAUUCAUUUCAACUCUUUGAUAUUGUUUAUGUUUGUUGAAUAUCCAAUUAUUGUUUUAGUAACCUUUAUCUUAAUUUGGCAGUAAAUAAAAGAAAGAGUGCUUUGUGCACUGAUUUCUCCUUUCCUGUUCCUUUAUUUCUACCAAGUUGUAUAUUGUGAUUUGCUAGCUUAAAAGGGAGAACAUGACAAUCAGUUACAAGUGUUUAUACUUGAUAUAGAAAGUCUGAGGGAGAGUAUGACAUGAAAAUAAGCUGCACUAUAGAAUGAGGAUAAACUGCUACUCCGUACAAAGAAACAAUAGUAGUACUAUAAAAAAUAAAUAUAAUAAAAAUAAGAAUAAACCAUCAUAGACAGAAACUACCUGUAGUUACUCCUCUGUGGUAACAUAUGAGCAAUUAAAAUAGCCAUUUGAUAAUCAGAUAUUAGCUAAUAGCAGUCAAUUGGACCUCACAAGUCCAUGAUAUGGACGUCAUAAGGUUGAGCAUCUAUGAAACUGCAGGAAUAUUGCAAAGUACGGGCACAAACAAGGUCAAUUGAGUUAUCUUCUCCAUAUCCCCUCAAUGGGGAGAUCUGGUUGUAACCCCUCCAGGAUUAUUAGUGUACAGAGGAGUCCUUAGUCUUCUUAGGAAAGCAUUCACUUCUGACAAGUACCUAAUAUAAUGAAUGGCAUCCUCAUGUGUGAUCAUGGGAAGUUUAGAAUGUGAUGCCUUAGGGUCUCAGACUUAUGGUCAUGCUUCAAUAAUUGUCUCCAGGCCAGAGUGAUUUGUCUCAAUUUAAAUGUUAGCAAAUUAAAUGUUUCAAAAGAAUAUCCUGACUGUUCUUAGACAGUCAGAAAUUGUACAAAUACAUAACUCAAUGUCUCUAUGUAUGAAUUUCAUUUAUACUAGUAUGUGAAAAAAACCCAUUAAUGCUAGUGGAGUUGUUUAUGAGAUAAAUAGAAAUACAAGAAAUGUACUGGCGCUAUAACAAAAUAUAAUACUCUCUAGUCCAAAAACUACUAAACAAGCUGCUAUAACACCUAGAUGUAAUCUUUCUUAAUUACAUCAAUAUGAAAGGAGAUACAAAAAAGGAAAUAGGUGUAGCGCUAUAUACAUACAUAUAAUAAUGUAGAACCUAAUAGGUUGACAAGGCGUCCUGAUGAAAGCAAUUCCAAUACUUAAUAUAAUCGACCUAAAACAAAAAAAGAACUCCAAUAGUGUAACACCGUAAAUAUAGAUGUAAUAAAAGUCAGAUAUAGCGAUAAACUCACAUUCUCCUGAGCUUGGCUAUAAGCUCAGGAGAAUGCGAGUUUAUCGCUAUAUCUGACUUUUAUUACAUCUAUAUUUACGGUGUUACACUAUUGGAGUUCUUUUUUUGUUUUAGGUCGAUUAUAAUAAGUAUUGGAAUUGCUUUCAUCAGGACGCCUUGUCAACCUAUUAGGUUCUACAUUAUUAUAUGUAUGUAUAUAGCGCUACACCUAUUUCCUUUUUUGUUUAUGAGAUAAAACAGUUCAAAAUAGGCAUGGAAUAAAAUUUGUCCAUUCUUCCAAAAAAUAUUCCUCUUGUACCCCACACAUUUUUAAACAACCCACAUUCUCCAACAGGCACGCCCUGUGAUGGAUGAAAGUGAACAGAUUUCAGAUUUGCCUUUUCCAGAUAUCACCACAGUCCUUUAAUGUUGCCUGUUGUCCCGCAGAAGGGCUUUAAUUUCCCUAUUGUAUUUGGUCUUCCUUAUUAUCCUUUAGCAUGAUGACAACUAUGUUGUGGUAGGUGAUUAGACGGAUCCCACCCAAGAAGAACUUCUCUUUUGACUUAAUGUGCCAUUUUAAGUACAAGGUGGCUGCAUAAGCAUAAUAUCUAUAAGUUGUGAACUAGGGUAAGGAUCUGAUACCCUGUUAAACCCAUUCCCCAACCUUUCAAGUUAAUAUGUAAGCUUCUGAAAACAGAUAAAUACAGGUAAAUGUGUUUUUUUGCUGCCAAAAUACUGAGAAACUUGGAUCCCAAACAAUACCUGGUCUGCUGGAAAUUACCUCCACCCACCUACAUGUAGUUUUAGAGGUUACAAUACUGUUUAAUUAGUAUUAUCUUGUAAAAGUCGGUGGCUACUAAAUGUUGCCUUGUUUUCUCAUUUUUUUAUGUUUAUUUAUUACAUUCAAAGCAUGUGCUUUUGCAUAAACAUACAUUUGCUAUGACAAAUCUUACUCUGCAGCUUGAAGUUUCAACAGUCUAACUUAGCUUAAUUAAGGAAAUUAGAAAUGAUGAUAGCUCACAAAAACGAUCUCCACAUUGAACAUGUUAAAUUAAAUAUGAACAUGUACAUAAAUGGAUCUUUCAGAUAUGUGAAGCCUUAGAAUCAGUGAAUGUUAUGUGUUGUUGAAUGCUUAUUCAAAUAUAGCAGUUUCUGUAGAGGCUUAACAUGUGAAGCGUAAAAGUUUGUAGUUAGAUGUACAGGUCUUUCAUCAUAUUUCUUCCAUUACUCUAACUCACAAAGAAUCCCUAUUACCUUUGACCUAUACAUAUAGGACAUAUACACAAAUAUAUAAAUAUAAAUUUAUAUUUGUAUAAGAAUGUACUAUAUUCUGCAAAGAAAGCAUUAAAAAAAAAAUGUCAUACUAGAACACAACACCAUAGGAUAUUAUUUGAUACAUGACAGAGUUGUUGAAAUAAUGUUUUCAUUCUUCAUUUAAGAAAUACUAUUACUUUUUUGGGUCAAAACCACCUUCAGUAAAAAAAGCUAUAAGUAUUUUGUCUGUCACAACUUCAACUUCCUUAGGGACUAUAUCUAAAAAAUAAUAUAAUUCACUUUAUUACAUACUCAUUAUUUGUUUUUAUAGGAACCACUGUUAUAUUAAUAAUUUAUUUACUGAACUGUGGUUUAAAAUAAGUGUUUGCAUUUUGCAUGUAAAGUAAAAGGUAUAAAUCCACAACUUAAAUAGAAAAUGAAGAAAACAUAGACCUUAAAGAUAAUUUUUGAAGCUUUUAUUAUAUUCUUAAUGACAUGCUGAUUUAGUAAUAAAUACAACUUAUUAGAAAUGGUGAAGUCUCCUGAAUGAGCCAAUUCUUGGGCUCAUGGCACCCCAGUCAGUAUAUCUUCUGUACUCUCCAGGUCUCAGGUAAUACUGGCGUCCUUUGUAAUUUGGUUCCUCAUAGAACAUCCAGUAGCCAUCAAUCACCUGGCAGGAGUGGAUGUCAUGGUAACGGAAUCUCUCAUUGACAUUAGGACAAUCUUCAGUGAACUCCAUCAUCUGACCUCGGAAAUCCUCCCUCUCAUAGACCUUUACUCUGAAUGAUCCAUGGUGCUUUACGAAGAAAAAAUUAUUUAUAAACAAGAGUAAAAUAAUUGUAUAAUUGCAUGUAAACAUCAAAAAUCUAUACGGGAAUAUAUAUAUAUAUAUAUAUAUAUAUAUAUAUAUAUAUAUAUAUAUAUUUUAUCCAUGUUAACCCACCUGUUACCUGACAAUGGAAUUGUGAAUUGAAGAUAUAUUCCAUAAAAUAAUGAAUAAUAGUCAAAAAAGGUCAUAUUUGCAAAGGUAAACCUAUAAUAAUAGGACAAUAAUGUUUUUUUGUACUGCAUCAUAUUUAUGUAAGGUUCUUAACUAUUUUGGUAAAUAUCUUUACCUCUGGGCUAAUACGACAAGAUCUGAUGGAGUCAUUGAAACCCAUCCAUUGCUGGAAAUUAUGAUAUUCUCCCCUGCUAAGGUAAUACUGGUGUCCUCUAUAGUUGGGGUGCUCAUACAGAAUCCAGUUUCCACUUUCCACUCGGAUGGAAUUACAGCGCUGAAAAUAUGAGGACAUAUCUGGACACUCAGAGUUGCACUCAUAAGAGCGGCCCUGGAAGUUACGAUCCUCGUAGAAGACAAUCUGUGAAACAACCAUGCAUUUGAACAUUUUAGAUUUUUUAGUUUAUUAUUGUUUUAGUGGUUAAUAAUUUCAUUUAAAAAAUAGUUUCUGGUUUGAUUACUUGAUGCUAUAGAUUCCUAAAAACAUCUACUAUUAUCCUGUUCAAAUAAUAAAGUGUAGGUGUUAAACAUAUAAGUUUAGGACCGAAUUGGAAUAUAUGUUUUUGGUACAUCUUGUGUUUUUUUAGAUUGGUGAACUUGCAUUCACUUUCACAUAAUUAUAGCAAUUUAUUACGGUUAAUAGUGGCAUUCACUAGAAAGUACUUUAAAAAACUGAAAAAAAUCUUAAUCUUGAGUCUGAAAAAAGUAAACAUGUGAAGCAUGUGUUCUGAUGAAUUUGUAUUUGAUGAGGCGGCAAAUGUCCAAAACUAGUUUAUGGAAUAUUAUGUUGUCAUGUUUCUGGCCUAGAUAAACUCACCAGGAUAUAUUGUAUAGGAUAGGAUAUAUUGUAUAGGAUAAAGUUUGCUGACAUUCAGUGUAAGCAUUUAAAAUUUUAAUUUGUUUUGGUUUAUUUAAAAAAAAACAAAAAACUGUUUAUUGUUUCCAAAAUUUCUUGUGUUCCAAAUAUUUACAAUAUUCAGAUCAUCUUACCUUUCCCAUUUUCAGUGAUGGUUGAUCUGCUCAUGCAAGUUGUGCUGUUGCACAGAAUGAAGAGCCUUUAUAUACUGUUUACCUUGCUGAUGCUGAAAACAGUACUGAGCUUGUUUCUUUUCAUCAGUAAUUAGAAUGUAUAGCUAUUGUAUACUCUGCUUCAGUAUAGCUAUUGUAUUGUAUCCUAUAUGCUUUUUUGUUUACCUGCUGGCACAAGCAUUUCCUGGUUCUAAGGGAGAUCUAGAGAAAAUGUGACAGGCCUUUUUUUUAACUAGAUUAUUUCUAUUCCUACUGAGGAAAAAACUAUUUUAAAGCAUAUUUUACAAAAAGAAAAGAAAAAAGGUUUGACAUCAUUGCCAAUUGUUUUGCAAGUUAAGUUCAGUUUUUUAAGAUAUAAGUGUUAUUAUUAUUAUUAUUAUUAUGUUAAAUUAUAUAUAUUAUAUUGUGUGACAUGUAAUUUGAAACUAAAGUACAUUCAUGUUAGUUUUACCAGUCAAAUGCAUCAGUUAUAAUCACAGCCAUUUAUUCCUCCCAUUACACCUACUGUUUUUGUGUAUUUUCAACGUUAUCACAAUCCAAAACAUUUGAACUAUUAAAAAUAAAGUUACAUCUCGGCUUAUCUCUUAUUGGUAUUCACAUUAUCUCAUGAUCAUGGAAUUAACAACAAAGUAAAUGUGGUUACAUCAAAUAUUGAAUGUUAUUAUUCUUAAUAAUCUUUAUUUUGUUUCCACAGUAAUAAAAUUACAUCCACACUUUUGCAUGCAUAGACAUUUACAAACAAAACACAAUAACACACCAGAAACAGUUGAGAGGAGAGAAGAGUUCUAUAAUAGAAGCAUGUACCUAUCCUAUGCAAAUUAUAGACUAGAUUAUUAUAAAAAUAACUCUCUUUUAACUAUUAGAGCUGAAAAACGUAAAUGCUUUUUGAAGACAACAUUCUCGUAUUCUUUUGUUUUUAGCUGAUGAGUUAUUAAUCCAACUUAGUCUGUUUUUCAUCUUAAAUUGGAAAAUAAUUUGAUCUUUCCUUUGGGAAUACAUAAUUUCGUGGGAUUGUUUCUAAAGUUCACCCUUUUAAAAAAACUAUAGCUCCCCUGCCACCUUUGAUUUCCUCUCUGACACAAUCAAGAUCCCUUUCAGUAAAACUAUCAUUGUUGCAGGAAUUUAACGCCCACCUAGCUUCCGAGUGCAUUACUUUUAGACAUAGCCCAAUUCCUUUGUGAAACUGUAGCUCAAAACCAAAAAAGUGAACUGUUGAUUUUUGGAGAUGUUAAGAAUGAUUUGCUGAAUCCUAAAAAUAAUAAAUCAUGUUGCAGCUAACACAAUUAAUUUCCUCCCCAACGCUCAUUAAGAUGAUAAGCCAUAACCAUACCUUGCUACAUCAGAUUCUAUUCAGUUGUCCUGAUAGAAUCCAGUAGGUGGUAGUUCUCACUAACAGAUUCAGUGACCACUGUUUAGUGUACUGAAUACGCAAAAUAAAGGCCACUAAAUCCUCUACCAAGAUUAUAAUCACAAGGGAUUUCAAGAAAUGCAAUCUUCAAUCCUUUUUAAACAAUCACAAGUACCAACCACGGCACAGAUUAUGUCUAAUUCCAGAUCUAGACUCUGCAAUUGAAUUUUUUCAGUCUAAACCCUUGCAUGUUUAGAAUUUGCAUGUCCCACUGCGUAGAGUGUGAAUAAAAGGAACACACCUGCACUGGGUUAUGAAAUAUAUUUAUUGAAAUUUAAAUAUGUGAUGUGUUGUAGGAUUUUAUCUUUGUGAUAUGAAUAUUAUAAGUUUUGUAUUAGUUGAAAUUAAUUUCAUUUUAAAAUACUUUCAGACACAAGAACUGAGAGAUCCUAUUUAUUUGUUUACCAAUGUUCACCACAUAUGGUUCUUGUUGAGAUAAUGAUUGAUGAAAGCCUGUUGAUAUUACCUUUUGACCUAGUAUUGCAAGCAAGACUCCCAUGUGUAUUAGGAAGUUUCUUUUUGAAGAAAUUAAUUUAAUCAUGUAAACAGUAAGACCUUCGUGUAAAUUAUAUUUUACCCCCCAAGUAUAACCAUUUGUAUAAAACACAAAAUGGAGAAAUAAAGUAAACAGAGUGCAGGUCAGGAGUCCGGAUACAAGUCAAGGGCUCAUGAGCUGCACCACUGUAACCACCUAAUACGGAGCUCCAAUGAGGACACUAGGGGAACUGGAACGUAGAUGCUAGUUAGUACUCCAGACAAUUGAUUCCCUGGGCACCAUUUAGUAUGUCUCCCUUUUUUCAAGUUAUACUUUUUGUUUGCAUAUCCCUUUUUAUCCUUAGAUUGAUUAAAGGUAUGGCCCCCCUUCCUCAUUUCUUAAACUGUGGUGUUCUCCUGAUGUUAGUUUCCCCUUGUGGGACUCUAUACAUCACCUAACCCUACUUCCUAACUAUUUGUAUAAUGUCUGGCUCUAAUCAGAGAUUGGACAGAAUGGUUAAGCCACAACCUUUUUCUAUGAUGGCCACAUAUUUUAAAGUGUCAGGUAACGCCUCGUAAAUAACUGAAUUUUAGACAUAUAAAAACAUUUACAGUUAGAAAUUCCUCACAAAUACUUAUAACAACAAAAAUGAAUACUAUCUUGCAGUGCUUACACAUUGCUGUAUUGGUCCAGAUGUUUGCAAAUAUUUUGUGUUAUUUUCUCAUGGUGUGUAUGUUUGAAUAAAUAUACAUUUUUGGCUGCAAUACAAUCUGAUUUGAUUAUUGGAACUUUGGUGUGACAAACAUCUCAGGAACAGCUAAUUUCCUACAUUUAAUGAUGGAGAAUGCGGGCAGGAUUUAAGUCUGUACAGAAAAACUGUUUAAGAUCCUGCAAACUAAAUGGUAUCAUCCUAAUUUAAAAGAAUGAUGUAUACAUAUAGUACAGGAGUGUCUCAUAUGUGCUCAAUUUAAUCCAAGACCUAAAGACUAGAAACCAAAGUUACAGAGAGUAUCUGUGGCAAAAUGACCAUGGAACUCUAUUUAAAUUGUUUUACAUUAACAUUUAAAUUGUAAAAUAAACGCUUGUAGUUAAAGGGAGUAGUUGGGUAACACAUUUACUAGGAGUAUUAAUGUAUAUUCGUGCAACUCCAAACUCUAAAACGCAAGUGUCACCUCAUGAGUUAAUGACAGGCAGAACAAUGCCAAUCACUUUCCCCAAUGAACCUUUUGUUCCAAGUACUUUCAAAUUUGCAUCAGGACAUGCUGAAUAGUUGAAAGUAUUACAGGAACAGCUGCAAUCAGUUUUAAAAUGUGCUGCUUCAAAUAUUGUCUCUUCUGGUAAACAAUUUGUUAAAGGGAUACUGUAGUGCCAGGAAUACAAAGCUCUAUUCCUGGCACUACCGAUUCCUCUACCUCCCCCUUGCCCUGUACCCCCUUCCCUACUAAAUGUAGGGUUAAAAACCCUUUAUUUACUUAACUUAUCCCAGUGCCGAUAUUCCUCGGUGCUGUGUGAAAGAUCCGCCCCCUCCUCCACCCCGCGACAAGCAGGGUCUAAUGCGCAUGUGCGGCAAACGCCGCAUGCACAUUAGACCUCCCCUUAGGAAAGCAUUGAAUCAGUGCUUUGUUAUGGGGAAAAUCUGACGUCCCAAUGUAGAGCGUGAGGACGUCCAGCGUUAGAUAAUGGACCAAAAGUCUGUUACGGUUCUGGAAGCGCCCCCAGUUGCUCUCUGUUAGACAGCCACUGAGGGCAGACCUAGAGCUGCAAUAUAAACAUUGCAGUUCUUUAUUGUGAUUUGCUAGCUUAACCCCUUAUUUUAGGUGGCUCUAAACGCCGCCGGGCGUAAUAGUACGUCCUCCGGUCUUUCUAUACUUACCCGGUCGCCGGCGAUCCCACGCCGGCGAUACCACACUGGCGAUCGCAGUUGGGGGGACACCCAGGGAGCCCCCGCCGCCCGUCCGACCUCCUGGCAGCCCCCCCAGCCAUGUGAGAGUGAGGUCCUUGCGAGGACCUCACAAUCACAAGGCAGGGUUAGCUGCCUCCUGCAUUGCCAGCAGUGGGGCUGCUUGUAAUGACAAGUGGUCCCCCUGCUGGCUGGAAAUCAAAUUAAAUUAAAUUAAUAAAAGUUAAAUAAGUGUAAAAAAAAAAAUAUAUACUUAGAUCAUAUAUAUUGUAUAUAUAUGAUCUAAGUAUAUAUAUAUACACAUAUACAUACACACACAUACACUGUCUAGGUGUAUUUUACUAUUAAUAUAUAUAUAAUUAUAUAUAUAUAUAUUAAUAUCAAAUUACAUGUAGACUGAUACUGAUUAAAUAUAUAUAUAAUUAUUGUUUUAUAUAUAUAUAUAUAUAUAUAUAAUAUAAAAAAAAUUAAUUUGUAAAUACGUUAAAAAAUUUAAUUAAAAAAAUUAUUUAAAAAAAUUAUUAAAAAAUAUAUAGAUGUGUGUUAUUUCGUUCUAACUGUAUUGUGAUAUUAAUAUAUAUAUAUUUAUAUCAAAAUACACAUAGAACGAAAUAAUAUAUAUAUAUCUAUAUACAUAAAUAUAUAUGUAUAUAUCACUAUAUAUAUACCUAUAUAUAAAUUAAAAAUAUUUAAAAAAAAUUAUAUAUACAUAUAUACAUAUAUAUUCACAUACGUAUAUAUAUAUAUAUAUAUAUAUAUAUACAUAUAUUAAUUCUACAUAUAUAUUUAUAUAAUAUUUUUACAUAAUUAGGUAUCUUAAAUAAUUACAAUUAGCGGGAACUGCCUGACAACCCAUGCCGAAAGCAAAAGGGAAUUUAAUUUGCUAGCACUAUAUUUAACCCUAUAACUUUCCAAGACACCAUAAAACCUGUACAUGGGGGUACUGUUCUACUCGGGAGACUUCGCCGAACACAAAUAUUAGUGUUUCAAAACAGUAAAAUGUAUUACAACGAUGAUAUCGCCAGUAAAAGUGAAGUUUUUUGCAUUUUUCACGCACAAACAGCACUUACACGGACGAUAUUAUUGCUGCGAUACUUUUUACUGUUUUCAAACACAAAUAUUUGUGUUCAGCGAAGUCUCCCGAGUACAACAGUACCCCUCAUGUACAGGUUUUAUGGUGUUUUCAAAAGUUACAGCAUCAAAUAUUAGGCUUGUGUUUCAUUUUUUUCACAAUAAAAUUCGCCAGAUUGGUUACGUUGCCUUUGAGACCCUAUGGUAGCCCAAGAAUGAAAAUUACCCCUAUGAUGGCAUACCAUUUGCAAUAGUAGACAACCCAAGGUAUUGCAAACGAGGUAUGUCCAGUCUUUUUUAGUAGCCACUUAGUCACAAACACUGGCCAAAAUUGGCGUGUUUUGCAUUUUUCACACACAAACAAAUACUAACGCUAACUUUGGCCAGUGUUUGUGACAAAAUGGCUACUAAAAAAGACUGGACAUACCCCAUUUGCAAUACCUUGGGUUGUCUUCUAUUGCAAAUGAUAUGCCAUUAUGGGUGUAAAUUUCUUUCCUGGGCUACUAUUAAGUCCCAAAGGCAACGUAACCAAUCUGGCAAAUUUCAAUUUCAAAUGUAACGUGCUAUAUUUGACCCUGUAACUUCCCAAAACGCCAUAAACCCUGUAUAUAGGGGGUACUGUUUUACACGUGAGACUUUGCUGAAUUCAAAUAUGUGUAUUUUAUUGCAGUAAAAGUAAACAGUAUUAUGACAUUGACCGUUAAAAUGUCAUGUAGAACUAAAAAAAUCAGAAAAAAAUCGUAUUUUCUCCCAUUAUUUUCAUAUUAAAUUAUGUUUCAUAGCUAAAUAUUUGAUAUUAAAUGAAAGCCCUGUUUCACCUGAAUAAAAUGAUAUAUAAUAAGGGUGGGUGUAUUUAAUAUGAAAGAGAUGAAUUACGGUUGGACAGACAUGUAGAGCAAAUGCCAGGUUUUGUUUACAUUUUGUUUUGUUCACAACGUGUACAUUUGGCUCCGUCCUUAAGGGGUUAAAAGGGAGAACUUGACAAUCAGUUACAAGUGUUUAUACUUGAUAUAGAAAGUCUGAGGGAGAGUAUGACAUGAAAAUAAGCUGCACUACAGAAUGAGGAUAAACUGCUACUCAGUACAAAGAAACAAUAGUAGUACUAUAAAAAAUAAAUAUAAUAAAAAUAAGAAUAAACCAUCAUAGACAGAAACUACCUGUAGUUACUCCUCUGUGGUAACAUAUGAUCAAUUAAAAUAGCCAUUUGAUAAUCAGAUAUUAGCUAAUAGCAGUCAAUUGGAUCUCACAAGUCCGUCAAAUGGACGUCAUAAGGUUGAGCAUCUAUGAAACUGCAGGAAUAUUGCAAAGUACGGGCACAAACAAGGUCAAUUGAGUUAUCUUCUCCAUAUCCCCUCAAUGGGGAGAUCUGGUUGUAACCCCUCCAGGAUUAUUAGUGUACAAAGGAGUCUCUAGUCUUCUUAGGAAAGCAUUCACUUCUGACAAGUACCUAAUAUAAUGUAUGGCAUCCUCAUGUAUGAUCAUGGGAAGUUUAGAAUGUGAUGCCUUAGGGUCUCAGACUUAUGGUCAUGCUUCAAUAAUUGUCUCAAGGUCAGAGUGAUUUGUGUCAAAUUAAAUGUUAGCAAAUGGGUUUCAAAAGAAUAUCCUGACUGUUCUUAGACAGUCAGGAAUUGUACAAAUACAUAACUCAAAGUCUCUAUGUAAGAAUUUCAGUGGCUUAAGAAACUUAUACUAGUAUGUGAAAAAAUCCAUUAAUGCUAGUGGAGUUUGUUUGUUUGUUUAUGAGAUAAAACAGUUCAUAAUAGGCAUGAAAUAAAAUGUGUUCAUUCUUCCAAAAAAAUUCCUCUUGUACCCCACACAUUUUUUAAACAACCCACAUUCUCCACCAGGCAUACCCUGUGAUGGAUGAAAGUGAACAGAUUUGAUAUUUGCCUUUUCCAGAUAUCACCACAGUCCUUCAAUGUUGCCUGUUGUCCCGCAGUAGGGCUUUAAUUUCCCUUUUGUAUUUGGUCUUCCUUAUUAUCCAUUAGCAUGAUGGCAACUAUGUUGUGGUAGGUGAUUAGAUGGAUCCCGCCCAAGAAGAACUUCUCUUUUGACUUAAUGUGCCAUUUUAAGCACAAGGCGGCUGCAUAAGCAUAAUAUCUAUAAGUUGUGAGCUUGGGUCAGGAUCUGAUACCGCUGUUAAGAGCAUUCCCCAAUCCUGUCAAGUUAAUAUUUAAGCUUGUGAAAACAGAUAAAUACAGGUAAAUGUGUUUUUUGCUGCCAAAAUACUGAGAAUCUUGGAUCCCAAACAAUAUCUGGUCUGCUGGAAAUUACCCCCACCCACCUACAUGUAAUUUUAGAGGUUACAAUACUGUUUAAUUAGUAUUAUCUUGUAAAAGUCGGUGGUUACUAAAUGUUGCCUUGUUUUGUCAUUUUUUUAUGUUUAUUUCUUACAUUCAAAGCAUGUGCUUUUGCAUAAACAUAAAUCUGCUAUGACAAAUCUUACUCUGCAGCUUGAAGUUUCAACAGUCUAACUUAGCUUAAUUAAGGAAAUUAGAAAUGAUGAUAGCUCACAAAAACGAUCUCCACAUUGAACAUGUUCCAUUAAAUAUGAACAUGUACAUAAAUGGAUCUUUCAGAUAUGUGAUUCCUUAGAAUCAGUGAAUGUUCUGUGUUGUUGAAUGCUUAUUCAAAUUCAGCAGUUUUUGUAGAGUCUUAACAUGUGAAGCGUAAAAGGUUGUGGUUGGAUGUCCAGUUCUUUCAUCAUAUUUCUUCCAUUAUUCUAACUCACAAAGAAUCCCUAUUACCGUUGACCUAUACAUAUAGGACAUAUACACAAAUAUAUAAAUAUAAAUAUAUAUUUGUCUAAGAAUGUACUAUAUUCUGCAAAGAAAGCAUUAAAAAAAGUCAUACCAGAAAACAACACGUAUAUAUUAUUUGAUACAUGACAGAGUUGUUGAAAGAAUGUUUUCAUUCUUCUUUUAAGAAAUACUAUUACUUUUUUUGUUCAAACCACCUUCAGUAAAAAAAGCUAUAAGUAAUUUGUCUGUCACAACUUUAACUUCCUGAGGGAUUAUAUCUAAAAAAUAAUAUAAUUCCCCUUAUUACGUACUCAUUAUUUGUUUUUAUAGGAACCACUGUUAUAUUAAUAAUUUAUUUACUGAACUGUGGUUUAAAAUAAGUGUUUGCAUUUUGCAUGUAAAGUAAAAGGUAUAAAACCACAACUUAAAUAGAAAAUGAAAAAAAUAUAGACCUUAAAGAUAUUUUUUGAAGCUUUUAUUAUAUUCUUAAUGAUAUGCUGAUUUAGUAAUAAAUACAACUUAUUAGAAAUGAUGAAGUCUCCUGAAUGAGCCAAUUCUUGGGCUCAUGGCACCCCAGUCAGUAUAUCUUUUGUACUCUCCAGGUCUCAGGUAAUACUGGCGUCCUUUGUAAUUUGGUUCCUCAUAGAACAUCCAGUAGCCAUCAAUCACCUGGCAGGAGUGGAUGUCAUGGUAACGGAAUCUCUCAUUGACAUUAACACAAUCUUCAGUGAACUCCAUCAUCUGACCUCGGAAAUCCUCCCUCUCAUAGACCUUUACUCUGAAUGAUCCAUGGUGCUUUACGAAGAAAAAAAUAUUUAUAAACAAGAGUAAAAUAAUUGUAUAAUUGCAUGUAAACAUCAAAAAUCUAUACGGGAAUAUAUAUAUAUUUUUUUUUAUCCAUGUUAACCCACCUGUUACCUGACAAUGGAAUUGUGAAUUGAAGAUAUAUUCCAUAAAAUAAUGAAUAGUAGUCAAAAAAGGUCAUAUUUGCAAAGGUAAACCUAUAAUAAUUGAUAAUUGGAAAAUAAUGUUUUUUUGUACUGCAUCAUAUUUAUGUAAGGUUCUUAACUAUUUUGGUAAAUAUCUUUACCUGUGGGCUAAUACGACAAGAUCUGAUGGAGUCAUUGAAACCCAUCCAUUGCUGGAAAUUAGGAUAUUCUCCCCUGCUAAGGUAAUACUGGUGUCCUCUAUAGUUGGGGUGCUCAUACAGAAUCCAGUUUCCACUUUCCACUCGGAUGGAAUUACAGCGCUGAAAAUAUGAGGACAUAUCUGGACACUCAGAGUUGCACUCAUAAGAGCGGCCGUGGAAGUUACGAUCCUCGUAGAAGACAAUCUGUGAAACAACCAUGCAUUUGAACAUUUUAGAUUUUUUAGUUUAUUAUUGUUUUAGUGGUUAAUAAUUUCAUUUAAAAAAUAGUUACUGGUUUGAUUACUUGAUGCUAUAGAUUCCUAAAAACAUCCACUAUUAUCCUGUUCAAAUAAUAAAGUGUAGGUGUUAAACAUCUAAGUUUAGGACCGAAUUGGAAUAUAUGUUUUUGGUACAUUUUGUGUUUUUUUAGAUUGGUGAACUUGCAUUCACUUUCACAUAAUUAUAGCAAUUUAUUACGGUUAAUAGUGGCAUUCACUAGAAAGUACUUUCAAAAACUGAAAAAAUCUUAAUCUUGAGUCUGAAAAAAGUAAACAUGUGAAGCAUGUGUUCUGAUGAAUUUGUAUUUGAUGAGGCGGCAAAUGUCCAAAACUAGUUUAUGGAAUAUUAUGUUGUCAUGUUUCUGGCCUAGAUAAACUCACCACAGUAUAUUGGAUAGGAUAGGAUAUAUUGUAUAGGAUAAAGUUUGCUGGCAUUCAGUGUAAGCAUUUCAAAUUUGAAUUUGUUUGGUUCAUUUUAAAAAAAGAAAUAUGUUUAUUGUUUCCAAAAUUUCUUGUGUUGCAAAUAUUUACAAUAUUCAGAUCAUCUUACCUUUCCCAUUUUCAGUGAUGGUUGAUCUGCUCAUGCAAGUUGUGCUGUUACACAGAAUGAAGAGCCUUUAUAUACUGUUUACCUUGCUGAUGCUGAAAACAGUACUGAGCUGGUUUCUUUUCAUCAGUAAUUAGAAUGUAUAGCUAUUGAAUACUGUGCUUCAUUAUAGCUAUUGUAUUGUAUCCUAUAUGCUUUUUUGUUUACCUGCUGGCACAAGCAGUUCCUGGUUCUAAGGGAGAUCUAGAAUAAAUGUGACAGGCCUUUUUUUUCACUAGAUUAUUUCUAUUCCUAUUGAGGAAAAAACUAUUUUAAAGCAUAUUUUACAAAAAGAAAAGAAAAAAAAGGUUUGACAUCAUUGCCAGUUGUUCUGCAACUUGUUUAAGUUCUGUUUUUUAAGAUAUUAUUAUUAUUAUUAUUAUUAUGUUAAAUUAUAUAUAUUAUAUUGUGUGACAUGUAAUUUGAAACUAAAGUACAUUCAUGUUAGUUUUACCAGUAAAAUUCAUCAGUUAUAAUCACAGCCAUUUAUUCAUCCCAUUACACCUCCUGAACUCAGGCUAGAAUUGUGUUUUUGUGUAUUUUCAACGUUAUCACAAUCCAAAACAUUUGAACUAUUAAAAAUAAAGUUACAUCUCGGCUUAUCUCUUAUUGGUAUUCAUGUUAUCUCAUGAUCUUGAAUUAAGAACAAAGUAAAUAGUGCUCUUUGUGGUUACAUAAAAUAUUGAAUGUUAUUAUUCUUAAUAAUCUUUAUUUUGUUUCCACAGUAAUUAAUUACAUCCACACUUUUGCAUGCAUAGACAUUUACAAACAAAACACAAUAACACACCAGAAACAGUUGAGAGGAGAGAAGACUGAGUUCUAUAAUAGAAGCAUGUACCUAUCCUAUGCAAUUUAUAGAUUAGAUUAUUAUAAAAAUAACUCUCUUUUAAUUAUUAGCUGAAAAACGUAAAUACUUUUUGAAGACAACAUUCUCGUAUUCUUUUGUUUUUAGCUUAUGAGUUAUUAAUCCAACUUAGUCUGUUUUUCAUCUUAAAUUGGAAAAUAAUUUGAUCUUUCCUUUGGGAAUGCAUAAUUUCUUGUGAUUGUAUCUAAAGUUCACCCUUUAAAAAAAAAAAAAAAAAACCUAUAGCUCCCCUGCCACCCUUGAUUUCCUCUCUGACACAAUCAAGAUCCCUUUCAGUAAAACUAUCAUUGUUGCAGGAAUUUAAUGUCCACCUAGCUUCCGAGUGCAUUACUUUAAGACAUAGCCCAAUUCCUUUGUGAAACUGUAGCUCAAAACCAAAAAAGUGAACUGUUGAUUUUUGGAGAUGUUAAUAAUGAUUUGCUGAAUCCUAAAAAUAAUAAAUCAUGUUGCAGUUAACACAAUUAAUUUCCUCCCCAACGCUCAUUAAGAUGAUAAGCCAUAACCAUACCUUGCUACAUCAGAUUAUAUCCAGUUGUCCUGAUAGAAUCCAGUAGGUGGUAGUUCUCACUAACAGUUUCAGUGACCACUGUUUAGUGUACUGAAUACGCAAAAUAAAGGCCACUAAAUUCUCUACCAAGAUUAUAAUCACCAGGGAUUUCAAGAAAUGUAAUCUUCAAUCCUUUCUAAACAAUCUCAAGUACCAACCACGGCACAGAUUAUGUCUAAUUCCAGAUCUAGACUCUGCAAUUGAAUUUUUUCAGUCCAAAACCUUGCAUGUUUAGAAUUUGCAUGUCCCACUGCAUAGAGUGUGAAUAAAAGGGGAACACCUGCACUGGGUUAUGAAAUAUAUUUAUUAAAUUUUAAAUAUCUGAUGUGUUGUAGGAUUUUAUCUUUGUGAUAUGAAUAUAAUAAGUUUUGUAUUAGUUGAAAUUAAUUUCAUUUUAAAAUACUUUCAGACACAAGAACUGAGAGAUCCUAUGUAUUUGUUUACCAAUGUUCACCACAUAUGGUUCUGGUUGAGAUAAUGAUUGAUGAAAGCCUGUUGAUAUUACCUUUUGACCUAGUAUUGCAAGCAAGACUUCCAUGUGUUUUAGGAAGUUUCUUUUUGAAGAAAUUCAUUUAAUCAUGUAAACAAAAAGACCUUUGUGUAAAUUAUAUUUUACCCCCCAAGUAUAACCAUUUGUAUAAAACACAAAAUGGAGAAAUAAAGUAAACAGAGUGCAGGUCAGGAGUCCGGAUACAAGUCAAGAGCUCAUGAGCUGCACCACUAUAACCACCUAAUAGGGAGCUCCAAUGAGGACACUAGGGGAACUGAACGUAGAUGCUAGUUAGUACUCCAGACAAUUGAUCCCCUGGGCACCAUUUAGUAUGUCUCCCUUUUUUCAAGUUAUACUUUCUGUUUGCAUAUCCCUUUUUAUCCUUAGAUUGAUUAAAGGUAGGGCCCCCCUUCCUCAUUUCUUAAACAGUGGCGCUCUCCUGAUGUUAGUUUCCCCUUGUGGGACUCUAUACAUCACCUACCCCUAUUUCCUAACCAUUUUUAUAAUGUCUGGCUCUAAUCAGAGAUUGGACAGAAUGGUUAAGCCACAACCUUUUUCUAUGAUGGCCACAUAUUUUAAAGUGUCAGGUAAUCUUAUGUGUACGCCUCGUAAGUAACUGAAUUUUAGACAUAUAAAAACAUUUACAGUUAGAAAUUCCUCACCAAUACUUAUAACAACAAAAAUGAAUACUAUCUUGAAGUGCUUACACAUUGCUGUAUUGGUCCAGAUGUGUGCAAAGACUUUGUGUUAUUUUCUCAUGGUGUGUAUGUUUGAAUAAAUAUACAUUUUUAGCUGCAAUACAAUCUGAUUUGAUUAUUGGAACUUUGGUGUGACAAACAUCUCAGGAACAGCUGCUAUCAGUUUUAAAAUUUGCUGCUUCAAAUAUUGUCUCUUCUGGUAAACAAAGGGUUAAAGGGAUACUGUAGUGCCAUGAAUACAAAACUGUAUUCCUGGCACUACCGAUCCCUCUACCUCCCCCUUGCCCUGCGCCCCCUUCACUAGUAAAUAGAGGGUUAAAAACCCUUUAUUUACUUAACUUAUCCCAGUGACGAUAUUACUCGGUGCUGUGUGGAAGCUCCGCGCCCUCCUUCACCCUGCGACAAACAGGGUCUAAUGCGCAUGCGUGGCAAACCCCGCUUAGGAAAGCAUUGAAUCAAUGCUUUGUUAUGCGGAAAAUCUGACGUCCUCAUGUAGAGCAUGAGGACGUCCAAUGUUAGAUAAUGGACCAAACGUCUGUUACGAUUCUGGAAGCGCCCCCAGUUGCUGUCUGGUAGACAGCCACUGAGGGCAGACCUAGUGCUGCAAUAUAAACAUUGCAGUUCUCUGGAACUGCAGUGUUUAACAUUGUAGCACUAUGUUCAAAAGGGAAAAAGCACCUAGACGACCUCAAUAAGCUGAAGUGGUCUGGGUGCCUACAGUGUCCCUUUAAAUAUGUAGCACUGGGAAACUAUGCAUAUACGUUUAAACUAGAGAAUAAGGUGAUGGUAAAAUCAUUGAAAACACCAGGUCCCUUCAAAGCAAGUUGCAGAUCCCUUGAAAGUAAGUAGGUUCAAACCCCCCUCACCCCCCCAAAAAAAACAAAUGUUGGUAGAAAAUGUAGUAAGUCAAUUAUUGUGCAUAGUGAUCAAUGUAAACUUACUAAUGUUUAAGAAACUUACUAAUGUAUAAAACUAGCAGACUGCCAUCUGCUUUUUUUUAUUACAGAACCAGUCAUGUUUAUUCAGGACAAAAAAUGUUUGCUUUUUAAAAAGGACAAAUUGUUUGGACUUUCAAAGGACAUUAUGGACAAAGAGACUGUGCUCAUGGAUUCAAUUAGAGAGGACAUUAUUUAAUGGACUAAAUCAAAUCUAUUUUACUUUCUGGUUAAUGUAAAAUGUAUACAAUUGCAUGGCAUAAUAACAAUGAUACUGUUAUUAAUGAUGUUAAGUACAAUCAAUGCCCAGGGUUAAUUAAUUAAUUUGUGGAAAAAAUUCAAAGUCUAGAUCCAACUACAAAUGUAAUUGCUAAAGAAAAAAGAACUUUGAGAGCAGUUGCUUUCUUAUUAGAUAAAGGUGGGAGUCCAGAAAUGAAGGUGUUAAAUGGCUUGUGAAAUUAGGAAUACACAUGCAUUUUGAAUUAGUAUGAUCCGUAAUCUAAAACCUCCAAUUAUCAUCAUUUAAAGGUAAACCUCACAGCAUUAAAUAUUAAUUUCAACUCUUUGAUAUUGUUUAUGUUUGUUGAAUAUCCAAUUAUUGUUUUCGUAACCUUUAUCUUAAUUUGGCAGUAAAUAAAAGAAAGAGGGCUUUCUGCACUGAUUUCUCCUUUCCUGUUCCUUUAUUUCUACCAAGUUGUAUAUUGUGAUUUGCUAGCUUAAAAGGGAGAACAUGACAAUCAGUUACAAGUGUUUAUACUUGAUACAGAAAGUCUGAGGGAGAGUAUGACAUGAAAAUAAGCUGCACUAUAGAAUGAGGAUAAACUGCAUCUCAGUACAAAGAAACAAUAGUAGUACUGUAAAAAAUAAAUAUAGGGGGGCAGGGCCCGACCGCCAUGCUGAGAGGUCACACACAAGGCGAGCUCCUGCAGAAAAACGACCUUAAAGCUUGUAAAACACACAAAACUACUUAUCUGCAGUCUGGAAGCAACGGUCCUGUGGGCAAAGAGGGGCUGGUGCUGAGGCCAACCAGACCACAAGCGAUUUGACCUCGGAAAAGGCACAGCCACAUCUGGGGCCUAUCCGGGCGGUGAGUGAGGUGGACAGCCGCCACCUCGCUAUCCUACUCUGCGGUUUACCCUCGGAACUCUGACGCCACAUGGUAGGGGCCCCGUAUCACCCCCCUUUGGAUCAGUGGGGGUCAUCCCGGUCCCAGGAGACUGUUCCCGCAACCCUAGGCACCUGGAGCGAGGAAGACCCUCCAUUAACAAAAUGGCAGUCAUGGCGGGCAAAACCGAAAUGGCGGCAAAGCCAGAAACCUUCAAGGCUCAGCUGACUGAAAAUCUUGGGGAAGCACGGAUGAUGGUGAGGCAGAGGGGUUCCCCAACACAAACGCACCUAAGCUUCCCGACCUGCAAACGGAUCCAGCAGUGACGAACAGCCGGUGUCUGCUUCCUGACCCCUCACCACGCAACACUACCAACCCUGCCGCACAGACAGACACUCCUGUGCUCCAGCUAUCUCCCAUGGAGGAAUGGGAAGCAGCAAGGGAUUAAACACACUCACCCCUCUCACCAAGCAAUAUGAUGGACUCAUCCUUAUAUAUUAUGCUGGACCCACUCUUGUCAAGCCAAAGGCUUAGUAGAUCGAGGUCAGAUAAGCAUGAACUGUCUGUGGGAAUCCCCCGGGGACUGUGCUGCGGAUCAUGGGGAUGGCUCCUGUCCCUUCUGUCUUCUACAUAAGUAACAACGACCUCUUCACACUCUGAGCAGCUAUCACUAUGGGCACAGCUCAAGAUUUCUUCUUCUUCCCUUAUUUUUAUGUUUUUCCUCUCACCAUUUUUUCUCACAUUUUGUCUCAUAUUAAUGUAGCUGUGCACUGAGUCCCCCAUGCUGUACAUCACUCUCAUAUAUGCAAAUCCUAGCAACGAGACUAGUCUUACAUUAUGUGAGCCUUAAUGUUUUACUUAAUCAGUGUUAUCACACAUCAGACCUGUUGCUAGUAUAUAAAUUGCGUAUCUCUCACUUAUGCACAAAUAAGCCCAAUAGUGCUGUAAUAUGAAGCGUUAUCUAACACGUUUAAGCCCUCUUAUUUUAAAGAACUAAAGCGAUGUUAAUGUAUAGUUGUGUAAACGUUAAAAAUUAAUCUAAACUUGAAUUAUCAUACCCUUUAGUUUAAAAUCGCAUCUCUUAUUUUGACAUAAUCGUUACAACUCUGAUAUCAAUAUAAAAAUGUGCUUUCAAACCGCAUGCCAUGUCAAUUCCACUGUACCUAACUGGCCUGCUAAUGCUGUUGUGGCAUCGCAAGGCAAAAUGUUAACUGUAUUAACAUGCACAAGAAAAAUAAAGAAUUAAAAAAAAUUAAAAUAUAUAAUAAAAAUAAAAAUAAACCAUCAUAGACAGAAACUACCCAUAGUUACUCCUCUGUGGUAACAUAUGAGCAAUUAAAAUAGCCAUUUGAUAAUCAGAUAUUAGCUAAUAGCACUCAAUUGGACCUCACAAGUCCGUCAAAUGGACGUCGUAAGGUUGAGCAUCUAUGAAACUGCAGGAAUAGUGCAAAGUACGGACACAAACAAGGUCAAUUGAGUUAUCUUCUCCAUAUCCCAUCAAUGGGGAGAUCUGGUUGUAACCCCUCCAGGAUUAUUAGUGUACAGAGGAGUCCCUAGUCUUCUUAGGAAAGCAUUCACUUCUGACAAGUACCUAAUAUAAUGUAUGGCAUCCUCAUGUGUGAUCAUGGGAAGUUUAGAAUGUGAUGCCAUAGGGUCUCAGACUUAUGGUCAUGCUUCAAUAAUUGUCUUCAGGCCAGAGUGAUUUGUGUCAAAUUAAAUGUUAGCAAAUUAAAUGUUUCAAAAGAAUAUCCUGACUGUUCUUAGACAGUCAGGAAUUGUACAAAUACAUAACUCAAAGUCUCUAUGUAAGAAUUUGAGUGGCUUAAGAAACUUAUACUAGUAUGUGAAAAAAUCCAUUAAUGCUAGUGGAGUUUGUUUGUUUAUGAGAUAAAACAGUUCAUAAUAGGCAUGGAAUAAAAUUUGUCCAUUCUUCCAAAAACAAUUCCUCUUGUACCCCACACAUGUUUUAAGCAACCCACAUUCUCCACCAGGCACACCCUGUGAUGGAUGAAAGUGAACAGAUUUGAGAUUUGCCUUUUCCAGAUAUCACCACAGUCCUUCAAUGUUGCCUGUUGUCCCACAGUAGGGCUUUAAUUUCCCUUUUGAAUUUGGUCUUCCUUAUUAUCCUUUAGCAUGAUGGCAACUAUGUUGUGGUAGGUGAUUAGACGGAUCGCACCCAAGAAGAACUUCUCUUUUGACUUAAUGUGCCAUUUUAAGCACAAGGCGGCUGCUUAAGCAUAAUAUCUAUAAGUUGUGAACUAGGGUCAGGAUCUGAUACCGCUGUUAAGAGCAUUCCCCAAUCCUGUCAAGUUAAUAUUUAAGCUUCUAAAAACAGAUAAAUACAGGUAAAUGUGUUUUUUGCUUCCAAAAUACUAAGAAACUUGGAUCCCAAACAAUAUCUGGUCUGCUGGAAAUUACCUCCACCCACCUACAUGUAGUUUUAGAUUUUACAAUACUGUUUAAUUAGUAUUAUCUUGUAAUAUUUUGGGUCAAACCACCUUCAGUAAAAAAAGCUAUAAGUAUUUUGUCUGUCACAACUUCAACUUCCUGAGGGACUAUAUGUAAAAAAUAAUAUAAUUCCCUUAUUACUUACUCAUUAUUUGUUUUUAUAGGAACCACUGUUAUAUUAAUAAUUUAUUUACUGAACUGUGGUUUAAAAUAAGUGUUUGCAUUUUGCAUGUAAAGUAAAAGGUAUGAAACCACAACUUAAAUAGAAAAUGAAAAAAUAUAGACCUUAAAGAUAAUUUUUGAUGCUUUUAUUAUAUUCUUAAUGACAUGCUGAUUUAGUAAUAAAUACAACUUAUUAGAAAUGGUGAAGUCUCCUGAAUGAGCCAAUUCUUGGGCUCAUGGCACCCCAGUCAGUAUAUCUUCUGUACUCUCCAGGUCUCAGGUAAUACUGGCGCCCUUUGUAAUUUGGUUCCUCAUAGAACAUCCAGUAGCCAUCAAUCACCUGGCAGGAGUGGAUGUCAUGGUAACGGAAUCUCUCAUUGACAUUAGCACAAUCUUCAGUGAACUCCAUCAUCUGACCUCGGAAAUCCUCCCUCUCAUAGACCUUUACUCUGAAUGAUCCAUGGUGCUUUACGAAGAAAAAAAUAUUUAUAAACAAGAGUAAAAUAAUUGUAUAAUUGCAUGUAAACAUCAAAAAUCUAUACGGGAAUAUAUAUAUAUUUUUUUUUAUCCAUGUUAACCCACCUGUUACCUGACAAUGGAAUUGUGAAUUGAAGAUAUAUUCCAUAAAAUAAUGAAUAGUAGUCAAAAAAGGUCAUAUUUGCAAAGGUAAACCUAUAAUAAUAGGACAAUAAUGUUUUUUUGUACUGCAUCAUAUUUAUGUAAGGUUCUUAACUAUUUUGGUAAAUAUCUUUACCUGUGGGCUAAUACGACAAGAUCUGAUGGAGUCAUUGAAACCCAUCCAUUGCUGGAAAUUAGGAUAUUCUCCCCUGCUAAGGUAAUACUGGUGUCCUCUAUAGUUGGGGUGCUCAUACAGAAUCCAGUUUCCACUUUCCACUCGGAUGGAAUUACAGCGCUGAAAAUAUGAGGACAUAUCUGGACACUCAGAGUUGCACUCAUAAGAGCGGCCCUGGAAGUUACGAUCCUCGUAGAAGACAAUCUGUGAAACAACCAUGCAUUUGAACAUUUUAGAUUUUUUAGUUUGUUAUUGUUUUAGUGGUUAAUAAUUUCAUUUAAAAAAUAGUUUCUGGUUUGAUUACUUGAUGCUAUAGAUUCCUAAAAACAUUUACUAUUAUCCUGUUCAAAUAAUAAAGUGUAGGUGUUAAACAUAUAAGUUUAGGACCGAAUUGGAAUAUAUGUUUUUGGUACAUUUUGUGUUUUUUUAGAUUGGUGAACUUGCAUUCACUUUCACAUAAUUAUAGCAAUUUAUUACGGUUAAUAGUGGCAUUCACUAGAAAGUACUUUCAAAAACCGAAAAAAUCUUACUCUUGAGUCUGAAAAAAGUAAACAUGUGAAGCAUGUGUUCUGAUGAAUUUGUAUUUGAUGAGGCGGCAAAUGUCCAAAACUAGUUUAUGGAAUAUUAUGUUGUCAUGUUUCUGGCCUAGAUAAACUCACCAGGAUAUAUUGUAUAGGAUAAAGUUUGCUGGCAUUCAGUGUAAGCAUUUUAAACUUGAAUUUGCUUUGGUUCAUUUAAAAAAAAAAAAAUCUGUUUAUUGUUUCCAAAAUUUCUUGUGUUGCAAAUAUUUACAAUAUUCAGAUCAUCUUACCUUUCCCAUUUUCAGUGAUGGUUGAUCUGCUCAUGCAAGUUGUGCUGUUACAUAGCAUGAAGAGCCUUUAUAUACUGUUUACCUUGCUGAUGCUGAAAACAGUACUGAGCUGGUUUCUUUUCAUCAGUAAUUAGAAUGUAUAGCUAUUGUAUACUCUGCUUCAGUAUAGCUAUUGUAUUGUAUCCUAUAUGCUUUUUUGUUUACCUGCUGGCACAAGCAUUUCCUGGUUCUAAGGGAGAUCUAGAGAAAAUGUGACAGGCCUUUUUUUCAACUAGAUUAUUUCUAUUCCUACUGAGGAAAAAACUAUUUUAAAGCAUAUUUUACAAAAAGAAAAGAAAAAAGGUUUGACAUCAUUGCCAAUUGUUCUGCAACUUGUUUAAGUUCUGUUUUUAAAGAUAUUAUUAUUAUUAUUAUUAGGAGGUUAAAUUAUAUAUAUUAUAUUGUGUGACAUGUAAUUUGAAACUAAAGUACAUUCAUGUUAGUUUUACCAGUCAAAUGCAUCAGUUAUAAUCACAGCCAUUUAUUCAUCCCAUUACACCUCCUGAACUCAGGCUAGAAUUGUGUUUUUGUGUAUUUUCAACGUUAUCACAAUCCAAGACAUUUGAACUAUUAAAAAUAAAGUUACAUCUCGGCUUAUCUCUUAUUGGUAUUCACAUUAUCUCAUGAUCAUGGAAUUAACAACAAAUUAAAUAGUGCUUGUAACGGAGCUCCUUGUACUCCGACUGAAUACCCUCCGUUGACGGAUGCUCCUAGCGCUUCCUGAGGACUCCAAGCGCUGCAGCAGACACCACAACCACUGCAGACUCCGCAACCGCCGUAUCUUGACUGGAGUCUCGCCGUCUUCCUUCCACCCUGGAUCAGCUUCUGUCCUCCAGGACUGUGUGGGAAAGAACUCUUCCUUCCACCCUGUACGAACCUCCAGCAUCCAGGACUGUGUGGUGAAGACCCCUCCUCCAAGGAGAGCGUGUCAGGAACAAGCUCUUAAAAGAGCUAAGUGACUCAAGCUCAGGGGAGCAUGCCAAUCCCCAGUGUGAUUAUAACAGCUCCCUCGAAUAACGAGACAAGGCUACGUUUAGAGGGAUCAAGAAGAACUGUCAAAACCUUUAUUCCCUUGGGACCAGCCAAUAGGGUCACCACAAUAACAUUGUUGUAAAAACACAAUAAAAUCCCAAACAGUCAAACCAAAUCAAGCAACACACAGUGACUUAUCACAACACAAUGGCACAUUUUUAAAGGGGUAUGGGGAGACAAUAUUUAACAGUAAAUAUCUCACCUGCCUGCAGAAUUAGCAAUAUGCAAAUCCACCUGAAUAUGCAAAUGAACCAGUCUUGCAAUUCAGGUAGUGCAUAUUGCUGUUGCUACCAACAGAGGGCACUAGACAAGUUACAUAGCCAAACCCACCUAGUUGGUAGCAAACCUCAGCAAUACAAGAGAGCAGGCAAUACAUUACACAGUACACACACACACACACACUAUAAACAAUUACAUUACACACACCCUGCACCUAUAAUGGGUACAGGGUGACUAAAACAUAAGAUAAAUAAAGCAGCCUACAUAAAUAGUCUGUCUGAAGGUAUACUAGGGGCUUUAAAGCCAGAUACAUGAAAAAGUCAUAGUCACAGGGGAGGAGGCUGGCAAGUAGGCCUCUCCAGGACCAAGUGGCGAAGGGCACUUCGUCACAGUGCUCUUUGUGGUUACAUAAAAUAUUGAAUGUUAUUAUUCUUAAUAAUCCUUAUUUUGUUUCCACAGUAAUAAAAUUACAUCCACACUUUUGCAUGCCUAGACAUUUACAAACAAAACACAAUAACACACCAGAAACAGUUGAGAGAAGAUUGAGUUAAAUAAUAGAAGCAUGUACCUAUCCUAUCCAAAUUAUAGAUUAGAUUAUUAUAAAAAUAACUCUCUUUUAAUUAUUAGAGCUGAAAAACGUAAAUGCUUUUUGAAGACAACAUUCUCGUAUUCUUUUGUUUUUAGCUGAUGAGGUAUUAAUCCAACUUAGUCUGUUUUUCAUCUUAAAUUGGAAAAUAAUUUGAUCUUUCCUUUGGAUUUCUUAAUUUUUUGGGAUUGUUUCUAACGUUCACCCUUUUAAAAAACUAUUGGCUCCCUUGCCACCUUUGAUUUCCUCUCUGACACAAUCAAGAUCCCUUUCAGUAAAACUAUCAUUGUUGCAGAAAUUUAACGCCCACCUAGCUUCCUAGUGUAUUACUUUUAGACAUAGCCCUAUUCCUUUGUGAAACUGUAGCUCAAAACCAAAAAAGUGAACUGUUGAUUUUUGGAGAUGUUAAUAAUGUUAAUAAAGGGACACACCUGCACUGGGUUAUGAAAUAUAUGUAUUGAACUUUAAAUAUCUGAUGUGUUGUAGGAUUUUAUCUUUGUGAUAUGAAUAUUAUAAGUUUUGUAUUAGUUGAAAUUAAUUUCCUUUUAAAAUACUUUCAGACACAAGAACUGAGAGAUCCUAUUUAUUUGUUUACCAAUGUUCACCACAUAUGGUUCUUGUUGAGAUAAUGAUUGAUGAAAGCCUGUUGAUAUUACCUUUUGACCUAGUAUUGCAAGCAAGACUCCCAUGUGUAUUAGGAAGUUUCUUUUUGAAGAAAUUCAUUUAAUCAUGUAAACAGAAAGACCUUCGUGUAAAUUAUAUUUUACCCCCCAAGUAUAAACAUUUGUAUAAAACACAAAAUGGAGAAAUAAAGUAAACAGAGUGCAGGUCAGGAGUCUGGAUACAAGUCAAGGGCUCAUGAGCUGCACCACUGUAACCACCUAAUAGGGAGCUCCAAUGAGGACACUAGGGGAACUGGAACGUAGAUGCUAGUUAGUAUUCCCCUGGGCACCAUUUAGUAUGUCUCCCUUUUUUCAAGUUAUACUUUUUGUUUGCAUAUCCCUUUUUAUCCUUAGAUUGAUUAAAGGGAGGGCCCCAUUCCUCAUUUCUUAAACAGUGGAGCUCUCCUGAUGUUAGUUUCCCCUUGUGGGACUCUAUACAUCACCUACCUCUAUUUCCUAACCAUUUGUAUAAUGUCUGGCUCUAAUCAGAGAUUGGACAGAAUGGUUAAGCCACAACCUUUUUCUAUGAUGGCCACAUAUUUUAAAGUGUCAGGUAACCUUAUGUGUACGCCUCGUGAGUAACUGAAUUUUAGACAUAUACAAACAUUUACAGUUAGAAAUUCCUCACCAAUACUUCUAACAACAAAAAUGAAUAUUAUCUUGAAGUGCUUACACAUUGCUGUAUUGGUCCAGAUGUGUGCAAAGACUUUGUGUUAUUUUCUCAUGGUGUGUAUGUUUGAAUAAAUAUACAUUUUUGGCUGCAAUACAAUCUGAUUUGAUUAUUGGAACUUUGGUGUGACAAACAUCUCAGGAACAGCUAAUUUCCUACAUUUAAUAAUGGAGAAUGUGGGCAGGAUUUAAGUCUGUACAUAAAAACUGUUUAAGAUCCUGCAAAAUAAAUUGUAUCAUCCUAAUUUAAAAGAAUGAUGUAUACAUAUAGUACAGGAGUGUCUCAUAUGUGCUCAAUUUAAUCCAAGACCUAAAGACUAGAAACCAAAGUUACAGAGAGUAUCUGUGGCAAAACGACCAUGGAACUCUAUUUAAAUUGUUUUACAUUAACAUUUAAAUUGAAAAAUAAACGCUUGUAGUUAAAGGGAGUAGUUGGGUAACAUAUUUACUAGGAGUAUUAAUGUAUAUUCAUGCAACUCCAAACUCUAAAACGCAAGUGUCACCUCAUGAGUUAAUGACAGGCAGAACAAUGCCAAUCACUUUCCCCAAUGAAUCUUUUGUUCCAAGUACUUUCAAAUUUGCAUCAGGACAUGCUGAAUAGUUGAAAGUAUUACAGGAACAGCUGCAAUCAGUUUUAAAAUGUGCUGCUUCAAAUAUUGUCUCUUCUGGUAAACAAUGUGUUAAAGGGAUACUGUAGUUCCAGGAAUACAAAGCUGCAUUCCUGGCACUACCGAUUCCUCUACCUCCCCCUUGCCCUGCGCCCCCUUCCCUAGUAAAUAGAGGGUUAAAAACCCUUUAUUUACUUAACUUAUCCCAGUGCCGAUAUUCCUCGGUGCUGUGUGGAAGCUCCGCCCCCUCCUCCACCCUGCGACAAGCAGGGUCUAAUGCGCAUGUGUGGCAAACGCCGCACGCGCAUAAGACCUCCCCUUCGGAAAGCAUUGAAUCAAUGCUUUGUUAUGGGGAAAAUCUGACGUCCUCAUGUAGAGGGUGAGGACGUCCAGCGUUAGAUAAAGGACCAAAAGUCUGUUACGAUUCUGGAAGCGCCCCCAGUUACUCUCUGGUAGACAGCCACUGAAGGCAGACCUAGAGCUGCAAUAUAAACAUUGCAGUCAUCUAUUGUGAUUUGCUAGCUUAAAAGGGAGAACUUGACAAUCAGUUACAAGUGUUUAUACUUGAUAUAGAAAGUCUGAGGGAGAGUAUGACAUGAAAAUAAGCUGCACUAUAGAAUGAGGAUAAACUGCUACUCAGUACAAAGAAACAAUAGUAGUACUAUAAAAAAUAAAUAUAAUAAAAAUAAAAAUAAACCAUCAUAGACAGAAACUACCCGUAGUUACUCCUCUGUGGUAACAUAUGAGCAAUUAAAAUAGCCAUUUGAUAAUCAGAUAUUAGCUAAUAGCAGUCAAUUGGACCUCACAAGUCCGUCAAAUGGACGUCAUAAGGUUGAGCAUCUAUGAAACUGCAGGAAUAUUGCAAAGUACGGGCACAAACAAGGUCAAUUGAGUUAUCUUCUCCAUAUCCCAUCAAUGGGGAGAUCUGGUUGUAACCCCUCCAGGAUUAUUAGUGUACAGAGGAGUCCCUAGUCUUCUUAGGAAAGCAUUCACUUCUGAAGAGUACCUAAUAUAAUGUAUGGCAUCCUCAUGUGUGAUCAUGGGAAGUUUAGAAUGUGAUGCCUUAGGGUCUCAGACUUAUGGUCAUGCUUCAAUAAUUGUCUCCAGGCCAGAGUGAUUUGUGUCAAAUUAAAUGUUAGCAAAUUAAAUGUUUCAAAAGAAUAUCCUGACUGUUCUUAGACAGUCAGGAAUUGUACAAAUACAUAACUCAAAGUCUCUAUGUAAGAAUUUGAGUGGCUUAAGAAACUUAUACUAGUGUGUGAAAAAAAUCUAUUAAUGCUAGUGGAGUUUGUUUGUUUAUGAGAUAAAACAGUUCAUAAUAGGCAUGGAAUAAAAUUUGUCCAUUCUUCCAAAAAAAAUUCCUCUUGUACCCCACACAUUUUUUAAGCAACCCACAUUCUCCACCAGGCACUCCCUGUGAUGGAUGAAAGUGAACAGAUUUGAGAUUUGCCUUUUCCAGAUAUCACCACAGUCCUUCAAUGUUGCCUGUUGUCCCACAGUAGGGCUUUAAUUUCCCUUUUGUAUUUGGUCUUCCUUAUUAUCCUUUAGCAUGAUGGCAACUAUGUUGUGGUAGGUGAUUAGAUGGAUCCCGCCCAAGAAGAACUUCUCUUUUGACUUAAUGUGCCAUUUUAAGCACAAGGCGGCUGCAUAAGCAUAAUAUCUAUACGUUGUGAACUAGGGUCAGGAUCUGAUACCGCUGUUAAGAGCAUUCCCCAAUCCUGUCAAGUUAAUAUUUAAGCUUCUGAAAACAGAUAAAUACAGGUAAAUGUGUUUUUUGCUGCCAAAAUACUGAGAAUCUUGGAUCCCAAACAAUAUCUGGUCUGCUGGAAAUUACCUCCACCCACCUACAUGUAGUUUUAGAGGUUACAAUACUGUUUCAUUAGUAUUAUCUUGUAAUAUCUUGGGUCAAACCACCUUCAGUAAAAAAAGCUAUAAGUAUUUUGAUGUCACAACUUCAACUUCCUGAGGGACUAUAUGUAAAAAAUAAUAUAAUUCCCCUUAUUACUUACUCAUUAUUUGUUUUUAUAGGAACCACUGUUAUAUUAAUAAUUUAUUUACUGAACUGUGGUUUAAAAUAAGUGUUUGCAUUUUGCAUGUAAAGUAAAAGGUAUGAAACCACAACUUAAAUAGAAAAUGAAAAAAUAUAGACCUUAAAGAUAAUUUUUGAUGCUUUUAUUAUAUUCUUAAUGACAUGCUGAUUUAGUAAUAAAUACAACUUAUUAGAAAUGGUGAAGUCUCCUGAAUGAGCCAAUUCUUGGGCUCAUGGCACCCCAGUCAGUAUAUCUUUUGUACUCUCCAGGUCUCAGGUAAUACUGGCGUCCUUUGUAAUUUGGUUCCUCAUAGAACAUCCAGUAGCCAUCAAUCACCUGGCAGGAGUGGAUGUCAUGGUAACGGAAUCUCUCAUUGACAUUAACACAAUCUUCAGUGAACUCCAUCAUCUGACCUCGGAAAUCCUCCCUCUCAUAGACCUUUACUCUGAAUGAUCCAUGGUGCUUUACGAAGAAAAAAAUAUUUAUAAACAAGAGUAAAAUAAUUGUAUAAUUGCAUGUAAACAUCAAAAAUCUAUACAGGAAUAUAUAUAUAUAUAUAUAUAUAUAUAUAUAUAUAUAUAUAUAUAUAUAUAUAUAUAUAUAUAUAUAUAUAUAUAUACAUAUAUAUAUAUAUAUAUAUAAAUAUAUAUAUAUAUAUAUAUAUAUAUAUUUAUCCAUGUUAACCACCUGUUACCUGACAAUGGAAUUUUGAAUUGAAGAUAUAUUCCAUAAAAUAAUGAAUAAUAGUCAAAAAAGGUCAUAUUUGCAAAGGUAAACCUAUAAUAAUUGAUAAUUGGAAAAUAAUGUUUUUUUGUACUGCAUCAUAUUUAUGUAAGGUUCUUAACUAUUUUGGUAAAUAUCUUUACCUGUGGGCUAAUACGACAAGAUCUGAUGGAGUCAUUGAAACCCAUCCAUUGCUGGAAAUUAGGAUAUUCUCCCCUGCUAAGGUAAUACUGGCGUCCUCUAUAGUUGGGGUGCUCAUACAGAAUCCAGUUUCCACUUUCCACUCGGAUGGAAUUACAGCGCUGAAAAUAUGAGGACAUAUCUGGACACUCAGAGUUGCACUCAUAAGAGCGGCCCUGGAAGUUACGAUCCUCGUAGAAGACAAUCUGUGAAACAACCAUGCAUUUGAACAUUUUAGAUUUUUUAGUUUGUUAUUGUUUUAGUGGUUAAUAAUUUCAUUUAAAAAAUAGUUUCUGGUUUGAUUACUUGAUGCUAUAGAUUCCUAAAAACAUUUACUAUUAUCCUGUUCAAAUAAUAAAGUGUAGGUGUUAAACAUAUAAGUUUAGGACCGAAUUGGAAUAUAUGUUUUUGGUACAUUUUGUGUUUUUUUAGAUUGGUGAACUUGCAUUCACUUUCACAUAAUUAUAGCAAUUUAUUACGGUUAAUAGUGGCAUUCACUAGAAAGUACUUUCAAAAACUGAAAAAAUCUUACUCUUGAGUCUGAAAAAAGUAAACAUGUGAAGCAUGUGUUCUGAUGAAUUUGUAUUUGAUGAGGCGGCAAAUGUCCAAAACUAGUUUAUGGAAUAUUAUGUUGUCAUGUUUCUGGCCUAGAUAAACUCACCAGGAUAUAUUGUAUAGGAUAAAGUUUGCUGGCAUUCAAUGUAAGCAUUUUAAACUUGAAUUUGCUUUGGUUCAUUUAAAAAAAAAAAAAUCUGUUUAUUGUUUCCAAAAUUUCUUGUGUUGCAAAUAUUUACAAUAUUCAGAUCAUCUUACCUUUCCCAUUUUCAGUGAUGGUUGAUCUGCUCAUGCAAGUUGUGCUGUUACAUAGCAUGAAGAGCCUUUAUAUACUGUUUACCUUGCUGAUGCUGAAAACAGUACUGAGCUGGUUUCUUUUCAUCAGUAAUUAGAAUGUAUAGCUAUUGUAUACUCUGCUUCAGUAUAGCUAUUGUAUUGUAUCCUAUAUGCUUUUUUGUUUACCUGCUGGCACAAGCAUUUCCUGGUUCUAAGGGAGAUCUAGAGAAAAUGUGACAGGCCUUUUUUUCAACUAGAUUAUUUCUAUUCCUACUGAGGAAAAAACUACUUUAAAGCAUAUUUUACAAAAAGAAAAGAAAAAAGGUUUGACAUCAUUGCCAAUUGUUCUGCAACUUGUUUAAGUUCUGUUUUUAAAGAUAUUAUUAUUAUUAUUAUUAGGAGGUUAAAUUAUAUAUAUUAUAUUGUGUGACAUGUAAUUUGAAACUAAAGUACAUUCAUGUUAGUUUUACCAGUCAAAUGCAUCAGUUAUAAUCACAGCCAUUUAUUCAUCCCAUUACACCUCCUGAACUCAGGCUAGAAUUGUGUUUUUGUGUAUUUUCAACGUUAUCACAAUCCAAGACAUUUGAACUAUUAAAAAUAAAGUUACAUCUCGGCUUAUCUCUUAUUGGUAUUCACAUUAUCUCAUGAUCAUGGAAUUAACAACAAAUUAAAUAGUGCUUGUAACGGAGCUCCUUGUACUCCGACUGAAUACCCUCCGUUGACGGAUGCUCCUAGCGCUUCCUGAGGACUCCAAGCGCUGCAGCAGACACCACAACCACCGCAGACUCCGCAACCACCGUAUCUUGACUGGAGUCUCGCCCUCUUCCUUCCACCCUGGAUCAGCUUCUGUCCUCCAGGACUGUGUGGGAAAGAACUCUUCCUUCCACCCUGUACGAACCUCCAGCAUCCAGGACUNNNNNNNNNNNNNNNNNNNNNNNNNNNNNNNNNNNNNNNNNNNNNNNNNNNNNNNNNNNNNNNNNNNNNNNNNNNNNNNNNNNNNNNNNNNNNNNNNNNNAUGUUUAUGCAAAAGCACAUGCUUUGAAUGUAAGAAAUAAACAAAAAAAAUGAAAAAACAAGGCAACAUUUAGUAUCCACCGACUUUUACAAAAUAAUACUAAUUAAACAGUAUUGUAACCUCUAAAAUUACAUGUAGGUGGGUGGAGGUAAUUUCCAGCAGAUCAGAUAUUGUUUGGGAUCCAAGAUUCUCAGUAUUUUGGCAGCAAAAAAAACACAUUUACCUGUAUUUAUCUGUUUUCAGAAGCUUAAAUAUUAACUUGACAGGAUUGGGGAAUGCUCUUAACAGCGGUAUCAGAUCCUGACCCAAGUUCACAACUUAUAGAUAUUAUGCUUAUGCAGCCACCUUGUACUUAAAAUGGCACAUUAAGACUAAANNNNNNNNNNNNNNNNNNNNNNNNNNNNNNNNNNNNNNNNNNNNNNNNNNNNNNNNNNNNNNNNNNNNNNNNNNNNNNNNNNNNNNNNNNNNNNNNNNNNGAGAAGUUCUUCUUGGGCGGGAUCCGUCUAAUCACCUACCACAACAUAGUUGCCAUCAUGCUAAAGGAUAAUAAGGAAGACCAAAUACAAAAGGGAAAUUAAAGCCCUACUGCGGGACAACAGGCAACAUUGAAGGACUGUGGUGAUAUCUGGAAAAGGCAAAUCUCAAAUCUGUUCACUUUCAUCCAUCACAGGGUGUGUCUGGUGGAGAAUGUGGGUUGCUUAAAAAAUGUGUGGGGUAUAAGAGGAAUUUUUUUUGGAAGAAUGGACAAAUUUUAUUCCAUGCCUAUUAUGAACUGUUUUAUCUCAUAAACAAACAAACUCCACUAGCAUUAAUGGAUUUUUUCACAUACUAGUAUAAGUUUCUUAAGCCACUGAAAUUCUUACAUAGAGACUUUGAGUUAUGUAUUUGUACAAUUCCUGACUGUCUAAGAACAGUCAGGAUAUUCUUUUGAAACCCAUUUGCUAACAUUUAAUUUGACACAAAUCUCUCUGGCCUGGAGACAAUUAUUGAAGCAUGACCAUAAGUCUGAGACCCUAAGGCAUCACAUUCUAAACUUCCCAUGAUCACACAUGAGGAUGCCAUACAUUAUAUUAGGUACUUGUCAGAAGUGAAUGCUUUCCUAAGAAGACUAGGGACUCCUCUGUACACUAAUAAUCCUGGAGGGGUUACAACCAGAUCUCCCCAUUGAUGGGAUAUGGAGAAGUUAACUCAAUUGACCUUGUUUGUGCCCGUACUUUGCAAUAUUCCUGCAGUUUCAUAGAUGCUUAACCUUAUGACGUCCAUUAGACGGACUUGUGAGGUCCAAUUGACUGCUAUUAGCUAAUAUCUGAUUAUCAAAUGGCUAUUUUAAUUGCUCAUAUGUCACCACAGAGGAGUAACUACGGGUAAUUUCUGUCUAUGAUGGUUUAUUUUUAUUUUUAUUAUAUUUAUUUUUUAUAGUACUACUAUUGUUUCUUUGUACUGAGUAGCAGUUUAUCCUCAUUCUAUAGUGAAGCUUAUUUUCAUGUCAUACUCUCCCUCAGACUUUCUAUAUCAAGUAUAAACACUUGUAACUGAUUGUCAAGUUCUCCCUUUUAAGCUAGAAAAUCACAAUAGAGAACUGCAAUGUUUAUAUUGCAGCGCUAGGUCUGCCUUCAGUGGCUGGCUACCAGAGAGUAACCGGGGGCGCUUCCAGAAUCGUAACAGACUUUUGGUCCAUUAUCUAACGCUGGACGUCCUCACGCUCUACAUGAGGACAUCAGAUUUUCCCCAUAACAAAGCAUUGAUUCAAUGCUUUCCGAAGGAUAGGUCUAAUGCGCGUGCGGCGUUUGCCACACAUGUGCAUUAGACCCUGCUUGUCGCGGGGUGGAGGAGGGGGCGGAGCUUCCACACAGCACCGAGGAAUAUCAGCACUGGGAUAAGUUAAGUAAAUAAAGGGUUUUUAACCCUCUAUUUACUAGGGAAGGGGGCACAAGGCAAGGGGGAGGUAGAGGAAUCGGUAGUGCCAGGAAUGCAGCUUUGUAUUCCUGGCACUACAGUAUCAUUUUAACCCAUUGUUUACCAGAAGAGACAAUAUUUGAAGCAGCAAAUUUUAAAACUGAUUGCAGCUGUUCCUGUAAUACUUUCAACUAUUCAGCAUGUCCUGAUGCAAAUUUGAAAGUACUUGGAACAAAAGGUUCAUUGGGGAAAGUGAUUGGCAUUGUUCUGCCUGUCAUUAACUCAUGAGGUGACACUUGCGUUUUAGAGUUUGGAGUUGCACGAAUAUACAUUAAUACUCCUAGUAAAUGUGUUACCCAACUACUCCCUUUAACUACAAGCGUUUAUUUUUCAAUUUAAAUGUUAAUGUAAAACAAUUUAAAUACAGUUCCGUGGUCCUUUUUUGCCACAGAUACUCUCUGUAACUUUGGUUUCUAGUCUUUAGGUCUUGGAUUAAAUUGAGCACAUAUGAGACACUCCUGUACUAUAUGUAUACAUCAUUCUUUUAAAUUAGGAUGAUACAAUUUAUUUUGCAGGAUCUUAAACAGUUUUUCUGUACAGACUUAAAUCCUGCUCACAUUCUCCAUCAUUAAAUGUAGGAAAUUAGCUGUUCCUGAGAUGUUUGUCACACCAAAGUUCCAAUAAUCAAAUCAGAUUGUAUUACAGCCAAAAAUGUAUAUUUAUUCAAACAUACACACCAUGAGAAAAUAACACAAACAGUGGCGUACAUACCAGGGUCGCAGGGGUCGCGGUUGCGACCGGGCCCGGCCCACCAGGGGGCCCGGCCGCCCCUGCGACCCGGUAUGUAGCCACAGGGCCAGCCUCUUCCCCUGGGGGGCCCAGGAGCCGACCGACCCAGGGCCCCUCUGAGGCUGGCCCUGCUGACACCCGGAUGGCCGGUCGGGCAGGCGGGCGGGCGCGCGAGGGAGCACUCAGUGCUUCCUCUUCAGCUCCCUCGCGCACCGCAAUGAUACCGGAGCCGGCAGAUGACGUCAUCUUCCGGCUCCGGCAUCCCUACGCGGCGCGCGAGGGAGCUGAAGAGGAAGCACUGAGUGCUCCCUCGCGCGCCCGCCCGCCUGCCCGACCGGCCAUCCGCCUGCCUGGGGUCAGCAGCACCACUGGACCCCAGGGAAUCCCCCCAGCACUCCAAAAGGUAAGGAGGCUGGGGGGAUUACAUUUGAAAAAAAAAAUGUGUUAGUGUGUGUGUGUUAGUGUGUGUGUGUUAGAGUGUGUGUGUGUUAGAGUGUGUGUGUGUUGGUGUGUGUGUUGGGGGUGUGUGUGUGUUGGGGGUGUGUGUGUUGGUGUGUGUGUGGGGGUGUGUGUGUGUUAGAGUGUGUGUUAGUGUGUGUGUGUUAGUGUGUGUGUGUUAGAGUGUGUGUGUGUUAGAGUGUGUGUGUGUUAGUGUGUGUGUAUUAGAGUGUGUGUGUGUUAGUGUGUCAGUGUUUGUUUGUGUUAGUGCGUGUGUUAGUGUGUGUGUCAGUGAAUGUGUCUGUUAUUGGGUGUGUGUCUGCUAGUGAGUGUAUUACUGUGUAUGUCUGUUACUGAGUGUGUUUGAUGUCUGUUAGUGAGUGUGUGUUUGUCAGUGAAAGUGUAUGUAUGUCUGUCGCUGAGUGUGUCUCUGUCAGUAAAUGUGUGUGUCUGUUAGCUAGUGUGUAUGCGUCUGUUCGUGAGAGUGUGUGUGUGUGUCUUCAGCAUUUACCUUUCUCCAGCGUAGGACUCCCCAGUGUCUGCCACUCAGCUCCGAAAUGCACAUGCGCGGCAAGAGGCGCGCGCGCAUUUAAACCGCCCAUAGGAAAGCAUUACUCAAUGCUUUCCUGUGGACGUUCAGUGUCUUCUCACUGUGAUUUUCACAGUGAGAAUCGCGGAAGCUCCUCUAGCAGCUGUCAAUGAGACAGCCACCAGAGGCUGGAUUAACCCUCAGUGAAACAUAGCCGUUUCUCUGAAACGGCUAUGUUUUCAGCUGCAGGUUAAAACUAGAGGGACCUGGCACCCAGACCACUUCAUUGAGCUGAUGUGAUCUGGGUGUCUGUAGUGGUCCUUUAAGUGUGUGUGCAUACCGCGGUCGCGGGGUUGCAGCCCUGCAACCCCUGCGACCAGGUGCCCGCCACCAUGUGUUGCGAUCCGACCAGUAGCUGAGUAGCUGGCGAGGAAGAGGGGCCACUGAGGGACCCAGCUGAAGUAGUAGCCUUGAGAGGGGGCCCACGGAUCAAUUUUUGCACCGGGGCCCCAUGGGUCAUGUGUACGCCACUGGAGACAAGGCAGGUAUGGAAGCAAAAGCGAGGCUAAAAAAAACUGUAAAAUGUUAUGUGGCAAUGUUUAUUUGCCUUGUCAAGUUGAAAAACUGUGUAGAAUGUUCAAACUUUGGGAGAUGUUCUGUGUGAGAAGGAUGGUGUGCUAUUAUAGUUAGUAUUAUAACUACUUUCUUUUUUCUUUUGAAAUUUUGCGCCUCUAAAAACUUUGCUCCCAGAGCAAUUGCCCAUAUGCCUGUUCCAUGUUAUACCAUCCGAUCAGCUCCUAUGUUUACUUUACAUAAAGACCUGCAUUUGGGGUACCAGCUAUUGAAACCUUCUAGCUCUUUUACUUUUGUUUAUUUUAGUCACAUACCAGAACAUUUAUACCAUUUAGUAAUCAACUUACUAUGACUCCCCCUUCCACCUGCAUUUUUAUGGAGAUAAAAUAUUUUCACCAUACAUACUUUCAAUAUUGAACAGAAUUAAAAUACCUUAAAAUAAUGGAUGGAAAAGUACAAGUGAAAGAGGCAAGAAAAUACAGGCCUAGGGAAUUAUUGCUCUUGAAACACAAACCCAACCUCCUAUUCAUCCCUAAGCUCCUCUGGUUAUUGAUGGCUGGGGAUCAAGGGAGUUGCAUUUAAACAACUACUACAGAUUAACAGGUUGCCAACCCUUGUCCUGCACCUGGCAAUAUUUUUGAUUUAUAAAGUUAGACAGGACUUUCAUUUUUAAAUGAGUGUUACUGUAAAUAGCUUUGAUACGUUUUACAACCCAAACCCUAUUAUUUUUGCAAUUAACCUUUCACACAUCACCCACGGAGUCCAAUUCAUGGGGUAAAGGCAGCUCAACUGCACUCGUGCUAUAAUAAAGUGGUAACCAGAGGUAGGCAGUUUGAUUGUCCUUCACCGUAAAGUACCAUGGUUUCGAAAGUGACGGCACUACGAUAGUUGGAUAUUAUUGUGUUAAAAAUGUGAUAUUUUUCUAGCAGUUGGGUGGUAGGUGUUAUUUUAAAAUAUAUUAAGUUUCCUAGUGGAGAGAAAUGAAACUUUAGUAUAAUACUUAAGAAAGCAGUUCUACUCAUCAACGUUUUACUCAACAAUGUCUACCACCAACACCAUAAUGUAACCACUAGUGCAACCCGAUCAGCAAAGUGGUUUACACUAUCUAAACACAUAGCCUUGUGCAUAAGACUCUAUGAAUAAGGCCAUAUUUCUGUGUUUAUACAAAUGGAUGGAAUACCUGGAAAUUAAACACCUUCUAACAUUUUUUGUUGGAGUUCCAAAAGUAAAACUUUUCUGCCUUGCUUCUUAAAGACAAAAUGAUUAAAGUGCUAAUAGUGGAACUCAACAGGGAAAAGCCAAAGUGAAUUAGUUUGCUGAGACGUGGCAAACAUCAUCUCAUUUUAUAUAUGUUUCAUUAAAAUAAAGCAUGACAGGUUUAUGGGGAAACAGUGCUGUUUUCGAACUCACAAGGAACCUGUUCCUUUGCCAGAACGUGUGCCAUGCAACCCAUUUCAUAGACAAAUAUUUAGGUAGUGAAAAUGUCAUUUCAAAUGACUGGUUAGAAAAUCCUGUAAGCUUUUAAAUGAUCUGCCAAGUCUAGCAGCUUCACAUUUGUGUUUAAAUUCCAGUAGAACGUUAAAUAAUAAUGUGUAAACAUGAAAGACCACUUUCACACUUACAUUCAUUGCAUUUUACUUAACUGCACUUAUCAUAGAUUACUUUAAUAAUUGGAAAUCCUGCUAAGAUAUCUUUCCUCUGACAUAAUGACAAGAGUAACAUGAGAUUAAUUCAAUUUAACGUAGAAUUCAGUUUUACAUAUUCCUUUUAUGUAUUUAAUAUGGUACAAAUAAUCCUAAUAGUUGAGAAAAUACAGGGAGCCUUCUUAAAAGUAGACAAAGUAAAAUAUNNNNNNNNNNNNNNNNNNNNNNNNNNNNNNNNNNNNNNNNNNNNNNNNNNNNNNNNNNNNNNNNNNNNNNNNNNNNNNNNNNNNNNNNNNNNNNNNNNNNACUGCCCCCCAUGCAUACAUACUGCCCCCAAUGCACACAUACUGCCCUCAUACACACAUACUGCUCCCCAUACACACACACUGCCCCCAUACACUGCCGCCCCAUACACACACUUUGCCCACAUUCACACACACACUGCAACUGUUACACACACAUACUGUCCCACACAUACACUGCAUCCCUGACAUACACUGCCCCCCUACUCACACACUACAACCUUCACACACACACACACACACUGCUCACACACUGUCCCCCUCACACACACACACACUACACCCCUUACACAUUGCACCACUCACACACGCCACUGCUCCUAUGCCCUACUACCGCCCCAUUUCCCAGCAGACCUGUUUGACUACUUACUCUAGGAGGGGGUCCCGGCACUAUUGACACCAUAACCACUACACUGAGCUGUAGUAGUUAUUGUGUCUGGAUUAUUUCUUUAAAUAAUCUACAAGUGCCCCUCCCGAGAUCAGGCUCUGGAUCCGCCACUGCUGAGCGAGAGAGUGUGUGUGUGUGUGUGUGUGUGUGUUAUUCCUUAACCCCUUAAGGACCAAACUUCUGGAAUAAAAGGGAAUCAUGACAUGUCACACAUGUCAUGUGUCCUUAAGGGGUUAAAGGGACACAGACAACUUCAACUAAUUGAACAGGACUGGGUGCAGUGUCCCAAUUGUCCCUAUUGCAUUCGUACCAGACAGCCAGACGUUUCCGGAAUUUUAUUGGACUUUUGGUUGUCAUGCUUACCUGUUCCGGAGCUCCCCGAUCCAGCGACGGGUCAGAUGCUGCACACUCUGCUUGCGCGUCUACUUGGCUUGUAUGCUGUUCUCCCCUACGUUUGACCGUGGCUUUCUCCUUGGCUACUCUUUACAUUAAAUCCGGACAUUCUAAGGCCCGGCAAUAUGUUAUACCUUUCCUUUAGCAGAUUAGGGUCUGUGUGUUUUGGGUUUGUUACGGUACCUCCAGUACUGAAAUGUACAAACCGCCGUUUAGCGAGUAUUCCCCGUUCGCAAUAAUGUGGUCGGGUAGCGGGUAUAAUAAAACCAGGCGAACCGCCAGCUAGGGAACACUCCAAACUCCCGAACGGUACCUGUACGGCUGAUUCCCUUCGCAAGCCGCAAAUCCACGAACGGCAAUUAAUAACCGAACGACAAUAUCUCCCAAGCGGCAAAUAAUCCAAGUAAGCAGUCUCUCGCCGCUGGUAUCCAAAUCCCCCCAAUAACGAGACCAAGCUCCGCUUUGAGGGUAAAACACGAACUGGUUUACUGUGGGCUACCUGCCGGUAUUUAUGCAGGUCUCCCCGCGGUGAGAACUGAAAUCACAGAGGGACAUGGGGACAUUCUGGACAUACAUCCCCACAAUAUUCCCAGCAUGCAGUACAGUUCCCUCCCCUCUGCUCGGGGGAUAAUUGGGAAGUAAUUCAAUUAUCUCCCCGAGCAGGGGCAAUCGCCAUUUUAGAUACAAGUUACAAAAACACACAAAAAUCCAUAACUUCAUAACUGCUGAACAUUUUACAUCAGUCUUGCAUAUCCCCAGAUAGCCUGGAUCUGAGGGCACAUUAUUGGAGAAUAGCGCUCAGAUCCCAUUCGCACAGUUCAAUCGCCAUGGAGUCAAAGUCUAUUUCAGUUCUUCGGUAUGCGAUUGACUCCAUGGGGCGGCUAUCUGGGUUAAGUCCAUUCGUGUGGUUGAAUCUCCCGAACGGCUGGCAUUCGUAUACUUUUGUCGAUUGAGAAGGGGAGGUCGACGGCUUCAGCGGUGUUCGGUUGAAAAAGUGUCCGUUUUCCGAUCCAUGAAAUAAUCGUCGAACACAGCUGGUCGUUCGCAUGGACAAAAUGGCCGCCGCCUCGUGGUCGACAUACGAACGACGACCACCCGGCAUUCGGUUUUAAUUGAGAAGUGUCUGUGGUUAACAGCAACGUUCUAAUUGGGAUCAAUAGGUUAACCAGCAGCACACUUCUCUUCUGGGUGGCCAUCUGUUCGGUAGUUCCGUUCGACAAAACCGACAUUCCCUUGAAUAAAGCAUACGAAUGGGGGAAUUCAUGUAACCGGCAAAACAGGCGAACACAGCAUUUAUAAUCCAGACAGAUGGGUCUGUCACACGGCUCCCCCCUUGUGGAACACUCCGGCAGACCCGGCUUGACCCUUUGGCGGGUCAACUUGGGGAUGACCGGACUGGGAAGAAGUAGGGACGUCUGUUUGCCGGGACAACCCAUCCGCGUUCCCAUUCUGCUUACCGGGUCGGUAGCUGAUGGUGAAGUUGUAAGGCUGUAGUGCCAAACUCCACCUCAGCAGUCUGCCAUUGUCUCCUGAGACCCGGUUAAGCCAGACAAGGGGGUUAUGGUCCGUAAUAAGGGAGAAUUCUUGUCCGUAUAAAUAUGGGCUCAAUUUCUUCAGUGCCCAGACCAGGGCUAAACACUCUUUCUCCACUGCCGCAUAACUUACUUCCCGGGGUAGUAACUUUCUGCUUAAGUAUGCGACAGGGUGCUCUCCUCCAUCUUCCCCGACCUGGCUUAGCACAGCCCCCAGUCCAUACAUGGAAGCAUCUGUAUGUACAAGAAAACGUUUGUUAGGGACUGGGGCAGCCAGGACAGGGGCAUUCACAAGAGCCUGCUUAAGUGCUUGAAACGCGGCUUCACAAGCUGGAGACCACAGGACCUGCUUAGGCAAAUUCUUCUUAGUCAGGUCAGUCAAGGGCUUAGCAACCGUACUGUAGUCAGGGACAAAACGUCGGUAAUACCCUGCCGUCCCCAAGAAGGCCAGCACUUGGGUCUUGGUGAUAGGUGUGGGCCAGUUAGCCACCGCCUCUACCUUGGCUGGCUCCGGUCUCUGGCUCCCACAGCCUACUCUGUGACCCAAGUACUGUACUUCUGCCAUGCCUAGAUGGCACUUGUCUGGCUUCAAGGUCAGGCCUGCGGCCCGAAUCUUGUCCAGCACCACCCCCACGUGUACUAAAUGGUCUUCCCAGGACUCACUGUAGAUCGCAAUGUCAUCGAGGUAUGCACAUGCAAAAUCCUGGAAGCCAUCGAGGAGCCUAUCCACCAUACGCUGGAACGUAGCCGGAGCAUUCUUCAUCCCAAAUGGCAUAACCUUAACUUGGUACAGGCCAAAUGGGGUGGCGAAUGCCGACUUAGGGAUAGCAUCCUCGGCCAGGGGGAUCUGCCAAUAACCUUUACACAGGUCAAUGGUGGUCAAGUAGCGCCCCCUGGCAAUGCGGUCUAAUAACUCGUCUACCCGGGGCAUAGGGUAGGCGUCAGUGGUGGUCCGCUCGUUGAGCCGCCUGUAGUCCACACAGAACCGGGUGGUCCCAUCUUUCUUAGGCACCAGAACUACAGGCGAGGCCCAAGGACUGUCUGAGUGUUCGAUAACCCCCAGCCUGGUCAUCUCCUGUAUCUCCGUCCGCAUUCCUUCUCGGACUGCUUCAGGGAUACGGUACGGGGGUUGUCGUAGGGGGUUCUGUCCGGGUGUCUCGACCUUGUGUACAGCUAGGGUAGUGUACCCGGGUUCUUGGGAGAACGUCGCCUGCUUCUCCCACAGUAACUGUCUCGCCUGUACCUUCUCUGCCGGGUUUAGCCGGUCCCCUAGCUGUACAAGACUAGUAAGGUCUGUCUGGAGGUCUCUCUCUAGCAAGUCAGGUAACGGUAAGUUCUCGGGGUCGUCAGUAGCUGGGGCACAUACCGCCGCAACAUCCUCUGGUCGUUCCUGAUACUCCUUCAGCAUGUUCACAUGGAAGGAUCGCUGAAUCCUUUCAUCUGAACAGCUGGCUAUAAGGUAGGUAGUAUCACACACCUGAGCUAACACUUUAUAUGGGCCCUGCCAAGAUGCUUGCAUCUUGUCUGUCUUCACAGGCUUGAGUACCAGAACCUUCUGCCCAACCUGGAAGACCCGCUGUCGGGCACCCCGAUCGUACCACCGUUUCUGUCUCCCCUGGGCCGCCUGGAGAUUCUCCCUGACCAUCAGGGAUAGUUUCUCCAUGCGGUCCCGGAGUUCCAGGACAUAUGGUACUAUGGGGGUCCCUUCUUGCUCUGUCUCCCCCUCCCAGUGUCCUCUAAUGAGAUCUAGGGGUCCACGGACCCUUCUCCCAUAGAGUAACUCAAAAGGGGAGAACCCAGUAGAUUCCUGGGGCACCUCUCUGUAUGCAAAUAGCAGAUGAGGCAGGAAUCGCUCCCAAUCUCUGCAAGUGUCAGUAAAGGUCCUCAACAUCUGUUUGAGGGUGCCAUUAAAUCGCUCGCAGAGACCGUUAGUCUGUGGGUGAUACGGUGAGCUAAGCAGAGGUUUAAUACCGCACACCUUCCACAGCUGCUGGGUAAGCACAGCGGUGAACUGGGUUCCCUGAUCGGAGAGAAUCUCCUGAGGGAACCCGACCCUAGUGAAGAUUUUAACCAGGGCAUCAGCAACCGUCUCUGCCUCUAUAUUAGACAGCGCUACUGCCUCUGGAUAACGUGUGGCAUAGUCUACCACGGUGAGAAUAUACUUCUUACCUGAUGGGCUAGCCCUGGCCAGUGGACCCACAAUGUCAACGGCUAUGCGGGAAAAGGGUUCUCCAAUAAUAGGCAUCGACUGAAGCCUAGCUUUUGGGUGAUCCCCCCGCUUACCUACCCGUUGACAAGUGUCACACGUGCUACAGUAAACCCGCACAUCUUGGUUAAAAAUUGGGCCAGAAGAAAUUUUGUGUGAUCCUAUGAGCUGUGCGGCGGGAACCUAGAUGGCCUGCUAAUGGCACAUCGUGCCCAGUCCGCAGAAUCUCCUGCCGGUAUUUUGCAGGCACCACUAGCUGUCGAUUCUGCGGGGGGGGGUACUCGGCUUCUGGGACGGUUUCGGGAUCCUGUACAAUCUAUCCCCCACCCACUCGUAGUGCUCCCCAUCUACUCCUUCUCCCCCAGAAUCGGCCCUGGCCCUGUACUUGGCUAGCGUCGGGUCUUCCCUUGUUUCCCUCCCGUACAUCUCUGGGGUAUCCCAGCCUAAAGGGGCCUGGUCUAAGGUACAAGUUGGGGUAGAGAGUCUUACCUGGGUCUCAGCAGCAGGUGGGCCGGUCUCGGCGGCACGGGUCUGGGCACGGGUCGUGACAGCAUCCACUUCAGCAGGACCCAUGGGAGCGUAGGCGGAAACAAGGGGCGCCAAGUCAUUGCCAAGGAGGACAUCCGCGGGUAAGUCCUUCAUGACCCCCACAUUCACAUGUCUGGCGCCCACUCCCCAAUCCAAAUGACGAAACACGGCACCCCCGGCCACUCGCACUGCGACCGUGUCCCCUGUAUGUUGGGCUUCGGAUACCAGGUGCUUCUGGAGCAAGGUCAUGGUUGCCCCGGUAUCCCGUAGACCACUGACCUCCUUCCCGUUGACUUUUACACACUGUCGGUGGUGCUGCCUGUUAUCCCGGUGGGCAGCCUGAACGGGGUCUGCCUCAUGCAGGAUGCCCCAGCACUCUUCUUCCUCUACACAGUGAGCGGCUGGGGUGGGAGGUCGUGGAUUGCCGCCGGCUGGUCUCCUCCAGGACUGGUUCUGGUUGGCGCUGUUCAUCGGACACUCGGGUCGCUUGUGCCCUAGUUGCUUGCACAGGUAGCACCGAAUGGGUUGGGCAUACUCCCGUGAAUUGAACCGAGGUGGCUGUUGGUACGGUGCAGAUGGAGGAGGUGCUGCUGGGCGAUGCAUUGGAGGCUGGUAUAGGUUGGCUGCUGGUGGGGCUGCUGGCCUGUACUCCACUCUGGCGGGAGCCUUGUUGAUGAGACUGUCCAGUUUGCGGGCGUCAGUAUACUCAUCCGCCAGGCGAGCGGCUUCGUGCAGAGUGGAGGGUUUACGGUCCCUUACCCACUCCCUGACCCCGGCUGGCAAUUUAUCGAAACAAUGUUCCAAAAGAAACAUCUGCAGCACCUCUUCUCCGGACACAGCCUGGCACCCCGCCAUCCAGUGGGCGGCUGUGCGAUGCACCUUACAUGCCCAUUCCACGUAUGAGUCCCCAGAGGUCUUGACAGUGUCUCGGAACCUCCUCCGGUACGCCUCAGGUGUAACGGCAUACCGGGAGAGUAAAGCUUCCCUGACGGCCACAUAAUCCCCAAUCUCCUCAUCAGGAAUGGCCCGAAACGCCUCGCUGGCCCGGCCUGAUAACUUGCCGGACAAUAUAGUAACCCAUUCUUCCAGGGGUACCUUGUGUAGGGCACAUUGCCGCUCGAAAUCAGCAAGGUACCCAUCAAUCUCUCCUUCUGUUUCACUGAAGGCUUUAAACGCAGUAAACGGUACCUUUUUCCUAUCUCCCGGGUUUGCUGUGACUGGGGCUGCUGCAGCACCGCUUUGGCGAAGCAGGUUGUCCUCCACAGCUGCCAUGACCCGGUCAAUGGUUUCUGUAGUCGGGUUGGGACCAUAAUGUGCCAGCCUGAUUCUUACCGCCUGGUCAAAGCUUGCCUCCUCGGGGGUUCUGUCAGCUGCGCUGGGUCCAUUGGUUCCCUCUGCCGCUGGUACUCCAUCCAUUUCCAGCAAUAACGCAAUAAUAUCCCUCUUCCUGAGGUUACUGGCUUGUCCCCCUCUUUGCUCCAAUAAAUCCUUUAGGGUAGCCCUCCUCAGGUUUUGGUAUUGUAAUUCCAUUUAGUCCUGGUUGUAGUGGUCUCUUUGGGCGUUGAGGAUCAUCCCACCGCUGCCACCAGUUGUUACGGUACCUCCAGUACUGAAAUGUACAAACCGCCGUUUAGCGAGUAUUCCCCGUUCGCAAUAAUGUGGUCGGGUAGCGGGUAUAAUAAAACCAGGCGAACCGCCAGCCAGGGAACACUCCAAACUCCCGAACGGUACCUGUACGGCUGAUUCCCUUCGCAAGCCGCAAAUCCACGAACGGCAAUUAAUAACCGAACGACAAUAUCUCCCAAGCGGCAAAUAAUCCAAGUAAGCAGUCUCUCGCCGCUGGUAUCCAAAUCCCCCCAAUAACGAGACCAAGCUCCGCUUUGAGGGUAAAACACGAACUGGUUUACUGUGGGCUACCUGCCCGGUAUUUAUGCAGGUCUCCCACUUGGUGGACACUCCCCUAGGGGACCAAAUGGGAGACUGAAAUCACAGAGGGACAUGGGGACAUUCUGGACAUACAUCCCCACAAUAUUCCCAGCAUGCAGUACAGUUCCCUCCCCUCUGCUCGGGGAAUAAUUGGGAAGUAAUUUAAUUAUCUCCCCGAGCAGAGGCAAUCGCCAUUUUAGAUACAAGUUACAAAAACACACAAAAAUCCAUAACUUAAUAACUGCUGAACAUUUUACAUCAGUCUUGCAUAUCCCCAGAUAGCCUGGAUCUGAGGGCACAUUAUUGGAGAAUAGCGCUCAGAUCCCAUUCGCACAGUUCAAUCGCCAUGGAGUCAAAGUCUCUUUCAGUUCUUCGUAUGCGAUUGACUCCAUGGGACGGCUAUCUGGGUUAAGUCCAUUCGUGUGGUUGAAUCUCCCGAACGGCUGGCAUUCGUAUGCUUUUGUCGAUUGAGAAGGGGAGGUCGACGGCUUCAGCGGUGUUCGGCUGAAAAAGUGUCCGUUUUCCGAUCCAUGAAAUAAUCGAACACCGCUGGUCGUUCGCAUGGACAAAAUGGCCGCCGCCUCGUGGUCGACAUACGAACGACGACCACCCGGCAUUCGGUUUUAAUUGAGAAGUGUCUGUGGUUAACCGCAACGUUCUAAUUGGGAUCAAUAGGUUAACCAGCAGCACACUUCUCUUCUGGGUGGCCAUCCGUUCGGUAGUUCCGUUCGACAAAACCGACAUUCCCUUGAAUAAAGCAUACGAAUGGGGGAAUUCAUGUAACCGGCAAAACAGGCGAACACAGCAUUUAUAAUCCAGACAGAUGGGUCUGUCACAGGGUUCUUCUUAUAUAGUCGUGACAUUGGUCCACUAACUGCGGCAGGGCAAGGACAUGAGGACAUCCAGCAUGACGACAUCUAGCGUCAGCUAUUUCUCCAUAAGAAAGCAUUGAUUCAAUGCUUUCCUAUAGGGAAGGCAUAAUGAACGCACAGCACUUGCCAUGCAUGAGUAUUAGGGCCCCCCCUUCGAGUGACGUUGAAGGAGGCAAAGCCUCUACCCAGCAUUGAGGGACAUUGGUGCUGGGGUAAGGAAAGAAAUAACUUUAUUCACCAUGGUGGAGGAAGGGGGGGUUCAAGGGAGUGGGGAUGCGGAGGGAGCUACAGUGACAGGAAUACAGCUUUGUAUACCUGGCCCUAUAGUAUGCCUUUAAAGGGAUCCUAUAGUGCCAGGAAAACAAACCUGUUUUUCUGGCACUAGAGGUUUCUGAGGUGCCCCCCUCCCUUGUCCCCCUGCGGGGGUGAAGGGGUUAAAACUCUUUCAGUCACUUACCUGAAUUCAGCGCCGAACAUCGGCGCUGCGUCAGGCUCCUCCCUAAUACACAUGCACGACAAUGGCCACACGCAUUAGACCUCCCCAUAGGAAAGCAUUAUUUAAUGCUUUCCUAUGGGUAAAAUCUGACUCCGGAGGUCCUCAUGCAGAGUGUGAGGACGCCCAAGGUCAGAUAACGGACCAAAAGUCUGUUACGAUUCCGGAAGCCCUCUAGUGGCUGUCUGUUAGACAGCCACUGAGGGCAGACUUAGAGCUGCAAUGUAAACAUAGCAGUUUCUCUGGAACUGCAAUGUUUAACAUUGCAGCACUAAGUGCAAAAGGGACACUGCACCCAGACCACUUAAAUUAGCUUACGUGGUCUCGGUGCCUACAGUGUCAAACUAAUCUGCAUUCUGUAAAUAUUCAGAUCUUUACAGCAGUACCCCUGCUAAGAAAUGCAUAUUCUAUGUGUGCUCCCCAAUUCAAUUUUUUUUUUUUAAAAAGCUCACCUUCUUUGCCUUAUAAAACCAAUCCAGCAAUCUAAUGCUGGUAGUUAAUUCUGAGGGUAACACUAGUAAAGGAUUGUUUAUUUAUUUAGAGUAAAUUACAUGCAGCAAAAAUAUGUCUUUAAAAUCUAUAUUUAUCUUUCUUUCUACACAGCCAGUUCUUUUCUACUUCAGGCUAAACUGAAAGGAUUUCUGCGAAAUUGUUGCACAGUCCCGCCACCACAACAUCAUACUCCCUCACUGCACACUUGACUAGCCCAUUCUACAUAGAUUAGGAAUGCCACCGACAACAUUGGAAUGAUUCAUGAUAUCACGUAUUACAUCACUGGAGUAAUGCCAUACAUUGAAGGAGACCUUUUUAAAAUGAAGAAUUGUGUCAUGGCUAGACAGCAGAACCAGACAAUGAGAGAGAAGUGUGCUGGAAGAAACCUGGUGUUAGAAAAUAGCAGAUCAGUUUUCAAUUAAUUCUGAUCUGUUUAAAAUAAAUUGAUAGUGCUGCUAGUAUUGCUUCCUCAACCUUUGAUCUGCCAUGCUCCUAACAUCAAAGGGCAGCUAUACCUUACAACACAUGAUGCCAGGAAGACAAAUUACAGCUAUACACCCAAAUCUGAAAUACCUGCCAAAGUUCNNNNNNNNNNNNNNNNNNNNNNNNNNNNNNNNNNNNNNNNNNNNNNNNNNNNNNNNNNNNNNNNNNNNNNNNNNNNNNNNNNNNNNNNNNNNNNNNNNNNUGCCACCUCCUCUACUCCUCCUACUCCAUCCUCUUCCAUAACCUCCUCGCUGAGUCCUCUUCUGCUGCUGCAUCUUGCUCCACAUCAACGGCACCCCCCCAGCUCCCCAGGUACUAUUCCACAUCCCGGAUACGGCAGUGUCACGCCGUCUUGGGUUUGACUUGCUUGAAAGCAGAGAGUCACACCGGACAAGCACUUCUGUCCGCCCUGAACGCACAGGUGGAAAAGUGGCUGACUCCGCAGCGACUGGAUAUCGGCAAAGUGGUUUGUGACAACGGAACAAAUUUGUUAGCUGCAUUGAAGUUGGGCAAGUUGUCACAUGUGCCGUGCAUGGCACAUGUGUGUAAUCUGAUCGUACAACGCUUUGUGCAUAAGUACACAGGCUUACAGGACGCCCUGAAGCAGGCCAGGAAGGUGUGUGGCCAUUUCAGGCGUUCCUACACGGCCAUGGCUCACUUUGCCAAUAUCCAGCGGCGAAACAACAUGCCAGUGAGGCGCUUGAUUUGCGACAGCCCGACACGCUGGAAUUCAACACUCCUAAUGUUCGACCGCCUGCUCCAACAAGAAAAAGCCGUUAAUGAAUAUUUGUAUGACCGGGGUGCUAGGACAGCCUCUGGGGAGCUGGGAAUUUUUUUGCCACGCUACUGGACGCUCAUGCGCAAUGCCUGUAGGCUCAUGCGUCCUUUUGAGGAGGUGACAAAUUUAGUCAGUCGCACCGAAGGCACCAUCAGCGACAUCAUACCAUUUGUUUUCUUCCUGGAGCGUGCCCUGCAAAGAGUGCUGGAUCAGGCCGUAGAUGAGCGUGAAGAGGAAGAGUUGUGGUCACCAUCACCACCAGAACCAGCCUUAUCAGCAUCGCUUGCUGGACCUGCGGCAACGCUGGAAGAGGAGUCAGAGGAGGAAUGUGGCUUUGAGGAGGAAGAGGAAGACCAACCACAACAGGCAUCCCAGGGUGCUCGUUGUCACCUAUCUGGUACCCGUGGUGUUGUACGUGGCUGGGGGGAAGAAAAUACCUUCAUUGACAUCAGUGAGGAGGAGGAACGUGAAAUGAGUAGCUCGGCAUCCAACCUUGUGCAAAUGGGGUCUUUCAUGCUGUCGUGCCUGUUGAGGGACCCUCAUAUAAAAAGGCUGAAGGAGAACGACCUGUACUGGGUGUCCACGCUACUGGACCUCCGGUAUAAGCAGAAAGUGGCGGAAAUGUUACCGAAUUACAACAAGUCGGAAAGGAUGCAGCAUUUGCAAAAUAAAUUUAAAAGUAUGCUUUACACAGCGUAUAAGGGUGAUGUCACAGCACAACGGGAAUCUAACAGGGGGAGAGGUGGAAGUCAUCCUCCUCCUCCCACGACCACGCCGGCAAGGACAGGACGCUUUAAAGACGUGUUGUUGAUGGAGGACAUGCGGGAUCCACCCUCAGAGAGCGACUCGACCGACAGGUAGCAAACUACCUCGCCUUAACUGCAGAUAUCGACACUUUGAGGAGCGAUGAACCCCUUCACUACUGGGUGUGCAGGCUUGACCUGUGGCCUGAGCUAUCCCAAUUUGCGAUAGAACUUCUGGCCUGCCCCGCUUCAAGUGUCCUGUCAGAAAGGACCUUCAGUGCAGCAGGAGGUAUUGUCACCGAGAAGAGAAGUCGCCUAGGUCAAAAAAGUCUAGAUUACCUCACCUUUAUUAAGAUGAAUGAGGGAUGGAUCCCGAAGGGACUGACACUGGGUGAUACAUUCGAUUAAAAAAGGCCUGAUGAGAUGAGCCGCCUUGGGCUAAAAAUGGUCCACACGCUGCUGUAUUUUAGCUCUGAAUGCCGGUUGACUUGCGUGACUUAUCCACCACCAACUAGGGUUCAAGCCGCCAUGUUUUAGGGCACUUUCUGCCUGUGAAACAAACAUCAAUUUUUCUGGCCGCUGCUACAGCAGCGGCUGCAACAAUACCGAAUUUUUCAGGCAUGUGUACAUGCCUAAUUUUUAGGCCCUCUGGUGCUGCACUGUGGCUUCAAAACUUUUUUCACUGUUAUAGAUUGAAUAGCAGUUAGUUGUCUGCAAGCGUCAGAAAGUCACCCCCUUGCCCGGCGUCUGACACCUGGCUUGUCUGAACUAUUAGCCCGCCAGCUUUUACAAUACAAUCUGGUGGAGUCUGAGGCGUUCAAAAAAUUUGUAGCUAUUGGGACACCGCAAUGGAAGGUACCCGGCCAAAAUGUCUUUGCGCAAAAGGCAAUCCCCAACCUGUACUCGACUGUGCAAACGGAAGUAAUGGCAUGUCUGGCACACAGUGUUGGGGCAAGGGUCCAUCUGACCACUGAUAUCUGGUCUGCAAAGCAGUGGGUACUUUAUAAAUGGCUCCACCUGCCACCCGUACAGCAACACAGUCUCCAGUUAGGAGGACCGAACAAGCAUCUUCUUCCAUCUCCCUGUUCCAAAAAUCGCUGCCAUAUACACGUCCACUGAUAGGAGACGCGGAAGGUAUUAAACUGAUAAGAAUAGUACUAAACACACCACUCCUAUCUGGUGGCACAUUAGAUUGCACGCGCAGUGCCCCUAUGUAGGGGGAACAGUCUCUAUUCCGCUCUUUGUCAGUGUGUAUCAGGGGCUUUGAGGAUGGGGAACAGUCUCUAUUCUGCUCUGUGUCAGUGUGUAUCAUGGUCUCUGAGGACGGGGAACAGUCUCUAUUCUGCUCUUGCAUUUCUAUUUCUUCUUAGAUAACAAAAAAAUUCUGAGACGACGUUGGCAGGCAGGGCUAUUCACUUGUGUGAUCUGUCAUGAAUUGUCAUUUGAAUGUUAAUUUGAACUGUGGGGCACAAGAACUUGAAUCUGACAAAAUGGCUGCCAUAUACACGUCCACUGAUAGGAGACGCGGAAGGUAUUAAACUGAUCAGUACAAUACUAAACACACCACUCCUAUCUGGUGGCACAUUAGCUUGACCGCGCAGUGCCCCAAAUUUGAAGUAAGAGGACCGACCAAGCAUCUUCUUCCAUCUCCCUGUUACAGAAAUCACUGCCAUAUACAUGUCCACUGAUAGGAGACGCGGAAGGUAUUAAACUGAUCAGAACAAUACUAAACACACCACUCCUUUUUUUUGGUGAUUCUUUACAGGACAGAGUGCUUCUCCACGGGACAUGUUAACUCAUGGGCAGCUGGCUCAUCAAGGAACCAGAGCUGCUUUCCAUGUACAGGUAAGACACGUGCAGCCGGUAAAGGUUCGGGCUCUUCUUCCUGGAGGAUACGCUGACACAAGCAUUGUAAGUCUACUUAGAGUUGGUGGAUAAAGCAAAUGCAAAGAACAGUAUUCAUUGAUCAAUGCAGACACCUUAUAUCUUUGUUUAAGCUGCUGAUCCCAAAGAGCCAGUCAUUUCCAACUUCCUACUGGAUUAUAUUCAAAGACUAAAUGAACGUUAAGCAAGCUUGCGGCCUACAAGAACUUGAACUGGGGUUAGGCGGCCACUUUCCCUGCGCUACAGAUCAUAGCGUCGACUUACGCUAGCCCCCAUCGGACCAGUGGGGGUCAUCCCUGACCCGGCUGGGCAAUGGCACAUUGAUAUUCUGAACCACAGAUCACCCCUAAAGAUUGUCGGUGGGCGAGGAGUGGCAGUGUCCUAGAUGGUGGACGACCCUGCUCAUGUUACUCAAGGCAGGAUGAGGCACUAAGCUGACCUGAAGUACUUACAAAGUCAAAUAAUGGCUAAUCUGGAGGAAGCCUUUGACUGUUUUUGGGACAAAUGUUGUAGCCUGUUGAACGAGGUGACCUUGCUCGGGUCCCAGGUGUACGGUUCCUAAAAUGGCUGCCAUAUACACGUCCACUAAUAGGAGAUGCGGAAGGUAUUAAAUUGAUCAGAACAAUACUAAACACACCACUCCUAUCUGGUGGCACAUUGGCUUGACCGCGCAGUGCCCCAAAUUUGAAGUAAGAGGACCGACCAAGCAUCUUCUUCCAUCUCCCUGUUACAGAAAUCACUGCCAUAUCCAUACAAAUUGUACAGAAUGUCCAGGAUAGUUUUCCAGGGACAAAUGUUGUCGCCUGUUGAACGAGGUGACCUUGCUCGGGUCCCAGGUGUGCGGUUCCUAAAAUGGCUGCCAUAUACACGUCCACUGAUAGGAGACGCGAAAGGUAUUAAACUGAUCAGAACAAUACUAAACACACCACAAAUAAGGUUUCUCUCCUGUAUGGCUCCUCAAAUGAUGCUUAAGAACGAAAUGACGUUUGGGAAGAGAUUUUGUAUGAGUAGGUUUUUCAUGUACGAUACGGGAACAUGAUUUAGAUCCUUGGUAAGUUUUGCGAGAUCCAAUAGUGUGUAUGUAGGGGGAACAGUCAAUCCAUAUCUGCCAAGUGACCCUAUGUAGGAGGAACAGUCCCUAUUCUGCUCUGUGUCAGUGUGUAUCAGGGAUCCCUAGGACAGGUGUCAAUCCAUAUCUGCCAAGUGACCCGAUGUAGGGGGAACACAUCUGCUCUGUGUCAGUGUGUAUCAGGGAUCCCGAGGACAGGUGUGUUACGGUUGCCUCCAGGCUGGCUGAAAGUUGGACCGUAUAAAGGAUGCUCCUAGCGCUCACCAAAGGACCAUCAGCACCGUAGACACCAUAAGUACUGCGUAGACACCAUAAGUACUGCAGACUCAACGAACCGCCGCUGCUGGGCUAGGAUCUCGCCGUCUGCUAUCCGCCCUGGACCUACGACCAGGCUCCAGGUUCCAGUAGGUGAACCUCUUCCUUCUGUAGAGUGAAGCAGGAUCAGGAACAAGAGCUCUUACAAGAGCUCAGUAGCUAAGGGAGUAGGAAGAGCAUAGCAAUCCCUGUAGUGAUUAUAGCUGUCCCCUACAAACAUGAGUCAAGGCUGCAAGUUAGAGGGUCAAGUCAUUCUGUUUAUUGGCACACAAAGAACCUUCUUUUAUGCAGGUUUCCCUGAGAUAGGACCACCCACAGGGUUUUACACAAAAAACAAUAAUAACCAUACAUUCCAGAAACACUCCCAUCAAUUACCCACAAGAAACCUCCCCUCUGCCUGUGAUCUAAUUAUGGUACACAAUGGGUUAACAUAAUUAAACACAGGCAGUAAAAAUACAGUUUUUAUCCAUACACUGUAACUUUAAAACUACACAUCCCAUCUUCAUAGCAAUUAUUUAUUAUAUUUAUUAUAUUUAUACAUAUUUGGAAUCAGCACACUUAAAACAUAAACAUAACCAAAAAUCAGCCAAAUCCAUCCAGGGGUUAAAAAGUUAGCUGGAGGUCCCUUUAUGACCGACCGCAAGCACAUUUUCCUGCCCAAAACAGUUCCAUAGAUUUGGGCUGUGCGGUCGGUCUAUUUCAGGCUGAAAAAACGACUAAGUCCCAUCGCCGAAUGGGACUUAGUCUCUGCAGCUGUAAAACCAGUAGGGGAGAAGGUAGAGCUCAGCGGUGUUCGCGGAAAUGUGUAGCCGAUUUUAGUUCCAUGAAUUUGGCUACACAUACCGCUGACCUCGUUGAAUGAUCAAAGAUGGCCGCCGCCACGUGUUCAGCAAACGAACAAAGACCUCCCAGCAUUGUCAAUUAAGCUGCGGUUAACCGCAGCUUCUGGGAGGUAAAUUGCCUGCACACUUCCACUUCUGGGUGGUCUGCCUGUGUGGUACUUGGUUCAGUAAGCCCCAUUUACUGAACCAAGUGGGAAAUAGCCAGGCAGGCACAAAGGGUUUGCACCAGGUCUGGGGACACAGGGGACACCGUCUUAAAGGGGCAGUGUCCCCAACAAGUCUGGGGACACGGCCUUAAAGGGGCAGUGUCCCAAUCUUCCUGAUGUCCCAAAAAAGGUGUUUAAAGGGCCAGCACCAGUCACAUAAAGAGUCCAUAAGCCCCAAUAUGCCCACCGACAGUCUUAAAGGGCCAUACACACCAAAUAAAAGUGCAUACAUUUUCACAAUCUCCCAGGGGCCAUAGUCAUGCGAGAGGAGGCUGGCAAAUAGGCUUCUCCCACAACCCAGGGAAGCAGGGCAAUUUUGCUAUAUUUAAAGGGCCAGUUACAAAUAGCAGUUUGUGUCAGGUGUCAAUCCAUAUCUCAAAGCCAUGACCCCAUGUGUGGAGGAACACUCCCUAUUCUGCUCUGUCAGUGUGUGUAUCAGGGACUCUAGGACAGGUGUCAAUCCAUCUGCCAAGUGACCCUAUGUAGGAGGAACAGUCCCUACCUGCUCUUGUGUCAGUGUGUAUCAGGGAUCCUUAGGACAGGUGUCAACUACAUUCCGUCAUGACACUAUGUAGGAAUAUUCUCUAUUCUGCCUGCGUCAGUGUAUCAUGGUCCUGAGUGACAGGUGUCAAAUCCAUAUCUGCCAAGUGACCCUAUGUAGAGGAACUGUCCCUAUUCUGCUCUGUGUCAGUGUAUCAGGGAUCCUUAGGACAGGUGUGUCAAUCCAUAUCUGCCAAGUGACCCUAUGUAGGGGGACCAGUCUCUAUUCUGCUCUGUGUCCGUGUGCAUCAGGGGCUCUGAGGACAGGUGUCAAUCCAUAUGUCAAGGUGUCAAUAUGUCAUAUGUCAGGUGUCAAUCCAUAUUAAUUGUGAAUUAGGAAUGUUAGGUGAUUUCUGCCCUUUAUGGAUUAAAACCAGACUCUGCAUCAACUGUGUAAUUUUCCAUGGGAGUUUUGCCAUGGAUCCCCCUCCAGGAUGCCACAGUCCAGGUGUUAGUCCCCUUGAAACAACUUUUCCAUCCCUAUUGUGGCCAGAAAGAGUCCCUGUGUGUUUUAAAAUUUGCCUGCCCAUUGAAGUCUAUCGGGUUCGCGACAUCACUACUUAUCUUAUUUUAGAGCAAAUCAAUACACCUGGAUAAAACAGCGGUAUGCUAACACGUGAUAAUAUCACAUUAAUAUAUAAUUAUUCUUAAUUCCACCUGCAGAAUGGAAUGUUUAUAACUAUAUAUGCUUUAGUUAACUAAGAUUUCUUAAUAUGGAAAUCUGACCGUGAUUUAUCCAGUCAUAUAUCAUGCUAUUAGUAAAUUUUAAUUAAUUUAAUUAAUUAAAUGAAACCAGUAUAAUUACCAGUUGAGUAGAUAUUUCAUCCGAUUGGUAGAUAGUCUCAGGAUCUUAUUUGGAUGUCUCUCUGCAUGGAGGUGUGUAGGAAUUUCUGAGUGUCCUAGAAUGUAUAUCUGUCAUAGGCCUCUCUGCAUUUCUCCCGACUGCUCACUUCUUUGCUUCCUUUGCAUACCCUUGCAUUCCUCGCCUACCUUCUUCUUCCUCUCUCUCCCUCUUCUCUUUCUCUUAACUUUUAAAGGGAAAAUUCACUAGUUGAUAGACCAAUAGGAACACUGGAGGUGUGUCCAAUCUAGGGAUCGCGAUUUAGGUAUUUGAUCCACAGAUGGCAGUCUCAUCUAACGAAACCUUCCUAUCCAGGAAAGAGUUAACUUUUCCGGAUGACGAUUUUGACGUCGUUUUGGCUUAUCUAUAUGGUUGCCAUAAUUUAAGUUUUCUGUCAGAUCAAACAGUUUCUUUAAGUUUUGUGCAGACAAUGUGUCUGGCAAAUUCUGCUAUAAUUUCUAAUAUGACAGUUAUAACUAAGUUUUGACCCGUAACUUACAAUGGGAUCUUGUACAUAUAGAAAGUAAAAUUUUAUUAUUUAAUCUCCUCUGUCACAAAUGUCUGUGUUUAGAUAUGCAUCUAUUCCAUUAACAUUUUAGACAGUCUGUCCAACCCCCGUUCUCCUUAUCACUCGGUUUGUAUAUACUAUGCAUUCCUUUAGCUCUGGGAAAGUGGUUAGUUUUACAGAUAGAAAUCUUGUGUCUUUUGAUAGCUUGAAAAUAACAAAAUGGAGUCUGCUCUGUUCAAAAGUGACUUAGCAUAUACACUUUGAAUUUCUAUCAUAGCACAAGAUGUCCGCUGAUAUAAAUACCCUGACAAUACCUAAGGAAUAUAUCUAUCCAAAAAUAUUACAAUAAAAUGAACUAAUUAAUAAACAUAGUAUUAGUAAAAUAUAAAUAAUAAAAAUAAAACACGCAAAAUUAAUGAAAUAAAAAAGAAAUACAAAAAAACGUAAAAAUGAAAAUAAAAAAAUAAAAAAUUAAAUAAAAAUAUAUAUUUUUUAUUUUUAAUACAGAAUUCUUUACUUCAAUUAAAGGGUACAGUUAUAGACACCGUGUUUGCACCCAGUUAUAGUAACAUCUUUUUUGAUUAUAGGGAAACUAUGAAUAUCUGGUCUUAUAGUCCUUUUGGCAUGAACUUGGUGCUCUGGAGGACCUAUACGAUCUUCAUAAGUUUGUUCUGUAUAUUAAUUGUUAUUAUUAUCAUUAUUUUUAAAACACAAACAAACUCCGCAGUGCUUUACAAUAGGUGUGCAAACAAAUAUGUAAUUGUAACCAGACAAGUUGAAAGCAAAGGAACAGAAGGGUUGAGGGCCCUGCUCAAUGAGCUUACGUGCUAGAGGGAGUGGGGUAAAGUAACACAAAAGCUAAGGAUAGUAUGUAACAAGGCUCGCCGUAGUCCGACUGAGUACCCUCCGUUGAAGGAUGCACCUAGCGCUUCUUGAGGACUUCAAGCACUGCAGCAGACACCACAACCACCGCAGACUCCGCAACCGCUGUAGCUUGACUGGAGUCUCGCCGUCUUCCUUCCACCCUGGAUCAGCUUCUGUCCUCCAUGACCGUGUGGGAAAGACCUCUUCCUUCCACCGUGUAUGAAUCUCCAGGACUGUGUGGGGAAGACCUCUCCUCCAAGGAGAGCGUGUCAGGAACAAUCACUUAAAAGAGCUUAGUUAUUCAAACUCAGGGGAGUAUGCAGAGCAUAGCAAUCCCCAGUGUGAUUAUAACGGCUCCCUCCAAUAACGAGACAAGGCUAUGUUUUAGAGGGAUCAAGAAGAACUGUCUAAACCUUUAUUUCCCUUGGGAUCAGCCCAUAGGGUCACAACAUUAACAUUGCUGUGAAAACGCAAUAAAAUCACAAACAGUCAAACCAUAGCAGGCAACACACAGUGACUUAUCACAACACAAUGGCACAUUUUUAAAGGGGUGGGGGAGACAAUAUUUAACAGAAAAUAUCUCACGUGUCUGCAGAAUUAGCAAUAUGCAAAUCUACCCAAAUAUGCAAAUGAACCAGUCUUGCUAUUCAGGUAGUGCAUAUUGCUGUUGCUACCAACAGAGGGCACUUGUCAAGCUCCAUAGCCAAACCCACCUAGUUGGUAGCAAACCUCAGCAGUACAGGAGAGCAGGCAAUACAUUACACAGUACUCACACACUAUAAACAAUUACAUUACACACACCCUGCACCUAUAAUGGGUAGAGGGUGACUAAAACAUAAGAGAAAUAAAGCAACCUACACAAAAAAAGUCAGUCUGAAGGUAGAAUAGGGGCUUUAAAUCCAAAUACAUCAAAGAGUCAUAGUCACAGGGGAGGAGGCUGGCAAGCAGGCCUCUCCGGGACCAAGUGGCGAAGGGCACUUCGUCACAUAGUAUUAGAGAAGUAGAUUGAUACAAUAGUAUUCACUGAAGACUUAGUGUUUUGUUUUGUUAUGACAGUUGCAGGAAAGGACUCAAUUGGAAGCUCUUAACAGUUUAACUGGCGAGCUUUUGUAAUGAAGUGAACUUUUAAUGUUUUUUUGAAGGAGUGGAGACUGGGUGAGCAUCUAACAGAGAUGCCCUAGAGAAGUCUUAAAGGCGAUCAUCAGAGGCGGGAGUACGAACAGAAGAUAGACAUCGGUCUUCGGCAGAGUGUAGGGGCCGAGAUGGGACAUACUCGUGUAUUAGGGAGGAUAGAUAGGUAGGAGCAGCAUUAUACACAGAUUUGAAAGCAAGAACCAGAAUUUUAAAUUGAGUCAUAUAUCAUAAGGGAAGCCAAUUCAGGGAAUGAGAGGAGUGAGGAGUGCGAGGUGUGACCACACAGAAAUAUGAGCCUCGCCUCCACAUUUAUAAUAAACUGUAAUAGGGAAGGUUGGGAGCACAUAACACCACUGACAAAUCAAUUGCAGUAAUGAAGGCGAGACUGGAUAGUGGCAUGGACCAGCACCUUAGCCUCAUCUGGUGUUACAUAGGGGCUGUUAAGCACAUUGUUUUUGAUAUGUAUGUGGCAGGAUUUGGCAAUCAACUGGACAUGAGGGGUGAAGGAGAGGUUGGAGUCAAAGAGAACACCUAGGCAGUGAGCAGGUGUGGUGAAGCUGAUGGUAGCACCAUUAACGUGGAGGAAGACAGAAACAAGAGUAGCAACAUUUGAGGGAGGAAAGAUCAGGAUUUCUGUUUUGGACAGGUUGAGUUUAAGGAAGUGGACAGCCAUCAAGUUAAAAAUAGCAGAGAGGCAGUCAGAGACACUAGUCAAGAGGAGCGGAGAGGAAUCAGGAGAGGACAGAUUGAUUUGUGUGUCAUUUGCAUAGAAAUGAUAUUGGAAGACAAAUAAUCUGAUGAGUGUACCAAGUGAGGCAGUAUAGAUCAAGAACAGUAGGAGACUAAGGACUGAACCUUGAGGAACACCAACAAAGAGGGGUUGGGGAGAAGAGGCAGAGCCAAAGAAAGAAACACUGAAAGAUCAAUGGGAGAGGUAGGGGGAGCACCAGGAGAUAGCAAUAUCUAAUAGACCGAGAUUACGGAGGAUGAUAAGAAGCUGUUGAUGAUCAACAGUGUUAAAAGCAGCAGAAGAAUUAUUAUAGAAUAGUGAUUUUGCAGCGAGUAGAUAGUUGGAUACUUUGGUCAGAGUGCUGAGCACGGAAACCAGACUGAAGUGGGUUGAGCAGAGAGUUGGACACGAGGAAGUCUAAACACAACUCUGUAAGAGAUCUUGGACGUAAAAGGCAGUAGCAAGAUAGGGCGGUAGUUGGAAGGGGAGUUAGGGUCAAGGUUGGGCUUUUUAAGAGUCGGUUUAGAGUGAGGUUGGAAGUAUUGUUAGGGGACAGAGAGAGAUGAGAGAUCUCUCUCCUGAUUUCGAACGAACUUCGAAAAAAAGUCCGAGUUCGGGAUUGAACUUGACCUCAAAUUUGAAGUCAAUGGGGACCUGAACUUUUGGGCACUAAAAUGCCUCUAAAAAAGUCCUGGAAAGGGCUAGAGGGUUGUAAAGUGUUCUGCAAACAAAUGUGGAUAGGGAAAUCACUUAAAAUAACAUAAAAAAAAAAAAAUUAAAAAUACAGCUGAGCCAUAAAAUAGCACUAGAUGGAAUCUUUGAUUUUAGCUUUGGAAGAACAUAAAUCAAAAUCUAAAGCAUGGUUGUCAGGACGAUCACCAGAAUUAUCCAUUUGAGAGAUCGUUGGAGUGCAGGGUAUUCUCUUUCAUUGGUCAAACUGAGCUCAACUCCUGAUGCAUGGAGAAAAGGCCUUCACAAGCCUCUGCUAUUGUGUACAUAGUUUAUACUAAUUGACCCAUAGGUUGAGGAGGCAGUGUAGGUGGAAGCAGCGGUGGAGGAGGUAGCCAACACUGAUUUUUAUAUAUAUAUAUAUAUCUUUUUAAUUGGGGUAGCCCCAAAAUAUUGGCACAUAUAAAAAAAGAAACAUUUGAGGCCUGCCGUGCAUUUCUCGCAGUCCAAUGAUGCCAUCAGGUUUUUAAAACUGUCCGUCUCCACCAGACAGAAUGACAGCAUUUCAAAGGCCACGAAUUUUGAAAUGCUGGCAUUCAGGGCCAGGGAUCGCGGGUGGCUAUGGGGUACUUCCUCUUUCUCUCGAGUGUUUGGGAGAUGGACAGCUGAACGCUUCCAUGGGACAGUGUGGAGAUGCUGGACAAUUGUGUACCUGGCCUAUGCUGGUGCAGGAACCCACCCUCUGAGCCACUUGUAAAUGACUGGCCUGAUAACCGUGGACAUGACCCUUCUUCCUCCUCCUCUUCCUCCUGUGCCACAUCCUCUUCCAUCAUCACUCAAAAGUUUUUUCAAGGAGCCAUAGAAGUGGGAUAGUAAGGCUGAGAACGGCAUCAUCGGCACUGGCCAUGUUGGUGGAGUACUCGAAACAGCACAACAUGGCACACAGGUCUCGUAUGGAGGCCCACUCAUUGGUGGUGAAGUGGUGCUGUUCCGCAGAGUGACUGACCCGUGUGUGCUGCAGCUGAAACUCCACUAUCGCCUGCUGCUACUCGCACAGUCUUUCCAGCAUGUGCAAGGUGGAGUUCCACCUUGUGGGCACAUCGCAUAUGAGGCGGUGAGCGGGAAGGUCGAAGUUACACUGCAGCGCAGACAGGCGAGCAGCACAGGGUGAGAACGCCAAAAGUGCGCACAGCCGCUACAGUGAAUGUCACAUCCUGUUCCAAGUUGCGGAUCAGUCUGGUGAUGGCUUCUGGUAUCAAGUACUCUUUUUACUGAAGCUGCAUCAGGGUCCUGGUAUGUGGCCACACAAACGCUGGUGCUCAACACCAGGGGGCGUGCGGUUACCCUGCACCAGACCCUGCUAAUCCAUUUCACACUGUGACUCCUAACUUCAACAUCAGGCAUACUGGGUCCCGGUCGUCCGACCACCGCCCAGAUAGUGUUUGGGUCCCGGUCAUCGGACUGCUGCCCUCAAUGUGAAACUUCAAAUGGCUUGUUAAAUCUGGUACGAACCAGAACUUUGCAGUUCGGGUUCGCGCAACUCUAUUAUGGAUCCUUUGAUAGCUCCAUCUGUUACUUGGAUAACUGUGGUAAUUCUCAAGCUAAUACAUGCCGACAAGCGCUAGGGGACAGCCGCUCCGCUUUUGCACCCUGCUCCCUCUUAUGCUGUGCUGGUGCCUCUGUGCGACCAGCACCUCUUCUUCCAAACUGCACACAUCACUCACAUGACCUUAAUUCCAUGUGGGGUCUAGGACCUCAUCAUCCUCCACAUCAUCUUCCACCCACUCCUCAACCCUGCCCUCCAUGCCGGAAUGCACACUGCAGAAAGCCACAGCAGUUGGCACCUGUGUUUUUCCAGCAUGUAAAGUCUGCAAAGGACAUAUGGAAAUUGUUUUAGAAUUUCCUCCAGGCAACAGUUUUCCCUAUAAACUGACCUCUCAGUUUGACUUGUGAGGGUAUUGCCCCAGAAUUACAAUAUUGUUAUAUUGGUAUUUGACUGUUCUAUUUGACUGUCAGAUAUGAAGUGCAGGCAGCAAAUGUACUAUUUAGCACCCAAAAAAAUUUGAAUUGGUCAAACUGCGCUGUAACCACAGUAUUUGACGGUUCUAUUUGACUCUCAGAUAUGAAGUGCACACCACAAAUUUACUUUUUAUCACCCCAAAAAUGUGAAUGGGUCAAACUGCGCUGUAAGCACAGUAUUUGACGGUUCUAUUUGACUCUCAGAUAUGAGACGCACCGCAGGCUGCAAAUGUACUAUUUAGCACACAAAACAAUUAGAUUUUUUAAAAGUGUGCUGUAGCAGACCCCUGGUAACCUGACUGGUUACCUCCGCUAAUUCCUCCUCUCGGCCAGACUGGAAUAAUUAAAUACUCAAGCAUAGCAUCCAUUCCCACAGUAACUAGACAAGACAUAAUUAUGGGAGUUAACUGAUUUUUAUUUGGCACUGACCCCUAGCAUGGGGUCUCCAAUACAAAAUUACAUUUUUUUUUUUCUCCCAAGAGCCUCUGUCUGAGAAAUCAUUGAGUGAGAAAACUAUAACUCAAUUAUCUCUCAGUUACAGGAAAAUAUAUGCAAUAUAUACAAUCCCCCAAAAGUACCCGCAAUAUAACCAGGAACCCCACAAGAGUUAUAUCCCCAGAUAGCUUUGGUCUGAGUGUCAAAAUUGGCCAAAUAUCACUCAGAUCCAUUUGGCAGAAUCAGAUCGCCACUGAUGUAAAAUUUUGACCAGCCGGCCACAAGGUGAUGGCCCAAAAUAGUUCCAGGGAAAUAGAUGCCCCAGUCGGUCUCAGUUUGGGGUUUCCUCUGCAAACACCAUACAAGGGAUUCUCCUGAUUUCAGGGAGUGAAUGCUCCCUCUAGUCAGUAGUUACCAUCUCCCAAACAUGGUUCGCAUAGUUGGUCGGAAAGUAGGAUGGGCAGUGGUAUAAUCUUUACUGGGGUUCGUGCGAGUGCCUAGCCGAAAAGGGUUCCAGGCACUCGAUGACCAAGUACCGCUGCCCAGGUUUUGGAGACAAAAAGGCUGCCAUUCUUUUGUCAGCCAUGGGUAUUCGGUUACACGAAAUUGCAGCCACCCUAGGGAAACAUUCAUUAAUUACUUCCCUUGCGGUUUCACACUUGAUUUGCUGGCGUGAACGUUCUAAUGGGGUACAGGGGUUGUCCUCAUUCGGGAGUCGAAUACAAUGUGUUCGGGUAACAUAACACUCCUACACGUAUGAAAAAGAAAAUUAACGAAAGGAAAUGUUCCACCACUUAGUCCUUCUGCAGAGAAUCAGUGAAGCUUUGUGCAUUCUUGGUCUGUGUCUCUGCCUCUGAACCACAUUUGGUUCUUGCUUUCAGCCUGGAAGUUCAUUCCUGCCCUGUCUAGUAUCCAGUACUGGGGGCUGGACAUGAUUUGGAAUUACUCCUGGUACACCUGUUGUGGAUAGUCUCGUUAGCCAGGUAUAAAACACUGUAUCUCCCAGAAGGCAGUGUCAGUUCCUUGACUCUGGUUAUCGAUUUGCUGUCUCCUGUUCUCCAGUGUAUCUCUUGACCGCGGCUUGUUGUUUUGUUGAUUCUGACUUCUGGCAUCCUCUGACCUUUGGCUUCCCACGACUAUUCUCCUGCUUUAUCCGUUCCUGUACCGCUACUUGGAGUUUACCCUGCACAGCCCCCGUGCAAUGACUCACAGGCCAGGUGAAUUCUUACCUGACCACCUCGGCCUGUGUUUUCUUGCAAGGGUGAGCAUAUAUCUCUACCUGCCGGACUCCCAACCCAGGUAAACCCUGACACAGAUAUGAAGUGCACCGCAGGCUGCAAAUGUACUAUUUAGCACCCAAAACAAUUUGAAUUUUUAAAAGUGCGCUGUAAGCACAGUGUUUGAAGGUUCUAUUUGACUGUCGGAUAUGAAGUGCAGGACGCAAAUAUACUAUUUAGCACCCAAAACAAUUUAAAUUUUUGAAAGUAUGCUGUAAGCACAGUAUUUGAUGGUUCUAUUUGACUCUCAGGUAUGAAGUGCACCGCAGGACGCAAAUGUACUAUUUAGCAUUAGCACCCAAAACUAUUUUAAUUUUUGAAAGUGCGCUGUAAGCACAGUGUUUGACGGUUCUAUUUGACUGUCAGAUAUGAAGUGCACUGCAGGCCGCAAAUGCAGUUGCAAGUGCACUCUCUGUGGCACUGGGCUCAGGGCAGUGUACAAAAAUGUAGUAUAGCACCCACUAAAAUAAUCGCUCUAGUUUGAAUAGCCACUCUAGUUUGAAUAAUCGCUCUAAUUUGCAGAUUCAACUCCAGAAUUCUUUCCUAAGCUGUCCCUCGCAGCUGCAGCAUCCUGUCCCUACACUAAUAAGAGCUCAUGUGACGUGCGGCGCUACGUGAAUCCAACUUAUAUAUAGAGGCUGGGUCACAUGCUGCAUUGGCCAAUCACAGCCAUGCCAUUAGUAGGCAUGGCUGUGAUGGCUUCUAAGGGCAAACGAGUCAAACACUUGUUGAUUGGCUGCCCUGCAGCCUUUCAAAACGCGCCAUUAAAUCGCCGAACACCGAACUCCAACCCGAACAUACACUGAAAUGUCCGUGUUCGGGUCCGGGGUCGAACCCAAACUUUGUGGUUAGGAUACGCUCAACUCUAGUCAUUAGUUUUUACCCUACAGAUUGAGAUCAAAGAAAUACAUUUCCAUAAUCUUACUAUUUACAUUAAAAAUUGUCUAAUUAAAACCAAAACAUUCUUUAAUCCCACAGAUGCGAAUAGUUUUACUAAUAAGAAAAGGGGUCAUCACCCUAGCUGGCUUAGAAGAAUUUCUCGCAGCUAGCUUACUAGAAUACAAAGGAGUUGUUCCAAUUAAUAUUGCUUUUAAAACCAAGCUGAAUUUUUAAAUAUAUUUUUUGAAAAGGGCCAUUCCAGGGCAUUCUUAGAAGAUAAGAUUACACAUAUAAAGUAAAUGGAUAGAAACAAUUUACUAAAGGACCAAAAAGUUCCUUCUGGCAUUGAAGUAGAAUAUAACUUCUAUUUUUAUUCACAAUUUAAUACACAUGCUUUUAAGACUAAAGAUAUUAUAGAAAAGCACUGGCCCUUUUCAUUAGAAGAUGAUAUCCUUAAAGACAUAUUCCCACCUGCACCUAAAAUAAUUAAAAUGUAUUAAAAUAAUUACAAAUUUGAAAAUAUUUUAGCUAGAAAAAGUUGAUUACCCAUUCAGGACCUGUCCAAUGUAAUCAUUACCCCAGUUUUAAUUAUAAUGUUUUUUCAUGUGUUGGUAUAGAAAAGAUGUCACCAUAUGAGGAUACUAACACUUUUGAUUUUUAUUUUAAAGACCAUCCAACCAGAAGGGCUUUUGGAUUUUUACUUUAAAGACCAUCCAACCAGAAGGUUUGAAAGUUGAUUUUGACAUGGUGUGUUUUUUAUAGAUAUUUAUUGAGAUUUACUUGGAAAAGCCCUCACUGUCUUUUUUUUAAUUUUUAUAGUGAUAUUAAUAGACAAAGCAAACAACUGGGGGAAGGAACCAUACAAAAAAAAAAAAAUAAGGACUCCUAUCCCCAGUAGACAUACAAAGAUAUAUAGACCUAUUUCAAAUUACAUCAGAGAUAAGCCAUCUAGUACACAUUGAUAUACUAACAAUAAUAUCCCAAAAAGGGAAUAUCCAGGUCCAAAAACGGCCUUAAAACCUAUAUAAAUAAGACAGACAAUAACAAAAACAAAAACAAACUGGUCAAAUAUAUUGCAGAGAUAUAGAAGAUGAAAAAAAAAAAGUUACAAUAUUGCAUUAGCUAAUAUCAGAUAUGUGGUCAAGGAACCCUAUAAUAGUGCCCGCUACGGUAUCAUCGGUUAGGCAUAAGGUGAUCAUAGAAAGUAACCCCACCACCUCAAACUCAUUAAAGCCCUUUAAUUUUUUCAACAAGACUGGAAUAAAACGUCAAAAUAUUAAAAUUGGAAUAUUCUCUCAUGUGAAUCAACCCCUUUUCCAUCUCGACUUGGAAUAAGAGUUGGGCUUUAACUUGAUCUCUAGUAGGAAUGUCAGUGCUUUUCCAAAAUCUGGCAAUUAAUAUUUUGGUAGCCAUUAAACAAUGUAUAAUCACAAUAUCAAGAUUAUCCUUUAUUUCAAAACCCAUAAGGUGGAGUAGGGCAAUUUCCGGUUUGUGUUCCAGAUGUAUACCUCCAAUUCUAUAUAUAAAUUCAAAUGUAAUAUUCCAGAGAGACUUAAUUCGAUGGCAGGUCCACCAUAUAUGAAACAUAGAACCAUCUGGGUGUAGACACCGCCAUCAAUUAGAUGGAUUAGUAAUAGAUAUUUUAGCAAAUCUAGUCGGUACCAAGUACCAUCUAUACAAUAUUUUAGUGAAAGUCUCUAGAAUAUUCAGACAAUGAAUGCUUUUUUUAGUCCCCAUAAAAGACUUACACCAACUAUUAAAUGGAAUGGGUGUUGCUAGGUCAGUUUCCCAUUUGGUUAAAGCUUUGGGGAUAAAUGGAGUCUCCUUAGUUUUUAUUAGUUCAACUGCAAUAGAGAAUAUCUUUUUAGCCUUACACCCUGAAAAAAUGUUCCUAAACAAUUUUCCAAAAUGGCCGUCUAAUACCAAUAUGUUAUCUUUCAAAUAGCUCUUAAUACGAAGAAAAUUUAAUAAUUCUCUAGAGGGUAGAUCUAACCAGUUUUUCAGAACUUCAAAGCUUUCUCCUUAAUAAAGAAAUCAAUUAACUUCUCUAUAUGUUCUACAUUUGCUUUAUUUUUUAGCAAGUAAUCUGCCAAUCUCCAAAUCUGCGGAGGUCUCUUAUUAGUUUCCACCAAAUCUGCGAUUACCAUAUCAUCUUAAUUUGAAUGUCCUUUACUUCCUGAAGCUGAAAUACUAUAUCUUCUUCCUUUUCUUCUAUUUUAUGAAUACGUUCCGUUAACGCAGCUAAGUCCAUUUUCAUAUCAGAAAAUUUGUCACUCAAAUAUUUUUUAAUAUCCUUAGAAAAAUCUUCCAAGCAUUUCUUUAAAAAAGUAGGAGCUUUAGCAGGUGAAGUAGAAACCCCUGUAUGAAGAGAUUCCAGAGAUGAUUGCUCCAAGCAUUCUUGGUUAUAUUGUGGGACAAAGAAAGCCGAUAGUCUUUUCUCUUGCUUCUGGCCUUUCUUAUCAGCUUUUGUUGAAACUUUACUCUCUUGAGCUUUUUUGGAAGACAUAUCGCUUUAAAUUUAUAAAAUAAAAGAGAAUAUGCCAUCUGGAAAACUUAUUUUAAACUAGGAAGAAGGAGAAACACAAAAAAAAAUAACUGAUUCCCCUCUAUGUCCUAGGUAGCCCAGGGCAAUCAAUCAGCAUCAGCUGUAUGUGUGCAACUGAGUCAGCAAGACCAUCCAGACCAUCCAGUAACAUAGCAUGCCAGAAAAUGAUAAUGAAAAAAAAAAGGGGAAGCAAUCUCACUAAAUCAGGUAUCAGCAUGGAUGUCCGCCUGGAUCAGCUAGCUGUCAUCCUGUCUGAUAACAUGCUGCUGCGUUUCUUGACUUAGCGUCUCGCCUUCUCUUCCCUCCGAUCUCUCGGGUCCUUCCCUCCUCCCCUCCCGGCGUGAGCGUCAUCAAGUCAUCACGUCGCCCGAUCCAAUCUUCUUUUCUAUAUUUAUAUAUCUUUUGUAUGUGUAUUCAUCUUCACAGUUGAAAUGUUGUCCAUUUAUUUAUGCAUGUGUCUUUCUGUAAUUCUUUGUCCCCUACAGUUUUAAAAUUAAAAACUUAGAAUUUUUUUAUAGAUGCUUAUUUAAUUUCUUUUCUUUUUCUUUUUUUUUUAUUUAUAUAUUUUUUUCACAUUGUUUUUUUAUUUAAUUUGUUUUUGAGUAUUUUAUUUUAUUAUUUAUAUUUCACUAAAACUAUGUUUAUUAAUUAGUUUAUUUUAUUGUAAUAGUUUUGGAUACAUAUAUUCCUAAAUUAUUUUAUUCAAGGUAGGUGACAUUAGAACUUAAGGGCACAUAUGUCUGUACAUUUUAUAUGGGAUCUAAUUUUGGAUGGAAGUUUAUCACAUUUUAUAUAUACUUUUCCUGACGAAAGUUCCUUAGAGAACUGAAACGUUUAUCUUCUGUGGCAGAUGCCUGAAGUUUUUUUUUUUUUUACAAUAUUUUCGAAGUCCUUAGAAUGCUAUCGUUACUUUAUUUCUUGAUAUAUAUAUAUAUAUAUAUAUAUAUAUAUAUAUGUAACUGAACCCCCAUUAUUUUUGCCUAGAUUAGGUGCUUUAAAAAAAGAAAAAAAACUAAUAAAAUGUGUCAACAUUGAAGUUGCUGUUUAGUGGAUAGGUGAGUGUGCUGGAUCUUGUGUAUUGUAUAAAUUGGCCACCAGCAGCACCCCAUUUAUGCAUGUUAAGUUGAGUGUAGCCCCCUGGUUAUAUAAAUAUAUAUACAUAUAUAUAUAUAUAUAUUUUACUCUGACUCCACUUAUUUUCCUUAUGGACAGUUAACUUAAAGCCGCCUUCAACAUGGAUGCUGUCCAGGAAGUAGGAGGGUCUGGGAGGGAGGGUCUGCCGGAGAUUGGCUGGGAUGUGUCAGCUGACCGGAGUUCGCGGACGGUUCGCGACAUCUCUAUCAAUAGAGUGGAACUUCCGUCUGGCUUACGUGUUUCCACCUCUGCCUUUUAAUCCCACAGGUCCUUCUCAAGAUAAGAACAGACAGAGCGAGAGUAUUGGCAAUAAUCCCAUGUUGGGAAAACCCAUAGAUGACCAUUGCUCAAUGAGAACUUCCCAUAUCAAACUUCCAUAUUGUGAACAGGGACCUGCCCUUGGAAGUUCUAAACAUAUUCAGGUUGACGGCUUGGCUACUGCAAGGCUAAUCCUUCAUAAGGUUUACAAGAAGACAGAAUAGCUGUCUUACUUCACGCUACCAGGAGGUCUACAUUGAAGAUAUACUUUAGGAUUUGGUCUAAGUUGCUCCACUGUUGUAAGGAAGACCAGUGCCUUGUUUUACAUCCUUCUAUAGAUAACAUUUUCCAUUUUUUUACAAGACGGUUUUGCAGCUCGUCUGGGAGUUUCUACACUCAAAGUUCAGAUAUCAGCCUUAAGUUUAUUUCUAAUUAAGGAUUUGGCCUCCAAUAUUUUCAUCAUAAUAAUUUUUUAUUUUUUUUUAGGUCCAUCAGCCUCAAACGUCCUCCUAGACGAUCGAUGUUUCCAACUUGGGAUUUAGCCCUGAUCCUACAAGCUCUUUGUGUUCAUUUUUGUCUCUUAAAGUUUUAUUCCUGGUAGCCAUCACAUCGGCUAAAAGAGUGGGAGAACUUCAUGCUCUGUCCUCCUCGGAUGAAUUUACUAUUUUCCACAAAGACAAGGUUUUUCUUUAUCCAAGACUGUCUUUUCUACCUAAAGUUUUAUCUUCAAAGAAUAUUAAUCAGCCGAUUGUUUUACCUUCAUUUUGUAGCAAAGCCUCAUCUCCUCAAGAGCUCAGAUGGCAGAAAUUAGACGUCAUAAGAGCUUUACUUAUAUACCUAGCCAGAACGAAAGAAUUCAGAAUUUCAGAUCAUCUGUUUAUUAAUUUUCAGGGUCACUUCAAGGGGAAUGUGGCUUCCCACAGCACCUUAUCCCGUUGGCUCAUUCAAGCUAUAGAAUUGGUGUACUCUACAGCAGGUCUUCAGGCUCUAGCUAUGCUUAAGGCCCAUUCUACCUUAUGGGCAGAAAAAGCUCUUGCAUCUCCAAAGGUCAUCUGCAAGGCAGCAUGCUGGUCGUCUUUUAACACUUUUAUCAAGCACUAUUGGCUAGACACAUUCUCUACCUCUGAAGCAGCUUUUGGACGUAAGGUGUUACAAGCUGUGGUGGCCUAAGUCCCACCCGGACGGGGAUCUUGCUAUAUCCCAAUGGUACUGCCACCAUAUGACAGAAAAAACAGAAAUUUUACUUACCGUAAAUUCUUUUUUUUUUUCUUAAUAUAGUGGCAGUACGGCUUCCCUCCCUCUUUAUUAAAGAAUUCUUUGCAGUACAUUUUGGUCUGUGUUUCUUUUUCUUGUCACAUACUGGGGUAGGUUUGCGGUACGGCGUUUUAUGGGGCAAGGUCUUUUUGAUCAUUAAUUCCUUGUUAGAUGUCUUGUCCAAAGGGAGGAGCAAAACCUGAUGGUACUGUCACCAUAUUAAGAAAAAAAGAAUUUACGGUAAGUAGAAUUUCUGUUUUCAGGUUAUUUGACUUUGGCAUUGUUUUUGACUUCCCUGUUUUCUGGCAUUUCUGACCCCUGGCUUUUCCUUAUCAUUGUGUCUCUUUCUGUAUCCAUUGACCUCGGCUAUUCCUGACUAUUCUUUGGUACGUUAGUCCGGCCAUUCUAAGGUCCGGUAUACAUUACCUAUCAGUCCUCUGUGUCACACAAUUCUACGUGCUGGGUCAUACUGUAAUCCCGACAGUUUGUAUGUCAACCAUUAGUUAAAGCCAAACCUUAAGCAAGUGGAAUGUGAUGAGGAAAAUGUGGAAGCUUUAUGGGUAAAGAUCUGCUUGGGGCAAAAGACUGGAAAUCAACUAUUGGUUGGGANNNNNNNNNNNNNNNNNNNNNNNNNNNNNNNNNNNNNNNNNNNNNNNNNNNNNNNNNNNNNNNNNNNNNNNNNNNNNNNNNNNNNNNNNNNNNNNNNNNNAAAUCUGCUAGGACAAAUCUUACUCUGCAGCUUGAAGUUUCAACAGUCUAACUUAGCCUAAUUAAGGAAAUUAGAAAUGAUGAUAGCUCACAAAAACAAUCUCCACAUUGAACAUGUUUCAUUAAAUAUGAACAUGUACAUAAAUGGAUCUUUCAGAUAUAUGAAGCAUUAGAAUCGGUGAAUGUUCUGUGUUGUUGAAUGCUUAUUCAAAUUCAGCAGUUUCUGUAGAGGCUUAAAAGGUGUACUUGGAUGCCCAGGUCUUUCAUCAUAUUUCUUCCAUUAUUCUAACUCACAAAGAAUUUUUUACCUUUGACCUAAAUAUAUAGGACAUAUAUAAACAUAUAAAUAUAUAUAUUUAAAAGAAUGUACUAUAUUCUGUAAAGAAAGCAUUAAAAAAGUCAUACCAGAAAACAACACCAUAGAUAUUAUUUGAUACAUGAAAGAGUUGUUAAAAUAAUGUUUUCAUUCUUCUUUUAAGAAAUACCAUUACUUUUUUGGGUCAAACCACCUUCAGUAAAAUAAGCUAUAAGUAUUUUGUCUGUCACAACUUCAACUUCCUGAGGGACUAUAUUUAAAAAUAAUAUAAUUCACCUUUAUUACUUACUCAUUAUUUGUUUUUAUAAGAACCACUGCUAUAUUAAUAAUUUGAGCCACACAAGAAGAGGCAACAGGGCUACACUAGUCAGCACUGGUGCCUCCUAAUCAGUUACGGAGGAAUUCAAGGGCAUCAACCAAAGUAAAUUGAACAGAAAUUACUAAAUUGAGUCAGGAUAACUUCUCACAAAUAUGUGGGGAGUCCCUUCUCCAUAAACGAGAACCUCUAAACAAAUUAAGUAUCCAUAAAUAUGGUAUAAGCCUUUGGCAUAGAUGAAAAAUAAAGCGGGAUGGGAAGACCUCCCACUCCAUCAUAAGAAGUACCUUUAACCCCGUAAGGACACAUGACAUGUGUGACAUGUCAUGAUUCCCUUUUAUUCCAGACGUUUGGUCCUUAAGGAGUUAAAAGUAAACAUUUGUAUGAGGUAUAAACCUUUAUUAAAGCCUAAUAUUAGGAUAUUAAAAUAUAAAGAGCCUAACUAGAACAGUAGGUUCUAUGUGAAAAACCAAAACCCAAACAAAUGUGACAUUGUGAAUAAACAGAGUGAUAAUACACCUUCAAAAUUCUUGGUAAAGUAGUCUCAAAGGCCACAUCAAGUAGUAAGAGGAUUUUAAUAGCUAUUAUAAGUAAUCUCAAAUUUGAGUAAUCGAAUAGUUCAGAUACCUCCAGAGUAUGAAGGUACAAAUAAUGAGUGGCUGUAGAGUGUAGAGAUUGUAAAACAUUGAACCAAAACUAAGGAAUAAACUGAAUAUGGUCAGACAGACAAAUCAACAAUAAACAGUGAUAUUACACUGUAUCACGUUUGCAUUGAUACCUAACUUCCAGUAAAAUGGAGUCUGUUAACCACCGCACACUAAUGGAUACAUAGUUGUACUAAUUAGAUAGUGUUGCUAAGUGGACUUUAUACACAGUUUACAAAGUAUAGGUAUUCUUGCACAUCCCUUAAUUAGACCAUAUUAACCAAAGGGUUCACUAUGCGUGGACACAUUGUACCCGGCUCCAAACAAAGUAGAGGAGGGGAUGGUUAAAAAAAAAGGGGGGCUUUUAGGAGCAGUACCGCCAAAGCGGGCUGAAGUGUUAGAAUCGCUACACACAAGUGACUAUCCAGCUUGUUGUAUAUUGCAGCUGUUAUGUAAGCAUUAAAUGCUUCAAAGUACUAACUGCCAAAUCGUUAAAUUACAGAAGUUAUAGGAGUUUGUUAAAUACCAAUAUCCGGUCACAUAGUCGCUGGCUGUCACUAACCCGUUCCAAAAACCCCUAUCCCCUGAUGCUCCUGUAAGGCAGCCUGCUAGGUCAAUACCCAAUGCCCCUAUCUCCUGUAGCUGCCUGUAAUUUAACGAUUUGUGAGGAGUUAUCCUGACUCCAUUUAGUAGUUUCUGUUAUAUUAAUAAUUUAUUUACUGAACUGUGGUUUAAAAUAAGUGUUUGCAUUUUGCAUGUAAAGUAAAAGGUAUAAAACCAUAACUUAAAUAGAAAAUGAAAAAAAUAUAGAUCUUAAAGAUCAUUUUUGAAGCUUUUAUUAUAUUCUUAAUGACAUGCUGAUUUAGUAAUAAAUACAACUUAUUAGAAAUGGUGAAGUCUCCUGAAUGAGCCAAUUCUUGGGCUCAUGGCACCCCAGUCAGUAUAUCUUUUGUACUCUCCAGGUCUCAGGUAAUACUGGCGUCCUUUGUAAUUUGGUUCCUCAUAGAACAUCCAGUAGCCAUCAAUCACCUGGCAGGAGUGGAUGUCAUGGUUACGGAAUCUCUCAUUGACAUUAGCACAAUCUUCAGUGAACUCCAUCAUCUGACCUCGGAAAUCCUCCCUCUCAUAGACCUUUACUCUGAAUGAUCCAUGGUGCUUUACGAAGAAAAAAAUAUUUAUGAACAUCAAAAAUCUAUACGGGAAUAUAUAUAUAUAUAUAUAUAUAUAUAUAUAUUUUUUUUUUUAUCCAUGUUAACCCACCUGUUACCUGACAAUGGAAUUGUGAAUUGAAGAUAUAUUCCAUAAAAUAAUGAAUAAUAGUCAAAAAAGGUCAUAUUUGCAAAGGUAAACCUAUAAUAAUUGAUAAUUGGAAAAUAAUGUUUUUUUGUACUGCAUCAUAUUUAUGUAAGGUUCUUAACUAUUUUGGUAAAUAUCUUUACCUGUGGGCUAAUACGACAAGAUCUGAUGGAGUCAUUGAAACCCAUCCAUUGCUGGAAAUUAGGAUAUUCUCCCCUGCUGAGGUAAUACUGGUUUCCUCUAUAGUUGGGGUGCUCAUACAGAAUCCAGUUUCCACUUUCCACUCGGAUGGAAUUACAGCACUGAAAAUAUGAGGACAUAUCUGGACACUCAGAGGUGCACUCAUAAGAGCGGCCCUGGAAGUUACGAUCCUCGUAGAAGACAAUCUGUGAAAGAACCGUGCAUUUGAACAUUUUAGAUUUUUUUUGUUUAUUAUUGUUUUAGUGGUUAAUAAUUUCAUUUAAAUAGUUUCUGGUUUGAUUACUUCAUGCUACAGAUUCCUAAAAACAUCUACUAUUAUCCUGUUCAAAUAAUAUAGUGUAGGAGUUAAACAUAUAAGUUUAGGGAAGAAUUGGAAUAUAUGUUUUUGGUACAUUUUGCGUUUUCGAUUGGUGAAUUUGCAUUCACUUUCACAUAAUUAUAGCAAUUUAUUAUGGUGAAUAGUGGCAUUCACUACAAAGUACUUUCAAAGACAGAAAAAAAUCUUAAUCUUGAGUCUGAAAAAAGUAAACAUGUGAUGCAUGUGUUCUGAUUAAUUCUUAUUUGAGGAGGCGGCAAAUGUCCAAAACUGGUUUACGAAAGAUAUUUUGUUGGCAUGUUUCUGGACUAGAUAAAUUUACCACAGUAUAUUGUUCAGCAGUUAAAGUUUGCUGGCAUUCAGUGUAAGCAUUUAACAUUUUAAUUUGUUUUUGUUCAUUUAAAAAAUCUGUUUAUUGUUUUCAAAAUUUCUUGUGUUGCCAAUAUUUACAAUAUUCAGAUAAUCUUACCUUUCCCAUUUUCAGUGAUGGUUGAUCUGCUCAUGCAAGUUGUGCUGUUACACAGAACGAAGAGCCUAUAUAUAUAUAUAUAUAUAUAUAUAUAUAUAUAUAUAUAUAUAUUGUUUACCUUGCUGAUGCUUAAAUACAUUGAAAAGAGUGCUGAGCUGGUUUCUUUUCACCAGUAACUAGAAUAUAUAGCUAUUGUAUACUAUAUGCUUCAGUAUUGCUAUUGUAUUGUAUCAUAUAUGCUUUUUUUGUUUACCUGCUGGCACAAGCAGUUCCUGGUUCUAAGAGAUAUCUAGAGAAAAUGUGACAUGCCUUUUUUUAAAUAGAUUAUUUGUAUUCCUACCAUGGAAAAAAAAUAUUUUAAAGCAUAUUUUACAAAAAGAAAAGAAAACAAGGUUAGAGAUUAUUGACAAUUGUUCUGCAACUUAAGUUCUGUUUUUUAAGAUAUUAUUAUUAUUAUUAUUAUUAUUAUUAUUAUUAUUAUUAUUAUUAUGGGGCUAAAUCAUACAUAUUAUAUUAAUUAUGUUUAUAAUAGAUACAUGUAAGAUGUAAUUUGAAACUAAAGUAUGUUCAUGUCAAAUGCAUCAGUUAUAAUCACUGCCAUUUAUUCAUCCCAUUAGACCUCCUGAACUCCUGAAUUGUGUUUGUAUUUUCAACGUUAUCACAAUCCAAAACAUUUGAACUAUUAAAAAUAAAGUUACAACUUGACUUAUCUCUUAUUGGUAUUCACAGUAUCUCAUAAUCAUGGAGUUAACGAGAAAGUAAAUGGUGCUCUUUGUGGUUACAUCACAUAUUUAAUGUUAUUAUUCUGAAUAAUCUUUAUUUUGUUUCCGCAGUAAUAAAAUUACAUCCACACUUUUGCAUGCCUAGGCAUUUACAAACAAAACACAAUAACAAACCAAAAACAGUUGAGAGGAGAGAAGACUGAGUUCUAUAAUAGAAGCAUGUAAAUGCAAAUUAUAGAUUAGAUUAUUAUAAAAAUAACUCCCUUUUAACUAUUAGAGCUGAAAAACGUAAAUGCUUUUUGAAGACAACAUACUUGUAUUCUUUUGUUUUUAGCUGAUGAGUUAUUAAUCCAACUAUUAAUCCAAUUUGCGUUUUUCAUUUUACAUUGGAAAAUAAUUUGAUUUUUCCAUUGUCAAUACAUAAUUUCUUGGGAUUGUUUCCAACCUCUUGCUAUUAAAUCAAGACUGGUGGUUCCCAUUACCAACCAAAAGUCACUUUGCUCUAAGAAUCAUGGUUAAAAACUAAAAUACCAGACUCUGCAAAUUGCAAUAUAUGGGUGUAAUGAAAGCAACUUUGCCACUGCCCUGGGACUAUGGGCCCUAUGAUAACCUAUGUUCAAAAGUACUGUUUCUGCCCCUUGGACUUUUACAUUGCUGUAUUGGUCCAGAUGUGUGCAAAGACUUUGUGUUACUUUCUCAUGGUGUGUAUGUUUGAAUAAAUAUUAAUUUUUGGCUGCAAUACAAUCUGAUUCGAUUAUUGGAACUUUGGUGUGACAAACAUCUCAGGAAUAGCUAAUAUUCUACAUGUUAUGAUGGAGAAUGCGGGCAGGGUUUAAGUCUGUACAGAAAAAAAACUGUUUAAGGUCCUGCAAAAUAAAUGUUAUCAUCCUAAUUUAAAAGAAUGAUGUAUAAAUAUAGUACAGGAGUGUCUUAAAUGUGCUCAAUUUAAUCCAAGACCUAAAGACUAGAAAUCAAAAUUGCAGAGGGUAUCCGUGGCAGAAGGACCAUGGGACCCUAUAUAAAUUGUUUCUAUUAAAAUAUAAAUUGAAAAAAAAUAUGCUUGUAGAUAAAGGGAGUAGUUGGGUAACACAUUUACUAAGAGUAUUAAUAUAUAUUCGUGCAACUCCAAACUCUAAAAUGCAAGUGUCCCCUCAUGACUUAAUGACAGGCAGAACAAUGCCAAUCACUUUCCCCAAUGAAUCUUUUAUUCCAAGUACUUUCAAAGUAGCGUCAGAACAUGUUGAAUAGUUGAAAGUAUUACGGGAACAGCUGCAAUCAGUUUUAAAGUUUGCUGCUUCAAAUAUUGUCCCUUCUGGUAAAAAAUCUGUUAAUGGGAUACUUUAGUGCCACGAAUAUAAAGCUGUAUAACUGGCACUACCGAUCCCUCUGCCUCCCCCCCAUUCCCUGGUAAAUAGAGGCUUAAAAACCCUUUAUUUACUUACCUUAUACCAGCGCCAAUGUCCCUCUGUUCUGGGUGGAAUCUCCGCCUCUCCUCCAUCCCGCGUGCGCAUUAGCCAUCCCCAUAUUAAAGCAUUGAAUCAAUGCUUUACUAUGGGUAAAUUCUGACGCUGGAGGUCCUCAUCCAGAGCGUGGGAUGUCCAGCAUUAGAUAACGAACCAAAAGUCUGUUAUGAUUCUGGAAGCUGAAGUUGUCUGGGUGCCUACAGUGUCCCUUUAAAGAUAUAGCACUGGGAAACUAUGCAUAUACGUUUAAACUAGAGAAUAAGGUGAAGGUAAAAUCGUUUAAAACACCAGAUCCCUUAAAAAGCAAGUUGGAAAAGGUCCUUAUGUUAAUCUAAAAAAAAAAUAGAAUACAGAUUAAAAAAAAUGUUGGUAGAAAAUGUAGUAAGUCAUUUAUUGUGCAUAGUGAUCAAUGUAAACUUACUAAUAAUGUAUAAGAAAUUAAUGUAUAAGCAUAGUAAACUGCCAUUUAUUUAUUUUUUAUUACAGAACCAAUAAUGUUUUUUCAUGGACAAAAACGGUUUUAUUUUAAAAAGGACACACUGUUUGGACUUUCAAAGGACAUUAUGGACAAAGAGAUUGUGCUUGUGGAUUCAAUUAGAGAGGACAUUAUUUCAUGGACUAAAUCAAAUCAAUUUUAUUUUCUGGUUAAUGUAAAAUGUAUACAGUUGCACAGCAUACUAAAAAUUAUACUGUUAUUAAUCAUGUUAGGUACAAUCAAUGCCCAAGGUUAAUUAAUUAAUUUGAGGAAAAAAUUCAAAGUCUAGAUCCAACUACAAUUGUAAUUGCUAAAGAAAAUAGAACUUUGAGAGCAGUUGCUUUCUUCUUGGAUAAAUUAAGGUGGAAGUCCAGAGAGGAGCCUCCGUCUUGGACUCGGUGUAAAAAAAUGAUACAGACAGCUGAAUGCCUCCCAUUUUUCUCAACUGGAAAUGGCAGUGUUAAAAGUCACAGGUCACUAAGGCAGAAUGUAAUGCCUAAAGUUAUUGAUAUCAAAUCAAAAGAGAAAUUUAAUUUGUUGAUUGACAAUUUUGACAGGGAAAAAAAAUGUAGUGAUAAAUCAAUAAAGGCUUUUCCUUAUAAACUGAUAAGACAAAUAAGGACAAUUUCAAUUUAAUGACAGCCAUGUCAUUAAACCAUGUAUGACCUAUCAAGAUAUUGCUCUCUCCUGUUGCUCCCAGCACUCUUUCAGUGUUUCUUUUUCUGGCUCUGCUUCUUCUCCCCAACUCCCCCCUGUUGGUGUCCCCCAAGGUUCAGUCUUUGGUCCUCUAUUGUUCUUUAUCUAUCCUCCCUUGGUAAACACAUUAGCUCCUUUGGCUUCCAAUAUAAUUUCUAUGCAGAUGACACGCAAAUCUGCCUGUCCUCUCCUGAUCUCUCCCUGUCCCUCUUGACUAGUGUCUCUGAUUGCCUCUCUGCUAUUUCUAACUGGAUGGCUGCCCACUUCCUUAAACUCAACUUGACCAGAACUGAAAUUCUGGUCUUACAACCCUCAAGUGUUGCUACUCCUGUGUUUGUCUCCCUCCAAGUCAACGGUGCUACUAUCAGCUCCACCAUGCAGGCUCGCUGCCUAGGUGUUCUCUUUGACUCUGACCUCUCCUUCAUGCCUCAUGCCCAGUCUAUCGCCAAAUCCUGUCAUUUCCAUCUGAAAAACAUUGCGCACAUCCAACCCUACUUAACACCAGAUAUGACUAAGGUGCUGGUCCAUUCCACUGUUCUUUCUCGCCUUGACUACUGUAAUCCACUUCUCAAUGGUCUUACGUGCUCCCAACUUGCACCAUUACAGUCCACAAUAAAUGCAGCGGCGAGUCUCAUCUUCCUGUCUGCCCGCACCUCCAAUGCCUCACCCUUCUGUCAGUCCUUACAUUGGUUUCCUGUAAGAUAUAGGCAGGGGCGGACUGACCGAUCGGGCACUUCGGACAUGAUUGGGGGCGGCAUCUGGGGACUGCAGAACAAGGUGCCACCGGGUGGCCGGUCCGGUGGCACACUUUGAGGGGGCCGACCAUUUCAUGCUGGAGCCGCCGGCCCGGGUGGCAGCCUCGCCGAUCCGGCGGCUUUCCUCUCACUAACACUGAAGGAGGAGGAGGAGCAUGUGUCUGUCAUGCUCCCUGCGGUUCCCACAAUUCCCAGCACAGGAUGUGGGAACCGCAAAGGAGCAUGACAGAGAGAGACAUGCUCCUCCUCCUCCUUCAGCGUUAGUGAGAGGCUGCCACCCGGUCCGGCGGCUCCAGCAUGAAACGGCCAGCCCCCGGCCCCCUCAGGCUUGAGUAAGAGGGGGCAAUAGAGAGAUAGGGAGGGGGGAACAGGAGAAAGAGGGNNNNNNNNNNNNNNNNNNNNNNNNNNNNNNNNNNNNNNNNNNNNNNNNNNNNNNNNNNNNNNNNNNNNNNNNNNNNNNNNNNNNNNNNNNNNNNNNNNNNAGAAAGAGGGGGAACAGAGAGAUGGGGAGGGGGAGAAAGAGGGGGCAAUAGAGAGAUGGGGAGAAAGAGAGGGAAGAAUGAGACACUGGGGGAGACAGAGACAGAGAGGGGAGAAAGAGGGGGAAUAGAGAGAUGGGGAGGGGGGAGAAAGAGGGAAAAAUGAGACACAGGGUGAGAAAGAGAGGGAAUAGANNNNNNNNNNNNNNNNNNNNNNNNNNNNNNNNNNNNNNNNNNNNNNNNNNNNNNNNNNNNNNNNNNNNNNNNNNNNNNNNNNNNNNNNNNNNNNNNNNNNAAUGCUUUGGGGGCACCACUAGGGGGAGUGUGUAGGAAGACAUGUGCUUCUGGUAGUGACAUCACAGGCCAGCCUACUUACACUGAAUAAAACCAGAUGGAGGAGAAAACUCUGUCCCUUUGCCUGUACCUGACUGAACCUAAGAUGUAGUACCAGUUCUGACUUAAGCCCAGCCAAAGAGCUGGGGCCUUGUAAGUAAAAUGAACAUUUAGCAAUUGUAAUAGCCUUUUGUGUAACAUUUAGCAACCUUUUGUAAGUAAUAUGUUGUAGUUUUGUAUUGUAUAAUUAUUGUAGUAAAUUGACAUUCUGCUAGCAUCUGUUUAUUUAUUAUAGUUAUAUAAAAAUAUACAUUUAAUAUUACAACGUUUUGUGUAUUUUCUAUCCACAUAUUCGACCAUAAUACCAUGAAUUAUAACAAUAUUAAUGUUGUUCCGUAUUGCUUAAUUAUUAUGUAUUAAGAGAUUAAUAUUCAUAUUUAGGUCACGACCACAACAUUUGGCGUAGUCGGCAGGAUUAUGCUUGAAUAUUGGGGAAAAUAUAAAUGUUAUGCAUUUUGCUUAAAUCAUACUGUAAAUUGUCUGUCUGUAUACAAAUGAAUAAAUGAAUGAUGAUUUGGUUUUAAUGGAAUGAAUGCAGAUAGCAAAUAGGGAUUAGAUAUUUGUUUUUAAUGUAUCUCUUGCUGUAGAACAUAGUGAUGAAUUAUUGUGUUGCUUGUCACCAAUCUUUGGUCAUUUGUAUAUAGGAGAAAACUUAUGUAUACUUUACCUUUUGUCUGACCAUGUGGAUUUUAAUCCACCAUUGACCACAUGAUGUGCAUGAGUUGAGGCCUAGUUUCAUUGUUUGCUACCAUUUGCAUAGGAAAAGACUUUUCACUAAACUAGUUCACCAGGUUUUAUUGCUAAAUUUGACCCUGUUUGUGUACUAAUUUACAUUUGUUUGGCAUUCAUGGAUUUGUCUAGUUGAAAAGAGAUUUGGACAAAAUGUAUUAAAUUAGUAGUUAAGAAAAAGAUACGUUUAGUAAAGCAGAUUCAGUGAAUAAUAGAUUUAUGUGUGCGUAUACACAGAAUAUUAGUAUAAAUAUAUAUGAUUUUGACUCAUGAAGGAGAGACCACCUUUUUAACAGCUGUGUGACCAUGCUUUUCAGCUACAGCUGGGGGAGAAUUUGUCCUUGUUGGGGGUGGGUAGUCUUGCUGUAUGAGAAAAAAUAAACUGCAUUGUUUUGUAAAUUUAAUUGCCUAAACUAAUCAAUUUGUGGAGUGUUUUUCAGCUUUAUUAUCCAGGACUAAGGAAUUACUGGACAUAUGCAGGAACUGGUAACAAAUGGACUGAAAAAAUGGUAAAAUAAUUCCUUUGUCCUAUUUAGUCUGAAUAUUUUAACAAGUUAGCAUUUUUAACAAAGUAAGUGUAGGGGCUCAGAUUAAGAUUUAUAUUAUUUUAGAAGCCAUCUAUAACUGAUUUUAAUAUUUCCAUGCUUUGAAUUAGGGUGUAUCUGCCUAGCGGGUGAACCUCCAUAACGUGGGCUGUGAUUUUAGUUACAGUGGCGGGUGGGGAACCUGAGCUAGGGGGUAUUUAAACGUGUCCGGAUAAGGGGGAGCAUACCCAAUAGUUGUUGUGCAGUUCUAUCCUGUAUUAUUAUUUGAAACCCUGUAUUACUUAUAAGUAGCGUUUUGUAACUUAUUUGUAAUUGUUUAUAUAUAUUGCUCUGGGAAAGGGAUAGGCAAAAUCUCUGAGAGACCAGGAAAUAUAUUUAAAAAAGGGCGUAUUACACUAGUGGUAGGGUGGCCUAUCAUGACCAUAGAGACCCUUGGUGACUAGUUUUUGUUGUAUAUUGCCCUGGGAAGGGGAUACGCUAUUUAAUAGAAAUUCCUGAGAGACCAGGAAAUAUACAAUAAGUGAUACGUGAGUGUACUGGUUAAAUUGCAGACAUAUUGGCCCAGAACCUUUAAUCGAGCCGGAAAAGAGGCUGCUGUAUGUUUGCUCCUCUAUAAUUUUGCGGGGGCAGUCACCCCCAUGCGGAAAGCCACUGCCAUCACAGGGUGGUUAGUUGUGCAGGCCCUUAGCCGCGAGGUGCAAGCAUGUCCGUGGAAAGGCUAGAAAUUAAUAGGGAGUCACUCAUAGCUGUCAGAAGUGUUGAACUUUGAGACAUAUUGACCUAUAUCCUUUCAGAGGCGGAAGAGGUGUUGUGGUUCACUCCUCUAUAAUUUAACCAAAGGGUGGAGAGUUAUUAAACAUGUUUAGGUUGGCUAGAAAUGUGUUUCCUGAAUUGCAGAGAAGAUGCAGAAAGCAGCUAUUAGCUUAUUGUUUUUUAAGAGCCUUGUAAAAAAAAAAAAAAAAAUUAAGAAUGUUAUCUUGUUGAAAAAAAUUGUUUAUAAAAUGAAAAGCUGAAGGAAUGUGUUUACAUGUCUGUGUGUGUGUGUAUAUAUAUAUAUAUAUAUAUAUAUAUAUAUAUAUUCUAAGUAAAAUAUUUGCAGUAUACUCUAUAAGUGACUAGGAAAGUAAUCCUGAUCUGUUUCCUAACCUUUUCAGAUGUAGCAGAAACCAGAGGUGGACAUUGGAACACAGAUAGAAUAUCAGAUGGAGACCAGUGUUUAAAUGUUGACCUUUGAUGAGCUAUUGAGUGUUUUAUUUUAUUGUCUAUUUAACAUGUCUAUGCUAUGAUUUUGUGCAUACUAUUCUCUUAUUUCUAGUGAUUGUAUUGCAAUUGAAACCCUUAUGUAUUAUUGUUGUAUGUAUGUAUGUACGCUUGCCUGGGAAAGGGGGGAAUUGACCCAUAGGGACCAGGGGGUAUUUUUGUGUAAACCAAACUGGGGUGGGAGGGCUCUAACGAGGGAACCCCAUUGUCCAGUAGGUGCUUGAUUUGUGUCUGUGUAAAGUGCAUGAGUGGUUGCAGUACAAAAAAAAACAAAAAAAAAAACGGAAGAAUGAUAAGAGGGAUAAGAGAAAGUAGGCAUUUUGGGUUAUCUAUACAUGUUUAAAUAGAAGGGUGGUAAAUAGGAAUGUAAUUGUUUUGGUUAAUGUUUAGAUUAAAUUGGUUAAAUACAGCAGUGAUAACGAGUGUUUAGAUUAAAUUGGUAAAUGCAGCAGUAAUAACGAGUGUUUGGGUUAAAUUGGUAGAUACAGCAGUGAUAUUGUGUUUAUCUGUGAAUCAGGAGUGUGCUGGAUGUGAAGAGAGGUGUGUAGGUAUUUAUCCAAACGCCAUAGGAAAAAAUAUGGUUAAGACACCACAGUCAAAUGGUACUUGUGAUGAUUGGCACAGUUAUUAUUUAUGUUUGUGUUCGUCAUUGCCUGUGUUUUCAUUCAAGAACUUUCAAGCAAGGAUAUUUUAAGCAGAAGAAGGAGAAGCACUGGACACUAUGCUCAACUGUUGCUGUAAGGAGAAAUAUUGCUAAGAGUGGUGAGAGUCAGAACAAAAUGCAUCAGGAGCAGGAAACUUUUACGUCAAGGUGGUUAAUGGUAUAAAGAAAGAAAAAACAAAACAAUGUGACCACAAACACACAAAAGUCCUUGAUCGCAUGAACUGUUUCAUUCAUCCCUGUCUCCAUGCGUAUGUUCUAUGAGACUGUCGAAGAAUAGAGUAUUCCAGUUUCCAGGACUAAUGUUUCUGAAAACUCCAGGCACACAGACCAGCCAGAGGCUACAGAAAUCGAGUCGGUCUGUGCCAUGAUUCAUAGGUGUUAUGAGUUUGCGGUGUCUAAUACUAUAUUAAGCUCCAGAACACAUCCUCACAUGAACACAAUAUCAUUGGUUAAUCUAAUAAAACAUGGUUUGAGUUGUUCAUUAUUAUAAGGGUGGGUAUGUGCCUGUUUCCCAACUGGUAAUGCAUGUGCUCAAUGGUGAACAUUUAUAUAAGCAAUAAAAUGUUAAUGGGUAAUAAUUAAUGGGUAAAUGGGUAUCGUUCUUCAAAAGGUGGGUUUUGUUGUAGGGCAGGUAGUGUUAAAAUGGGGGAAAAUUCAAAAUGUACUGGUUUUAUAAAUGCUUGUUUUAUGACAUAAGUCAAAGGGUGGUUUGUAAUGGUAUUUAUUAAUUAAUGACUUUACAUCAUAAAGAAAGCAUAUUUAGUGUAAUGCUUUGGGGGCACCACUAGGGGGAGUGUGUAGGAAGACAUGUGCUUCUGGCAGUGACAUCACAGGCCAGCCUACUUACACUGAAUAAAACCAGAUGGAGGAGAAAACUCUGUCCCUUUGCCUGUACCUGACUGAACCUAAGAUGUAGUACCAGCUCUGACUUAACCCCAGCCAAAGGGCUGGGGCCUUGUAAGUAAAAUGAACAUUUAGCAAUUGUAAUAGCCUUUUGUGUAACAUUUAGCAACCUUUUGUAAGUAAUAUGUUGUAGUUUUGUAUUGUAUAAUUAUUGUAGUAAAUUGACAUUCUGCUAGCAUCUGUUUAUUUAUUAUAGUUAUAUAAAAUAUACAUUUAAUAUUACAACGUUUUGUGUAUUUUCUAUCCACAUAUUCGACCAUAAUACCAUGAAUUAUAACAAUAUUAAUGUUGUUCCGUAUUGCUUAAUUAUUAUGUAUUAAGAGAUUAAUAUUCAUAUGUAGGUCACGACCACAACAUUGUGGAACUCACUUCCCUCCUCUGUUAGAUGCUCACCCAGUCUCCACUCCUUCAAAAAAAAUCAUUAAAAACCCUGUUCUUCAUAAAAGCGUAUCAAUUAAACUGUUAAUAGCUCCUGACUAAUUCUUCUCUUGCAACUGUCAUUAGUCUAAUACUAUCCUUACCUUUUGUGUCACUUUACCCCACUCCCUCCAGCAUGUAAACUCAUUGAGCAGGGCCCUCAACCUCUCUGUUCCUGUGUGUCCAAUUUGUCUGGUUACAACUACAUGUUUGUUCGCCCACCCACUGUAAAGCUUUGCAGAAUUUGUUGGCACUUUAUAAAUAAUAACAUAAUAAUAAUAAUAAGUCUAUUGAUGGAAGAAUGGUAUCAUUAAUAUUACCAAAGAUUUUACAUAUAUAAUGCAAAUUAAUAUAGGUAAUUGAUAACGAUUCACCUGAAAUACAAAACACCUUAGUGCAUAUACAUCCCGUGCAAGGGAUGGGUAAAAGCAUAAAACAUGAAUACAUUUCAGAAACCAAAUCAUGGGGUAACGGUGGUUUGGGGGACACAAGACAGGAUUAGUAUGGGUUUAUUACACAUCAUUUAGUAAUUUUAAUGAUUAUAAUUAAGAUGUUAUUCUUCUUUAGUUGGCAUAUGUGUAAAAGAGUAAAUCGUAUACAGUCUCAAAUGGUAGACGUUGAAUACAGAUGUAAAUAUCUGACAACAAAGUUAGAAUCCUAUAAGGAAUUGGAGUAAGUUAUUAUGAUGCAUUACAUUUUUAAAAGUAUCACGGGGGGGGAUGAAAUAUAUUUAAUGAACUUUAAAUAUCUGAUGUGUUGUAGAAUUUUAUCUUUGUGAUAUUAAUAUUAUCAUUUUUGUAUUAGUUGAAAUUCAUUUAAUUUCAAAGUAUUUUCAGACACAAUAACUGAGAGACCUUAUUCAUCUGUAUAUCAUUGGUCGCCACAUAUGGUUCUUGUUGAGAUAAUGAUUGAUGGAGGCCUGUUGAUAUUAACCUUUAACCCAGCAUUGCAAACCAGACUCCCAUGUGUAUUAGACUUCCAUUGCAAGUCAGACUCCCAUGUGUAUAAAAUAUUUGCAGAUGGAAAUUCCUCACCAAUACUUUUAACAACAAAAUUGGAUACUAUCUUGCUAAGUGCUUACAACUAGGAGAGAAUUGCAGUAAAUUAAAAAUAUAUAUAUUUUUCUUCAGAAUAUGGGGCUGUAGAUCUGCAAAUCCCAGUUACAAAGGACACACCACUGAUGCUGCUAACUCAUUACUGCCCAUGAUUUUCAUAGACACAUACUGAUAUAAAAUACAUGUGAUUUUAUUUUGAAAAUACUUUUUGACAUAUAUGCUAAAGUAAAUACACUUUCAAUGUUAAAUUCAUGUUUCAUCUGCAUUUCUUAAAUUAAUUUGUAUUUUUUCCUUUACUACCAUCUAAAUUAAUCACGAUUUAUUGAGAAGGUAGAAAAUUACAAAGACUAGAGCUAGAAGUAAAAACCAUAAAGAGCCAUAAGCCCAUUAUAGUAAUUAAAAUAUCACCCAUCAGUGUCAUGUUAUUUGCCUUCUUUUGUCAUGUUAUAUGUCUCCCGUGUCUGUUUAUAUUUCUAAUGUUGUUCUCCUUUCAGAAUAAUUAAUUGACAUUUCAAUACCUAACCUUCUUUUCCCUGUAAAAGCCGUCUUUUUUCUCUAAUCAGAUCUUGAUUUUUGAGUCCUAAUUAACUAGUCUCUGGUUGUUUCCUCUAGCCCUCUCUGGGCUUGGAAGCAACUAGCCUCUCCCACCUACCCCCACAUUGUUGAUUCCCUUUGGUACACUGCUUUAGAGCCAAGUUUCCAAAUUUGAUUCUCAGAUUGUCCUACAUAUCAAAUUGCUACAAUGGGAAUGGAAAUUACUUGGACUGAAUAAAUGAACAUCAGAUUGCCCAUUUUUACCCCACAUUCUCCAUAUUUAUUACAAACUCAGAUUCUGAAUUGGAUUGUGAUAGCGCCAUAACUAUUUGGCCAUGGUACCUUCUCUUAGAACUGUUUAUUGAUGUUGGCAUUUUGAAUAAGUAUGAUCUGUGUUUUAAAACCCUUUAAUUAUCAUCAUUUAAAUGUAAACCUCAUAGCAUUACAUAUUAAUUUCAACUCUUUGAUAUUGUUUAUGUUUGUUGAAUAUCCAAUUAUUGUUUUAGUAACCUUUAACUUAAUUUGGCAGUAAAAAAAAGAAAGAGUGCUUUCUGCACUGAUUUCUUCGUUCCUAUUCCUUUAUAUCUACCAAGUUUUAUAUUGUGAUUUGUUAGUUUAAAAGGGAGAACAUAACAAUCAGUUACAAGUGUUUAUACUUGAUAUAGAAAGUCUGAGAGAGAGUAUGACAUGAAAAUAAGCUGCACUAUAGGCUGAGAAUAAAGUGCUACUCAAUACAAAGAAACAAUACUAGUACUGUAAAAAAUAAAUAUAAUAAAACUAAGAAUAAACCAUCAUAGACAGAAAUUAUCUCUAGUUACUCCUCCGUGGUAACAUAUGAGCAAUUAAAAUAGUCAUUUGAUUUUCAGAUAUUAGCUAAUAGCACUCAAAUGGACCUCACAAGUCCCUCAAAUGUACCUCAUAAGGUAGGGCUCCUGUGAAACUGCAAUAAUAUUGCAAAGUAAGUGCACAAACAAAGUCAAUUGAGUUAUCUUUUCCAUGUCCUACAAAUGGGUAGAUCUUGUUGUAACCCCUCCAGGAUUAUUAAUGUACAGUGGAAAUAUCCCUAGUCUUCUUAGGAAAGCAUUCACUUCUGACAAGUACCUAAUAUAUUGCAUGGAAUCCUCAUGUGUGAUCAUGGGAGAUUUAGAAUGUGAUGCCUUAGGGUCUCAGACUUAUGGUCAUGCUUCAAUAAUUGUACCCAGGCCAGAGUUGUUUGUGUCAAAUUAAAUGUUAGAAAAUGGGCUUAAAAAGAAUAUUGUGACUGUUCUCAGACAGUCAGGAAUUGUACGAAUACAUAAAACAAAGUCUCUAUGUAAGAUUUUCAGUGGCUUAGGAAACUUAUUCUAAGUUACCUCCACCCACCUACAUGUAAUUUUAGAGGUUACAAUACUGUUUAAAUAGUAUUUUCUUGUAAAAGUCGGUGGGUGCUAAAUGUUGCCUUGUUUUGCAAUUUUUUUUGUUUAUUUCUUACAUUCAAAGCAUGUGCUUUUGCAUAAACAUAAAUCUGCUAUGACAAAUCUUACUCUACAGCUUGAAGUAUAAACAGUCUAACUUAGCCUAAUUAAGGAAAUUAGAAAUUAUGGUAGCUCACAAAAACAAUCUACACAUUGUACAUGUUCCAAUUAAAUAUGAACAUGUACAUGAAUUGAUCUUUCAGAUAUAUGAAUCCUGAGAGUCAGUGAAUGUUCUGUGUUGUUAAAUGCUUAUUCAAAUUCAGCAGUUUCUGUAGAGUGUUCACAUGUCAAGCGUGAAAGGUUGUAGUUGGAUGUCAUAUUUCUUCCAUCAUUCUAACUCACAAAUAUUCUCUAUUACCUUUGACCUAUACAUAUAGGACAUACACACACACACACACAUAUAUAACAAAUGUUAUUUAUUUAUUUAUAAGAAUGUAGUAUAUUCUGUACAGAAAGCAUUAAAAAAAAAAAUCAUACCUGAAAACACCAUAGAUAUUAUUUGAUACAUGACAGUGUUGUUGAAAGGAUGUUUUCAUUUUUCUUUUAAGAAAUACCUUUACUUUUUUUUUGUCAAACCAUUUAGUAAAAUAAGUAUUUUGUCUGUCACAACUCCACCUUUCUGAGGGACUAUAGUGGAAAAAUAAUAUAAUUCACCUUAUUACUUAUUCAUUAUUUGUUUUUAUAAGAACCAUUGUUAGAAUAAUAACUCAUUUACUGAACUGUGGUUUAAAAUAACUUAGUAAAAUGUAUAUGACCACAACAAAAAUAGAAAAUGAAAUAAAUAUAGACCUUAAAGAUAAUUAUUUAAAGCUUUUAUUAUAUUCUUAAUGACAUGCUGAUUUAGCAAUUAAUACAACUUAUUAGAAAAAGUGAAGUCUCCUGAAUGAGCCAAUUCUUGGGCUUAUGGCACCCCAGUCAGUAUAUUUUCUGUACUCUCCAGGUCUAAGAUAAUACUGGCGGCCCCUGUAAUUUGGUUCCUCGUAGAACAUCCAGUAGCCAUCAAGUACCUGGCAGGAGUGGAUGUCAUGGUAACGGAAUCUCUCGUUGACAUUAGGACAAUCUUCAGUAAACUCCAUCAUCUGACCUUGAAAAUCUUCCCUCUCAUAGACCUUCACUCUGAAUGAUCCAUGGUGCUUUAUGAAUAAAAAAUAUUUAUAAACAAGAGUACAAUGAUUAUAUAACUUCAUAUAAACAUCAAAAAUCUAUACAAUAGUAUAGAUUUUUGUAUCAAUGUUAACCCCCCCCCCGUUACCUGACAAUGGAAUUGUGAAUUGAAGAUAUAUUCCAUAACAUAAUUAAUAAUGGUAACAAAAGGAUAUAUUUGCAAAGGUAAAACAAUAAUUAAUUGAUAAUUGGGAAAUAAUUUUUUUUGGACUGAAUCAUAAUAUUUUUAUAAUAUGCUCUGGUUAAUAUAUUUACCUGUGGGCUAAUACGGCAAGAUCUGAUGGAGUCAUUGAAACCCAUCCAUUGCUGGAAAUUAGGAUAUUCUCCCCUGCUUAGGUAAUACUGGUGUCCUCUAUAGUUGGGGUGCUCAUACAGGAUCCAGUUUCCACUUUCCACUCGGACAGAAUUACAGCGAUGAAAAUAUGAGGACAUAUCUGGACACUCAGAGUUGCACUCAUAAGAGCGGCCCUGGAAGUUACGAUCCUCGUAGAAAACAAUCUGUGAAAGAACCAUGCAUUUGAACAUUUUAGAUUUUUCAGAUUAUAAUUGUUUUAGUGGUUAAUAAUUUCAUUUAAAAAUGUUUCUGGUUUGAUUACUUGAUGCUAUAGAUUCCUAAAAACACCAACUAUUACCCUGUUUAAAUAAUAAAGUGUAGGAGAUUUAUACAUAUAAGUUUAGGGUAGAAUUGGAAUAUAAGUUUUUGGUACAUUUUGUGUUUUUGAUUGGUGAGCUUGCAUUCACUUUCACAUAAUUAUAGCAAUUUAUUACAGUGAAUAGUGGCAUCUACUAGUGAGUACUGAGAAUGUCCUGCUUCUUGUAUUCCAUGGACUCCUCUGUCAUUUUAACAUAAUCCUAGAAAAAAUUUAAUCAAACACGGAAACAAUCUUAAUCUUGAGUCUGAAAAAUGUGAAUUAUGUGUUCUGAUUAAUUCUUUUUCGAUGAGGCAUCAAAUGUCCAAAACUGGUUUACGGAAUAUUGUGUUGUUAUCUUUUUGACCUAAAUUAUGUCACCACAGUAUAUUAUUCAGCAGAUAAAGUUUGCUGGCUUUCAGUGUAAGCUUUUUUAAUAUUAACUGUUUGGUUCAUUUAAAAAAAAAAAAUCUGUUUAUUUUUUCCAAUAUUUCUUGUGUUACAAAUAUUUACAAUGUUCAGAUCAUCUUACCUUUCCCAUUUUCAGUGAUGGUUGAUCUGUUCAUGCAAGUUGUGCUGUUACACAGAAUGAAGAGCCUUUAUAUACCAUGUAUCUUGCUGAUGCUCUAAUACAUUGAAAGCAAUGGUGAGCUGGUUUCUUUUCAACAGUAAUUGAAAUCUAUAGCUAUUGUAUACUAUAUGCUUUAGUAUAGCUAUUGUAUCCUAUAUGUUUUUUUUGUUUGUUUACCUGCUGGAACAAGCAGUUCCUGGUUCUAAGAGAGAUCUAGAGAAAAAUGUGACAGGUCUUUUCUUUUAAUAGAUUAUUUCCACUGUGACCUGGAAAAAGCAUUCUAAAGCACAUUUUAGAAAAAAAAAAGAAAAAAGCUUUUACAUUGAGGCCAAUUGUUCUGCAACUUGUUUAAGUUUUUUUUUUUUUAAAGAUAUUAUUAUUAUUGUUAUUGUAACGGCUACCCAGCUGGAAAGGGGUAUCUGCCGUUGGAGACGUCCUUUUCUAGGCAAGCUGCUGUGAAGUAAUGGAGUUCUUAUUCCCAUCCACGAUAUCCAAGUGUAUAAUCCGGCAGUGCUGUAAAAUAAGGCAGAGUAACGGUACCAUAAAUCCCCUCCAAGAACGAGACAAGGCUACAUUUUGAAGGGUCAAGUAGAACUGAUGUUUAUUGACAGGGGUCUCCUUUUAUGCAAUGGUGCCCUCUGAAAGGCUACACCCACAUAAUUAACACAACAGCCAAUUAGAUAAAUGAUUCAACCCCCACGUCUCCUCCCCUCAGAUAACAUAUAACAUAAUUAAAACAGACACAAUUUUAACCACAUUCUGGAUGUACCCCAAAAACAGGGGGUACACCUUUAAGUCCAGCACCGCUUGAUAGCUCUCACUCAGGGGAACAACAUGUCCAAAUUUCAGCCCAUUCGGUUGAGGGGUUCGGGAGUUAUGGAUCUUUGAAGUUUUGACCUACCGCAAAGGUUUUCUAGCCGAAAAGAGUUCCAUAAGUUUUGGCCUUGCGGUCGGUCUCCGUUCGUGCAUUAAAACCCCACGAACCCCUUGCCAUCCACAGUGAUCCUGGUGUUCGCUAGAAUCCCUAUGUGAGCUUAAACAAAACUACCGAAUGGCCGGUUAUUAUUAUUAUGAUGUUAGAGGUUACAUGUAACAUGCAAUUUUUUACUAAAGUAAAUUCAUGUUGGUUUUACCAGUCAAAUGCAUCAGCCAUAAUCACAGCCAUUUUUUCAUCCUAUUACACCUUCUGAACUCAGGCUAGAAUUGUGUGUUUGUAUUUUCAACAUGAUCACAAUCCAAAACAUUUGAACAAUAAAAAAAAAAAAGUUACAAACUUGACUUAUCUCUUAUUGGUAUUCACAUUAUCUCAUCAUCAUGGAGUUAACAACAAGUAAAUCUUGUUGUGGAGUUAACAGGUAAAUCUAAAGUAAAUAGUGCUUUUUUAUAAUACUUUAUUUUUGCAGUGCAUUGCAUACAUAAAGUUAUUCAGCGAUAUCGGUGAUGUAGACAAGAAUAAAGACGUGUUAAACUUAGCAGGAUUUAUGCACUAUUUUUGUUAAACAAGGUAAUUGUAAACCGAGGGUAUCAGAAUACAAUACAAGUUGUUAGAGAUUGUGAAUAAGUGAAAACAUGUACUGAUAAUCCUCUGUUGGAGGAAUAUAUAUGUACAUCUUGGGAAUAUACCCUGGUUUGUAUCAGGUAAACUGAAUGCUUGUUGGCGUAUAUAUAAGUGUAGGACAAGCUUUGACAAGUUAGAUGUGUCAGUAUGGAGGCAUGUUAGUAGCCCCUAACCAAGGGGGCUGUGAGGGGGGGCAGGUGUUUUACGCCAUAUAUUAGAGGUUGAAGGCCUAGUAAUUAGUCCAGUUCAUGGUACCGAAGCUUGUGAUCCUCUUGCCCUAGGGACAAAGGGAGUGAUAUUAUCAGGGUCCCAAGAUGUUACUGGAUGUGUUUCAGAUGUGGUUACAUCUGGUAGGGACAGUCCCAUUUUUUAAGAAUGUUGAUGCUUCCUCCAUCGAUGUAAGGAUGUGUGCAGAUCAGGAGUGGGUUACCACCAGAGAGCUGUUAGUUCCCCAUCUAUAUGCCAGCCCUGCUGAUUGCAGUUGGGUUGUGAAAGUGUAUAAGAUUUCCGCCAAGGUAAAGUGGCUCUUGUAAGGUCAUCAAAUGUGAGAGGUGUUUUGCCUUUCAGGGCAGUCAUUAUGUGGAUUUUGUCAUGUACGGUGAUGCAGCGAUGUAUGACAUCUCUUAUCAUAUUUGGGUUUGAGUGGAUGUUGCUGGCGACAUGGUAGGCUCCAUCGAUAGUUAGUCUCUUUGCCACUGCAUGAGGUAGAAUGGCACCCAGUAGGCAUUGGAUGUAGUGUGCUAAUUCUUCUGCCAUUACAGUGGCUGGGAUGCCACAAAUUUUAAUAUGAGUGCGGCGUUAGCGGUCUUCCAUGGCCUUAACUUUAACUGAGAGGGUUCUUUGUUUGUUGUGUACUGAGUCGCUGAGAGUGGUCAUUUUAGUGUGUAUAUAAGCAAUGUCCUCCUCUGAGGCCUGUACCUGGUCUGUGACAGCUUGCACUUCAGUUUUAAGGAGAGCGGAGUCCGCCGUUAGGAGUUUAUGGAUGUCCACUAAUAAGACCCUCAGGUCACGUUUGGUGGUAGGAGCUGAGUCAUCUGAGGGGUUGGCAGGUGGAGAUUGCAGAGAGUUCUGUGCUUUCUCCAGCUCCUCACAUCCCUCUGUGGGAGCUUGGCCAGAUACAGGCAGGUCUGUCACUGGUGCUGGCUUGUGCUGGGCAGGCCUCUGUAAUAUAGCCCCUAUGUUUCCUAUGGAAUUGGGCUUUUGUGAUCGCCACCCCAUGGUUGGUUUGUUGUCUUGAGUAGGAGAUGGCGUGGGAGGUGAAGCCACAGCGUGUCUCUCCACAGUGUUUCCACCAAUGAACUCUUCGAGGGCUCGGAAUCUCAGUGUGUGGUAGGCCGCAGAUUUGCACUACCUCUUAGGCUGUUUUGGGGCAAUAAAGAAAGGCAUCUAUCAAUGCAGCCUGUGUAGUAUUUUCAAGCUAGGUGGUUUUUGGAGCUGGAUCAGUGUUAGUUUUGUGAGGAUGAGGCAGAUAUGGAAAUUUCCUGAGAAACUGAGUGAAAUGGCAUUCGAUCAGAUUUUUAUGGCAUUCUCCGCCCCCUAAAUAGUAUUUUUUGUGGUUACAUCACAUAUUUAAUAUUAUUAUUCUUAAUAAUCUUAAUUUUAUUUUAACUGUAAUAAAAUCACAUCCACACUUUUGCAUGCAUAGACAUUUACCAACAAAAUACAAUAACAUACUACAAACAGUUGAGAGGAGAGAAGGCUGAGUUCUAUAAGAGAAGCAUGUAUCUAUCCUAUGCAAUUUAUAUAUUAGAUCAUUAUAAAAAUAACUCUCUUUUAACUAUUAUAGCUGAAAAACAUAAGUGCUUUUUCAAGACAACGUUCUCGUAUUCUUUUGUUUUUAGCUGAUGAGUUAUUAAUUCAACUCCAUUGUCCAUCUUAAGUUGGAAAAUGAUUUGAUCUUUCCAUUGUGAAUUCAUAAUUUCUUGGGAUUGUUUCCAACCUCUAGCUAACAACGGUUAACAACUAAAAUACCAUACUCUGCCAUUGCAGUAUAUGGAUAUUCAUGUUUCAGAAAUGACAAAGCAAAAAACUAUAAUUGUUGCUGGAAUCUACUGCCCACCUAGCUAACCAGUGCAUGCUUUUUCCGAUAUAGUCCAAUUCCUUUGUGAAACUGUAGCUCAAAACCAAAAAAGUGAACUGUUAGUUUUUGGAGAUUUUAAUAUUAAUUGGCUCUUAAUAAUUAAAAAAUGAAAAAUCAGUGUGGACCACAUCACAGCCCAGUAAUGUUGCUGUAGCUCAUUUCGCAAGCAAUUGCUAAACCUGUCACUACCCUAAUCAAUCAAUCCCUGGUGUCUGGAUAUAUACCCAAACUUUUGAUGACUGCAAAAGUAGUACCAAUGGAAAAAAAGUAGUACCAGUGGAUUGCGUUCUCAUCUCUUUUUUAAACAUUAUUCUGUUUGAAUACUAAACAAAUCACCGAAUAACAGACCACCCAUACACAAUAAUUACAUCCCCAAAACAUAUAUUUGAUAACUGAGUACUCCUUCAAGUCCUAUAUACCUGAUAGCCUGAAUCUGAGUGCUCAACAUAUCCAGAAAGCGCUCAGAUCCCAUAAACACAGCCGAAAUGCAAGUGGGGUAAAAUUUAGACCGUGCACGAGGUGCCUGCCCAAAAGAUUUCCAUGAAAUUAGGCUGAACGGUCAGUCUGCUUCGGGGGUACAAAAUGCAAUAAAGUACCGAACAUAAACAUUCAUGAAUAUGCCAAGUUUUGGUCUCACCGAAUGCCUUUCAAUUUCAACACCUUUUCCCGAACUUCGAUGGAGGUGGAAGUUCCAGCGGUGUUCGCUUGUCGAAUGUCUGAUUUUAGUUCCAUACACUCAACACUGUGUGCCACUUGUUGACCCUGUAAACCUCUGCCAACACCUCAGUAACUGCAAUAACACCAACUUUCUAAGCGGUCGGCUGGUUGGUCGUCAUUCGUAUGUGCGAACAAGUGGUGUUUGGUCGUCGAGUGUAUGGAACUAAAAUCAGAAACUCGACAGCGUAAACACCUCCAUCGAAGUUCAGGAAAAGGUGUUGGAAUUGAAAGGCGUUCGGUGGGAACAAACCCCCGAACAAGAGACACAAACUAGGCAUAUUCAGAAAUGGUUAUGUUCUGUAAUUUAUUGCAUUUUGUACCCCCGAAGAAGGCAUUUCGGUUGUGUUCGUGGGAUCUGAUUGCUUUUGGGAUAUGUUGGGCGCUUAGAUCCAGGCUAUCUAGGGAUAUAGGACUUGAGGAAGUACUUAGUUAUUAAAUAUAUUUUUUGGGGGUAUAAGUAUUGUGUAUGUCCUGGACCUGAGAGUUCAUGUAAUUAUUUGUGUGUUGUACAGUAGUCUUCUCUCAGGUUCAGUGGGGAAUGCCCCUGGAAUAUGUUACAGUAAACCGCUUUCAUGGGAAUGCACAUAAAAGGCCAUGUGUGGUCCCUAUUAAAUCAGUUACAGUUUUACCCUCAACACAGAGCCUUGUCUUGUGUUUGUAAGAACAGCUAUAACAGCUAUAUCACCACUCAUGGGUUUAUCACUUUUAGGAUUUUUGUAGCUCUACUCACACUUGGGGGGAAAAAGAACAUCUCUGGCGGCGAAACCCUUCUUCCCAUCUGGGUGUCCGCCACAUAUUGUGGCAGCAGUAGGAUGGUUCUUUUUCAGCAGAGAAGAUGCUACAAUGAGCUCUAAAGGCGGAAUAGUGGAUGGAGAAUCGGUAUGGACAACUGAAAUCAUCCACCUUAAAGGAUCUGUUGGAGAGCCGCGGCCGAAUGGCAAACAACCAUAGGAAAAGGGAAUUAAUUGCCGAACUGCUUGAAAUGGACCGGACUGACAAUGGAUGUCAGGAAUGCGGAGGAAAACUUGCUAAGCUCCAUUCAGUUGCGGUUGGCAUUGUAUGGGCCAAAUCCUCCUGCAGACAUUGCUACUCAAGUGAUGGCUGGCGCAGAUACUGAUGACCGGGAGAAGCAUCAGUAUCAGCUACGUUUGGUGGAGCUUUAGCGACUAGAAGACUCACCAGUGAGGGUACUUCCACCCACUAUAGAACGGAGGAAGGUACCCUUUUCUGCUUUUAGAAAUUUUCAAGAAGGAGAAAUAGAUGGGUACCUUGCAGACUUUGAGAGACAAUGCGCUUUACACAAAGUACCCACAGAUGAAUGGGUUACCAUUUUGGCUGGGAAGUUAUCAGGGAGAGCUGCAGAGGCGUUCAGGACCAUCCCCGGUGAUGAGAUCCAGCAUUACAUUGCUGUAAAGGAGGUGUUGCUUGCCCGGUACACCAUCACCCCAGAGCCGCACCGCCAGCAGUUCUGAGAGUCCAAGAAGCAAGGGAAUGACUAUUACACCGUAUAGGCCUGCUGUCUCCGCAGGACAGCGUCCCACUGUGUAACCGGUUGCCAAGCAGUGUCUGGGGAGGACGUACUACAAUUAUUUCUACUGGAGCAUUUCGUCAACACCCUCAACCCUGACAUUAAAGAAUAGAUACGUGACCUACCUGAGGUGGCUCGCUUAGCUGAUGAGUACACGGAUUCCCGAAAGACUAAACAACACACAGUAAGACUCCCUCCAUGACCAGAGAUCCCCGCCAUUGUGCCCCCCCCACUUCUUACAAGGAACCCCCAGGAAUCACAGAUGUUGCAGACACCCCGAUGGGAAGAGGGGUUUCGCCACCAGAGAUGUUCUUUUUCCCUCCAGUGUAAGUAGAGCUGCAAUAAUCCUAGAAGCAAUAAUACCAAGAGCAGUGAUAUAGUUGUUAUACCUGUUUCCUACAAGCACGAGACAAGGCUCUGUGUUAAUGGGUAAAACUGGAACUGAUUUAAUGGGGAACACACACAGCCUUUUAUGUGAAUCCCCAUGUAACAUAUUUCAGGGGCAUUUCCCACUGAGAAAAAGACUACUGUACAACACACAAAUAAUUACAUUAACUCUCAUUUCCAGGACAUACACAAUAAUUAUAUCCCCAAAACAUAUAUUUAAUAACUGAGUACUCCCUCAAGUCCUAUAUACCUGAUAGCCUGAAUCUGAGCGCCCAACAUAUCCAGAAAGCGCUCAGAUCCCACAAACACAGCCAAAAUGCAACUGGGGUAAAUGUUAGACCGCGCACAAGGUGCCUGCGCAAAAGAGUUCCAUGAAAUUAGGCUGAACGGUCGGUCUCCUUCGGGGGUACAAAAUGCAAUAAAGUACCGAACAUAAACAUUCAUGAAUAUGCCAAGUUUGUGUCUCACCGAAUGCCUUUCAAUUUCAACACCUUUUCCCGAACUUCAAAGGAGGUGGAAGUUCCAGUUGUGUUCGCUUGUCGAAUGUCUGAUUUUAGUUCCAUACACUCAACACUGUGUUCGCGGUUAAAGAUAGCCGCUGCCAUGUGUUCGCGCAUGUGAACGACGUCAACCCAGCCGACCGCUUAGAACGUUGGUGUUAUUGCGGUUAGUGAGAUGUUGGCGGAGGUUAACAGGGUCCACAAGCAGCACACUUUACAUAUGGGUGGUCUGACAUUCGGUGGUUUGUUCAGUAUACGAACAGGAUAAUGUUAAAAUAAGAGGUGAACGCAAUCCACUGAAUAAAUAGGAGAAUGGGACAAAAAGCUUUAUAAUCCAGGGACAGGGUGGUCUGUCACAGUACCUAUCCAUAAAAGUAGUGACAAUUAUCUAUCUAGUGACAGGUAUCUAAAUAUUGUCCAAUAUCAUUGCUCCCCGUAUUGUCAAAAAUAUUGGAAAAAUGCGCUCACAUGCAACUAUGUGAAUAUUAUCAACAAUCAAACUAUCUGACCCCUGAUCAAACAGAUUUUAUCCAAAUCACUCAAAUUCGACUGCCCUCUUAAAAGUUUGCAAUGACAUCUAAAUUGGCAUGGAACAAGGAAACGUAACUAGAGCUAUUUUCCUUGAUUUAGCCAAUGCCUUUGACAUAGUAGACCAUGGCAUUCUUUUGCAAACACUUAAAAACUCGGGUAUUGGUGGUGAUCGUCCGCUAACCUGGUUUCGAUCAUAUGUAUCAGACCAAUUGUAAUAUGUGAUAGGCAUGUGCAUGGGAAAAUUUUUCGGUUUGGUUCGGCAUUCCGAAAUUUGGUACUUGGGCAAUUCUGCGCUUCGGCAAUUCGGCAUUCCGACACAUUGGAACUUCGGCAACUUUGGCACUUCGACACUUUGGAACUUCAGAACUUCGACACUUCGGAAAUUCGGUAAUUUCGGAACUUCGGGACCUCGGCAAUUAGGCACUUCGGGACUUCGGCAUUUCGGGACUUCGGGGCUUUGGAAUUUCGGAGCGUCUCUUGCAGCUGCUUAGUAGAUAACUCCCUAAUUCCCAUGGUCUUUCAGCCAAAUUUACUAAUACUAUACCGCGAGUAGGGGCAUGUCUAUUAAACAGUGAGCCAGUGGCUGCUCACUGUUAAAAAAAAAAAAUGGGUCCCCCCUCCCAAGCCCCCACCCAUGACACAUGAGUGGGGGCUUUUAAACUAAAGGGGAGGCCUAUUGCCCCCCCCGGAUCCCACCCCUGAGCGACGGGUGGGUCCCUAAAGUAAAAUAAUGGGGGGACCUAUUGUCCUCCCCCCCGGCCCCCACCCCUGAGCAGCGGGGGGGCCCUAAAGUAAAAUAAUGGGGGGACCUAUUGUCCUCCCCCUGGCCCCCACUCCUGAUCGGCGGGGGGGCUCUAAAUUAGAAUGAGGGGGGGACCUAAUGUCCUCCUCCCGGCCCCCACCGCUGAGCGGUGGGUGGGGGCCCUAAAAUACUAAUUAGGGGGGACCUAAUGUCCUCCCCACUGGCCCCCACCUCUGAGCAGCGGGUGGGGGCCCUAAAUACUAAUUAGGGGGGACCUAAUGUCCUCCACCCUGGCCCCCACCCCUGAGCGGUGGGUGGGGGGCCCUAAAUAAAAAAAUAACCCCCCUCCCCAGAUGACUAGGGGUACCCAAACCCCUAGUCACCCCCCUUCCCCAAAAAAUUAACCCCUGCCUACCCCCCUCACCCUACAAAUAAUGAGGGGGAACCAUUUAACUAAAUUCCUGAAAAAAAAAAAACUUACCAUUUGAUGUUUUCUUUCUUCUAAAAUCUUAUUUUUUCAGCCCUAAAAAAAGGCCAAAUAAAAAGCCAUAAUAACCGACGCCCUUAAAAAAAAAAGAAAUGAGCGCAAAAAAAAAAAAAAACAUCUUCACCCAGCGAGGGCUCCGCGCAGACUGAGCUCUGCAGGGUGGGGGAAGGCUUAUAAAGGCUUGCCCCGCCCUGCAAUUAGGCUCAGAGCACUUUGAUUGGUGGGUUUAAGCCAUCCAAUCAGAGUGCUCUGACAGGUAAAUGAAGAGACUGACAGGUAAGUCUCUACAUUUAGCUGUCACAGCACUCUGAUUGGUUGGUUUGAAAUCAAAAAAGUGCUGAAGUGCAGAAGUUCCGAAGUUGCCAAAACUUCGGAACUUUGGCAACUUCGGAACUUCUGCACUUCAGCACUUCGGAACUUAGGCACUUCGACACUUCGGAAAUUCUGUAAUUUCGGAACUUCGGCACCUCGGUAAUUCAGCACUUCUGCAAUUCGGCACUUCGGCUAUUCGGAAGUACCCAAAUGUCCGAAUUGCCCAAAAUUCGUUCGAAUUCAUUUUCGGCCCGAAACGAAUUGCACGUGUCUAAUAUGUGACCACUUCUGAUAGUGCCUCCUUCCGUCUACCAUUCACAUGUGGUGUUCCCCAAGGCUCCAUACUCAGCCCACUACUAUUCACAUUAUUUAUAAAUUAUCUGCCUAAAGUCUGUGAAUCCUCAUCUGUACACAUGUAUGCAGACGUCACUAUAAUCUGCGCUAGUAAACCCAAUCUACUGCAGCUUGAGACUGUGCUCCGAGACAGAUUCACAGAGGUAGAAAAGUGGAUUGCAGUUAACAAACUCUUCCUAAACACUGACAAAACUGUCACAAUGACAAUAGCUCAUUGACCACAGUCUGUUCUUUCAAAUAUCUAGGUAUGUUGCUAGACCUAAAUUUAUCCUUUGGCCUUCACAUUGAAAAAAUCUCUUCAAAACUUUAUCCAAAACCAGGUGCCCUGUACAGAAACAAAUCCUGCCUAAGCCCUACAGUAAGGAAGCAGUGCAACAAAUGUUAAUCAUAAACGUAAUGCAUUGUAAAAUAUGUUAUGCAGCUUUGUACUAGAAGGUAAUGACUUCACCCACCAUUGUGACAUGUUAAAAGAGCUAAACCAGCUAUCCCUGGAAUCCCGACUCACUACAUCUUUCCAACCUUGUGCAUAAGAGCUUUUCUGGGAAGCUCCCACCCUACCUGAGUAGAAUGCUCUCCCCAGCUGUUCCAACCUCCUAUAACCUUCGAUCCAGUACCAGCACGAUAUUUAACAUACAUACAAUACAAAAAUAAAGUGGCUAGAUCUUCAUUUUCCUACAGAGCACCAAAAUUAUGGAAUAACCUCAGAGACACAGUCAAAUCUUCAUUUAAUGUAAAAUCUUUUAAGAGAUCUAUGUCAACAUACCUUGUGACGAGACCAAUCUCGCCACUGUGCAUUGGAGGUUCCUGGUUGCCCGCCUGCUGCCUUUAGACUAUGGCCCCAUGUUGAAAUGCUUGAUUUUCCCCUGCAAAGACACGAAAACUGGUUCAUUCAUCACUUGCCCUAUUUGAACAGUGAUACACCAGAUAGCUAUGCCAUGGAGCCCAUUUGUAUAACGAAAGACUAUGUGAAAGACUUUGGCUCCAUGGCAAUUGAACUGUAUGUAUGUGAUCUGAGUGCCAUUCAGUAAUAAUGUGAACUCAGAUCUAAGCUAUCUGGGGAUAUGUUGAAUGUACCUGUUUUAUGCAAUAGCUGCACAGUUAUAUAUUUUUAUAUAUUUUAUUGUCUUUUGCUACCAUGUGUUCAAUGGAGUUUUGCCUCUGUCCUUGGAGAUACUUGGAUUACUUCCCAAUUAUCUUCAGGAUAGAAGACUCUGUCUAACUGGCAGAAAAGCCAUGCUUCAUUUGGUCACAAAGGACUUCUAUCUUUUGAACCACUGGACCAAUUUGGAUGAUUUUGACAUAUGUUUGUAUUUGGAGUAUGCUGAUUCUGAUGUAAGUUUUAUGUGAAUGUGAUGUAUACUUUUAAAGUUAUGAAUAAUGUGGAAAAACUGUAUUUCUCUGCUUGUGAUAAUUACAUUAACCCAUUGUGUAAGGUAAUUGUACCACAGGCAGAGGGGAGGAUUUUGUGUGGGAGUGUCUGAGUGUAUUGUACAUGUUUAUUGGUUGUUUUACAAAACCCUGUGGGUGGUACUAAUGUGUAAGAAUGUGUAUAUAAGAUGUGUAUAUAAGAUGUGAAUGUGUAUACAAUGUGUAUAUAAGAACAAUAAACCCAUAGCCAUGGUUCCAGUUCAGCUGUUUACGGCAUUCUAAUUGUUUCUUGUUCAGCAGAUUGGUGUCUUUGGUAGCUGCCUGUGUAUCUGGAAGGGGAAUAUCCUCUAAAUGGCGUUUAACCCCUUUUAUGCACGGGGUGCGGUUACAUACCUCAAUACAGAAUGCACGUUUGAUGGUUUACUGUAUUUAUGACCUUUUACGUGUUAAAUUUACAUGUGUAUGUAUAUAUAUAUAUAUAGAUAUAUAUAUAUAGAUAUAUAUAUCUAUAUAUAUAUAUAUACAUGUAACGGACCGAUUUGUACACAAGGGGUAAAAACCGUUUAGGCGAUCGCCCCCCUUUCCAGAGAUACAGGCACAGCUACUGCAGAACACCAAACUCCCGAACUGCAUACAAAAUAGCACCCCAAACUCCCAAACUGGAACCUCACAAAUAGCUGCUAGCAGACGAAUAGGAAAAGCAUCUAAGCGGCUUACACUCCUAGAAAUCAGUCUCUAACAGCAUACAGUAAAUCCCCCCAAGAACAAGACAAAGCUCCGUGUUGAGGGUCAAGCAGUGAACAGACAGAGCUGUGGGUUCAUUGUGCUUAUGUACACAUUCUUACACAUUAGUACCACCCACAGGGUUUUGGAACACAAACAAUAAACACAUACAAUACACUCAGACACUCCCACACAAAUUCCUCCCCUCUGCUUGUGAUUCAAUUACCUUACACAAUGGGUAAUGUAAUUUAGCACAAGCAGAGAAAUACAAUUUUUCCACAUUAUUCAUAACUUGAAAAGUAUGCAGCACAUUCACAUGAAACUUACAUUUUCAGAAUCAGCAUACUCCAAAUACAAACAUACGUCAAAAUCAUACAAAUUGGUCCAGUGGUUCAAAAGAUAGAUCGUAGUCCUUUGUGACCACAGGAAGCAUGGCUUUUCUGCCCAAAACCAGUUCCACAGAGUCUUCUAUCCUGGAGAUAAUUAGAAGUAAUCCAAUUAUCUCCAAAGACAGAGACAAAACUCCAUUGAACACAUGGCAGCAAAAAGACAGUAAAAUACAAUAAAAUACACAAGGUUACAUUUAUGACAUAAAAUACAGACAUGUAACAUAUGUCCAGAUAGCUUAGGUCUGAGCGCAUAUUAUUACUGAAUGGCGCUCAGACCACAAACACAUACAGUUCAAUUGACAUGGAGCCAAGGUCUUUUAUUACAUGAAUAGGCUCCAUGGCAUACCUAUCUGGGUUAUAAGAGUUCAUUCAGGAAAUCCGAGAAUCUACCGAACACCGGGCAGAAAAGCACGAAUAAGUCUUUUCUGCAGUGAAAAAGAUGUCUUUUAACAUGGGGGCUAUAGUCCAAAGGCAGCAGGCGAGCAACCAGGAUUCUCCAAUGCAAUGUGGUGAGAUUGCUCUCGUCACAAUACAUAUAUAUAAAACUUGAAAAAAGUGAGCUCUAUGGUGCAAGUUUUACACCCUGUUUCAAAUUAUUAUGCAAAUCAUAUUUUCUCAUUUACUUAAAUAAUUGAUGUAAAUAACAUUCAGCAUAAUUCUCAUGUUAUCAACUAUUAAGAGUACAAUUCAAAUGUUGCUGAACAAACCUCCUAAUAACAGUAUUUUUUUUUUAAACAUAAAAAACUUACAAUGCAUUGUUUCAAAUUAUUACGCACAGUAAGUUUCAAAACACCAUAAAGGUUGUAAAGAACUGAAAAUUGUCCUUUGUUGUGUUUGCAGCAUAUUUACUGAAAUCAAAAGCUAUUUCAAUCAAUCUUAUAACAAUAUUUUAACUUUUUAAACAUUUUAACAGGUCACGUUACAUUUUAACAUAGGACCCCUUAUUUGAUAGCAGCUUCACAAGUCUUGCAUCCAUUGAACUUGUGAAUUUUUUUACAGUUUCUGCUUGAAUUUGUUUGCAAGAUGUCAGAAUAGCCUCACAGAGCUGCUGUUUGGAUGUAAACUGCCUCCCACCCUCAUAGAUCUUUUGUUUGAGGAUCCUCCAAAGGUUCUCAAUAGGAUUGAGGUCAGGGGAGGAUGGAGGCCACACACAUUGAUGCAGAGGUAUUCUUUGCAGCAUGAGAUGGUGCAUUCUCAUGCAUGAUGAUGAUUUUAUUACGGAAAGCAUAGUUCCUUCUGUACCAGGGAAGAAAGUGGUCAGUCAGAAACUACACAUACUUUGCAGAGGUCAUCUUUACACCUUCGGGGACCCUAAAGGAGCCGACCAGCUCUCUUUCCAUGAUUCCGGCCCAAAACAUGACUCCACCACUGCCUUGCUGACGUCACAGCCUUGUUGGAACAGGGUGGCUGUCCACCAACCAUCCACUACUCCAUCCAUCUGGACUAUCCAGGGUUGCACGGCACUCAUCAGUGAACCGGACUGUUUGAAAAUUAGUCUUCAUGUAUUGUUCUGCCCAAUGCAGCCGUUUCUGCUUGUGAGCAUUGGUUAGUGGUGGCCGAAUAGAAAGUUUAUGCACAGUUGCAAGACUCAGGAGGACUCUACACCUUGAUGUCCGUGGGACUCCAGAGGCACCAGCAGCUUCAAAUAUCUGUUUGCUGCUAUGUAAUGGUAUUUUAGCAGCUGUUCUUUUGAUCCGAUGCAUGGAUCUGGCAGAAAUCUUCCUCAAUGUGACUUUAUCUACACAAACCCGUCUGUGCUCUGAAUCAGCCACAAAUCUCUUAAUAAUGCGAUGAUCACGCUUCGUGUUUUCGUGAAAUAUCUAAUAUUUUCAUACCUCGUCCGAGGCAUUGAACUAUUUCACUCUUUUCAGCAGCAGAGAGAUCUUUUUUCUUCCCCAUAUUGCAUGAAAAUGGUGCUCUGCUUAAUAAUGUGGAACACCCUCCUUUAGUAGUUUUUCCUUAAAUUGGGCUCACCCAGCAAUCUAAUUAUCACAGGUGUCCGAGAUUGUUUUCAGUGAUCAAGAGCCCUGAGACACAAUGCCAUCCAUGAGUUAAACGGAAAAACAAAAUAUUUAAUCUUUGUGACACUUAAAUAGAAUUUGCAUAAUAAUUAGGAACAGGGUGUAUAUGCUUCCAAUAUAAAUAAAAUAACAAACCCUCUCAGUCUUGUAAAAUGUAGCAGUAUCUCUUCUUCCAAAUUCUCCCCUCUGUGUUAAAUAUUAAUAAGCACAAAUAUUUUAGAAUAUUUAUAAGUACACAUACCCAAGAUUUUAAAUUAGGUCAUGUUAGAAAAAGUAAAAAUCUUGUAUUAAAAUCAGCUAACAUGAGAAAAUUAAAGUAAAAACUUUAAUCAAUCUAUUGUCAUGACCUGGACAUCUUAAUCUUUAGAAACAUAGAAACACAGAAACAUAGAAUGUGACAGCAGGUAAGAACCAUUCGGCCCAUCCAGUCUGCCCAGUUUUAUAAAUACUUUCUUUAGUCCCUGGCCUUAUCUUAUAGUUAGGAUAUCCUUAUGCCUAUCCCACGCAUGCUUAAACUCCUUUACUGUGUUAACCUCUACCACUUCAGCUGGAAGACUACUCCAUGCAUCCACUACCCUCUCAGUAAAGUAAUAAUACGUCCUGAUAUUAUUUUUAAACCUCUGCCCCUCUAAUUUAAGACUAUGUCUUCUUGUUGUGGUAGUUUUUCUUCUUUUAAAUAUAGUCUCCUCCUUUACUGUGUUGAUUCCAUUUAUUUAUUUAAAUGUUUCUAUCAUAUCCCCCGUCUCGUCUUUCCUCCAAGCUAUACAUGUGAAGUUCCUUCAUUCUGCUAGCGUUUCCUGCUGCUCUAUUACAUUGUCUGCCUACCUUUAAGUCAUCAGAAAUAAUCACCCCUAAAUCCCUUUCCUCAGAUGUUGAGGUUAGGACUCUAUCAAUUAUUCUGUACUCUGCCCUUUGGUUUUUAUGUCCAAGAUGCAUUAUCUUGCACUUAUCCACAUUAAAUGUCAGCUGUCACAACUUUUCUAGUUUACCUAAAUCCUUUGCCAUUUGGCUUAUCCCUCCUGGAACAUCAACCAAGUUACAUACCUUACCAUCAAGACCUUCUGCAAUACCACUAAUAAAAAAGAGAAUGGGUCCAAGUACAGAUCCCUGAGGUACCCCACUGGUGACAAGCCCAUGAUUCGAAUAUACUCCAUUGACUACAACCCUCUGUUGCCUGUCACUCAGCCACUGCCUUUCCCUUUCAACAAUAUUGGAAUCCAAACUUAAAGAUUGCAGUUUAUUGAUAAGCCUUCUAUGUGCAACAGUGUCAAAAGCCUUACUGAAAUCUAGGUAAGCAAAGUCUACUGCACCACCCUUAUCUAUUAUUUUAGUUACCCAAUAUUAAAAAUCAAUAAGAUUAGUUUGGCAUGAUCUCCCUAAAGUAAACCCAUGCUGUCUCUGAUCUUGAAAUCCUAUCCUUUAACAAUCCUAUCCUUUAACAUGGUUUCCAUUACUUUCCCCACUACUGAAGUAAGGCUUACUGGCCUAUAGUUGCCCGACUCCUCCCUACUACCUUUCUUGUGAAUGGGCACAACAUUCGCUAACUUCCAAUCUUCUGGAACUACACCUGUUAUUAAUGAUUGGUUAAACAAAUCUUUGUUUGGGGCUAAACAUGAUGCUUGAUAAAGGCCUCUGUGUAGGCUGAAAUGUUUCACUUUUUGUUUCAAUAAACCUGCCUUCCUGCAGCAAUCCUGUGUGCCUGGACCUAAUUUAUUUAAUCUGACAUUAAUCAAGGACAUAAGGGUGUCUUAAAGUCUAAACCUCUUAUUCGAGUAUCUGGGUAAGAAGUCUAUUUAUUAAAGAAACAUUGUAUGAGAAACAAUAUUUUCCAUUUCUAAAAAAAUUUCAGUUUGCAAAAUCUCUUAAAUGAAAAGUACACAAUUUAAGAAAUACAACUUAAAUGAAAAGUACACAAUUUCAGAAAUACAAUAGAUUGAUAUUUUCUACACUAGAAACUACCAGAUAACAAGCUGCUAUAUUUAAACCAGUUAUCAAUAGUGUGGGGAUAUUUAUGGGAUGAUAAUAUUAAACAGUCGAGAAUCGCCCACUAUUUCAAUUCUCUUAGAUCUUAGAGAUCGUUUAUCAAAUAAGUUAAAUGUGUUCCAUACAAUUAAGAUCACAAUGUGUUAUAAAAAUAGAUUUAAUUUAUUAUGACCAAUAAAAUAACAAUAAAAUUAGGCAGCAUGCAUGAUAUUAAUCAGUGAAUAUUUAGUAUAACAUAAGUAUGCAAUACAAUGGAAUGGCUAUACACGUUCCAAUGGCUAACAGCAUCAUCUGUCACUUAAGAUUUAUGAGGGUAAGCUUCAUGGACAAAAAGUAAAGCUUUUCACAGCGAAAAGCCAGAAAACCUUGGCUAACAGUUAAAUCAACUGAGUAACCCUUUCAAUGCUGGCUAGAUCCUCAUAGGCAUAUAGUAUCCUAUUCUCCUGUGAUUUUCAAUUAAAAUAACAUACAAACCAGCUCAUAAGUCAUUUCCUGGAACCAUCCAAUAAGAAUAAUCUACCAGAUUUUUACAAAAGCCGAAUUUUAAUUUGCCUAAAAAGAUAUCUUAUCUUAUAUUAGAGCAAAUCAAUACACCUGGAUAAAAACAGCGGUAUGCUAACAGGUGAUAAUAUCACAUUAAUAUAUAAUUAUUCUUAAUUCCACCUGCAGAAUGGAAUGUUUAUAACUAUAUAUUCUUUAAUUAACUAAGAUUUCUAAAUAUUGAAAUCUGACCAUGAUUUAUCCAGUCAUAUAUCAUGCUAUUAGUAAAUUUUAAUUAAUUUAAAUUAAUUAAAUAAAACCAGCAUAAUUACCAGUUAUGUAGAUAUUCUCAUCAGGUGAGUAGGUAGUCCCAGGAACUUGAUUGGUUGUAUGGAGGUGCGUGAGUGAUAGAGAAAAGUGGUGUUGGUUAGAAAGUCAGAGUAAAAUUCUAAGUGUUAAAGAGUUUAAGAGUUGAGUGUCAAAGAGUUUAAGAGUAGAGUGUUAGUCCCAGAGAAUGUCCUGGAUCUCUCUGCAUGUCCGAGUUGGAAUCCCCAAACUUCAACUCCCUCUCUCUGCCAACUAACCUCUCUUCCCUUUGUCCUAACUUUCAAAGGGCCAGACUCUUUGUACGUCAUUAGUUGAUAAGCCAAUAGGAAACUGUAGAUGGGUUCAAUCGAUGGAUCACAAUUUAGGUAUUUGAUCCAUAGAAGGCAGUCUUGUCUAACUAAACCUUCUUAUCCAGGAAAGAGUUAACUUUUCCUGAUGACGAUUUUGACGUCAUUUGGCUUAUCUAAAAUGACUACCAUAACUUAGAUUUGCUGUCAGUUCAAAGCGUUUGUCUCAGUCUUUGUGGCAACUACUUUGAUCAUAAUUUGUAAAGUUGACAGUUCUAAACUCAAUUUCACCCCUUACUUACAAUGGAACCUUGUAAAAUUUAGAAAGUAAAAUUAAUUAAUUAGUCUUCUCUGUCACUAGUGUCUGUGUUUAUAUAAUGCAUUCCUUUAGCUCAGUGGUUAGUGAAAUCAAGGAAAUUAUGUGUCUUCGAAUUUCUGAAGCUAGCAAAAUGGAGUCUGCUCUGUUCUGAGUGACUCUGGCAAUAUACACUUUUAAUAUCUUUCUUAGCACAAAAUGUCUGCUGAUAUAAAUAUUCUGACAAUAGCUAAGAGGUACUUAAACAAUAUUGCAAUUCUGGGGCAAUGCCCUUACAAGUCAAACUGAGAGGUCUGUUAAUAGGGAAAACUGUUGCCUGGAUACAAUUCUAAAACAAUUUCCAUAUGUCCUUUGCAGACUUUACACGCUGGAAAAACACAGGUGCCAACUGCUGUGGCUUUCUGCAGUGUGCAGACCGGCAAGGAGGGCAGGGUUGAGGAGUAGGUGGAAGAUGAUGUGGAGGAUGAUGAGGUCCUAGACCCCACAUGGAAUGAAGGUCAUGCGAGUGACGUGUGCAGUUUGGAGGAAGAGGCGGUGGUCACACAGAGGCACCAGCACAGCAUAAGAGGGAGCAGGGUGCAAAAGCGGAGCGACCAUCCCCUAGUGCUCGUCGGCAUGUAUUAGCUCUAGAAUUACCACAGUUAUCAAAGUAACAGAUGGAGCGAUCAAAGGAACCAUAACUGAUUUAAUGAGCCAUUCGCAGUUUCACUGUAGCAACUGUGCGCGCUUUCGGUGUUAUCAACCUGCUGCUGCUCGCAUGUCUGCGCUGCAGCGUAACUUCGGCCUUCCUGCUCACCGCCUCAUAUGCGACAUACCCACAAGGUGGAACUCCACCUUGCACAUGCUGGAGAGACUGUGCGAGCAGCAGCAGGCAAUAGUGGAGUUUCAGCUGCAGCAUGCACGGGUCAGUUGCUCUGUGGAACAGCCCCACUUCACCACCAAUAAGUGGGUCUCCAUGUGAGACCUGUGUGCAAUGUUGUGCUGUUUCGAGUACUCCACCAACAUGGCCAGUGCCAAUGACGCCGUUCUCAGCCUUACAAUCCUGCUUCUAUGUCUCCCUGAAAAAAUGCUUUGGGCGAUGAUUAGUGAUGUACCGAACGGUUCGCCGGCGAACGGUUCCUGGCGAACAUAGCAUGUUUGCGUUCGCCACGGCGGGCGAACAUAUGCGCGGUUCGACCCGUCCCCUAUUCGUCAUCAUUGAGUAAACUUUGACCCUGUACCUCACAGUCAGCAGACACAUUCCAGCCAAUUAGCAGCACAGCCUCCCUAGCAGACCCUCCCACCUACUGGACAGCAUCCAUUUUAGAUUCAUUCUCAAGCUGCAUGCUUAGUAAGAGGAGGGAAAGUGUAGCUGCUGUUCAUAAGAUAAGGAAAAGCAUAGCUAGGUUAGGGAUAAGGGUAUGCUUUUUUUGGAUUUUUUUUUUCUAUGUAAUGUAAAUGCACUUAGUUGUCUGCCACUGCUGCCAGCUUCUGUGUCAGGCUCACAGUGCCCAUUUCCCCAAUCAGUGCCACCAAUUACAUCUGGUGUCACAAUAGCUUGGAUUUAAAAACAAAAAACUUUUUUCACUGUUAUAGAUUGAAUAGCAGUCAGUUGUCUGCCACUGCUGCCAGCUUCUGUGUCAGGCUCACAGUGCAUACUGUGCCCAUUUCCCCAGUCAGUGCCACCAAUUACAUCUGAUGUCACAAUAGCUUGGAUUUAAAAACAAAAAACUUUUUCACUGUUAUAGAUUGAAUAGCAGUCAGUUGUCUGCCACUGCUGCCAGCUUCUGUGUCAGGCUCACAGUGCAUACUGUGCCCAUUUCCCCAGUCAGUGCCACCAAUUACAUCUGGUGUCACAAUAACUUGGAUUUAAAAACAAAAAACUUUUUUUACUGUUAUAGAUUGAAUAGCAGUCAGUGUCCUUAAAGCGGGUGUGUUACGCUAACAGUGAAUACGCUGACAAGUGCCACUAAUUAGAUCUGGUGUCACAAUAGUUUGGAUUUAAAAAAAAAAUAAUCUUUUUUCACUGUUAUAGAUUGAAUAGCAGUCAGUGUCCUUAAAGCGGGUGUGUUACGCUAACAGUGGAUAAACUGACAAGUGCCACUAAUUAGAUCUGGUGUCACAAUAGUUUGGAUUUAAAAAAAAAAUAAUCUUUUUUCACUGUUAUAGAUUGAAUAGCAGUCAGUGUCCUUAAAGCGGGUGUGUUACGCUAACAGUGGAUACGCUGACUAGUAACACUAAUUAGAUCGGGUGUCANNNNNNNNNNNNNNNNNNNNNNNNNNNNNNNNNNNNNNNNNNNNNNNNNNNNNNNNNNNNNNNNNNNNNNNNNNNNNNNNNNNNNNNNNNNNNNNNNNNNCGUGUCCCCAACAAGUCUGGGGACACGGCCUUAAAGGGGCAGUGUCCCAAUCUUUCUGAUGUCCCAAAAAAGGUGUUUAAAGGGCCAGCACCAGUCACAUAAAGAGUCCAUAAGCCCCAAUAUGCCCACCGACAGUCUUAAGGGCCAUACACACCAAAUAAAAGUGCAUACAUUUUCACAAUCUCCCAGGGGCCAUAGUCAUGCGGGAGGAGGCUGGCAAAGAGGCUUCUCCACAACCCAGGGAAACAGGGCAAUUUGCCAUUUAAGGGGCCCGUUACAAAUAGCAGUUUGUAACAAGGUGUCAAUCCAUAUCUGCCAAGUGACCCGAUGUAGGGGGAACAGUCCCUAUUCUGCUCUGUGUCAGUGUGUAUCAGGGAUCCUUAGGACAGGUGUCAAUCCAUAUCUGCUAAAGUGACCGAUGUAGGAGAACGGUCCUAUUCUGCUCUGUGUCAGUGUGUAUCAGGGAUCCUUAAGACAGGUGUCAAUCCAUAUCUGCCAAGUGACCCUAUGUAGGGGGACCAGUCUCUAUUCUGCUCUGUGUCCGUGUGCAUCGGGGCUCUGAGGACAGGUGUCAAUCCAUAUGUCAAGGUGUCAAUAUGUCAUAUGUCAGGUGUCAAUCCAUAUUGAUUGUGAUUUAGGAAUGUUAGGUGAUUUCUGCCCUUUAUGGAUUAAAACCAGACUCUGUAUCAACUGUGUAAUUUUCCAUGGGAGUUUUGCCAUGGAUCCCCCUCCGGCAUGCCACAGUCAGGUGUUAGUCCCCUUGAAACAACUUUUCCAUCCCUAUUGUGGCCAGAAAGAGUCCCUGUGUGUUUUAAAAUUCGCCUCCCCAUUGAAGUCAAUGGCGUUUCGGGCGGUUCGCCGGUUCGCGAACAUUUGCGGAAGUUCGCGUUCGCUGUUCGCGAACCGAAAAUUUCGGGUUCGCGACAUCACUAGCGAUGAUAGAAGAGAAUGUGGCACAGGAGGAAGAGGAGGAGGAAGAGGGGUAAUUUCCAUGGUUAUCAGGCCAGUCAUUCACAAGUGGCUCAGAGGGUGGGUUCCUGCACCAGCAUAGGCCAGGUACACAAUUGUCCAGCAUCUCCACACUGUCCCAUGGAAGCGUUCAGCUGUCCAUCUCCCAAACACUGGAGAGAAAGAUAAAGUACCCACCUACCCACCAGCAAUCCCUGGCCGUGAAUGCCAGCAUUUCAAAAUUCCUGGCCUUUAAAAUGCUGUCAUUCCGUCUGGUGGAGACGAACAGUUUUAAAAACCUGAUGGCAUUAUUAGACUGCAAGAAAUGCACUGCAGGCCGCAAAUGUUUCUUUUAUUUUAUGUCCCAAUAUUUUGGGGGCUACCCCAAUUAAAGAAAUACAAAAUAAAUAAAUAGAAAACAUUGUUGGCUACCUCCUCCUCCACCGCCGCUUCCACCUACACCGCCACGGUCACCGCCUCCUCAACCUAUGGGUCACUUAGUAUAAACUAUGUACACAUUUGCAGAGACUUGUGAAGGCCUUUUCUCCAUGCAUCAGGAGUUGAGCUCAGUUUGAACAAUGACAGAGAAUUCUCUGCACUCCAACCCUCUCUCAAAUGGAAAAUUCCGUUGAUCCUCAUGAUAGCCAUGCUUUAGAUUUUGAUUUAUGUUCUUCCAAAGCUAAAAUCAAAGAUUCCAUCUUGUGCUAUUUUAUGGCUCAGCUGUAUUUUUAAUUUUUAUGUAUUUUAUGUUAUUUUAAGUGAUUUCCCUAUCCACAUUUGUUUGCAGGGCACUUGUCCUACUCUUACCCCCAUUUUACUUCCUUUUGCAGCCCUCAAGCCCUUUCCAGGAUUUUAUUUAGAGGCAUUUUAGUGUCCAAAGGUUCGGGUCCCCAUUGACUUCAAUGGGGUUCGGGUUCGGGGUCAAGUUCGAGUCUGAAGUCGAACUUUUUGAUGAAGUUCAGCCGAACUCGGCAAACCCGAACAUCCAGGUGUCCGCUGCACUCUAAUAAGCACUCAUAGAACACAAUACAUUAUUUAUAAAGGGGCGUGGAAGACAAACAAUGAUAAGAAAUACCUCCUCUGCCUGAAUAAACCAUAUUAUGCAAAUCUAACUGAAUAUGCAAAUAAAUAAGUGUUUCUAUUUGAGUAAUGCACAAAUCUGUUGCAAACAAUAGAUGACACUGCACAGGCUUGCAAGAUCUUUUACAACCAACAUGUGGUGCUAUACAGGCUCAACAACUAAAUAUGCCCAAUUUAUAUAGAGCACACAAGGAGAGCACAGAAUACAUUUGACAAAAAAAAUUACAAUAUAACACACCCUGUACCUACAGUUGUGCUAAAAAGUUUGCAUACCCUGGCAGAAAUUGUGAAAAUUUGGCAUUGAUUUUGAAAAUAUGACUGAUCAUGCUAGUGAUCAUAUGAAGCCAUUUAUUAUCACAUAGUUUGUCUCCUUUUUAAAUCAUAAUGAUAACAGAAAUCACCCAAAUGGCCCUGAUAAAAAAUUCACAUACCCUUAAAUGUUUGGCCUUGCUACAGACACACAAGAUGACAUACACAGGUUAAAAUGGCAAUUAAAGGUUAAUUCCCCACACCUGUGGCUUCUUACAUUGCAAUUAGUGCCUGUGUAUAAAUAGUCAAUAGGUUUGACAGCUCUCACGUGGAUGCACCAAGAAAGCUAGAUACUGAGCCACCGUGAGCAGAAAAGAACUGUCAAAAGACCUGUGUAACAAGGUAAUGGAACUUCAUAAAGAUGGAGAAGGAUAUAAAAAGAUAUUCAAAGCCUUGAAAAGUACUGUUAAAUCACUUAUUAAGAAGUGUAAAAUUUGGGGAUCUCUUUAUACACCAAGCCAAGGACAGGUAGACCAAGUAAAGUUUCAGCCACAUCUGUCAGAAGACUUGUUCGGCAUACAAAUAAAAACCCACAAGUAACCUCAGGAAAAAUACAGGCUGCUCUGUAAAAAGACCUUGUGGUUGUUUCAAAGAGCACAAUACAACAAUACUUGAACAAAAAUGAACUGCAUGGUUAAGUUACCAGAAAAAAAGCCUUUGCUGCGCUAAUGCCACAAAAAAUCCUGGUUACAAUAUGCCCAAUAACACCUUAACACUCCUCACAGCUUCUGACACACUGUAAUUUGGAGUGACUGGAAAAUAAUAGAGCUUUAUGGUCGCAACCAUAAGUGCUAUGUUUGGAGAGGGGUCAACUUUGGCCAGUGUUUAUGACUAAGUGGCUACUAAAAAUGAUUGGAUAUACUACAUUUUGAAUACUCAUUUCUGGGCCUUAAAAGGCAACUUAGGGUCAGCAAACCAAUAUAAAAUUGGAUUAAAUUAAGUAAAUUCAUAACUUCUUUGGUGCAACCAGAAUGUGAGAAAAGUAAAUAAUAAAGAAAAAUAAAUAAAUAAAUUGAAGCGCAAUGUACGUUUCGGCGUUCUAGCACGCCGUCGUCAGAAGCAGUAAAUUUUGGAAUGCCCUUAUAUCGGUUUAGAUACCAGUUGUAGCAAUCAGCCAGUUGUAGCAAUCAGCUUGUUAAGUAUUGACUGCCGUGUGUGCAUCUCAUGUGCUUCUUCUGCCAUUUGUCCAGCCUUUUUCCAGCCUGUAUUACACACACGGCAGUCAAUACUUAACAAGCUGAUUGCUACAACUGGUAUAUAAACCAAUACAAGGUCAUUCCAAAAUGUACUGCUCCUGACGAUGGCGUUCUAGAGCGUGUCAAGCUUCUAUUUAUUUAUUUUUCUUUAUUAUUUAUGAAUUUACUUAAUUUAAUCAAUUUUUAGUUACCUGAACAGGAAGGGAGAGGUGUGCAGGUAGGCACUUGCGGUUUACCACAGUGCCGAGGUAAACAGGGACAGGACUCUCUCAUUAGUGGUUUCUGUUUGGGUUUUGAUGUUGGGAAGUUAUCCCCCCUUGACAGGAAUCUAUAUAUCUCUUAUUCAGACCAGUGAUACCAGUUUUUCCUCUACCUACCUGAUUUAUUUUAUCCAUUAGCUUUCAUUUAUGCAGCCUAGGCUUGCACGGCACAUUGAGGAUUAGCCAGGCUGUCUUUAGUUGGAUAUUGAUUUGGUCUGGAUGUGCUAAGAUACAUCCUUUCUAUUACCUUUUUCCUGUUUAUUUUUUAACCUGUUUUGCCUUAGGACUAUUAAAGGUAGGGACUCCUCCCCAUUUCUAUUACUCUCCUGUCCAGGACCUCUAAGUCCUAAUUUUUCUUUCUGUUUAAUAUAUAAAUAUUUGAUGUGAAAUAAAAGCCAUGUUUCUCCUGAAAAUAAAGUGUGGGUACACUUAAUAUGAAAGAGAUAAUAAUCGGUUGAACAGACAUAUAGUAAAAAUUCCAGAUUUUAUCUUCUUGUUUGGAUCAGAACGUACACAAUUGCCUGGAACAGAUUCAAACAUGUGGCGGUGGCCAUCUUAAAUUGUCCAGCAGUGUUUUGUUGUCGAGUGUACUGUUUUGGGCAUGGGACCAUGUGCACAGUGGGGCAAAAAUAAGACUUCCAGGAAAUUCCUGAACCCCUGAACCGAUCUUGGUGAUUUGUGGAUAUGUUGUUCACUCAGAUCGGGGCUAUCAGGGGGUUUGUGGAUAUGUUGUUCACCCAGAUCGGGGCUAUCAGGGGAUGUGGAGAUAUGUUGUAUUUUGGGGUACAUUUUGGGGUUUGUAAAAAUGUAUGUUUUUUUUCUGCUUAGAGUUAAUUGAGUUAGUCUAUUGUCUUCGUUAAUUAACUCAAUUAUCUCCCAAGCAGAGGGGAGGAAUUUACUGUAAAUGAAUGGGAGUGUUUAACUUUGUGACUGUACACUAUUGGCUGUUGAAUGUAUUUUUCGGUGCCCCACAAGGUCCACAUGGGUGGUAACCUUGUGGGAAAAGUUGCAUAAAAAGCCAGCCUAGCACAUUAAACUCUCAGAUCUGCUUAACCCUCAAUACGUAGCCUUGUCUCGUGUUUGUAGGGAACUGUUAUAUUCACACUGGGGAUUGCUAUACUUUGUAUACUUCCCUGGGCUCUAAUCACUUAGCUCUUUUAAAAGCUGUUCCUGUUACGCUCUCCUGGAGGGGAGGUCUCCCCAACACGGUCCUGGAUGUCAGAGGUUGAUCCAGGGUGGAAGGAAGACGGCGAGACUCCAGUUAAGCUACGGCGGUUGUGGAGUCUGCGGUGGUUGUGGUGUCUGGUGCAGUGCUUAUAGUCCUCGUUGUCAACUAGGAAGCAUCCGUCAAUGGAGGUUCCCAAUCGGGGUGCCAGGUGAUCCAUUACAGGGUGGUAUAAUGUUAAAAUAAGAGACGGUAACAUUAGAAAUAUAUAUAUUUAUUUUUUAAUGAUCAUGUUCUUUUAAAUAAGAUGUAGCUAAGUAACCUGGUUAAAAGUUUAAUAGGUGUCCAGGCUCAGAACCAUAGUGUUGUGGUUAGUUGUGGUUAGGGGGCCAUCACAGUCAUUAUCGACAUAUUUGCAAGUUAAACCUGUUUAAAAUAUGCAGAAUUUUCCUGUAUUCCAGAAAAGUAAUGUCCAUUGGCAUAAUUGCUUCUCAAUCAUUCAAAAUGAAAGAUAUAACUUAGAGCUGUUGGCUAUAACUGUGAAGAGGAACAGGCAUGACCUAUCAUAUAUGCGCUGAGCGUCCACUGCUGCUAUUGGGGGUGGAUAGUUGGGGGGGUAUAGUGAAUUUCCAUGUUUUAUCAAUAAGUUGGAGUGUGGAUAGAAGUAUCUGAAUAACCAAUUUUUUUUCUUUGGUAUGAUGAUAUACUAUCUGGGAGAUCUAAUAGUAAGUAGCACAUCGGAAAGGCAGUAUUAUAGAGCCUGUGUAGCUUUGAUCGCACCAUGUACCAUCAGUACAGCAUUUUACGGUGCUGCUCCAGGUGUACUGAGAACCUGACCAACCAAUGCGAUGCGUUAACUUUGGUUUUCCAUUUUUGAGGGGUAACAUAACAACCUAGUUCCUCUUCCCAUUGAAGGGCUGGGUUGGAAUUAGCAAACGGGUAUACUCAGACAGGUUUUGGUAACACAUAGAAAUUGGUCUACACUAAUGUGGCAAACUCGUAUUUAUGCACACUUGCUCCCAAACCAUUAAAGUAGUCAUAGAGGGCCUCUGGGGGCUGUCUCGUGUACCAUGCUUAUGCAAAUAGGAGUAGCAACUGAGUAGUGUAAAAACUCUGUGAAACAGGUGGUAAAGACAGGUAGUGCUUCUAUCAUGCCAGGGUUUGGCACUGAAAGUAGGAAUAACAUAUGGGACUGACAUUAUGGGCAUCGCGCUUGAGGUAGCCGUGGAGCAAACUAAUAUAAUUUUGUGUUUGCCCCACACUGCCAGGAAAAGUGCUGUCACCGGUGAUAUUAAUUUUCAUAUGGGACUGGUAUCUUUGGUCAGCCACAGGAGGUUAGUCACCCUAUGCGGAUAGAGAGAUUUGUUUUCUAAGUUGACCCAUUUUGGAGGAGGCUGGUAUAGGAAGUGAGGUAGUGAUGGACCACCAAUCUGCCCACCUUGGUCGGAGCUCUCAGCAGAUCUUUAGACACUCUUGAUCUGUUAUGUGCCCAUAUAAAGUCUGAUAGGUCUUUGUGGGUAGAUUUGAAAAAUGUAGAUGGAAUAUGUAUGGGGAGAGUGUAGAAUAAGUAUUGGAGUCUAGGCAUUAUUUUAAUAGCUAGAAUGUGUUCUGUCCACAAUAAAAAUAGUGACUUCCAUUGUCUCACAAGGUGUGUACAAUGUUUCCAUACUUUAAUAUGGUUUGCGGAAAAAGGUCAGCAGGGUUUUUAGUUACUCUAAGGCCUAAAUACUCGAUACUCUCCACACGCCACUCAAAGGGGAAUGACUGCUGCAGGGAUUGUACUAUCGAUGCAGGGAUUCAUUUACUUAAUGCUUGUGUCUUGGUUGUGUUUAGAGAGUAGUAGGAAAUUUUAAUAUAAUUGUGGAUAAGGUGCAUUCAUCUCGGUGAUGAAUGUUGAGGAUGCGUUAUGUAUAAGAGAAUGUAAUCCGCAAAAGCACUAAUUUUGAGUUCAUUACCAUGAAAUUCGACCCCCUUGAUCUCAUGGUCUGUUCUAAUAGACUGGCGGGGGGGAUUCAGAGCCAAUACAUAUAGUAGUGGGGGGAGGGGCCACCCCUGUCUCAUACACACCAAACAAUGUUUAACAUGUACACUGUAUCACUGUGUUAUUGGUGAUUACCCUUUCUAACUAAAUGCCACUGCUAUAUUAAUAUCCAAUUUAAUAAACUGCAAUUUGAAAGACAGCAAAAAUACAAAAUGAAACAAAUAACUAUUAAUUAUUUGAAUAUUUUAUUGUAUUCUAAACUAGAUUCUGAUGUAUUAAUUAAUACAGCUUAUUAGAAAUUGUGAAGUCUCCUGAAUGAGCCAAUUCUUGGGUUCAUGGCACCCCAGUCGGUAUAUUUUCUGUAUUCUCCUGGUCUCAGGUAAUACUGGCGGCCCCUGUAAUUUGGUUCCUCAUAGAACAUCCAGUAACCAUCAAACACAUGGCAGGAGUGGAUGUCAUGGUGACGGAAUCUCUCAUAGACAUGAGGACAAUCUUCAGUGAACUCCAUCAUCUGACCUCGAAAAUCUGCAUUCUCGUAGACCUUUACUCUGAAUGAACCGUGGUGCUUUAAGAAGAUUAAAAAAAAUACUUAAUAAAUAUUAUUAUAAUAAUUGCAUAAUUCAUGCAAAAAAUCUAGACUGAGAGUAUCAUUUUUAUUGCUAUUAACGCACCUGUUGCCUGACAAUUUAAUUGUGAAUUUAAGAUAUAUUCCAUUAAACAACUCAUGCAAUAAAAAAAAAAAAAAUUAAUAUAUAUAUGUUUUUAUUUCAACCAUUACUCUUGGUAACUGGACAAUAAUGCUUUUAGGACUGCAACUUUAAUACUUUUGUGAAAUUCUUAAUUGCUCUGGUAAACAUAUUUACCUGUGGGCUAAUACGACAAGAUCUGAUAGAGUCAUUGAAACCCAUCCAUUGCUGAAAAUUAGGAUAUUCUCCCCUGCUAAGAUAAUACUGGUGUCCUCUAUAGUUGGGGUGCUCAUAUAGGAUCCAGUUUCCAUUUUCCACUCGGAUGGAAUUGCAGCGAUGAAAAUUUGAGGACAAAUCUGGACACUCAGAGUUACACUCAUAAGAGCGACCCUGAAAGUUACGAUCCUCGUAGAAGACAAUCUAAGAAUAGAAUUAUGAAUUUGAACAUUUUAGAUUUUUUCAUUUAUUAUUAUUUACAAACCAUAUUAAUUGUAAUAGAUAACAAUGAGUCACAUUACAAAAAUAAAUCAAAUACAUCAGUGAAAACAUCAGAUUUAUUUGAAACAAGUGAAAUUGCUUUAAACAUAUCUGGUUUGAUUAAUCUAUGCAAUAGCUCUAGGAAAACAUCACCUAUCUCAAUUUUGUACUUGACAUUGAUUUUGUUCGGCAUUGAUUGUUUUUUUUUUCAUCUUUCUCUCCUAGAUUUUUAAACCCAUUGUUCAGCCAUAUUAAGUCAUAACAAUAUAUUGUUCAGCAGGUUUAUGGUUCAUAAAUGAAAACACAAUUCUGGCUAUUUAUUUCAAUAUUUCUUUUGUUACAAAUGUUUAACAUAUUCAGAUCAUCUUACCUUUCCCAUUUUCAGAGAUGGUUAAUCUGCUCAAGCAAGUUGUGCUGUUACACAGGAUGAAGGGCCUUUAUAUACCAUGUAACUUGCUGAUGCUUAAAUACAUUGAAAGCAAUGCUGUGCUGGCUUCUUUACACCAGUAAUUAGAAUGGAUAGCUAUUGUGCACUAUGUGCUUUUGUAUAGUUAUUGUAUACUAUAUGCUUUUGUAUAGCUUUUGUAUUGUGUUCUAUAUGUUUUUUUAGAACUUGAAGUUCACUUUUCUUCUAAGAGGAAUUCUAGAGAAAACUGUGACAGGUCGGUUUUCUUUAAGUAGGGUAUUUCUAUAAUGACUUAAGAAAAUCAAUUUUAAAGAGUGUUUUACAAAAAUAAAGGGUUUGACAUUAAUGCCAAUUGUUUUGCAAUUUGUUUACGUCCUAUUCUAGAAGAUAUUAUAAAUGUGAUUUAGUAUACUUGUAACAUGGGAUUUGGUAGUUAAGUAGACACAGUUUGAUUUUCCUAAUAAUGGCAAACAUUUGAAAUGUGAAAAAAGCCAUAUCUAGUUAAAAUCAGGCUUAUUUCUUAUUGGCAUUUACAUUAUCUCAUCAUCAUGGAAUCAACAAAAACGUAGAGUGCUUUGGUAGGUACAUCAUAUUUUUGAAAAUUAAUGACACCUAGACUUGAAGAUUCAGUUUUGGCAGAAUUGUGGUUCAGACAAAUUUGUGCCAACCGACUAUUUAGCUGAAGACUCCACAUGCCAUUGACCGAGCCAUUUUGGUUGUUUCAGGAUUCAGGGUUAACUAUUUGUCCACUGGUGGCACUUCCACCCCAAAAAUCAUGUCCACCCCCAGGAGAAGUAGCUAGCAGAUUGGAAGUGCAGUUUACCUCUAUACCUAUUUAUAUAUAACUAUACAUUUUUUCUCCUCUCUAUAUCCUCCCUAUUUCGAAUAUAUAUCGGGUCUGUGAUUAUCUUUUGGACUUUUUACUGAUUUAUCGAAAACACUUUAAUUAUUCAAUUACCAAUAAUAAUCUGCAGACUAUUUUUCCACCCAUUAUCUUAUGUUGGCUUUCCAAUAAUAUCAUGUGGCUUUCCUGUUAGAAUUUAUUCUUUCUGGCUCUAAUUGACCCACAUAUCUAAAAUGUCAUAUUGGAUUAUUCUACACAGGACAAAAUUAUAAACGCAAUAUUUUUGAUUUUGCCCCCAUUUUUCAUGAGCUGAACUCAAAGAUCUAAGACUUUUUCUAUGUACACAAAAGGCCUAUUUCUCUCAAAUAUUGUUCACAAAUCUGUCUAAAUCUAUGUUAGUAAGCACUUCUCCUUUGCUGAGAUAAUCCUUCCACCUCACAGGUGUGGCAUAUCAAGAUGCUGAUUAGACAGCAUAAUUAUUGCACAGGUGUGCCUUAGGCUGGCCACAAUAAAAUGUGCAGUUUUUCUGUAUUAGGGGUGGGGAGUACGGAAAGUUCCGGGGGGUCCGAAAACCAGUCAGUAUCUGGUGUGACCACUAUUUGCCUCAUGCAGUGCAACACAUCUCCUUUGCAUAAAGUUGAUCAGGUUGUUGAUUGUUGUUGAUUGUGGCCUGUGGAAUGUUGGUCCACUCCUUCUCAAUGGCUGUGCGAAGUUGCUGGAUAUUGGCAUGACCUGGAACAUGCUGUUGUAUACGCUGAACCAGAGCAUCCCAAACAUGCUCAAUGGGUGACUUGUCCGGUGAGUAUGCUGGCCAUGCAAGAACUGGGAUGUUUUCACCUUCCAGGAAUUGUGUACAGAUACUUGCAACAUAGGGCCGUGCAUUAUCAUGCUGCAACAUGAGGUGAUGGUCGUGGAUGAAUGGCACAACAAUGGGCCUCAGGAUCUCAACACGGUAUCUCUGUGCAUUCAAAAUGGCAUUAAUGAAAUGCACCCGUGUUCGUCGUCCAUAACAAAUGCCUGCCCAUACCAUAACCCCAUGGCCACCAUUGGCCACUUGAUUCACAAUGUUGACAUCAGAAAACUGCUCACCCACACGAUGCCAUAAAUGCUGUCUGCCAUCUGCCCUGUACAGUGAAAACAGUGAUUCAUACAUUAAGAGAACACCUCUCCAAAGUGCCAGACACCAUCGAAUGUAAGCAUUUGCCCACUCUAGUCGGUUACGACAACGAACUUCAGUCAGGUCGAGACACCGAUGAGGACAAAGAGAAUGAGCUUUCCUGAGACAGUUUCUGACAGUUUGUGCAGGUUAUACAAACCGAUUGGUGCAACAACUGUCAUGGGUGGAUGGUCUCAGACGAUCUUGGAGGUGAAGAUUGUGGCGAAACCAGCCACCUUUUUGGAUUAAGUGCCUUUCUUUGGAAUUAUGGACUUAUUUGGUCCGGCAAUUGGGGCCCACUGAACAGGUUAUAAACAUUGGGGUUGUGUACUGAACCAAAUUCUGAACAGUUAGACCACCCAGGGGAACCGUGUGCUGCCAAUUGACACUGUUAACCUCCUUCACACUUAGAAACCACAAUGUUCUAAGCGGUCAGCUGGGUGGCCAUCAUUCGUAUGACCGAAUACGUGGCAGCAGCCAUCUUUAGCUGCAAACACGUAUAACGGUGUUUGGUCGUUGAGUGCACUGAACUAUAAUCGGACACUCAACAGCACGAAGACCGCUGGGAUUUCCACCUCUACGUGUGUUCGGUUCCAUUCACGUGAGUAGAAAGGCAUUCGGUGGGAGCAAACUCCCGAACGAGGGGCACACAACCAACUGAUAUAUGAACUGUUAUAUUCAUUAUUUUAUUGUGUUUUGUAUUCCCGAAAGAGACAGACUGUUCCGCCUGAAUUCAUGGAAUUAUUUUGGGCAGGCUCCUCGUGUGUAGUCUGUCCUCAUGUGCGUUUUUUUGUGUCGUUUUUUUUCUGAUUAUAACGGACCUUUCAGCACACAAGGGGUUAAAACCGUUUAAGCGAUCGUCCCCUUCCAGAGAUGCAGGCACAGCUACUGUAGAACACCAAACUCCCGAAUGGCAUACAAUAUAGCACUCCAAACUCACGAACUGGAACCAUAUGAAUAGCUGCUAGCAGAUGAAUAGGAAAAGCACCCAAGCGGCUUACACUCUUAGCAAUCAGUCUCUAUCAGCAUUCAGUAAAUCCCCCAAAGAUGAGACAAGGCUCCGUGUUGAGGGUCAAGCAGUGGUCUGUUUAAUGAGGGCUACCUGCCCAGUAUUUAUGCAGGUCUCCCACCUGGUGGACACUCCCCUAGGGGACCAAAUGAGAGACUGUAACACAGGACAGACAAGCAGCAAUCCAGGACACACAGUCACAUUAUAUUCCCAUAAUGCAUCCUGGCUUCCUCCUCUCUGCCCUGGAGAUAAUUGAGAAGUAAUUCAAUUAUCUCCCAGGACAAAGGAAAGUCGCCAUUAUGCACGUGGGGAUACUAAAAUAGGAAUUACUGUUAAAAUACAUUAUGCGACAAAUGUUACACUAAAUAUACACAUUUAACAUAGCCCCAGGUAGCUCAGGUCUGAGCGCACAUUAUUAAGCGAAUGGCGCUCAGACCACACGAAAACAGUUAAUCGCCAUGGAGCCAAAGUGUUCAUAAAGUCAGUUCUCAUACGAAUGAGCUCCACAGGAUCCUAUCUGGGGUAUGGUGUAGUCAGGUACAACUACCGAAUACAGGGCCGUUCGUGCACGUCCACCGAACAAGAAGGGAGGUCAGCGGCUUCAGCGGUGUUCGUGCCAAACGGUGUCCGUUUUUAGUUCCAUGAGUUAGGCGUCGAACACCGCUGUGUCAUUCGUGGGUUAGUUCGGUAGAUUGAAUCUACCGAACACCGGGCAGAAAAUCACGAAUAAGUCUUUUCUGCAGGGGAAACAAAGUCUUUUAACAUGGGGCCAUAAUCCAAAGGCAACAGGCGAGCAACCAGGCUUCUCCAAUGCAAUGUGGCGAGGUUGCUCUCGUCACACUGAUUAAUACAGUUUAUUACCUUAUAAUGAUGUUCCAAAUUGGAGGUAAUCUCAGUGGGAUUAGAUUUCCACCAGUUUCAGGUAGAAUUCUAACCUCAUCAGUUCUCUUCUUGUCAGUUUUUAUGUAUUGGGUCAUGCCAAUGUAACAUCUGUAACCCAUUCUUAGCUACAGUGUAAUUAUAUCUUACAUCUGGAGCUUUUUUCUUGUAGGAAUUAAAAUACAUCUAUCUCCUCAGACUUUUCUAUUCAACAUUCAACUUACGGGAAAAUAUACUCACAAUUUACUAAUGGUACAAAUCAUGUUAGUAGUUAAUAUCUGUAGUCUAGAUUUGGAAAUCUAAAGGUGGUCCAUCAUGGACAGAAAUAUUGUGACAAAUAGAUUACUAACAUAGAAUGGAGGCAGGCUAUCACUAUGAGCCAUUUCAAUACAAAAAAAAGUGAAGAUGUGGGCCCCAUGGAUACAUUUUAGAGAAGGAUUUAACUGCAAACCCCGGUGUUUAUUGCGUUUUGACUCCCUCCCCCCUUUCCCACAUAUACUGAGACCAUGUAUGAAUGAUGAGUGAAUGAUUGUUUACUGUUGUUUAUGUUAGUAUUUUAAGUGUUUCUCUUUAAUACUAACUCAUACUGACACAUCGAAAUUACAAUUGAAACAGUCAGGGAAAAAAUAUUUAUUUAUUUAAUCGAGCAUUGAUUAAUCAAUAUUAUAAUUGUAAAUGCAAUUAAUAUUGAAUGUAACUACAAAGAAAAGUAAAAGAAACAUAAAGGUAAAUAAUAUAUAUACAUAUAUACAGUGGCGUACACAUGACCCAUGGGGCCUCGGUGAGAAAAUUGAUCUGUGGGCCUCUCCACCCCAACGCGGGCCAGGGCCGCAACACAUGGCGGCGGGCACCUGGUCGCUGUGACCCCUGUGACCACGGUAUGUACGCCAGUGCAUGCAGAUGCACAUACACUUAAAGGACUAUUAUAGACACCCAGAUCACUUCAGCUCAAUUAAGUGGUCUGGGUGCCAGGUCCCUCUAGUUUUAACCCUGCAGCUGAAAACAUAGCGUUUCAGAGAAACUGCUAUGUUUCACUGAGGGUUAAUCCAGCCUCUAUUGGCUGUCUCACUGACAUACAAACUAACAAACACACUGACACUCACUAGCAGACACACUCAAUAGCAGAAACAAACUCAAUAACAGACACACACAAACUAACACAUAAAGUAACACACACACAAAAACUAACACACUCAUUGACACUCAUUAACAGACACACACAGUAACACACACACUGACACACAAAAACUAACACUAACACACACACUCUAACACACACACACUCUAACACAAACGCACACACAUGUUUCUUUAAAAUUUAAUCCCCCAGCCUCCUUACCUUUGGGUGAUGCCGGAGCCGGAAUGACGUCAUAUUCAGGCUCCGGCAUCACUGCUGGAGCCAGCCUCGGGGGACCCUGAGGUGGCCAACUCCUGGGCCCCCCAGGAGAAGAGGCUGGCCACACUGGCGUACAUACCGGGUCGCAGGGCGGCCGGGCCCCCUGGUGGGCUACGCCCGGUUGCAGCCACGACCCCUGUGACCACGAUAUGUACGCCAGUGCAUAUAUAUAUAUUUCACUUAUGUAUAGUUUUAUUUUGAAUGGUAUUAUAGAUAGGUUUAUAAAUUGAAGAAAAAUAUAUUCUUAACACUGUUUAUAUGUUUUUUUUCUGAAUUAACUUUAUAUCCACUUUGGCACAUUCAUGACCUAUUCCAAAAUGGCCAUCUGAAUAUUUCCAGCUGAUUUGUGGGAUGAAUAUGAAUAUGAGAGAUACAGUAAGAGACCUCAGGGGGACUCCAAAAUGGCUGUUUGUAUGUCUCCAGGAGAACCGGAACGAGGGAGAGAAGUACCAUGAUGGCACCCGAAAACAUUUUGACAAUGUCACGAAUGGCGCCGGAAAUGACGCAACACAUAUAUAAUGUGUUUCGCAGGUAUAUUCUGGCGUUAUAAAUAAAAGUAAGCGAUAUCAGGAGCAGUGAGAAGUGACGUGGCAUGCCUGGGGGGGGUGAGAAGAGGCUGGCCACACUGGCGUACAUACCGGGUCGCAGGGCGGCCGGGCCCCCUGGUGGGCUGCGCCCGGUUGCAGCCACGACCCCUGCGACCACGAUAUGUACGCCAGUGCAUAUAUAUAUAUAUAUAUAUUUCACUUAUGUAUAGUUUUAUUUUGAAUGGUAUUAUAAAUAGGUUUAUAAAUUGAAGAAAAAUAUAUUCUUAACACUGUUUAUAUGUUUUUUUCUAAAUUAACUUUAUAUCCACUUUGGCACAUUCAUGACCUAUUCCAAAAUGGCCAUCUGAAUAUUUCCAGCUGAUUUGUGGGAUGAAUAUGACUAUGAGAGAUACAGUAAGAGACCUCAGGGGGACUCCAAAAUGGCUGUUUGUAUGUCUCCAGGAGAACCGGAACGAGGGAGAGAAGAACCAUGAUGGCACCCGAAAACAUUUUGACAAUGUCACGAAUGACGCCGGAAAUGACGCAACACAUAUAUAAUGUGUUUCGCAAGUAUAUUCUGGCGUUAUAAAUAAAAGUAAGCGAUAUCAGGAGCAGUGAGAAGUGACGUGGCAUGCCUGGGGGGGUGUCGCCAUUAAAUUCUGGUGCAAAUUUAUCUGCCUUUAAAUAGAGAGCUGCCAAAGGCGAACACAUCCCCCACCUGAGGAAGGCAUCUUCAGAAACGCGUUGUGGAUUUUAUGAACAGAAAGGACUUAUGCUGCACUAUACUUACUGAUAUGUAAGAACAUUUAUUUUUAUGAUUAAUACAUUUUUAUAUUUUAUUCUCAUUUAGUGCUUCUUGUACUUAUCUCUUCUUAGAAUAUCAGAGGUCUUUUACCUAAGAACUACUUCUAUCCCACCCAUGCUGAUAUACCUGGGUCAGUUGUAUACAGGCUCUUGAAAAUGUGAGUUUUUUUCUGUUAUUUUUCUGUUUUAAAAAAUGCAUUACAUGCAUUAUUUUUCGUUUACUUAAACAAUCUGGACAUUGUUGAAUUAAAUGCAAACUCUGCAUUUUGGAAGGACAUUGUCCUCCGGGAACAGGUAACAAUGUAUCCAUAAACCCUGUCUUUAUUUCACUAAAAGGUUGAAUGGAGAAACCAUUUAUUUCUACCCAGACAUAAGGAUUAAGAAUAGACUUUCAAUAAAGGAAGAGAACAGAUAUAACUCUCUAUUUGAUCAGAGUCACAGUCUCUUGUCAGCCAUUCUUUUCUAGUUCAAAGCAGGACACAACUGUGUUCUGAAGAAGUAUCUAUUAGUUUUAACAUGUUGAAUGUUACCCUCUAUCCAUUGCUCCAUAUCCAGCCAUGUUGAAUGUGGCAGCUACCCCGAGAGGAUGAGGGGUUUUGCUGCCUGAGACGUUCUUUUCCCCCGUCCAGAGUAAUGCUUUCUGAUUUCCCAGGAUAGUAUAGCUCUUACAAGAGCUAGGUGAUUAUAGCAUGUAUAGCUGGUCCCUACAAUCAUGGGAUGAGACUCUAUGAUGAGGGUAAGCAAGGAGUGAGUUUAAUGGUGCCACACUGACCUUUUAUGCAAUUCCCUAUGCAAGGUGUACUCCAACAUGGACUUUGUGAGGAACUUACAAGAUAAAGAUAUAGACCAAUUACAAAUGUAUGACACUCCCAUUACAAUCAUACAAUCCCUUCCUUCUGCCUGAGAGAUAAUUGAGCAAGAUACUGUACUAACUCAAUUAUCUCUAGGUGAAAAAGAACACAAUUUGCAGAUAAUCUGAAAGUACCCAAAAAACUCACAUAACCCACACACAAGUUAUAUCUCCUGAUAGCCCUGAUCUGGGGGAACAACAUAUGUAAAAACCACCCAGAUUGGUUCAGGGGAUUAAAAGUUUUAUAGAAGUCUUGUUUCUGACCGACCACCAUUAAUGGGAUAGGCUCUCAUCAACAGGAGUUUCUUGUCUGAUGCAAAGUCAGUCCAUUCCAAAUUGGCUAACGACCAUUUGGUUAUGUUAUUCAUGUUAUGUAUAUGUAUUUGUAUUUUUAUGGGUAGACACACCGACGAGGGCUUUGUUUGCAUAAUGAGCCCUUUAUUUUCAUAUUGGGACAAAAAGUCACUUCAUUCAAAACGUUAAACACCACAUUCUUUCUGCCCUGUGUGUUUGUUGCAGAGAAUUUAUGUUGCAAAUUUAGAUGAUUAUAAAUUAGAGAGCAAAAUUUAUAUUUUCAGCGGUCCAACACAUGCUUCAUUUUGUGCUGUAAGCUAACUUGUAGUAUUCCAGUACGUCACAUGUUGUAUGUGCUUUAAAUUGUAUGUAUUCUGUAAAUUGUAAGGGGAUACUGAGAUUUUAUUUAUUGUGACCCAAACUGUGCAGAAGUAGGUUUGAAAUUUUGGCAAUGGAAUGUAGGAUCAGAAAAUCAUGGACAAAGGUUUUUACCUGUGUUGAUAUGACUUUUGGGAACUCAAAUUGACCGGUCAAAAUUUUGCCAUGCCUUUAACAUGGAGUAGUAUAAAUAUUUUGAGUCCUUGAGAGUUCUGACAAAUGCAGGUGAUACCAUGUCUGUGUAAUCUGGUCCAAAUGUUCUAUAAGCAUAUAAGAGAGAAAUUCUAUUGAUAGGUGGUACAUAUGUUGCAAUUGGUUAAUGCAACUGUUAUACAAAUGAUUAAGUCAAACGCGUUAUAUGGCCGGACGGGAUCCCUUCUUUAAAAGGAAAAAAUAAACCCUUUGGUACCAGAACUUUUAAAUAAAUCUGAUACAAACUAAAAUUGGUAUACCUUACAAUAAUAUGUUCUGAAUACAGCUGUUAAAAGUUUAUUCUGUGUAAAUGGUGAUUGUGAUAAAUGUGUGUUUUGGUUACUAAUUUUGAAGUAUGCAGUUUAAUUGUCAUGUAUGUUAAUGAGUAUUUUGCUGUGUUAUUUUAAAUGAUAUUUGAAUAAGUUUGUCUCAGUAUUGAUACAGAUGGAAAUGGCAGCGUAAUAAUCUAUUAAAUAACUGAUUUAUUAUUGAAUACUAGUCCAAGAGCAAUAUGAGUUGUAGUCUUAAGAAAAAAAAAGAGGGGGAGGCUGUUUUUGUAAGUUGUAGCGGAUUUCCAAAAAUCUGUUGCAAUACUGGACUUCUUGCCAAAAUUCGACUUUCCUUUCCAGUUGCCAGGUUCUUUGGUCUAAUCUUAAAGCAGUACUGCUUGCAUAGUUUGCAGAUAUGCAUAAUGCACAAACAUGGGAACCUACAUUAUGUCUGUGUUUCUUUUGAGGGACACCGAGUGUGACAUUUAUUAAUUUAUGCUUUUUGUAUUGGCAUGUCUGCUGGAUAUCUGCUACAUUCGCUGUGUUCUGUGUUAUAAGAUGACAUGUGUGAUAUUACAAUGAGUAUGAAGAAUAUUUAAAGAUUAUUUGCAUGUCAUUAACACAAGCCUUUAGUGUAUUUUUACAACAGAUUAAAAAAAUGCUGAUCAGCCGACAAGAAAGGGGCCCCUGGGAAAGAAGAGAAAAAAAAAAUCUGUUUUUCAAAAUCGUGGAUCCACAUUUCCAAUUUUAAAUGUCUCUUUCUCUCUCCGUAUUAUUAGGGGAGUAUGAAGAGUUAACUCUACUUUUAAAGUGCAUUGCAUUAUUUAAGUCAAAGAAAAAUAAAAAUUUGUUAUCUUUCACAUAAACAAUUGUUAUGUUAUAUGGUUAUAUAACAAGAAAAAUUAAUGGAUGUAUAGGAUAGGUUUUUUCCAAGAUUAAGUUUCAUCUAGUAUGCCUCAUUUAUUAUAUGGUAUUUUUAAUAGAGAUCAGAUAAUUUAUUUUGAGGCAAUUCUAAACUACUGUAUUAUAUUUGUAUUGGUAUAUUGAAAGCAUUUUGCAGACCCAGAAGAGAAUAAAUAAUAUAAUAAUUAUAAAAGGAACCAUACCAUGGGAAGAGGUCACCCUAUUAAAUCGCUAAGGGGUUAAACUCAUUUUUGAUAAGCAUAUGAAAAAAUUUAGUUUUUGUGGUUAGACUUUUGAUAUUCAAUUUGAACUCAAUUGAAGUAUUACAACCAUAUCCUUGCAAGUGUAGGAAACAGCUGCAAUAUGAUUUUAAUAUUUGCAAUAUAUUAGUGUUUUCAAUGUAUUCUGACAAUGGAAAAGUACCUAACCGCAUGUCUGCAUUACACCUAUGAUCCAGACUGUCAGUACUGAAAACCCUAUAUGAAGACUCUGCUUUCACUGUUUAUGUAUACACCCCUAGACAACCGUGCUAUACAUACACAAUAAAUCUUCAAAAGCUUAUUAAUAUUAUAUCUGUGUGGUACACAAAGAGGUGUACAAAAAAAAGGGGGUGUGAGUUAGUCAUCUCGACCUGCAUAUGGAAUAUGCUUCCUCCCCUCUGACAAGCUAAAUGGGCGAAACGCGCGCGUCAGGGUCUUCAUUUAUGCCGAUAGUGUAUUAGAUUAUCAAUAUCUUUUUCCAGCGUUCCAGUUUAUUUAGCUUUUUUGGUUGUAUAGCGAGGGGAACUAGAUCUAGGUGCCCUCGAAGGCACGGGGGGUAUAGAUAGCAUUAGUUUAGGUAUUCUUGCCUUUACCUUUGCUCUAUUCUAUUUAAGAAGUCUGAGUUAUAUUUUCUAUUUGUUACACUUGCUCUAUUUUUCACAUCAUUGCAGUGUUGGUUGCAAUAUUUUUGUAUCAUUUAAACCUCCUUUCUCUGUUUCUAUAUACAAGUGUAUCAUUAUUUAUUCGAUCAUAUGAUACUGACACUUUGUAUCGAAUAGACAUUACAGCCGUUCAUUUACUACACAUGUUUAGUCUUUAUCUAUCACUAUCUGGUCCAGGGAUCCCAUAAGCUUUUAUGGAUAUAAAGGGAAGUAAUGUUAUAUUUUCAAUAUUAGAUAUCCAUGAUCUACGAGGGUAUAGUUUUUUCAUACUAGGGACCCUAUUCGAGACAUCGCUAUUUAGGGACAUAGUAUUUUACAGGUUGUAUAACAUUACUUCCCUUUAUAUCCAUCACAUGUUAGAUUGCCAACAUUUAGCAGACACAUUCACAUUUACUCUAUUAGACUCUAUUCACCCUCCUAGUAUUUUGUAUAUCUCCUCCCAACAGCGCAGACGUGCGCUAGUGGGGUCGAGCAUUUGUAUUCAUACUUUAGUACUGGAACGCUUGGUACGUCUUAUAUUGGACUCUUUAUUUUCGUUUUUUUUUUUAUGUUGUGUUUUGUAUUUAGUAUCUUGAUGUUAUUUAGAUACUUAUUUUAUUACUUUUCUUUUCUAAAUAUACCAUUAAAUCUUUUUUGUUUUUAGACCUUUUGGUCUUCUUAGCAGUGCUCUCUUUUUCUCUUAUUACAACUUUGUACUAAGAAAUCUGCACACAUUUCUCGCCUCUCCCAGUGGUUAGGUACACUAUUAUAUAAUUUCCAUGCUUCCUCCUUGUUCACUUUUGGUUAAACUGUUGGUCUGUGACUGUCCCUCUUUGACCCCAACUGAAUUUCUUGGGAAGAUUCAUGAGAAAGAUACAGCAGGUUGUUUUGAUAUAAAGAAAGAGGGAAAAGUAUGUUGUAUCGGUCACAGAGGAUUGUGAUCUUAAGUAGGCGAGACAAUGACAUUUGGGAGGUGAUAGGAGAUUGAAUCAGAAAAGUUUUGGAGGCAGAGGUAGAGGAUUUGAUCAAAGGGUCAACUUUUGUAGAGUUGGUAACUUCAUCACUGUUUUUAAUUGUGGAUAGCAGGGAUUCACCCCAAGGUGCUCAUGGUGAACCCGGUUCUCCCGAUCAAACUGGCCCCACUGGUAUUGCUGGUGCCCCUGGCUUCCCUGGUGCCUGUAGUGCUCCUGGACUUCAAGGCCCCGGAGGUUCCCCUGGGCCUAAGGGUAACAAUGGUGAACCUGGUGCUCAAGGAGACAAAGGAGAACCCGGUGCUAAGGGAGAACCUGGCCCAGCUGGCGUUCAAGGACCCACCCUGGCAGGUUCCUCAAUACCAACCACAGCUUCCAACCUAUACCCACACCCAACAACCCCAGCCUAAUACACAGAUGGUUCAUGUUUUUAAUACUUUAUAUAUAUUUUUGAGUGAUAAAAAAGUAUUAAUGCUGGCUCUUAGAGGAUGUACAAGCUGAAGUUGGGACCUAGACAUUGUUUGCAUAGGCUGUGCAAUGUGAAAUAACUAAAAUAAAAUAGGAUAAUAAUAAGUAUACUUAGUCAAUUUGUAACGUGGUAUCAUAGAGGCAUCUGCAAUAAAAUAAGUGGGUUUCCAAGACCUGACAAGUGAGGGCAACUUAAUAUAACAUAUGUCUUAGUUUGCUGCCCCUUCCUUAUCAGAGGCCACUUGCAACCUUAACACAGCAAGACAACUCUUCUGAAACCUGCAUUAAACAAAGCACUUUGGAACAAUAGUAAUUCAUUUUGUUUCUCCUAUUUCAUUCCUAGUUGUUCUGAAAAAAAAAAAAAUAUUGUUUAAGUGGGAUAACUGUAUGUAUUAAAACAUGAUCACGCACAUACAGAACUAAUGGCUUUUUGGACAUCGGGAUAUAUAAAAGGUUUAGGUUUCCAAAGAUGUUAUCAGGGUCCACAAAACUGACAGACUUCAGCAUUCCAAUUUUAUUAAAGUAAUUAAUUGAGAUUGUCAAAUCAAGGUUCAAGUUUAAGAACAGCAUUUUAUUUGGGAAUUAUACCAAUAUGUAUAUGUUAGUGUUUUAGUACUCAACAAGCAUUUAUAUAGAAUUAGUGCUUCUCUCAUCCAUACAAAGGCAUUCUAAAGGGAAAUUACUUAUUAAAAUUUUAUAAAGGACACAUUCAAUGAAUUAUAAGCAAAACUGAGAGAAGUACAUGUUACACAAGUCAAGAGUUUAACUUUAGUCUCUAAUUUGAGUUUAGCCUAGAUAAUUAAAUUAUCGAUGUCAUACUGAUCCUUGUGUUUGUAUGAUUAUAGAGACCGUACUGGAGUAUUUGUGCCGCCUGAUAUUUGGGACUACACACCAAUCUCUCUGGCUGACCUACCUGCCUACCUACCUUUUUUACAAUUAAAUCUGUUUGGUCAAAAUCCAUGCUGGACGAAGAAACUGAGAUGCUUACUUAUGAGGACAGAAACUAACUUGGAAAGUCCUGCAGUGCUGUCUAAAGCCGCUAUUUCUGUAUUACCCUUUUAACAAUUGGGGUGUUGCACAGAGUAUUGUAGUGAACAUCCAGCAAACAGAAAAAUUAAGAACUAUGUGGAAGCUGACAUUGUAUUGUUGUCAGCCAUAUUGCUACCCUUAGCUAUGUUAUGGUGUCUAAGAUUCUUUAUACUCCUUGAAAGACUUAUUCUAUUUUUCUGGGCUAUGCUGGACUAUUGAACUAUUUUUGUUAUUUUUAUUUUUGUAGAGUUAGCCAGAGAGAGAGGAAGUGUUAGCUUACUCAGGCAUGGAUGUACUAUAUGUGUCAUUGAGGUAUGUGGAGUGUACCAAGGAUGGAUUCCCGUUUAUUAAGUGUGGAUAUGACUGGACCAUCGAAAUAGGGAUGUGAUUAGGAGGCAUAGGACGCAAGGUCAUGAUUGGGAUUAUUGUUAGAAUUGCAAACUGAUUAGAAAUUAUCUCAUAAUUUAAUAUGCAAGUGGGCCUUUUCAAACUAAUCAAGAAGUGUUUCCCAAUCCCGAUACCCGAGCUAUUUACUUACAAGUGCGGGUUUUUAUAAGUCACUAAUGCUGUCAACGUGAGGGGAUAACAUGUCUACACAGUUAUGGCCCUCACAAGAGUUUCCCCAGAUGUGCUUUUUUCCUCAAAUAUGAGUUUUUGCCACUGUGUUUUUAGACCUGUCCCGAGUUCACUGGGUGGCUGGUAAUCCAAGACCCUGGUCCAAAGAGGGGGAAUAGAUAUUAUUCCCAUUUUGACUAUAUGUGUUUAAGUUGUGAAUUAUAAUAAUAAUAUUCCCGUUGUUGGGAAUAAUACACUUUGCCUGUUUUGAUCCAAGGCUCAAGUUACAGAUAACAUGAUGUGCAGUCUGUUUAAAAUUGGUUAACAUGUCAGCUGUUUGAAAUAUUUAACUUGUACACUUAAAAGAUGUAUUCAACAGAUAAUGUAAAAAGCUGAAAAUUGACAGCUCGAACUCCUCCUUAAAGGGAAAACCUACGGCACAGAGCAAAUGGGGGAAAUCGAGGUGAAGAAAUAACGAAAGUCCCGCAGACAUGAUUAGCACGUUUGAAUAUACCUCCUUUUGUUUCUCUGCCGCAGGCCUCCCAUGGAUAUUUUCAGUAACGUGGAUCAUGAUAUGAUCUAAGAGGGGAAUUGUAGAUAUGAAUAUCUAUUUCACUAUCUAUCCUAGCUGUUCAUAUAAGGGUUAAUGUGAACCAAGAAUAAAUUUGGAAUUGUAUCUUCGAUUCUGGGAAGAAUUUAUCUAAUAUCAUUUAUGAGAAUGACCAUACUGAUUUCGAAAUGUUCUUGUUAAUUGUCCAAGAUUUUGGUAUUUGUAAAUAUCUGGUUUUGAUCAAAUAUGCAUGCAUUAUAUAACGUAGAAUUAUAAUAAGAAACAGCUGCUCAUAACUUGUGAAAAACAAUCUAUGCCAUUGUCACGUCCAUAUGCUCAUUUUCCCCCCUCCCAUCCUGCUAUGAAAAUGGGGUAUUAAUAUAACUGACGGAUGAAUAAAAUUUGAAUUGGUUAUUGAACACGUCUCUGCUAUUCAUUUCCAAUAUCCAGAGCUCAGAAUAAGUUGGCAAAUAUCCAUCAUCCACAAAGGGCCUGGGCUGAUUUUAUCCCCAACACCCAUAAGAAAUCAUUAGUUUUGAGUAAAGAAAAGGUGGAAGUGGGAUUUCUGCAAGAAAUUCAUUGGAGGGGAAUUGAUAAUGUUAAAUGGAGUGGAUCCAGAUUCCCAAUACUACUACAAGCAUCUACCAAAGAUAAAAAGAAAAGAGGUGUUGCUAUUAUUAUUAAUCAAACAGUAAAGUUUGAAAAACUUUAUCAAUAUUCAGAUCCGGAAGGUAGAUUUCUAAUUGGUAUAUGUAAAUGAAAUGAAAAUAAAUAUACUUUGGCUAAUGUUUAUUUGCCAAAUAACUUCCCAGUGGUGACUCUAAAAAUUUUUUGGGGGAACAAGUAGAACUAUUGAAGACUGGAGUUUGCCUAACAGCAGGGGAUUUUACCUGCGUUUUGGACCCCAAUAUGGAUAAAAACCUCUCUAAGAACAUGAGCGUUAAUAGUUCGUUAGUUAAAAUGGCCAAAUCUCUUACUAAUACUAUGCAUAAGUUCGAUUGUUUUGAUCUAUGGAGAUCUUUAUAUCCUGAGAAAUUUUAUUUUACUUUCUUCUCUAGAGUGCAUUUUUCCUAUUCAUGCAUUGAUAUGUUUCGGGGAAAUGCUAUAUCCUUAGAAAAUAUAGAUAAGAUUGAUAUACUAGAUAACACGUGGUCCGAUCAUAAUAUUAUUAUGUGGUCCACGAAGGGCCAAUGGAAUACCAACUAUAGAACUCCAUGGAGGAUGAAUGGUCAUAUAAUACACAAAAUUUAGAGUCUCUCAAGGAACAUAUCGGAUGAUUUUUUGAAGAGAAUAAUCCUCAAGAUACCUCUCAUGUUAACAACUGGUAUGCCUUUAAAGCUACCAUGAGAGGUAACUUUAUAAGUUUAAACACACAUUUUAAAAAGGUAAACAACAAAGAGGGGAGUGACCUAACUACUAAAAUAUAACUUUUAAUUAAGAAUAUUAAAAUUAUAGAAUUAUAAGGAUAAUUAUCCAGUUAAGUAUAUAUCAAUAUUAGUAAAUAUGGUUAGAGUCAAUAUAUUAAUAAUUUGGUUGAUAACUUGUCAAAAAAUAAUGAAUAGUCCUAUAACAAAAUAUAUAGUAUUCCUUUCUAACGGAAACUGCCCUAAAAAAUGUAUGUCGGCAGGUGUCUAAAGAAAGGAUAUGUGCAGGACCAAAUUGUUUUAUGUUUUGGCAUAUGGGUUAACCCCUUCACGAGUGUUCCUAAAGCUUCAUCCUGUUCAGUUGUUUUUACAUAUUUUACACUCUAUGAUAAUUUAACAAAAGCUUCAAAAAAUAAUAAAUUAACUCCCUAUAGGACGAAUGCGACAGCAGUAAGUGAGAUUCAAAAACAGAUUAACCAUAUAAUCAUGGAUAAGAACGCUAAGAUCAUAGAGAAACUAAGAAUGAAGAACUAUAGUAAAGGCAAUAGGAUGGAUAAGAUGUUAAGAAGGAAGGUGACAGACAAAACCGUAUCAAAUAAAAUUACUAGAAUAGUUGAUGAAGCGGUACACUUUAAACCCAAGUCAAUUGGAAAUAGUUUUAACGCAUAUUAUAGUAAGUUGUAUGCCCUCCCUUCUAUUGAUAAGGCUAUAGAUAAGUAUUUAGAUAACACUAUAUUCCUGGUAAUUUCUGAUAGUCAAAAGGCCAUGCUUAACUGUCUGAUAAUGGCCAAGAGGUGGGGAGGCCCAAUAAAAACCUAAAAACUAAGAAAACAGAUGGAUUCUCAAAUCUCUUCUAUAAAAUUUUUGGAGAGCUACUCAGCACUCAUAUAGCAGACACCUUCAAUUAUAUAGCGACAUUGGGACAUUUUACAAAUGAAAUGCUUAGAGAGAAUAUACUACCGAUUUUAAAGCAGAAUAAAGACCCAUAUAGAGUAGAAAACUAUAGGCCAAUUUCACUUAUAAAUGUAGAUUUCAAGAUUUUCUCAGCGAUAUUAGAAAAUAUGUUAAAAACAAUGUUAGAUAGCAUUAUUGAUCAAGAUCAAAUAGGUUUUGUCCCUGAGUGAACAGCCUCAGAUAACACCAGACACAUUAUCUAUAUCUUAGACUGUGCCAAAAGAAAUAUAAGUAAGAACUUAUUAAAGUUUGGGUUUCAGGGCUGGAUACACCGGGCAACCCUGUCUUUGUAUUCUUGUCCUUCGGCGAGGACAGUCGGCCCAAAUAUAAGUGCCGAUUGGUUCAAACUACAUGACGGAGCAAGACAGGGUCGACCACUGUCUCCAAUCCUGUAUAUUAUUUCUAUGGCGAUAUUAGCAAUUAAUAUUAGACACAACCAACAAAUAAAAGGCAUUGCUACAAAACAAAGAGAUUUAAAAUUGAACUUAUAUGUGGAUGACUUAAUUAUAACCCUAACCGACCCUAUCAUAUCCAUAAAUGAUUUUAUGAAGGAAGUAAAGUCUUAUAGCGAUAUCUCAAACUACAAUAUAAAUGAGAGUAAAUAAACAAUAUUGGACAUCAACGUAGACAAAGAUAGUAGGGAUCUUAAAAAUGCUAACUAUAAAUUUAAUUGUGCUAAAAUCACAUUCUGACCAGAGAUGUGUCUGAUUUAACGCAGAUUAAUUUCCUAAACUGCUUUAGGGACAUGAAUAAUUAAUUGAAAAAAUGGAGACAUGUAGAGAUUAUUUGGUAGGGGGGGGAUGAACCUGAUUAAUGCAUACCUCCUUCCUAAAUGGGCAUAUCUGUUUUGAAUGCUCCCUUUGAAAAUAGCUAGACCUUGGCUUGAUAUGAUCCAAAAUUAGGUAACUAUUUACAUCUGGAAGGGUAAGAGACCAAGGAUUAAUAAAACUUUGCGGGCUCAAAAAAAUCAAAGACGGUGGUUUGGGUUUUCCAAAGUAUAAUGGACAUAUAUCUUGCAAAUUUGUUCUUCCACUUAUACAGAACCCAGCUAGAUAGUGUUAAAAAUGAAGGAUGGUAUCUUUUGGAAAGUGAUAUGUGUGCUCUAUAUUGUGGUUUAGGUGCACUAACCCCAAAUAAUCUCAGUCAGAAAAUCUAAUAUAUGCUUAGACUCACUACUGGAAGGAUGGCAGGUUAUCAAAAAGAAACGUGACAUAGAAAAUAAAUUCCCCAUAAAUAUUAAAAUGACACUGAUACCAUUCUAUGUAAAAGAUCUGUACUUAAACAGGUGGAUGCAAAAAAAGGUAUCAGUUGAGUAGAACAACUAAUGGAGAAUUAAAUUAUCAAACCCUUUCCACAGCUGAUUCAGGAAUUCCAUUUAUCAAAUAACAAACUAUUUACAUAUUUGAGGCAAAAAAAUUAUAUAAAUCAAAACAUCAUCCGUGAUCCUCAUGAGGGUGCUAAAAUGAUAUGUUCAGUGCUUAAAAAUGUACAGAUCCAUUGUUUUGCCUAUUCAUUAAAUUCAUGAAGUGCCAAUAUCAAAAAGCAAUAAUCAAUUACCCUAUUGGUGGGCACCAAAACCCUAUUCGGGAUGAGUGAAAUUAGUAUUUGAGAAAGGGAAAGACACUGACACCUAGUACUUGUAAAUAAUCAAUACAAACUUUAUUGAUUAACAGGGACUUAAUUAAUAAGUAAUCAUUCAGCUUAAGGAAACAGCUUAAUUAUCCAGAUAUUCAGCUUAAGUCAUACAUCACCAUUAGAGAAGCUUGCUGCACUUGACUGAGAGAACUUCUGUCAGUCAGGCUUGAAGGGAUCCUCUCGUUUUUUGGGAAUCAGCAGAACCAGCAAUACGCGUCUAUAUUACAGGUGGGUAGAACUCCAAGCGAGUGCUAAGUUUUCAUUUUUUAUAAGUUUUUUACCAAUGGGAUGGAUAAUCUGUACUUUUCCACCAAGUCUUCUUAUCAGUGCAGCCCAACAAAGACCUUGCAAAAGCAUUGGAUGGGACCGGCAGCUGUCCAGGCUGUUCAGGACCAUCAACAAUGCCGCUAGAUCUGUGUGGUUAAUUAUCUCUUAUCUAAAAAGCUAGCUCUGUACUAAUAAUUAUCUUGUGAUGGUAUGCAUGAGUCAUUCUGAUGCUGUGUUUUUUGGUUUUAUACAGUUUCAGUGCUGUGUGUUAACUAUCUAUAAAAGUUUGAUUUGCUUAAUGGUGAUCAAUCAUUCUUAAUUAAUAUGGAAUAUUAUCACACCCAUAAUGUAGCUUCAAAAGCUACUAGUGGAUUAUUAAAAUUAGAUACUGUACAAACUCAAUUAUCUCUAGGUGAAAAAGAACACAAUUUGCAGGUAACCUGAAAGUACCCCCAAAACUCACAUAACCCCAUACAAGUUAUAUCUCUUGAUAGCCCCGAUCUGGGGGAACACCAUAUGUAAAAAUCACCCAGAUCGGUUCAGGGAUUUGAAAGUAUUAUGGAAGUCUUGUUUCUGACCGACUGCACACAUGGCUCCUGCCCAAAUUAGUUCCAGAGAUUCAGGCUGUGCAGUUGUUCUCUUUCAGGAACUAAAAAAAAAUAACAAAAUACCAAAAGGGACCAUUUGUGAGCAGGCUAGUUGCGUAUCUCUCGUUCGGGAGUUUGGUUUUACCGAACGCCGCUUUCGGCUGUUGUCCCGUAGGCCGGGGAGGGAGAUCGUUGGUGUUAGUGGAUUGUGUACGGGAAAGAUCACUUCUGGGAGACUGCACUGGUCUGUUAGGGAGCAAUAUUUGACUGAGCUUUCCUGAAGCUUUCCUGAAGAUGAUUUGCUUUGAAUUCUCAUCCUGUUUUCGCUGCCUGCUUGUUUUCUUGAAUGGUUGCUAAUAAUUUCCGAGACGAUGAUCAGGUCUUUUGUUCUGAAAUCGUGAGGUGACCCACAAUGAUCUACUCUUAAAUCCAUAAUAUUUACAGUUGCCUCUUUGUUUUUUCCAAGUAAAGCAUUUUUAGGCUUUUUUAUCAAUACUUUAAAAACUUCAUGUUUUUUUACCAAGCCGUCAUUUUUACAUAAAUAUUCCAGAGUUUUGUUGAAACACCAGGAUCAAACUGAACAAGGCUGGUACUGCUGCAUGUAAAGUCAUAUCCAAUCUUGCAGACCUUGGACAUUAAUGCCAAGAAAUGCUGGAUCUUUACUGCUACCCUUCCAUUUUCAACUUUAUAGCCAGAGUCCCAACAUCUUCACAUAUUUGGUAAGUAGGCUCAACAGUCCAUUUCAGGUCCAAAGUUUCUUGUUGAAGUGUAUUCCCUGCUUGAUCUUGAAAUUAAAAAAAAAAAAAAUGUCCAAAACUAGCAUCAAAUUAUGGAUUUUAUGAUAUAUCGAAUAUGUCUCUGGUUAACUUCUUUUUGACUGAAGAUACUUCCUAAAUAAUCACCUGUUUUCGAAUUUUCCAAAUGACCAAAAUAUGGCAUCCAUAGAAGUGCAUAGAUAGUAAUCACGAUUGACCCUCUUCCAUCCUUUGUGUUCUCCACUUGAGUUGGAGCAUCUUUGAUGAUGAUUUUUGGAGGUAGUUUGUCCACAUGUUCGAUCUGUAUCAGAAAAACAACUGCAUCUUCCUCUAUUUGACCACCAACAAAAAAUCCAUAUCAAUAAAAGAAGAAUCGGUCCAGCUGUAAUGUCUGAAAGACCGGUACAGGUUAUUCACAUCUGUCUGGGAGAACGAGUUUUGUUGCAUAAUCUUUCCAAGCAGAUAAAGUUGCCCAUGUUGAUGGUAUUCGAUGAGGGUGUAACUCAGUUUUUCAAGUGGGCUAUCUGGGUCGAUUAGCUGUAGAAUGUUAAAGGAGAUCACCAUUGUGCCACCUUCUUAUAUUUGGAUGCCUUUAUUAUUGAGUAAGGUUGGAGAAACCUGAUCUUUAUGUUCAAUAAUAAACUCCAUGGAACCAUCCUUUGCUUUCAGACCAUUACUCACGGUGAAACUGAAUGAGUCCUUAAUAGUCUCAUGGCUGUUGUUGUGAAUGUAGCAAACCUCUGGGCUGCCACAUCCAUCCAUGGUCACCCUGUGUUACAGUUACAGUUCUGGUGAGUAGGACAAUGUCCCCUUUUUCUAGGUUAAGAACAGAAAUGUAGAAACUUUCUGGAGGAGAGCUGAUUCCUCCAUCUGUUACAUAAAAUCAGAAAUUACCAUGUCAUUUGCACCCAAGGAUAGUAGUAUGAAAAUACCAGAUAUGAUUCAUGUCAACAUCUUCCUGUGUAAAACUCCUGCCAGGGUAAAGUGUCACUCAAACUGAUGCCACCCUUUGCAUAGUCUGUAUUUGUAGAUAUAAAAUAAUUCCUCUAAUUCCUCAAACAAUAUCCAGCACAAGAUAUAUCUUUAAUUUGAGCUCUCCAAAUGUUGGUAUAUUGUGGAUGAUAUAAUAAAUAUAAUUUCUUGAGGAAUCUUUAUCUUCGGCUUUCAAUACCACACUUGAUAUAAUUUUAUUGUCAGCUACUUCCAAUUUCAAGCCGCCAUUUCUGAUAAGACAUGGAACUUCAUCAUUGACAGACACGACAUGAACAUGUAGAGUGUCUUGAACUGUGUGUUGCCAUCUGUCAGCUGUAUGGGAAAGCUAUCCUGCACAGUAUCUGUGUCAUCAUGCAUGUACACAAGUCGCAGUCCUUGAUUCUGUUCACUCAAGGUAAAAUUGUGAAUCUGUAGUUCCCCACGAAGUACUGUAGAACUCAGCUGUUUGUAAAGGCUAAUAUUUUUGCCAUAUGUGCCGUUUAAUAAGAGACCAUUAUCAGGCGGUGUAAUAAUUGUAAAAUUUUAUGUGUCCGGUGGAAUGCCCAAGUCUUCUACGUUUAAUGUGCCAGGAUCUAUCUCACAAAUUCCUCCUUCAAUUAUCGUGAUCUUUCUAACAUGUAGAUAGGGUGUCUUAUCAUUUGUGGGUUUAAUGAUAAUGUAGAAAAGUAUGGACAUAGAUCUCUGUACACCGUCACUAACAUAUACCAUAAAAAAAUCUGCAGUGGGCUCCCUCUUUUUAUCUCGAGACUGUAUAUUCCCAGAGCUGAUGUUCCAAAAACUGAAAGAAUCUAUGUUUAUUUCCAAUGUGUUCUUUUCGGAACCUGGCAUCAGCAUGGUGUUAUGGAGAUACCUAUACAUUGGCUGUGUUUCCAAAUUUAAAACAGGUUCUCAGGCAGUGUGUCAGCAUCAGAGGCACUGAUACGAUUUAGGGACAUGACUAUGUCAUGGGUGGCGUUCCGGUGCCCGGGACCCAGACACCGUCCGGGCGGCAGUGCGUGGACCGGGACACCUGAGUGCCUGUUGUUCAGAGUAGGAGUCACAGUGUGGAGGUGGAUUAGCAGGGUCUGGUGCAGGGUAACUGCAUGCCCCCUGGUGUUGAGCACCAGAGUUUGUGCAGCCACAUACCAGAACCCCAAUUCAGCUUAUGCGGAUCCCAGGAACUAGGAGCAGGUAAUUAAGCAGACCUCCCAGGAGCUGAAUAGGGAGGCUCUGCAGCAGGGAUGUAUCCAGUACUGAAGCAAGGCAAAACUAGAGAUAGGCACCAUACAGGAAAACAAGACAAAACUAGGAGAACAAGACAAGACUAGGAGAACACAGGACCAGAAUAGGACAGAAAGCAGAACCCAGAACAUGUACACAAGACAGGAAGAAAACAAAAACAUAACAUGGGCAUGACUGGACAUGACUGUACAUGGACUGGGAUUACAAGACUAAACAAAACAAGACAAGAAACACAAGGCAAAACAAGGGCAGACAUAGCUAAGCACUAUAUAUGAAAAGUAUGGGGAUUUAGUCACAUUAUAUGAUCAUACAUUGCAUAAGCCUGCCAUCAACGCCAAUGUACCCCCAUAUCUGGCAGGUCCUACACUGCCUAAUGUAUGCUAAAACAGCCACACUAAACCACAAUAGCACUUACCUGCAAGAAAGGGCAGAGACAUGAAACACUGCUGCAGGUCCAAGCUGAAACAAAAGGAAAGUGGCAAACAAACGGGUGUGGCAACAUAAAACAAACAUUUAAGUGAUUCCAAGAGACUGGGAAAUGCAGCGAUGGAAUAUAAGAAUGAACUCAGAAACCCAAGAAUAAAGAAAACCAGACAUAGACCAGAAAACCAGAAAAACCAAGCAAAAAGAGUACUGGAUACCAGAAGCCAUUGCCAGAAUGAUCCGCAGCGAGGAACAGGAUGUGACAUGGAGAAGGCCUGAAGGUUAGGGAAGUUGUGGUUGCGAGAGAGAGAUGUAAAGAGGGGAGAAUUCUUUGUUAAUUCCUUAACUGUUCAAUCUUGUCGGUGAAGUAGCAUGCACAGCUAUCAGCUGAAAGGUUAGUUUGGGGGGUGACUUGAGCUGGGCAAAGGAGAGAGUUGAGGGGAUCAAAGAGAUGCCUGGGAUUGCAUGAGCAUGAAAUAAUGAGAGAGAGGAAAAGUAGGAUUGUUGAGGGCUGCAUUGUACGAAUGCAAGAUGAAUUUCUAAUGGAGAAUGUCUGACAAGGUGCAGGACUUCCAACUGGAGCAUCUCUCAGGUAGCGGGUUGACUUGCCAUGGUUGAAGGCAUGUUUUCCUUGAGGUGCUUCUUUGGAGCAGGGCUGCAGCAUCCAGGGCAGAGGUGAAGGUAGAAUUCCCAGAGAAUUAGGGAAAGGAUAUUGCAUGAAAGAAAGUAGGGAAGCCAAGCAGAGAAAUGGUCAAGGAAGAGACGAAUUAAGUGCAUUUCAAAGCAGGAGAAAGAUAGGGAACGGGGUGAGCAGAGGUUUGAAUAAACAGUGGGUGAGAGUAGAAAUCUUACACCGCCACCUUUACUAUCAGACUAUAUAUAUAUAUAUAUAUAUAUAUAUAUAUAUAUAUAUAUAUACAAUAUCAAUACAUUGUUUAACACAGAUCUGCAAAUCAGUCAAGUCAUAAGACUUGUUUUUCCCACAGAAAUCUCAAAUUUGCAGUGAUGUUACUACAGCAAGGGAUUCUGGGUGGACAUAUGUAAAUUAGUUCAACAAAGCAUCACAUUUUUGCCUCAUUCCAUUUUACACAUGGGUUCCUUGGGGUUUAUGUUUGCUUUAUACAAUAGCUUUGAAACACAACUCAGGAAGAGACGCAAAGCCAGUGAACCACUCAUGAACAGCUGUUUCAUUGUCACUGCAACUCAUCAGCAUGAGGUUGAUUACAGAAUUGUUAUUUAGGCUUGGCGUUACUUGCGGAGCAGAAACCAAGAAAGUUAUGUUGGGGAAAAAUUGUGAUUGAAAACUCCUUCUACCUCAUGUUAGUGGAUAGUCAAUACAUUAUUAAACACAGAUCUGCAAAUCAGUCAAGCCAUAAGACAUGCUUUUCCCACAGAAAUCUCAAAUUUGCAGUGAUUUUACUACUGCAAGGGAUUCUGGGUGGGCAAAUUCAAAUUAGUUUAACAAAGACUCACAUUUUUGCCUCAUUCCAUUUUGGACAUGGAUUUCUUGGAGUUUGUUUGCUGUGUACAACAGCUUUGAAACACAACUCAUAUACUUUAUAUAUAAAACAUUUUUUUUUUUGGGGGGUAUUUAAUUUUAGGUGAAGAGGGUAGGCAGUUCUUAUUUUUUUAAGAGGGUCGACCUUUAGCCACCCAUCUGAAUGGACAUGAUUUUAUUUGGAGGUACCACUAGUGGGCAAAUAGUUAACCCUGAAUCCUGACGUAACCAAAAUUGAUCAUUCAUUGGCAUUUGGAUGCUCAGAAUUUAUUUUUUUUGCUGAAGAGCUGAUUUGCACAAAUUCAACGUAACCACAUAUCUGCCAAAAAUGAAUCUUCAAGUCCAAUUGUCAUUAAUAUUCAAGAUAUGAUGUAACCACAAAAUAUUUUUUUUUUUUUUUAGUUCCAUGAUGAUAAGAUCAUGUGAAUAUCAAUUAGAAAUACACCAGAUUUUAACUAUAUAAGGCUUUUAUUUUUUUCAUAGUUCAAAUGUUUUGGGUUGUUAUCUUGUUAAAAAUAGAAACACAAUUCUAGCCCAAGUUCAGAAUGUUUAAUAAAAUAAAAACUGGCUUUGAUUAUGACCGAGGCCAUUGACUGGGAAAAUGAUGUUUACAUACUUUAUUACCAAAUUACUUGUUACAAGAAUAUGGAAUCAAACCUUAUAAUAUUCAUAAUAAUAUCUUCUAAAAUAGGACAUAAACAAGUUGCAGAACAAUUGGCAUUAAUGCCAAGCCUUUUUUCCCUUUUUAUAAAAUACUCUUUAAAAUUUAUUUGUCCAGGUUAUUAUGGAAAUAUCCUAUUUAGAGAAAAGAGACCUGUCACAUUUUUCUCUAGAUCCCUCUUAGAAGAACCAUGAACUGCAGGUGCCAGCAGGUAAACAAAAAGAGCAUAUAGGAGGCAAUACUAUAGCUAGUCAAAAGCAUAUAGUGCACAAUAGCUAUACAUUCUAAUUACUGGUGAAAAGAAACCAGCUCAGCAUGGCUUUCAAUGUAUUUAAGCAUCAGCAAGAUACAUGGUAUAUAAAAGCCCUUCAUCCUGUGUAACAGCACAACAGCACAACUUGCUCAAGCAGAUCAACCAUCACUAAACAUGGGAAAGGUAAGAUGGCCUGAAUAUUUUAAACAUUUCUAACAAAAUAAAUAUUGGAAACAGAUUAUUAAAAUAAAAUAGUUGCUAUUUCAAAGAAAAGCUUUUUAAACAGGCUGAUAAUAGAUUUAAUAUUUUCAGGGAUUUUUAUACGUUUUUGUAAUGUAACUCAUUUUUAUCUGAUACAUUUAAUAGGGAUUGCAGUGUGAAAUGAUAAAGUAUUAGCAACUAAACCAAUAAUAAGAUUAAAAAUCUAUAAUGUUCAAAUGCAUAAUGUUUUUCACAGAUUGUCUUCUACGAGGAGCGUAACUUCCAGGGCCGCUCUUAUGAGUGCAACUCUGAGUGUCCAGAUAUGUCCUCAUAUUUUCAUCACUGUAAUUCCAUCCGGGUGGAAAGUGGAAACUGGAUCCUGUAUGAGCACCCCAACUAUAGAGGACACCAGUAUUACCUUAGCAGGGGAGAAUAUCCUAAUUUCCAGCAAUGGAUGGGUUUUAACGACUCCAUCAGAUCUUGUCAUAUUAGUCCACAGGUAAAUAUAUUUUUACCUGAGCAGUUAAAAAUGUUACAAAAUGUUAAAGAUGCAGUGUAAAAACAUUAUUGAAGUGUAUCAAUUAUUUUAUGGAAUAUUUCUUCAACUCACAAUUCACUUAUCUGGAAACAGGUAGGUUAAUUUCAAUAAAAACUAUAGUCUUAGUAUAGAUGUUUAAUUUUUACAUGAAAUUAUGCAAAAGUUAUAAUGUGAUUUAUGAAUUACAUAUCAUUUUUUUAAUCCUCUUAAAGCACCAUGGUUCAUUCAGAGUAAAGGUCUACGAGAGGGAGGAUUUCCGAGGUCAGAUGAUGGAGUUCACUGAAGAUUGCCCUAACGUCUAUGAGAGAUUCCGUCACCAUGACAUCCACUCCUGCCAUGUGUUUGAUGGUCACUGGAUGUUCUAUGAGGAACCAAAUUACAGGGGCCGCCAGUAUUACCUGAGACCUGGAGAGUACAGAAGAUAUACCGACUGGAGUGCCAUGAGCCCAAGAAUUGGCUCAUUCAGAAGACUUCACCAUUUCUAAUAAAUUGUAUUAAUUUAUAAAUCAGAAUGUAGUUUAGAAUAAAAUAAAAGCUUCAAAAAAUUAUAAAUUAGGUGUAUACUUGUUUCAUUUUCUAUUUUUUCUGUCUUUCAAAGUGUAGUUUAUUAAACUUAAUAUUAAUAUAGCAGUGAUAUUUAGUUAAAAAUGGUUAAUUACCAAUAACACAGUAUUACAGAAAUAUUCAACCCUCUCCAGUAUACUAAAAUAUUCAACCCUCUCCAGUAUACUUACCAGAUAUCCAUUACCAAGCAGUCUCCUCCUGGCAGCAUUUCCUUCUCAUGUUAGAUCAUUCAUCUGUGUGGCUUUGGAGUAACAAUUAUGACAAGCUUAUAAGUCCUAUUUAUGACUUGCUUAUAAUAACCAUAUGUCAGGCAGAAGAAGUUUAAAAAUGUGGGGUGUAUGAAAAAGUGAGAAUUUGAAAAGGUCCAAUGUAUGUUGACACCUAAAAGCAAAAAUAUUUAUUUAUUUAUAAAAUAUUUUACCAGGAUAGUGUCAGGUAUAGCCUGGCAUGCAUUCCGCCGUAGGAACCCACUUCCGGGUUCACGGCGCUUAGCCCCACCCCUUUUUUCUGACGCGGUCCUUCCACGAUACUUAGGAAGACCGCGCCAGAUUCAAAGUGCUGGAUUAUUUGCACAGUUGCCUGCAAAGUGAUCAGCUGCUCUACCUUGAUCCUGCCUCUAUCAGACCUCGGCUUGCUAAAACGGACUUCUACCUUCUCCACUUCCAUACCACGGCUUGCUUAAACGGACUUCUCCCUUCUCCACUCCUAGACCUCGGCUUGCUAAAACGGACUUCUACCUUCUCCACUUCCAUACCACGGCUUGCUAAAACGGACUUCUACCUUCUCCACUCCUAGACCUCGGCUUGCUAAAACGGACUUCUAAUUUCUCCUCCAUUGGGUGUAAUUAACCCCUCCAGUUCCAGAACUGCCUUUUAAGUUAAGUAACUUUUUUCUCCAAACAAGCCACUUCUGUUAUUAAUAUUACACAGUAUUUAAAGGUUCUACUGUGUCAUUCUGUCAAGUUAUUCCUAUUAUUCAUAAGGGAUUGCUACUAAGGCUAAUUCUCCCUCCAAUAAUCAAAUUAUUAUUAAUUGCAACUCUGUCCUGCUUCAUUAAUAAUUUUCUCAUAAAUUAUUCCAUCUUAAUUAAGUUGGAAACUAACUCUGCCUAUUUUUCUGCACUAUUUCUAAUGGGAAUUAAGUGGCUUGUGUAAAUCAUCAUUGACUUAUACUUCAAUCACAAUUAACAUCCUACAUGAGUAUUUAAAGAUACAGUAACCACUGUUUCAUAUCAGUAUAAAAGGAGGUGAAACUUAUAGUUAAUGCAAUUAGAAAAUUCUGCAGUUGAGUUCCAAUUAAAAUAAGUAUUACAGAUAGAUACAUUGAGAUUUUUUUCGUUUUCAAUUAUGUCCUGGGUCUUUGUCCGCAAAACAUUGCAUUGCUACAAUAGGAUACAAUAUUAAAAAAAUACAAUAUACAAACUUUAUAUAUACACACAUAUAUAAAUUUAAUACUGUUAUGGGCAAAUGCAAAAAUUACAAGUUUUAGAAUGAAAUGUUGUAUUUCUUAAACUGUGUACUUUGUCUAUAAGAUAUAUUGCAAACUGACAAGGUGUUAGAAAUGGAACAUUUUGUUUUUCAUAACUGUUUCUUUAAGCAAUAACCUCAGUGCAUAAUAUGUUUGUGCCAUUUUGUCCCAGACGAAUUACAAUAACAAUAAUGCAUAAACAAGCUUCAAGGCUAUGCUACGACUCCUUCAGUACACAAUAUACUGUGGUAACCCUAAGUAGAUAAAGAUGUUCAGACUGUAAGAUGCCAUCUUGAACUAAGUCAGGAAAAUUUCCAUGAUGUAUACACCCUUUAGUUAUGAACUUGUAUUUUUGCCAAGUUAAGGGAGGUCCUAAAAUGAAUAAAGUAAAAAAGUUACUUUUUCAUAUAUGAACUAUGGUGACCCUAAAAUGACGACACCUAAGGUGUAAAUAGGUGUACUUUUAAAGGUAAGGAACAGAGGAGAGACUUGGAGACAGACACUGCUCCAUCUUAAAAUGACAGAGAGGCUGACAUGAUGACAUGUUCAGGAGGGUAUGUUAACCUAUUAAUGAUAUUUGCAAGCAUUUAGUUUAAUCUUAUAAACUCUGCUAUAAAUUAUUGUAAUGGAUUUUAUGUCUAUAUUUAUAUUUUUAUAUAAUAAAUAUCUAAAAGACAAAACUUUAUUGCUUCCAAGACAAUCCUUAUUUUAUAUUGCAUUCUUAAUUAUUUAUAUAUGUUAAACAGAGGAUCUCUUACACUAACUAUAUACAAUUAUGGCUAAGAUAUCUGUAUGGUUAGCCCUACUAAGUUCUAUGCUUUAAGACGUUAUAGUGGUAAAUAAGGGAACCAUCGUGGGGCAUUGUACUUGGAAGCUUUAACUGUAAAAUAAUAAAUACCUAGGUAACCUCUUAUAUGUAAGAGAAGACACAAUACUUUGUCAUGGCACAAAUCUUGAAAUAUCAAGAAUCUAAUGAGCUAUUUGUAGCCCAGAGAUCUUCAUCUUUAGAGAUGAUUUUAAUGUGAACUUGUACAAGGCACUUUGAGUUCAGGUGCCAGGUACAUUGCAAUUAACAUACGAUGCUGAAAUUGUGGAUCUUAAUUAACAUUAUAAGAGAACAAAUAUAUAGAUUUUGUAAACUCCCUAAUAUACCUAAUACACCAGCAUAGCAUGGUCCAUUAGUUCCAGGACAAUGGAUUGCAGGCAGGGGGAUAUGUUCUCUUUGUGGCUUAGCUGCUUAGUAUGCAUGCGCAGGAAAAAGAUUAAUGCAAAAUGUUGUCAAAAGAGAAGUGAUAAGACAGACCGAUGAAAACUUGCUAAUAUUACUAAUAGAUUUCGAAGUCUAAUUCCAAGAAUACACAGAAAAUUGCGUUAUGGCUUAAUGAAAACAUUCAUGACAGAAGCGACAGACAGUCCACUAUAUAAGAAAAGUUUUAUAAAACAGUUAUAAUUUCCAUACUGUCAGUUACACUAGCUGUUGAUUAAAAAAUCUGGAAUUAUAACUAUUCAGCAUAACUAUUUUUGGAGUCUGGAGUUUCCAGGCAAGGUUGCAGAGGUACAGAGACAUGUAAACAUUCCAAGGAAUUGAGAAGUCGUUGUUUUAUAUUUCAAAUCAUGAACAACAUUUUUAUAUAUAGCCAUAAAGAGAAAGACAUGGCUUUUAAAUACAUUCAGUGCAGUACAAUGCAGUACACUGCAGCAUAUUUUUUAUAUAAUAUAUGCUAACUAGUUCAUAUAUUUUUCCUAAACAGAGUUGAAAUUAUACUACCCUCCUAAAAAAAAGGGCAACAGGUUGUUAUACAUAAAAAUAAAUAUUUAUAAAAUGAUUAAAAAAAAUAUAUAUGUAAGAUAAAUCAGGGCAAAAUAAAAUUGUAAAUAUAUAGGAUCUCUGAUAACUUUUAAACUGAAAUUAUUAAAGGCUUAUUUAAAUAAAAUGUUAAAUACAUUUACAGCUUUAAAUGUGACCAAAAUAUAAUAAAUGGUGUGUUAAGCAGCAAGCCCAAUUCACUAGAAUAGCAUAAGUAUUCUACUAUUUAAAGUGCACAAUUCAUGCACAUAAUGACUUUGCUAACUCAGGUACAGACUUUAGUCUAUUACAAUGGCAGAAGGAUUAAUGUCCACCAAUUUUAAAAGGGAAAGCUUACUUAAAUUAGUGGUACUAUCCCACUGUACGUGUAGUGCUAGCAGUAAGGAAAUUAGAACAAUGAUAUUGUACUACUGACUGUAAUCAGAUCAGACACAUGUAAUCUCAGUGAAUUUCAUAAACUAGGUUUCUAUAACAUAAAAUAACAUAAAAUAAGAUUAAAUAUCAAUGUUGUUUAUAUAUAAAUACAUCAAUGUUGUUUAUAAAUAAAAGUAUAUAGACUAAGCAUUAAGAGCAUUUACAUGCAUUCAGCAGCCUGCUCUCUCAGAGCCAGAAACGGAUUUAUAAAAAAAAAUUGUUUUAAAUAAAUAGGUUUUACAACGUCCACAGUCAACCACACAUGAUGGGUGAAGUAAUUGCUUCUUUAAAAGCUAUAUGCUGCCGCAAUUAUGUAUCUAAAUACAGAUUAGGGCACAGCGUAGAAAUAAAAAUACAGUUUCAAAUCUCAUAUGGGAAUUCAGUUCCACCACAUAUUCUACAAUUCUGAUAGAGACUGAUUUUAAUAAUAUGUUGUAAGAGCAUUGUAAAUAUAAUAAUGCAAAAUUAAUUUGAUAUUGCAAAACCUGCAAUAUGCUAAAGACAUUAAAAUUUAAGAAAAAAAGAAAAAUAAUAAUGCAUAAAGAAUAAUGCAUAAACAAAUGCAGUGUCAAUUAAAGUGAUAAUGCUCUGAUAUAGUAAAUCACAUUGCAUAUCACAUAUCUGCUAUAUGAAAAGUAUAAUUAAAAUGACAUUACUGUCCAAAGCCCCCUCACAUCUAUUUUAUAAAAUCUAUACUUUUCUGUGGUCACCGCCAAAGAAGCCUCUGAAACUGGGGGCUGGGAGGGGUGCUCAUCUCAAAGGCAUCUGAUUCCACACUUAAAUAAAAAUAAAUGAUGGAAAAGGAAUCAUGGGAACACCCAGAACAUGCAUUUUUGUAUAUAAUCUUAAUUUGCAGAUAAUUUAUGCCUUAAAGACAUGUAAAGGAUAUUUCAUUAAAUAUGCAGGUAUCUUUAAAAAUUAAUCAAUGUAAAAAAAAAAAAAUAAUAUCUAUUUUUUACCACAAUAUAAACAGCUUUGUUAAACAGAUUUAAGUACAAGUACUUACAACAAGAAAUAUACAGAAUCCAUUUACAACAGGCAGAUUUAGUAUAAAUGCAAAGUUGUUUUUUUGGGGGGGGAUUUAUUAUUGCCCAAUAAAUCUCUGAACAUAUUCAGAACUUUAUUUAUCUAACAAGUAAAAAAAAAGGUCGGAGGGGCUUCGAGGAGGAUGGACGUGCCGCGGGGGGCUCCCUGGGAGUCCCCCCAACCGCGAUCGCCGGCGUGGGAUCGCCGGCGACCGGGUAAGUACCGAAAGACCGGAGGGCGUACUAUUACGCCCGGCGGCGUUUAGAGCCGCUUAGAAUAGGGCGUAAUAGUACGCCCUCCAGUCUUAAGGGGUUAAUAGACUUACCCAGUAUUUAAGGACGACAUGUUUCUUUGACUUUGAGGGAGGUUCUAACUACGUUUAAUUAAUUAAUUAAUUUACUAAAGGAAAAAAAAAAAGAAAAAAAAGGUUGUUGUUUUUUUUCCCCCCUGCAAGUGAAUUUUCAGUGCAAGGUCAUUUUGUUUAAACACUCAGUUCAGUUUUAAAAAACACUAUGAACGGCCUUGUAAUUCCUAUGCACACUAAAAAUUGGCUUUUAGAUGCACAUUGUUUUACUUUAAAAUUCUAUUGUUAAUACAGGAACUAGAGUAAUUUAAAAAAAGUAUAUUGAAAGUAUAUUAAUUGAAAGGAUUUCAUUUAUCUAUUUUGGUCCACUGUUCACUGAUCUCGAGUCUCAGUUUGGUGUUCAAACAGUUUUUCUUACGAUACGUUGUGAGUUUAUAUCCACAACUGCAUAUUGCUUUGCGGAAACAAAUUUAAAGUCUGGCAUUGUAAUACGUGUAUGGACAUGCUUAUAACAAAGCAUGGUCCUUCUCCUCAUGUAGUUGGUCAUUAACAGGCACUUUGAUGCAAUGUGUCUACCAACGCUUUUCUGUGGUCACUGGAUCACAAAAGCAUACACUAUCUCUCAGUCAUGAUGCAGAGUUUAUGCUUGCAAGGAUAUCCAGACCUUAUCCACCUGGUAUCCGCAUAAAUACUCCUAUUGUUUAGAGGGGUUAAUUACAUAAUAACCAUUGAAGGUAAUAUGUUGGUUGUUCUUCCCAUAGAGGAAAGAUAGACUUGCCCUAAAAGCUGUAUCAUGGCUAGGACAAGCUCUUAUAGAGAGAGGUAAUGUACUUCUGACUCCUUAAAAGGAAUAUUGGUGGUCCAAUAUUGGAAAUACUGUAAUUCAUGUGUUUAGUAAUCAUAAGCAUUUGCUUAUUGCCACAUUACUGAUGUAGUGUUUAUUGAAAUAUUAAUAUCUAACGUACUUUUUUUGGGGAUUACUAUAUAUAUGACGUUUGCCAACAUCUCAUGGUUAUAAAUAUGUUUUUGUAUGUGUUGAUGCAUGUACCAGGUUUACUUGGAUAUAUCCUGUGCGAAGUGCAACCUCUGAUGCCACGUUUUCUAGUCUCACUUCCUUAGUAUGCAUUUGAUAAUCCCAGGACCAUCUAUUUGGAUGGUGGUCCUGCAGUUAAUGCAAAGGAAACCUAAAACUGGGCAACUACAUUUGGGUUACUUUGGGAUUUCAGUGCGCCAACCACCCCCAAAGUAGUGGGGUUGUGGUCUGGGAAAAUGCUGAGGUUAAAUGAUUAUUAACCAAGUUACUAGUUGCUUGCCCCACACAGUGGGAUCUAUUUAUUCCUAUGGUACAGAUGAGCAUUCACAACAUACCUGAUGAUACAAAUGCUGAGACACCAUAUGAAAUGUUACACAUUUUUCACUGGCAAUCAUAUUUCUGCACCAGGGAGAGCUUAGAACCAUUGGUUCUAUUAGAGAAAUAUAGGGAUUUUUUUUUUCCAGCCCACCUCGCCAUACACCACCAAUUUUUCUUACUGUUGGCCAGCCUGUCCUGGAGAGGGUGACUUUUACUACAGAGAACAAUCAGCCAACAUAGAACAGUAAGUUUUGAUAUUUUACAACCUGCUAAAUACUAACAGGACAUUCACAGAACCACUGACUGACACAAUGGAUGCUGUUAAAGAUGGCAAGAUAAAACAAACAGAGGACGACAAAAAUGCCACCAGAACACAGCCACUAGAAUCAUAGCCAUCUGACAUCUGAACCUGCAAAUGUGAAGGAGAAGGAUGAACAGACAGACAUGAUACAUUCACAGUUAACAUGGAAUAUAUGAAAAAUGAAACACCAACAUCAUUAUCAGAAAGACUCUGGAGAAAACAAACUGUACCUGAAUUAUCUUUUACAGUAAGAAAGAAUACAAACAAAAGGAUGCUAUAAAAUUGGUUAUGGUGUCUCCUUCUUACCAUCUGCAGCAUUAUCAUAACAUCAACCCUAGCUGUAGUUUUAAAACUGCAUUGGGAUUAUGUUAACAAGCAGGAAGCACCUGAACUGAAUUGGACUGCACAUAAUACAAGUUCUUUGAUCGUGAGGACUACCUCCAAGAACUAUGUCGAAAGGAGAGACACAGCUCACACUGAAAUGAUUGCUAAUGUGACCUACACUGGUAUUUCACAAGGAACCUAUUGAGAUCAUUCCAAAAACUGAUUAUACAUGAGAAAGAUGUAAUUGGACUGUUACAAAUCCUAAUAAUGGAUUCAACGAUGUUGGCAAAGCAUGCUGAAAUCAGAAAAAGAUGGGACAGAUGCUUGUGAAAGACUUUGGAUGCACCUAUGAAGGUGACGCAAGAAAAGACUUUGCCAUAUAGUUUAUCAUUGAAUGACUACCGCAAACAGCCUUCUUAUGCUGAAAAAGAAGUGCUAUGCUAAUUCUGGACAUUGCUAUUAUAUUUCCAGACAGAAGAUGACCGGAAAAAGAAAUAAAGGCUGAUAACUGUCAACACCCAGCUGUUUCUCAAGAUGGAACAUAGUUCUGAGAAAACCUGAUUGACUAUCAAAGCAUCUCACAGUACAAGACACAGAUUGUUGCCUACAAAAAAGUGGUAAAUAGGAAGAAGCAGAAGAAGAGGAAUAUAGAUUUUCCGCUGGAGUGAAAAACCAUCCUGGAACAAUAUUCUGUAACAAUGAACUUUACAAUGACAUUUGGUGGCAUAUGAAUUUGAAUUCGGAAGAAACACAUCAAUUAACAAAAGAAACCUUGAUGCAAUUAAUAAAUAAUAACAAGACCAGCCUACUAAGAGCAGAUGCCCUGCCAAGAGAAUGGAAUAUAAAAGGCCAGCAAAAUCUUUCAGAAACCUGACAUCAUGGGACACUUGUACUAAAGCACGAUUUGCAUCUUUUCUUAAACUCUACAUACCUGCAAAGCAAGGAACUCCUAUAAACAUAAACACAGAGACAUUGAUACAACAAGGAAUCAGUAAUGGUUCUGUUGCAGAUGUGAUCUACCAAAGUGUUCUUGCUAUAUUCUGGACUUCCAGGAAUGAGGUGCAUGGACAGAAAAAUUAUAAUUACUAAAGCAAUCAUGCUAUUUUUUUCAGUGACAAUGUGUAAUAUAAUAUAGAUACUAUAAUUAAUGGUAUAAAAUAAACACAUAAUGUGUUAAUUACAAAGGUGGAUAGACUUUGUAAAUAUCUGAAACGCAAUUGAAAAGUAUUGCUAAAAUGCCAUAUGCAGCUGCAGUCUGGUCUACAAACAAAUAUAUUAGACAAAAAGUAGAGCAUAACAGCUAAUUACCCAGAUGAAUAAUUGAAUCAUGAUAGUUAAAGAUCAUAUGAUUACAAUAACAACUGCAAUAAUGAAUAAUGUUUAAACUUUAGAAGAAAAUGUUUAUUAAAUCAGAAACUACUAGAUAUUCGUUUAAGUUUGCAGAGUGGUAUAAUUAAUAUAAUCUAAUUAAUAUAAAUGAAGUACUUCAACAGUUAAUAUUUAACUGAAAAACAGGCAGAAACUUUACUUCACUUAUCACAAACCUUUACUUAUAAUGAUAAACAUGUUCAGUCUGCCAGAGCUAAGGUCAGUCAGUGGAAGGUAAAAGAGUAUUAUGGAUUAACCCGUCCAGGUUAUAUACAUGAUGAUUUUGGAAAUUGAUCAUUUAGGUCACCUAUUGCAAACUAGUGAAAAGAUGUCCGAGAUAUAAAUUCAACAUCCAUACCACUCUAUGUAUAUAUAUUAAAAUACACGUAAUCAAAUAUUUUAUCAGUUUUUCAAAUACCAAGAAAAUUAAAUUUGGUUUGUGAUGUUUAAAGGUACAUAUACCUUGUGGUAAUGAUCCUGCCACAUCUAUUGAGUGUUUAAUCAAUACAUCAUGCAUAUGAUUAUUAAUUCAUAUUCUAAUUGUAACAUACCCCCACUUCAACCAGUUAUAGUUACAACAGAUUCUGAUAUCUAUUGUUAUGGAAGUGUUAAAAUCACUUAUACAAAGGUAGAGCUAAAAUAUAAAUGCCUUCAAUUUUGUAUCUGAGUGCUUUCUUAACUCACUUUUAAAAAUAAUAAAAAAUCCAAAUCAUCUUAAGCUACACCCAACAGCUGCUGGAAAACAUACUUAAACAAAUACGAUAUCAUCUAAUCUCACGAUUGUGACUUUCCACAGUGGCUGUCAGAUCUUGGUUAAAAAAAAAAUUAAGAACAUUUUUGGGUGUUGCUGGUAUUUUAAGCCACUAAUAACUGUAGUUAUUAUAUUUACUUAUUGCAACUUAGGAAAUAAGUUGUCUUCUACCUAACAGGACAAAGAAAGAUGAAUAAUGUCAUGUUUCCAAUUAUCAACUAUUCUAAAUAUAUUGAGAGUAUAAAAGAAUAUUUUUAACAUUUAAAGAGAAUGUAAGUUUACAUAUCAUUGUGAACAAAGGCGGUAAAUACUUUGCUUUUACAAAUUAUCCUUAUAUAUCUAAAUCACUAGAAAGAUUAACUAUGUUACUAUUGCAUCUAUCAUUAUUAUACAAAGAAUAACAAAUGUAAAGAUUUUUCCACAGAUAUUACCUGUUAACAUUUUUAGUACAACAGCACCUGAUGUCGUUAUAUGUAAUUGAGAUGUAGAGGUGUUACAAAGAUUCCAUUACCGCAAAAAAGAGGCGUUCUUUAGAAUCCACUUCGAUUGCUGUAUCAACAUAACAUUUACUAUAAUGGGAUCCAUGUCACUUAAGACAAUGUCUUGGAAAUGCUGUCAAUUAAUUUAUUCCGUAAAAGAAUAUCGGAGAGUAUGCAAUCUAUACACAUAUGUUUCAUGUUUCAUGUUUCAUGGAAAAAACAAAAUAAAAAAGCAAAGACAAAAGACAAAGGCGAAUACCAACAGAUGAUGCUGAUUCAAUAUCUGCAACCAAUUCUAGCCAAAUAUUUGUAAAGCUGGACUCUACAACCUAUACUCUACAACAAAUACCUGGGUAUUCUACAAACAAAACCUCCAGCAAUGUAUCUACAGAAUAUAAACUUCUACAGGCCUUUAAGACUUUGGAUUACAAAUACAAUUACUACUUUAAACUUUGGAUUACAAUUCGUAUCCAGAUCCAUCCAAGAAUAUCUUACUCUGGAACCUGGUGUUCUUUUCAAUUCUUUCCCAGACAAAAGCUUUGCUUAUUUUAAUCAACCACCUUUACAGGCAAAGAUCACACUACUGAUGUUUUACUGUUGAUCAAAGAUGUUGGGAGCAUAAAAGCCUAAAGAUUGUUGGAGAACUUUGGUUUACUAAUUUAAGGAAGAAAUGCUCUACAAUGCACACAGUUUAAUGGAGAGGGUGUUAUGGGCAAAUGCAAAUAUUACAAGUUUUAGAAUGAAGUAUGUAUUUCUUAAACUGUGUUCUAUUGCAAACUGACAAGGUGUUAGAAAUGGAACAUAUUGUUUUUCAUAACUGUUUCUUUAAGCAAUAACCUCUUACCUACCUUCAGUGCAUAAUAUGUUUACGCCAUUUUGUCCCAGACAAAGUACAAUAACAAUAUUGCAUAAACAAGCUUCAAGGCUAUGCUACGACUCUUUCAGUACACAAUAUACUGUGGUAACCCUAAGUAGAUAAAGAUGUUCAGACUGUAAGAUGCCAUCUUGAACUAAGUCAGGAAAAUUUCUAUGAUGUAUACACCCUUUAGUUACGAACUUGUAUUUUUGCCAAAUUAAGGGAAGUCCUAAAAUGAAUAAAGUUUAAAGAGUUAUUUUCUCAUAUAUGAACUACGGUGACCCUAAAAUGAUGACACCAAAGGUUAAAAAUAGGUAUACUUUUAAAGGUUAAGGAACGGAGGAGAGACUUGGAGACAGAUGCUGCUCUAUCUUAAAAUGACAGAGAGGCUGACAUGAUGACUUGUUCAGGAGGGUAUGUUAACCUAUUAAUGAUAUUUGCAAGCAUUUAGUUUAAUCUUAUAAACUCUGCUUUAAGUUAUUGUAAUGGAUUUUAUAUGUCUAUUUAUAUUUUUAUAUAAUAAAUAUCUAAAAGACAAAACUUUAUUGCUUCCAAGACAAUCCUUAUUUUAUAUUGCAUUCUCAAUUAUUUAUAUAUGUUAAAUAGAGGAUCUCUUACACUAACUAUAUAAAAUCUUGGCUAAGAUAUCUGUAUGGUUAGCCCUACUAAGUUCUAUGCUUUAAGACAUUAUAGUGGUAAAUAAGGGAACCAGCCGCAGUUACUAGACAUGUGCAAUAUGAAUUCGGAUGAAUUUCAGGCAAUUCGGACAGUCGGGUACUUCCGAAUGUCUGAAUUGCCGAGGUCCCGAAGUUCCGAAAUGACCAAAUUUCCGAAGUGUCGAAGUGCAGAAGUGCUGAAGUUCCGAAGCACUUUAUUGCCUAAGUACUAAUUUACUUACCCAGUGAAAGAAGAAAAAUGUUACAUUGUAUACAAUUUUAAAUAAAAAGUAUACAAACAUAGCCAGGAUUCAGUUGUAAGCAUUUGCAACACUUACAACAAUCAAGUAACAUACAUUUGUAUAAAAUGUAAGUUACUUAGCCUGUCAAUGUAAUGACAGGAAUGAAUAAGUAGAUAACUCCCUAAUUCCCACGGUAUUAGGGAACUAUCUACUAAAAGGCUGAAAGACCUAAAUUUGUCUUUCAGCCAAAUUUACUAAUACUAAGUAAAGAUUACUUAGUAUUAGUAAAUUAUGCCCCUACUCGCUAUACCGCUAAUACGGCUAUACCGCGAGCAGGGGCAUGUCUAUUAAACAGUGAGCAGCCUGUGGCUGCUCACUGUUAAAAAAAUAAAAAAAUAAAUAAAGUAACCAAUCAGAGUGUUAUGAGUCAAAUUACACAGCAUGGGAAAAUUCCAAAGAACUUUCCCACACUGUGUAAAAUGACACAGAGCACUCUGAUUGGUGGAUUUCAAACCAACCAAUCAGAGUGCUGUGACAGGUAAAUGUAGAGACUUACCUGUCAGUCUCUUCAUUUACCUGUCAGAGCACUCUAAUUGGAUGGCUUAAACCCACCAAUCAGAGUGCUCUGAGCCUAAUUGCAGGGUGGGGCAAGGCUUUAUAAGCCUUCCCCCGCCUUGCAGAGUUCAGUUUGCACGGAGCCCUCGCCGGUUGAAGAUGGAUUUCUUUUUUUUUGCACUCUUUUUUUUGUUUUUGUUUUUUAAUUGUGUUGGUUAUUAUGGUUUUUUUAUUUGGCCUUUUUUGGGGCUGAAAAAAGAAGAUUUUAGAAGAAAGAAAACAUUGAAUGGUAAGUUUUAAUUUUUUUUACAGGUACUUAGUUAAAGGUCUCCCCCUCAUUAUUUUUAGGGUUACGGGGGUUGGUAGGGGGAUAAUUUUUUUGGGGGGAGAGGGUGACUAGGGGUUUAGGGACCCCUAGUCACCUGGGGGGACAUUUUAUUUUAGGGCCCCCACCCGCCACUCAGGGGUGGGGGCCAGGGGGAAGGACAUCAGGUCCCCCCCUAUUAGUAUUUAGUGCCCCCACCCACCGCUCAGGAGUGGGGGCCAGGGGGGAGGACGUUAGGUCCCCCCCCUAUUAGUAUUUUGGGCCUCCACCCGCCGCUCAGGUGUGGGCGCUAGGGGGGAGGACAUUAGGUCCCCCCUUAUUAGUAUUUAGGGCACCCACUCGGCGCUCAGGGGUGGGGGCCAGGGGGGAGGACAUUAAGUCCCCCCUUAUUCCAAUUUAGGGCCCCCACCCGAUGCUCAGGGAUGGGGGCCAGGGGGAGGACAUUAGGUCCCCCCCUUAUUAGUAUUUAGGGCCCCCACUCACUGCUCAGGGGUGGAGGCCAGGGGGAAAGACAUUAGGUCCCCCCCCCCUUAUUUUACUGUUGGGCACCCACCCACCGCUCAGGGGUGGGAACGAGGGGGAGGACAUUAGGUCCCCCCCUUAUUAGUAUUUAGGGCCCCCACCCACCACUCAGGUGUGGGGGCCAGGUGGAGGACAUUAGGUCCCCCCUUAUUAUAAUUUAGGGCCCCCACCCACAGCUCCGAAAUGCUGAAGUUCCGAAAUUCCAAAGUUCCGAAGUGUGGAAGUGCCGAAGUGCCGAAGUUGCCAAAUUUCCAAAGUGCUGAAGUUCCGAAGUUUCGAAGUGCUGAAGUGCCGAAGUUCCGAAGUUGCCGAAGUUCCGAAGUGUUGAAGUGCCUAAUUGCUGAAGUGCCGAAUUGCGAAAAUCCCGAAUUUUGGAAUGCCGAACCCCAAAUUUUCCUCAUGCACAUGCCCAGCGGUUACAAUACAUAACAGGUAAUAAAUAUAUUCAACCAUGCCAGGUGCAUAAUGUGCUGAAGUAUAUUGCCAUAGAUUUCUUAAAAGAUUUUAUAUUGAAUGAAGAUUUGACUGUGUCCCUGAGGUUAUUCCAUAAUUGUGGUGCUCUGUAGGAAAAGGAGGAUCGAGCCACUUUAUUUUUGUAUUGCGUUAUGCUAAAUAUUAUAUAUUAAUAGUACUGGAUCAGAGGUUGUAGGAGGUGGGAACAGCCGGGGACAGAAUUCUACUCAGGUAGAGUGGGAGUUUCCCCGAAAUGCUCGUAUGCAGAAGGCUGGAAAGAUGAAGAGUGCGUCGGGAUUCCAGCGACAGCCAGUUUAGCUCUUUUAACAUGCCACAGUGGUGGUUAAAGUAAUUACAUUCCAGUACAAAGCAGCAGAAUGAAUUAUAUAACAUAUUAAGGUGGAUUUUUGGUGCAAGUGCAUACACUAGAUCCCCAUAAUCAAUGACCGGCAUUAGCAUUUGUUGCACUAUCUGUUUCCUUACUGUAGGGCUUAGGCAGGAUUUGUUUCUGUACAGGGCACCUAGUUUUGGGUAAAGUUUUGAAUAGAUUUUUUCAAUGUGAAGGCCAAAAGAUAGAUUGGGGUCUAGGGACAUACCUAGAUAUUUAAAAGAGCAAACUGAUGUCAGUGUGCUAUUUGAAUUUGUUCUGAUACACAAUUGUUGAUUUUAUAGUUUACGUAAACAGUUCCGAAGAUCAUUGUAAUGGUUUUGUCAGUGAUUAGGAAGAGUUUGUUAUCAGCUAUCCACUUUUCUACCUCUGUGAAUUGGCUUUGGAGCACAGCCUCAAGCUGCGGUAGCUUGGGUAUACUAGCAAAGAUUACAGUGUCGUCUGCAUACAUGUGUACAGUUGAGAAUUUUCAGACGUUAGGCAGAUCAUAAAUAAUUAUAUAAAUAAUGUGAAUAGCAGGGGGCCGAGUAUGGAGCUUUGGCGAACACCACACGUGACUGGAAGAGGGAGGGAAGCACUAUCAGAAAUGGCCACAUAUUGCAAUCGGUCAGAAACAAUACGAUUGAAACCAGUUAGCGGACAAUUACCAAUGCAGGAGUUUUUAAGUUUUUGCAAAAGAAUGUCAUGGUCAAGGAAAAUAGCUCCAGUUAAGUCUCCUUGUUCUAUGCCAAUUUGGAUGUCAUUGCAAACUUUUAAGAGGGCAGUUGAAGUUGAGUGAUUUGGACGAAAGCCUGAAUGAUCAAGGGUCAGAUAAUUUCAUUGUUGAUAAUAUUCACAUAGUUGCGUGUGGAUGCAUUUUUCCAAGAUUUUUGACAAUACAGGGAACAAUGAUAUCGGCGAUAGUUAGAUACCAAACUAUUGUCACCACUUUUAUGGAUAGGAACUUUUGCAGUCUUCCAAAGUUUGGGUAUGUAUCCUGACACCAGGGAUUUAUUGAUAAGGGUAGUGACAGGUUUAAACAAACCCUUUGUAAAUCACCACAAGAUCAUAGGACUGUAUAACUAUUGAAAACAGAGCAUUUAUACUCCUUGUAGCACUUGCAGAAUUCCGACGAUGCAGGCUUCCAUGGGCAUCCACAACUUCUUUUAAAAUUAUUUUUCAGUUGUAUACAACUGUUCUCAAAAUAUAGAAAACAAAAAGAAGCAGUAAUAGCAUAAAUCAGUUUAGCAACAUAUAUAUUUUUUAUAAAUAUUAAUUCACAAAAGUGAAUACUAUGAAGAGUGGAGCUUGGCAAUGAACCGGACCUAACGCCAUUUCUGGCUGCUGCUUUCUUGGCAAAAAUACACUCAAUUUCAAAGCCAUACAGCCCUAUAAACUCUAUAAACAUCAGGUCUGGGUUCCCCUGCUGCAUCGCUUGAUGCCCUUUUUAUAGACCCAGAAAAAGACCAAGCCAAAAGGCAGUGCCUUCCCGGUUUUGAGCAUUUCCAAAGCGGGCCCUGCCUCACAGAAACGUACGAUCCAUUACAGCGUCAAGCUGCUCUUGACACUCCAACAAUGGGGUGUCGAUCACAAAAACCUCAGCCCGUAACCGCUACUGAUCAGUUGGAUAUUGGAACCUUGCUCCAAUGGGAUGAACCAGCCAAGAGGCAGCCACGGAGGUCCUAGUUACUCUAACAACCCCUCACUCAUCAUCUCAGUUUUUUCACCAAGAGCAGGACUGCAGUCACCGACUAAAGCAGUAACUGGAAGUUCUAAACUGCAACUAAACAGGGCCUGCAAAACCUGCACAAUAUGUUUCAGGAAAUCCAAAGGAUGCUGACUGCAGAUCUGUCUGCCCUCAAAACAAGCAUGCAGCAGGUCACAGAGAAGGUGUUCGCUACUGAGGGGGAGGUUCAGGACAUCUGAGGUGACAUGUCCACCAUGAUGGAUUCCAUACUUCAGCUAUAAACAGCACAACAGGGACUAUCACUGCAAAUAUCAGUGCAGGAAGACUGGUUUCCCUGCAUUCACAUUAGGAUACAAGGCAUACCCUCUAUGAUUACCAGGGAGGAAUUGCCACACUACGUGAGAUGGCUUCUGGUCUCAAUACUACCACCAGCGGUGGCAAAGAAAAUCGUCAUUGCUAGGGUAUAUUCCCUCCCCACGCCAAACAAAUCUUCUUCUCCUUUUGUUGUAGAUGUUAUCCUCCAUGUUCCCUGCCUCAAAAUAAAGGUCACAUGAUGAUGGUGGUGAGGAGUAAAAUGCCACUCAUUGUUAAAGACUCGACUCAUUUUCUACCAAGAACUCACUAAACUUAUUCACAAGUUGAGUCAUGAUAUAUACUUGACAUAUACUUGAAAAAAGUGCAUAAUCAAAGUCACAUUACCUAUUCCACGUUUAAUGUAUAACACUAUACUUUAAGCUAUUGCAUGCAUGUCUAUUACUCAUUGCAUGUCAAAAAUAUAGAAUUUUUAAAAAACAAAAAAAGUAUUUACCUGAAAAUUAUUAAUGCAUGUUAAAAAUAGAGAAUUUUUAAAAAACAAAAUCCAAAAAAAAGAAUAUACUAGAAAAGUAUUAAUCAAUUGCUAUAUCCAUCACCUCACCUCAGUGGACUCUUCAACUACUGAUUAAACAAGGAAAACAGCAAACAAAAAGUAAAAAUAUAGGAAAAUUUGUAAUCAUACUUACCAGAAUUUGUGUUUCCUGUCCAUUUCCACAAUUUUGUAGGACUUUGUCUUUUUUUAUUAUUUUUUCCUGGAAACAUCACUAAUGUGUCAAACUCCCACUAAGCAGUCGAGACAAGAAAUAUCAAUUAACAAAUCUUCCAGUUCUGAUGCUGGUCAGAAAACUCAGAAAGGGUCAUGCGCGCUGAGCAUAACUGCAGUUUGCCCUGCCUGAAGUCUAGUUAACCUCCUCAGGACCCAGGACGGUUCAGGACUGUCAUCGGCAUUUUUGCAUUGCCGACCGAUGACGGUCCUGAACCGUCCUAACGGUCCAAUGUACUUACCCGAUCGCCGUCGUUCCCCCGGCGGCGAUCGGCAGUGCUCCCAGUGUGGGGAGACUGCCUGCAGCCCAGACAGUCUCCCCAUGGCGGAUUAGGACCAUUGGGGCCAUGUGAUCGCUCAACACAGCGAUCACAUGGUCACAAUAGGUGUCCAUGUAUCUGCCUGCAGGGGGACUGCCUGUGCUGACAGGCAGUCUCCCUGCUAGUGUAAAAUCAUUUUAAAAAAAUGCAUGUUAAUGUUAAUAAAAAAAUAAUAAUUAUAUAUGUGUAUAUACAUAUGAUAUAUAGACAUAUAUAUAUAUAUAUAUAUAUAUAUAUAUAUCGAGUUUUUUUUCUACAAAGACCUGAGAGUGCAUCUCUUUCCUUUUUGCUUUACAUAUCCAGCGUGGGAUUGCACCAAGGCAGUCUUUUAUUGAUUAAUUGAAAGGGUGAGUGCCACUAUACUUGUGUAUAUAUAUAUAUAUAUAUAUAUAUAUAUAUAUAUAUAUAUAUAUAUAUAUAUAUAUAUUAUAUAUAUAAUGUCAUACUAAGUAUAUUUUUAUAUUAAUAUGUAAGUAUAUUAAUAUAAAAAUACACUUAUAAUUAAAUUACACACACACACAUAUAUAUAUAUAUAUAUAUAAUAUAUAUAAUAACUAUAUAUAUAUUGUAUAUAAAUAUUAUUAUAAAAUACAAAUAAUAAGUAAUUGAAAUUAAAUAAAAAUGUAAAAUAAUAAUAAAAAAAAAAAUAUAUAUAUAUAUAUCUAUUUGAAAUUUUAUUCUAACUGUAUUUUGAUAGUAAUAUAUAUAUUAAAUUAGUGUUCAAUUUAGUUUUUUACUUUUUUCACACACAAACAAAUAUGAAUGCUAACUUUGGCCAGUGUUUUCGAUUAAGUGGCUACUAAAAAAGACUGGACAUACCCCAUAUUGAAUGCCCUGGGUUGUCUACUUUUAAAAAAAAUGUACAUGUGGGGUGUUAUUCAGAGAUUUAUGACAGAUAAUAGUGUUACAAUGUCACUAUUGAUACAUUUUAAAAAUUUAUGUUUUGAAACUGCAAUAUCCUACUUGUACCUAUAGCCCUAUAACUUUAAAAAAAAAGCAAAAAAGCACAUAAACACUGCAUAUUUUUAAACUCGGGACAAAAUUUUGAAUCUAUUUAGCAGUUUUUUUCAUUCGCUUUUGUAGAUGAGUAAAAGAUUUUUCAAGUAAAAGUAGAAAAACAUGUAUUUCAAAAAAAAUUUCAUCAUUUUUUUUAUUUUUUUUUAAAAUUAAAUUGCAUGAGAUUAUAUAAAUAAUGGUAUGUAAAGAAAGCCCAUUUUGUCCUGAAAAAAACAAUAUAUAAUUUGUAUGGGAACAGUAAAUGAGAGAGCGGAAAAUUACAGCCAAACACAAACACCACAAAAGUGUAAAAAUAUGCCUGGUCGCAAAUGUACAACAUCGCAAAAACAGUCCAGUCCUUAAGGGGUUAAACCUGACAAUAUUUUUUUUUUCAUCACUGGUGACUCCACGAGAACCUUGGUAUGAGCAUUGUCAUGAUUGAUUAACAGAAUGCUUUGUGGGUAAUUUAUUUAGACAUAUUUAGAAUGAGAACAGCAUUAAUAACAAAUGUGAACAUUCCAAAUGUGCAGUGUCUUUGGAUUAACCAAAAUGCACUGAAAGUGUUAAUAAAUUUCUGGUAAUAUCCCUAGUGAACAUUUGUUCCACUAAGGCGCUAAGGAUUGAGCAAUACCCUUUCCCUGCAAGGUUUCAUUUAUAGAGAGCACUAUGUUUUGAAGUUUUAUUUACAUGUGCUGCUGCUGAGCACUCCUGAUUGAGACAUCUGAAAGUGGAAUAUGUACCAUUAUUCAAGACUCUAUUACUUGUCUGGUGAAGGCCUUACAAUCCAUAGAGGAGCACAUACCAUACAUCCUUGGGCAUGGGUUGUUCCAUCCAGGCACAGAAUCUCUGAACUGCUGUAAAGCUCUAUUAAACGUAAGGGACUCUCUGCAUAUUUUUGGGUCUCUAUACAGAGAGACACUUCACCAUUGAAUUUUCGAUUGUUCCUUUUUGUCUUUCAUAUACAUCUAGUGGAAGUGCAACGAUCCAUCUACUGUGAACUAUGAGAAAUUCUUUAGCCAGGAAGAAUUACCCGUGGCAGGUUUGUUGCUGCUACAUAUCUAAGGAAAUGAUCUAGCGCUUGAUCCAUUGUUUGUAUUACAACAACUGAAGAUAGCUGCAGUAAAACCCUGGCAAAGCAUCACAAAUGAGGAAACCCAGCGUUUGGUAAUGUCAAUGCGUUUCAGACUUAACAUUCAAGGAUUCUUGACAAAGUUUUAGAAAUUAACAUUUUAUUUAUGAUUGUGUACAUUUGUCCAAUUACAUUUGAGCCCCUGGAAUAAGACUGUGUAUGAAAAUGGCUCUGUUUCCUAAAUGUUUCAUACAAUAUUUUGUUUAAUUCCCUUGAAUUAAACCUGAAUGUCUGCAGUUCAAUUGUUCUCGGUUGUUUAAUUUCAAAGCCAUUGUGGUGGUGUACAGAGUCAAAAUUAUGAAAAUUGUGUCACUAUCCAACUAUUUCCGGACCUAACUCAAGCUAAGUUAAAAGUUCACUAUGUGUCCAGACUCAGAGACAUAGUGUAAUUUUGGUGCCAUGAUUGUCAUUAUCGACAUAUUUAUGAAUUAAAACAGUUUAGAAUAUGGUGUAUCAUUAAGUAUUCCAGAAAGAAGCAAGGGACAUUAACAAAUUGCUUCUUAAUCAUUCAAAUUGGAAGGUAUGUAUUAGAAUUGUUUGCUGCCAUGGUUGUGAAAAGUUAGGUAUUAAAGAGGACCUUGCUAAAGAGGACACCAAACAAUGUUUAACACUUACACUGUAUUACUGGCAUUUAUCCUUUCUAAUUAAAUAUCAUUCUUUAGAAAAAAUUUUGUAAAUUAAUUAUCUAAAGUACAAUGUAGUGUUUGCUUUUCUUUGUCUUUGCUUGUAUUGCCAUAGGUAAUGACAUUCUCAUUCUUUUUUGCUAAGUUUUAUUUGAGAGAGAAAUUGCUUUGAAAAGAAAUUAAUUUGCUUUUAAAUGCUUUGUGUUUGAAUUUUUGAAAAUAUAUACUUGAUCAGAUGCACACAUAUAUCAUGUGUAGUUAUUAAUACACAAAUCCAUACUUAACAAAGCCCCUUACUUUUUAUUUUUUUCUUAACUAAUUUGUUGCUAGCACAGAUAAUUUAUAAAUUCAAAAUAAGCAGAUGCAAUCAACCUGCCAUUACAUACAAACUAAGUUUAUGCUUUUUAUAAUAUUCAUUAAAUGUUGUUUUGGGUCCCAAUGCAUUACAUUAAAUAGUAAAUCCUAAAAUUUAAAAUAAAAGGUGUAUAUUUUAAUAAGUAGCUAAUAAUUUCACAGAUGGCAUCAUAUUUGAUUGUAUUUAUUUUAAUUUAAAAACAUUCAUAUAUAGUGAUGUCCCGAACGGUUUGCCGAACAGUUCGCCACGGACUCAUCAUUGAGUAAACUUUGACCUUGUACCUCACAGUCAGCAGACACAUUCCAGCCAAUCCCACCUCCUGGACAGCUCACUAAGAAUGCAGCUUCACAAUGAAUGUAAAAUUGAUGCUGUCCAGGAGGUGGGAAGGUCUGGGAGGGAGGGUCUGCUGCUGAUUGGCUGGAAUGUGUCUGCUGACUGUGAGGUACAGGGUCAAAGUUUACUCAAUGAUGAGUCCGUGGCGAACCGUUCGUGACGAGCCGUUCGUGGCGAGCCGUUCGUGGCGAGCCGUUCGCGAACCAUUCGGCGAACCGUUCGGGACAUCACUAUUCAUAUAAAUCACCUGUUUUUUAUAAGCACCACUAUUAUAUUAAAGGGACACUAUAGUCACCUAAACAACUUUAGUUUAAUGAAGCAGUUUUGGUGUAUAGAUCAUGUCCCAUGCAGUCUCACUGCUAAAUCCUCUGCCAUUUAGGAGUUAAAUCACUUUGUUUAUGAACCCUAGUCACACCUCCCUGCAUGUGGCUUGCACAGUCUUCCUAAACACUUCCUGUAAAGAGUCAUCUAAAGUUUAUUGCAAGUUCUGUUUGAUUUAGAUUUUCCUAUCCCCUGCUAUGUUAAUAGCUUGCUAGACCCUGCAAGAGCCUCCUGCAAGUUCAAUUUACAGAGAAAGAGAUACAAUUUUUUAAGGUAAAUUGCAUCUGAUUGAAGGCGAAAUCAUUUAUUUUUUUCAUGAAGGCUGUGUCAGUCAGAGCCAGGGGAGGUGUGGCAAGGGCUGCAUAAACAGAAACAACGUGAUUUAACUUCUAAAUGGCAGUAAAUUUAACUUUGAAACCUGAGAAGCAUGAUCUAUACACUAAAACUGCUUCAUUAAGCUAAAGUUGCUUAGGUGACUUUAGUGUUCCUUUAAUAUUCUAUUUAAUUAAUUACAUUUAAAAUAUGUGUUUGUGCUUUGUCUAUGUCGUAAAGCAAAAAUUUAAAAUAAAACAAUUAUAGACCUUAAUGAUAAUUACUUGAUACCUUUAUUGUAGUCUACAUAUUGAUUUAUUAAUUACAUGUUGGUUUAUUAAUUAAUACAACUUAUUAAAAAUGGUGAAGUCUCCUGAAUGAGCCAAUUCUUGGAUUCAUGGCACCCCAGUCAGUAUAUCUUCUGUACUCUCCAGGUCUCAGGUAAUACUGGCGGCCCCUGUAAUUUGGUUCCUCAUAGAACAUCCAGUAACCAUCAAGUACAUGGCAUGAGUGGAUGUCGUGAUGAUGGAAUCUCUCAUAGACAUUAGGACAAUCUUCAGUGAACUCCAUCAUCUGACCUUGGAAAUCUUCCCUCUCAUAGACCUUUACACUGAAUGAACCUUGGUGCUUUAUGAGGAUAAAAAAAUAUGUAAUUUAUAAAUAACACUACAAGAAUUUCACAAUGUCAUGUAAACCAUGUAAACAUCAAGAAUCUAUACUGAACAUACAUUUUUCAUUGAUAUACAUUAAAGAUGUUUGAUAUAUAAGAUGAAAAUGUUAUUUAAUAUUUUUUUUAAAUGUUAUAUUUUCAAAAGUGUAACCAUUAUUAAUUGGAAUUGGACACUACUGUUUUUUGGACUGCAUCUUUAAUAUUCUGGUAAAGUUCUGGUAAAUAUACCUGUGGACUAAGACGACAGGAUCUAAUGGAGUCGUUGAAACCCAUCCAUUGCUGGAAAUUAGGGUAUUCUCCCCUGCUAAGGUAAUACUGGUGGCCUCUGUAGUUGGGUUGUUCAUACAGUAUCCAGUUCCCACUUUCCACUCGGAUGGAAUUGCAGCGAUGAAAAUAUGAGGUCAAAUCUGGACAUUCAGAGUUGCACUCAUAAGAGCGUCCCUGAAAGUUACGAUCUUCGUAGAAGACAAUCUAUGGAAGAAAUUACGCAUUUGAACAAUUUAGACUUUUAAAAAUUUAUUUUUGUUUUAGUUGCCAGAAAGGCCAUUCAAAAAAUGCUUCUGGUUUGAUUAGUCAAUGCUAUAGCUUUAUAAAUACAUUAGCUAAUAUCCUAUUCAAAGGAAAACUGUAGGAGUUAAAUAUACAUUUAGGGCAGAAUUGGAAUAUAGACUUUUGUUACAUUUUGUUUUUGGCAUGAGCUUGCACUCACUCUCACAUAAUGAUAGCAAUUUAUCACAGUGAAAAGAGACUAGUGAGCACUGAGGAUUUCCUGCUUAUUGGGUUCCCUAGACUCGUCUGUCCUUUUAACAGAUUUCUAGAAAAACAAACUGAAAAAUCCUAAUCCUGAGUCUAAAAAUAAUAAAUAUGUAAAGCAUAUAUUCUGAAAAAUUCCUGUUUGAUUAGGCUGGAAAUAUCCAAAAAUGGAAUAAACACUUUAGGUUUUUUUCUUCUUUCUGGCCUAGAUUUUUAAAUCCAUUGUUCAGUCGUGUCAAGUCACCACAACAUAUUGUUCAGUAGAUAAAGUCUAUGUCUUUCACUGUAAACAUUUUUUUUUAAAUAUUACCUGUUUGUGGUUUAUUAAUAAAUAUAAAAUCUGGCUAUUGUUAUAUGUAAUAUAUCUUUUUACAAAUGUUUAAAAUAGUCAGAUAAUCUUACCUUUCCCAUUUUCAAUGAUCUGCUCGAGCAAGUUGUGCUGUUAUGCAGGAUAAAGGGCCUUUUUAUACCAUGUAUCAUGCUGAUGCAUAAAUACAUUGAAAGCAAUGCUGUGUUGGCUUCUUUCCACCAGUAAUUAGAAUGUAUAGCUAUUGUACACUAUGUGCUUUUGUAUGGCUGUUGUAUACUAUAUGCUUUUGUAUAGUUACUGCAUUGUUUUCUAAAUGCUUUUUUGUUUACCUGCUGGCAACUGCAGUUCAAUGUUCUUCUAAGAGAGAUCUAGAAAAAAUGUGACAGGUCUCCCCUUUCAAUGGGGUAUUUCUGUUCUGGCCUAGGAAAUCAGAUUAAAAGUGUAAUUUACAAGGUAUGAUUAAGUUUACUAGUGACAUCUAAUUUGGUACUAACUGCAUACAUACAUGUUGGUUUAUUAGUCAAUGACCUCAGUAAUAAUUAGAUCCAAUUUUAAUUCCAAUAAACAUUCAGAGCCUUCAGCAUGAUCACAGUCCAAUUUUUUUUUAACUGUUAACAAGCUUAUCAAGUUAAAAUUGGGCGUAUCUCUUAUUGGUAUUUCCAUUAUCUCAUGAUCACAGGAUUAAUGACAAAGUAAAUAGUGAUUUUGUGCUUACAUCAUUUGCUGAAAAUGAAUGACAGCUACACUUGGAGCUUUGGUUUUGGCAGAAUUAUGAUUCAGCCUAAAUUUAGUAGAUGGGCAGACAAAUUGAAUUUUGAGUCUCCACUUACCAAUGACUGAGCCAUUUUGGUUGCUUUGAGAUAUGAGGUUAACUAUUUACCUGCUGGUGGCACCACACACGUAGCUAGUUGUCCUGAAGUCCCUAGUCACGUCCUAAUAAAUACAAUGACUUGUUAACAGGUCAGCAAACUAGGUCCUUUUCAUUUUUAAUAGUCAUGUCAGUUAUUGUUUACUUAUAUUUUACCAUUUUUGAAGAAGAAGAAGAACAUAUAUGAUGUCACUUUUAAUGCCCCUCAUUUAAAGCCCAUGGGUGGGAGUGUGGGGGCUGUAUAAUAUCAGGAUAACUUCCCUUUGAUAAUUAUGUAGCCCUCACGAGUCAGCAAUUAUAAAGAACAGGGGGUGAUAUUAAACUAAUAGCCUCCCCUUGCAUGCCUCUGGUUGGGCACUAAGGGGAAUAUUAGGUCCCCCAAUUAUUAAAUUAAUACUUCCACCCACCACUUAUGGGUAAGGGCUGUUUGUUUUUGCUUUUUUUAUUAGUAGCCCCACUUGCUGAACAAAGGGGCAUUUUACACCCACAGCAUGUUGUGUGUGGAAAGAUAAGGUAGAUUGUAUACCUUCUUUAUUCUCAUAUAAGGGUCCUUGUUUUAAUGUGGUGGCUGGCUAGGAAGGACUGGGCAUCCAACACAUGAUUUACCCUUGUGCAGCUAAGAUAUUCAGUUCAGCCAAAUCAUUAUUCACUACCAAAUUUCAGCAGUGAAAGCUUUCACAACAGUAGCCUGGUUGAUUAAUGCAAAUUGAAAUGUUGAUGGUGGUGAUACUGGUAAUGUUGAUGGAGGUGAUAUUGGUGGUGACAGUUGUGGUAGUGGUUGUCUGGUGCAACUGUGUCAUGGUCUACUUUAGAUGAAGUGAUUUUAUAACAAAUAGAUAUAUGGUGGAAAAGAUGUACAGUUGCCUGUUUUCUAAUCAGUUUCCUAUUUUAGUUACUUUGGCUCAUCAUACUCAUAGUCGAGUAACUCUUGGGUCAGAAUUAAAAGUGAUGUAUCAGCUGUAGUGAGGGAAAUACUAUUGCAAGGGGCUGUGUACCAAUGCUAUUAUGUGUCCCUUGAGGUUUUUUUAUAUGUUAUCCUAAGUUCUAGGGGUCACAUAGUACUGCGUGCUGGAUCAACUUGUAAUCAGGAAGGUGGCUUCCCUAGAUAUAUUGAAGUUGGGGUUAAGGUCACUAAUUUAAGCCUCAAUUUUAUAUUUGUGGAUAAUCUUUUCAAAUGAUUUUAUAUUUUGACAAAUAUUUUAAAUUCAAUAUUGUUCUAUAUUUUUAUGUAUUUCUUUAUAUAUUAUAUAUUUUUUGAAAUGUUAAUAUGUUGAAAAAAAAAGCACUCUAAAGCAUAUCCAAAAAUUAUUAAAUCAUUUAAAAAGCUUAUAAAAAUAUUAAAUUGAGGACUUGUGGUGAAAGUGCUGAAAAACCAUGAAAUGCAUUGGCUGCUGAUUUGGUGUAUCACAAGCCUGCUAUAAUGUUGUCAUAAAGUUUUAACCCAUAAGUGGAAAAUAAAGGAAGAAUUAAUUUUAUAGAUGAUCGGUCAUACUUGUGUAUUAGUGAGGAUAGGUAGACAGAAGCAGUGUUAUGUUUUAGUGAUGACUGCUGUGCCUUUUGAAUGUGAAAUGGUAAAGGUGACCAAUUUGGGAAAAACAAAAUGUCACAAACCCAACUAUUUUGUGAACCGUUGCACUGCAUCAUUGUAUUAAAGUUGCUACACACUUUAAGUAUAUUUGUGUAUUUGUAUUAAUUAAUGUUAAUGUGAAGCAUGUAGUAGUGAGUGCUUACUUUUCCUGGUCUUUGCAUACAAUUUCAUACAUAAUGAUACCUUUUUUAAAGUAUAUAAUAUCUUUUUUUGCUAAAUGUAAUUUCAUAAAGCAAUUUAAAUUCUUGAAAAAAUAAAAGAAAGCAUACUACAGAAGCACAAGCAAGUAUGUUUAGAGUUUAAAGUAAAUAAAACAUUACAGGCAAGUGAGGAAUCUGUUAUCUUUAGCAAAAAUAAAAGCACUGAUAAUGAGUGUCAUUAACUGAUAUAUAAAAUGUAAAAAACUGUUUCUACGCGCUUACUGUUGAUGAUUAAUCCUACGAUAAAAGGUUUUCCAAAAUAAAAAAUUGCUUCGUCAUUAUAUAAUUGUUAGGGUAGUAACUCUACAGCACCCUCUGUUGAUUGAAUGAAAAUGUGUUAAUAUAGAUAACAUUUAAUGCAAUCUACUCCAACCAAAGAAGCAGCUACAUGUAAAUAUAUUUAGAUGCGUUACUAGAACCCUUAGUGCGAAAAUUCUCAUUCUCCCCCUGCAAUCCCUCCAUGUGUCUCAUUAUCUUCCCCCCAGCCCCUCUAUGUGUCUCAUUCUCCCAAACCCCUCCAUGUGUCUUGUUUCCCCCAAAGCCCCUCCAUGUGUCUCAUUUCAACCAAGGCCCCUCCAUGCAUCUUAUUUCCUUCCCCCAAGCCCCUCCAUGUUUCUCAUUAUAUACCCACAGCCCCCUAAUGUGUCUAAUUCCCUGCCUGCCAGUCCCUCCAUGUGUCCCAUUUGCUCCCCCAGCCCGUCCAUGUGUAUCAUUCUCUCCAGCCCUUCAUUUGUCCCAUUCUCUCCCCCUUCUCUCCUUGAACUGCUGUCAUAUAUCCUUUUCCUCCCGACUCUGCUGUUCCGCUGUGUCCCAAUGUUCGGCCAAUAUUGCAGUGUUGCGUGCGUGAACAAUGAAAGGAUUACUAAUUGAUCCCGCACACAGAAUUGUAUCACACCUAGGACUAAGGAUAACGUCUAACCGGACCUUAAUGUAAGACUUAAUGUAUCCAAGGGUUUAAAUACCCCUCUUGAUAUGUUCAAUCUGUUCCGGCUAUAAUUCAAAUUACAGUCGGAACAGUUUGAACACAUCAAGAGGGGUAUUUAAACUCUGAAGAUACACCAGUGAUACAACACUGAGGAAGGCCCCAUCUGGGGCUGAAACGCAUUUGCUACCCACUGGACUUCAUUAGGGACUUUUUUUCUGGUGGUAUUUUAUGUUUGUAUGCCAUUGCAUUCACAAUGAUUUUUAUCUUUGGCCAUAUUUGCGGUGCAAUACCAUACCUGACUUAUUUCUAUCUCUUACUACUAUUGUAUUUUUAAUUAUAUUAUAUAAUAAAUUUAUACUCAAAUAUCCCAGCAUUGUGAAUAUUGAGUUCUUCAUUGAAGCAUGUUGAGAGACAGGCACCCAAGGGCGGUUUCCAUAGAGCCUAUGUGGCUCCACCUUUGUGAGUUUAUUCCACAUAUAUUUUAAUCUCUAUAUACUUUAUGCUAUGAAGAGCACUAUGUAUAUCUCAUUUGUUUUACAGGAACUACAUUAUUUAUACUUGUAAUAGGUGGUAUAUUGGUACAUUACACCUGUUUUGUGUAUGUGAAUCUAUUCUUAUUUCUUUAUUAUUUGGUCUUUAGGUGUUAAGGGAUUACACCUUUUUCACACCCACGUAUAUUGUAAAUUAUAUAUUUGAAGCACCUACAAAACCAUUUAUAUAUAUUUCUUUAUUAAUGUAUCCAAGAAUAGUCAGAACACUUGCCGAAGUCAGGGAUAGAGAAUCAGACACAGCAAUGAGAAAAAGCCAAAAGUCAAGGAUUCCAGAAAUCAGGGAAGUCAGAAUGAAGCCAAAGUCAAAUACCCAAAAAAUCAAGAACGCACUCUCGGAUUAACAUCAGGCAGAAACCACAACAGGGCAAUGAGAGAAUGUAAAACAUAAAUUUAAAUAACCCUCCCGUUAUUCCGAUUGGGUGUAAUUUUGCCCAAAAAAUGUGCGUGAGUGAUGAUGUCAUGCUUACGCCGACGUCAUCCUCAAUGUGGACGGUCAUGGGGCUUAUAAGGUGGCAUAGAUCCGCAGUGACCGGCAUCCCUAGACAUGCUGGGUUUAUCAGAUAUCCGGGCACAUGGCUGUAGCUGGGCACAACUAUACCUGUCAGGACAGUAAAUACCAUUAAACACAUUACUAUAAGCGGAUGAAUUCGCUACAAACAGCUAGGGGGCGUGCACCUUCUUUGUCUUUGUCCCUAGAGGGAAACUUACCUAUUUUAUUUCUGGGCUAAGAACUCCAUUUAUAACUAUUCACAUAUUACCCUAAUUGGUUCCCUAGCCUACAACUCACAUUUAGCCCUAUUUAUACCUCCCUUUGACAUCACUUCCUUGCCCUGUCAUCUUUGUAGCCCAAGAGUGUGUUUCUUUGGCUUAGACUUUUCUGGUAUCUGACUUUGGAUUUGCUCAUAGCUUAUCUAUUCUUCUGGUAUCCUUGACCCUUGGCUUUGCUCUACAUUUAUAUUUCCAUCUCCAAACCUGACCUUGUGCACCCCGAACUCUGCAGACCACAAGGUGUGACCACCCCUUUAAGAGAUCUGGCUGGAUUUGAACUCACAGCUCCAGCAUCAAAGUCAGGUUCUCUACCUUGCUUCAGUAUCUACCAGUAUUUGUCUGCUUUCUGACUCCUUGUCAGAAAAGCCUGCUCUGUCUGAGGCCUAGUAUCCGGUUGUUUUGUUUGUCUGGUUUUUCCUUCCGGAUCUUUGUUACUCUGCUGACUCAUUUCCUGGACUCUGACCUAUGCCUGCCUUACUGACUACGAUACUCCGCUACCAGCCCUGACUUCUGCUUUUCAUCUGACCCUGCCUUUGGAUUACCCCUUCAUCUAUACUGCGCUUUGGUUUUUGCCUUCUCCUUGUGCCAUCUCCUGCAACUGGGCUCCAACUCCUGGUAAACAGUGACACCUUGGCCUGUCUGACUAUUUUAUACUUCUAGCUGUACUCAUAUAUACUUUAAGUCCGGCCACUCUAAGGCCCUGUAAUAUGUCUUGGUUUGUGUAUCGGUGAAGAGCUCUUUCGUUUGUGUGUUAGGGUGAUUGACCUUGACACCUAGAUGAAAUGAUAGGAUUUCUGGUGCUUGUUUGUUAUGCGCGUGGCAGCUUGAACUUCCCAAGCAAGAGUAUCUUCCUUCUGUGGUUAUUUUGGGUAACAAGGGAAAUGCAGGGAUGCAGUGCCUUUAGUAAUAUCCUCCAAUCAACAUGGGGAUGGAACACUGUAGGGAGUAAGAGGAGAAAAUGGAAUAUAGUGUAGUAUUUAGGUAACUGGUAAUUAUAAAUAAAACAAAAUACACUUACAAAUUUCUGGAGCCUAUAUUCGGCUCCAGAUAUAUGCGCCUGGAUGGUACAAUCCCCGUCUGUGGAUAUGUUAGUGGUCUUAUUAGUAUGUUGAGAGGCGUCUUCAGCAGUUGUAAAAAUCUUUGUUCAUUGCACCACAGUGUAGCAGUCAGGAAUCAUUGGUAUUCAAAAUGCAAUUAAAUGCAGAAUCUAGUGGUCUUUGUAUUUUUAAAAUAAAAGAAAGGGAUAAAAGGAGGUGUACUCACAAAAGGAGAGAAAUGCCAGGGAUUGCUAAACCCUAUUAAUCUUAGGAUUCCCCACCAAGGAAAUCACUGAGCUAAUCCUCCAUUUAAAAUCUUCAAAGGUAAAUUAAAAAUUUCCAAAUUUCUAUAACAUGACUGGUUUUAUUAGAAAAUAAUUAAUAAAACCAAAUACAGCAUAAAAAACACUAACACGUUUCACCAAAAGUAAGGAUUUUUCAAAGUGUUACAGUGUCUUGGACCUAUCCUGUUUAAAUAGCAUAACAAUUUUUUUUUAAAUGAUCAGUUGAUGUCAUCAGUCAUGUAACUAACAUUCAAUUAGCAUAAAAAUUAUAUAAAAAUAUAAUAUGCAAUAGAAAGAAGAGGGGGUUUAAUCAUGUAUGUAAACAACAUAACUGUAAAACAAAAAUCCCUUAAUAAAAUAUAAAAGUAUUCAAAAAAUGUGUAGAUAGCUUCAAGCACAGUAUAAACUGAAAGCACCAAUAUGGCCACCACCAGCAAAAACAUUGUGAUCGGCGCGGUCAUAGAAUUAAAUCAAAAGGGGAGGGUGGGAUGUGGAAGUAGAGUGGGGAGGUGGAGGGAACCACUUCCCUCCUAAAACGAGCAUUGUAAGUGACAUUUUCAUACACCUAAAUAUGGCGUCAUGACCACACCACAUAAUUGGCACAGACCACAACGUCAUAAAAACAUAGGAUCGCUGGGUAGGGAGAGAGGGGAAGGACUAGUUUGAAGGGGGAGUGUCUGAAAUGCAGCUAACACUCCCUGAGUGUACUGGCUAAGCCUGAAUGGGAGGGUAUAAAUCCCUUCCAUAUAUGAACACUAAGGAUUGUGGGGCUUGUAGUAGAGCUUGCAUAUAUUGGUAUAUUUAUAGAUAUAGAACCAGAUAAAGGGGAGCACAUAUAGCAUAAGAAAGUAGCAUAAUAGCAUAAUUGUAAUGUGUAAUUUUCUGAACAUAAAAAUUGUGAGUAUAAAAAGAUAAAUAUGUAAAAAAACAAAAAGAUAUAACAAAUAUGGACAUAUAAAUAAGACAUAUAGGGUAAAAUAAAUAAAAGAACACGUGGUUACAAAAGGUUUUUUUUUUUUUUUUAUUAAAAAGAUCAAAAUCAACAUUUAACCCCUGAGGUGCUAAAGUGUUCAAGUUUAAAGACCCAGCACAUCCCUUUUUUGCCCAAUAGUUUAGAGAGGUUUUCACCUUUCUAUAGCGCAGAAUUGUAAGCAUGUUUUGACACAGUGGUUUAUAAAACCUUUUGUAAUGUUUCUGCAGUGCUCAGCAAUGCAAAUUUUGAGGCAUGUUGGUCAUGCCUACAUAUUGUAAUUUACAAAUACAUUCUAAUAAAUAAAUAACUUUUUUGGAAUGGCAAGUUUUGAAACGGUUUAUGCUAAAUUCCUGAGGUGAAUGUUUAGAUUUAAAAUGAGAUAUUUUAACAUUUUCAUUAUUAGUACUUCUACAUGAUAAGCAGGUUUUGCAUUUUAUAAAAUCCUUGUUGACUAAAAGAGAAUUUGUUGGAGCUAAGCUUCUUAGUGCAGUUUUUAGUAAAACACAUUCUAAGGUUUGGAACUCUAAAAACAAUUUCGGGUUUAUCUGGUAAAAUGUUCUUUAAAAUGCCAUCUUCUCUUAAAAUAUUCUAUUGUUAUCAUUUAAUAAGGAUAAAAAUGCCAUAAAGGUCAUUGUUAGUACUUUUACAACCUCUGAAGAUGCCUCUCAACAUACAAAUUAGACCACCAACAUAUUCAUAGACAGGGGAUUGUCUCAUUCAAGCGCAUAUAUCUUCAGCAGAAUAUAAGCUCCAGAAAAUUGUAAGUGCAUUUUGUUUUGUUUAUAAUCACCGGUUACCUAAAUACUACACUAUUUUCAGUUUUCUCCUCUUAUUCCCUAUAUUGCUCCUUCCCUAUCUGGAUUUGAGGAUAUUACUGAAGGCGCUGCUUCCUUGCAUUUCCCUUGUGACCUUGACACCUGCACACCGCCACGGUACCCAUCUGACAGGAAGUGCACUUUUUGUCACACCGCUCAGCCACUCUACAUACAGCAACAGGAGGAGAGUAGCACAGCUCUCCCCUCAUGCUGGUAACCGGGCAACUGUGGGCCCCGGGCCAGUGCGGCUGUUCACUGGCCCUGAAUGUGUGCCUGCGGCCCACGGUCGCAGGGGUCACAGCUGUGGCAGGGUUUCCUGGAGUUACUGCUCCAAUCACAGCAGCAACCUCGUGACCAUGGUAGAUACGACACUGUUUGAAAGUGUUACUGGUAUUAUAUAUUUGCUGUAUUAAGUAUGAAAGCUUGCUACCCAGUGGUAUGUAUAUUUGUGUUUAAAUGUUUACCAUAUAAAUGCUUAUUGUAGAAGUUCCCAGGAACUGUGUUUCCUGUCUGUUUUGUUUUCCUAGAAAUUCCAGUGACAGAAUUUUCACACCUGCUUUCUGGCUACACUAUUCUCUGGUAUAAGGGACUUCAAAGAAAAGGCUGGGUUCACCUGAGAGCUAAAAGCAUCUUUUCAAAGAGGGUGGCAAAACAUAGGCCUGAGAGCUGCAAGUGCCUUGGUAAAGGCUGUAGUCGGAGGUAGCACAGGCAGAGGAGUCGUUAUCUUCCUGGGAAAGGGAAAGGCAGAGAGGAUGGGAGAAGGAGGACAGGCAGAGGGGCAAUACCUGCCUGGGAAGACAAGCCCCUCUUGAGGCAAGCUCAGCUUGGUUUAAUAUAGCUGCUGACUUGAUCCUGGUCUCAGGAAUGGUGAAAUUAAAUGUAUGCAUCUUCAUUUUUUAUUUAAAUAUUUAGUUAAUUCAGAUCGCUACCUUCUUUUUACUAUACUUUUUAAUAAUCAUUGACACUAAAGGCACCCAAACCACUUCAGCUCAAUUAUCUCAUUGGAUAUAAUCCUUACCUAUGAGAAGCAUCAAAUUGGAUGCACACGGUGCUCAUGUUCCUAUUCCUAAUGCUAGAGUGUUUAAUAAUGUAAUAACAUUUUACAAUUGUUUUUUGAUAAAAUAAAGGUAUACCAGUACCGUAGAAUUAGAUAAAUAUUGCACAAAAUGAUAACUGUUUAAUUUGUUUAUUGAAUUAUAAAUAACAUGUAAUUUCAUUAAUUUAUAUAACAUAUUAGAAAUGGUGGAGUCUCCUGAAUGAGCCAAUUCUUGGGUUCAUGGCACCCCAGUCAGAAUAUCUUCUGUACUCUCCAGAUUUCAGGUAAUACUGUCGGCCCCUAAAAUUUGGGUCCUCAUAGAACAUCCAGUAACCAUCAAGCACCUGGCAGGAGUUGAUGUCAUGGUAAUGGAAUCUUUCAUGAGUAUUAGGACAAUCUUCAGUGAACUCCAUCAUCUGACCUCUGAAAUCAUCCCUCUCAUAGACCUUCACUCUGAAUGAUCCAUGGUGCUUUAUGAGAUUAAAAAAUAUUUAUAAUUCACGGAUAGUAUGACAAAGUCUUGCAUAAUUUCAUGUGAAUAUCUAGAACCUACACCGAGAGUGUAAUUUUGACACUGACCCUCUUGUGGCCAUGAAAGUAAGUGCUGACUUAGUUGAUUAAGAAAACAUUACAUACAUACAUUUAAAAUGUUUUUCAAAAAAACAAGGUUAUAAUUUCAAAAGUUAUACCUUUAUUAAUCAUAGAUUGGAACCAAGAAUGCUCUUUUGGGGGUGCAUCUUUAAAAAUAUUUUUGUAAAAUUCUUAACUGCUCUGGUAAAAGUAUUUACCUGUGGGCUAACACGACAAGAUCUGAUGGAAUCAUUGAAACCCAUCCAUUUCUGGAAAUUAGGAUAUUCUCCCCUGCUAAGGUAAUACUGGUGUCCUCUAUAGUUUGGGUGCUCAUACAGGAUCCAGUUUCCACUUUCCACUCGGAUGGAAUUGCAACGAUUAAAAUAUGAGGUCAAAUCUUGACACUCAGAGCUGCACUCAUAAGAGCGUCCCUGAAAGUUACGAUCCUCGUAGAAGACAAUCUAUGAAUGGAAUUACACAUUAGAAUAUAUAUAUAAAUUUUAAUAUAUAUUAUACAUUUUUUUUAGUUGCCAGCAGUGCAUCAAACAUAAUAAAUAACAAGGAUCACAAGGGCUCGACUAUUACACAAAUGUAUAUAUGAUAUAAUCACUAAAGCUAUGACGAUGGGUUUAAUUCUGGGGCUUUGGAUUUACAAUUAUAACAUGAAAAGCCCAUUGUGCUGUUUAUUGCCAAAUAUAAUGUAAUGCUGAUUUGAUUACUGUAUAUAUUAGGUUAUAAAGUAAUGUAUUCUUCUUUUGUUUUGCAGCGCAUUCAUCUAUUUCCAUACUCGUGUCCUUUGGCAGGUACCAAGAGAAAAAGAGGUUGGGACAGGGAGUGAGACACAUCUGGGGCAUAGCAGUAAUUUAAAUCAUAUUACUGAAAUGCCAUGCUCCUAUUAUCCCCCCUUACUGCAGCCAGCAUUAUAUUAGCUAUCUAAUGUCCGUUAAGUUUGAGAUUGGUAUACUCAAUAUUACCAAUCUCAAACUAAGUUCCAGGGCUAAUUUCAUGAUUUAUCCCAGUGGAAAGUGAAAGUUAAAGUUAAUAGUGAACUUCUUUAGUAAUAAACUGCAGAUAGAUGAAAAAAAAAAAAAGGUUUCUUUUAAACUGAACCUAGAUAUAGGUACAGAAAGAAGUAAGAAUAGUAUUUUUUUUUCUGUUAUUUUACCUACAUUUUUUAACUUUUUAUCCACUCACAUCUUCUCGCAAUUUUGUCAAUACUUUGUAGCAUGUUGCAACUCCUCACGAGCAGUUCCUGACCGAGAAGUUUCACAAGUCAAUAAGUAGUCACUAGUGGCUCCCAUUACCUCUAGCUUGGAGUAAAGUGGUUAAAGACAGCUAAAUCUCACCUGUCACUACUGUUCAUAAAGAAGCUAGUGUGAAUUUACUGGUAUGUGUUUCUUUGCUUUACCAGCAAGAGACUAAUAUAAGACUGGUUGAUACCUGCCGCAGCAGCUGCUAUUAGUGAAAGUGUUACUAAAAUUUAGCUACAAGGCUAGAAAUAUUAUGGCAAUUUUUAGCCACUUCAGACUAUCAGCUGUUAAUAGUGACAGUUAAUGGCAGCCAUUUUACUAUGUCCCUAUGUUUUUAUUGAAAGCAUGUCUUUGAAAUAUUAACUCUUUGUUUGUAAUUUAACAAAUAAUUCCUCUGCAGUAAGAUAUUAAUCAUUUUGUGACAUAAUCUUACCUUUCCCAUUUUCAGUACUGAUCCACUGUCCGUUGAUAUGGUCAAGCAAGUUGUGGUGAUAUUUAGGACAGAGGGCCUUUAUAUACCAUCUCUAAGUCUAUUGCUGAUGCUUACAUACAUUGAAGGCAAUGCUGAGCUGUUUUCUUUCUACCAAUAAGUAGAAUGUAAAGCUAUUGUAUGGUUUAUUGUGUUUGAGAAAGGUCUGUAUUUCCAUUUCAUGUGUGUGUGCUUGCUGGCACCUGCAUUCCAUGAAUCCUAGAAAGAUCUACACACAACAUUCUGACAGUGCUUUUUUUGUAAAUUAAAAACUUUCUAUACUAACACGUGGCAGUUUAUGUUAAGGUUUCUAUAACAAAAAAAUAUGUUUUUCAGUUUACUAUCAACAUGUGAGUAAACACUGAAGUAUAUUGUAGACUUGGAGAUUAGUUUUAGACCGAACUGCAGUUUGUACAAAUUCAGACCUAUGGAAUGAUUGUAAACAUUUCUAUUUCCAAACUGUCAUGUUCCAAAAUCUAAAGGAAAGCCUGAAUAUGCUCAUUUCCAUUCCUGGCACCAGAAAAAAUAGGUUUGGAAUGAAGGAGAGGAUAUUUUCUUUGUUUUUCUUUUAUGGGUUCGGGCAAAUAGGCAGCUUAAUAUAACAAGUCAACAGGUCUGCCCAAUCAUGUGGUUUGGAUCUCCUUUCCAAUCAAGAGGUAGUAAAAAAAAAGAUCUAUAAAUGUUGAAUGUAUUCACAGAUCAAGUGAAGUGACCAGUGCAAGAGGAAAAAAACAAAGCAAUCAUACAACUAUAUUUUCAAGCAGGAUUCCUCUAGACACUUUGACUUCAGAUACUUAGGGACACAGAACAGCAGUGAGACAGUCUGUUUACGCUUGCUGUGGGAGGUAGGAAGGUGAUUGAUUCUAGUGUGAAACUAGCUUUAGCUUUAGUUUUAUGCUGUACCUAGCAUCUAUAACUACCAGAAGCACUAGGGAAAAUGUUGGGGGCUGUUUUACCAAUGUACAGUUCAUAAAAGUUAUCUUUUUUGUCGGCUGUCCAGAGAAAAGAAAAUCUUCUAUUUGGGACCGUGGUGUGAGGAAUAAAAAUAAUUUUGCCAAGCCUAGGUCAUUGAUUCAUGUGUGUGACUAGCUUUAGCUUUAAAAACUGUGCUGCAUGUAGAUCUACUAAUAAUGCAGACACUAAAAUUAACCAGACUUUAGUAAAAUCUGAGCUUAAAGGAUCUUAUCAACUGCAAAUCAAAAAUGUGAUAUACCUUUUAGAGUGCUCCUGUGUUCUCCAGUACAUAGAAAUGAGCAAAAGAUGUCUAAAAACAAGAAUUGGAAAGCACCUCUGAAAUAUCCCAAAAGGCUUAAUCAACCCCUCUCUCUGUAAACACUCCCUAUCUCAUAAUAGAGACCCCAAUAUGCUAAAGUUUAGCAGUAUCUAAAAUGCAAUAAACCCUGGAGAAGAGGUGAUAUGACCAAAAUACUGAGUAAAAAAGAGACUGAGUUCUUAAUUAAAAAUAAAUACAUUAAAAAAAAAAAAAAAAAAAACAAGUCCAAGAUGUCUUAAAUGCAGACAUCGAUUUGUUUAAUUUUGAGUGAAUCUUAAAUACAUAUAUCAUUUUGUCUUUUACUCAUUAGAGGCAGCCCCUGGUGUACUUGUUCAGUGUUUUUAUUUUUUUUAGGUUUUUUAAAUUAUUAUUUUUUUUACGCAGGUUUUUGUCAUUUUUCUUUAUUUCUAUUACAAUUGCCCUCGAUCACAUGGCUGCCGAGUAAUUAUUUGCGAGCAUGGGGUCACUUAUUGUUAUCUUUUUAUCCCUUUGUCACACUUUAUUGGUUUGGCAUUUCUGUUUUUAUGUUACUUCCCCUUUUGUUUAUAUAUAUAUUUAUUCUUGCUAAUAUUUUUUUUUUGCAAUUACAUUGUCUUGAUUGUCUUUGGUCUGAUCAUCUGACUGCACCUAAGUGUUUCUGUUUCUCCUCUUCUAGGGCAUUUUACAAUCUGCCAUAAUAGCUUUAUUAACAGUAUAGCUUUAUUAUCAGUAGAUUUUAUUCUACUAUUGCUUAUGUGCUUAUAUUCAGUACCGUUGGGUCCAAUCACGUGACUGCAUUCAGUUCUUUCUUAUGUUUAACUUACAUGUCCCAUCAUUUACCGUGAAUUGUUAGUUCCAAUCAUGUGACUGCACUCUUUAGUCAUUAUUAUUUUAGAAACAUAGAAUGUGAUGGCAGAUAAGAACAAUUCGGCAAGUUUCUAAAUACUUUCAUUAGUCCCUGGCCUUAUCUUAUAGUUAGGAUAGCCUAAUGCCUAAAUCACGCAUGCUUAAACUCCUUUACUGUGUUAACCUCUACCACUUCAGCUGGAAGGCUAUUCCAUGCAUCCACUACCCUCUCAGUAAAGUAAUACUUCCUGAAAUUAUUUUUAAACCUUUACCCCUCUAAUAUAAGACUAUGUCCUCUUGCUGUGGUAGUUUUUCUUCUUUUAAAUAUAGUCUCCUCCUUUACUGUGUUGAUCCCCUUUAUGUAUUUAAAUGUUUCUAUCAUAUCCCCCCUGUCUCGUCUUUCCUCCAAGCUAUACAUGUUAAGUUCCUUUAACCUUUCCUGGUAAGUUUUAUCCUACAAUCCAUUAUUAUUGAUCCUUGUCAUUAUUAUUAAUCCUUUGCAUGUGAUCAAAGUUGCUAUCACUUAACUAUGAUGAAUUUUACCCAGUAAAAGCCCAAACUCCUUCUUAGGUCCUAAGAGUCCCAGUCCUGCAGUUUGAAGCUUCACAACUUUUCAUCUAGCCAAAGCAGGAGUGGGCCGCGGUGGCCAUGGGUCGAGGCCGGCAGGGGAGGUCCCAGGAUCUCCCCUGCACUCUCCUAGCACCGGCCCCGCCGUUUGCCACGAAGGGCCGGUGGGGAGAUCAAAGAUCUCCCUCACCGGCCCAAAUGCGGCCGCAGGCGGGGAGGGAGACAGACCCGGCGGAGCUCUAUCUUGCAGCUCCGCCGGGUUCCUCUCGCGAGAUCCGGCGCAUUGCCAUGGCAACGACCGGAUCUCGCGAGAGUGAACUCUAGCCUCACAGGCUAGAGUUCAUUCACCCACGAGGACAACCAGGGAACACCGCCACCCAGUCCCAGCGUGCCGGUCCCCCCCCUCCCAGGCUAAAGGUAAGAAGGGAGGGGGGGGACAUAAUGCCUGUUUUUUGUUUAUUUACCCCCCUACACACACACAAUAACAUUUAUACAGCACACAUACUCUCACACCCAUCAACACAGCACUCUCUCACACAGCACUCUCACACCCAUCACACACAGCACUCUCACACCCAUCACACACAGCACUCUCUCACACAGCACUCUCACACCCAUCACUCUCACUCUCACAGAGCACUCUUACACAGCACUUUCACACACACAGCACUCUCACACACACAGCACUCUCUCACAGCACUCUCACACCCAUCACACACAGCACUCUCACACAGCACUCUCACACCCAUCACUCACACACAGCACUCUCACACACAUCACACACACGGCACUCUCACACACACGGCACUCUCACACACACACUGCACCCCUCACACACACACAUACUGCACCCCUCACAUACACACAGAACCCCCCCCAACACACUGCACCACACGCAUACACAAUACUUCCAAAUAUAUAUAUAUAUAUACACACACUACACUCUUAACAUACACACUCUGGAUCCCCUAUACACACUAGAUUCCUUGUAAGCAAACACAUACUACACCCCUAAACACACACACACACUACAGCCUGUAUGCACACACUUACUAUAUCCCCAAUACAUACAUUCUCUACAGCCCAUAGCCACAUAUGCAUCACAUUACACCAUAAACACAACACAACUAAAACCGACCUUAUUACACAAUACCACACCACGACCACACACGCAAUACCACAAGCAGGCUCCAAACACAUGCACAAUACUCUUUCCUGGCCCUUUUGUCUCCUGGUAUCCAUUUAUAGAGACACCAGAGACAAGUUGCAAGGAAACACAGUGCAAGCAUGUUAUUAAAUUAGCUUGCACUGUGCAGAACAAAUACAGGACUUUUUUCACAUGCUAUAGCUCUUCAGCAGAGCUCUGCGCAUGGUCUGCCCUGGAAGAGCAUUGAACCAACAUGCUCACUUUGAGAGGAGGCGUGUUUGACAAAACACACCUCCUCUGCCCCGCCCCCUUUUUAGUGGGCCGCUGUGUUAAAAAAAUGCCGGGCCGAAUUUUUCUCCCAGUCUGGCCCUGGUUAUAACUAUUAGUAACAGGCUGCUCUGUGUCAGAAAUGUCCCAUCCCUUUGGGCAACACUGGUUUAAUAUAUGUUAAUUAUUUAUUUGAGUAUUAACCUUGCUUAGUCAGCCCUCAGGCAGCCACAAGGACUAUUGAAAGAGAGAAAAAAAUUGCACUGCGUUAUUGUGUUAAAAAUGAUUACACUCUCUAAUCUACUAUAUUUGUCUACUCUAUAUUUUAAAUUAAUAUUAAUAUAAAGCUUGUAGUACAGAGAACUUGCUUUUCCUUUGGUUUGCAUUAUUUUUCAAAGAUAGAAACAUAGAAACAUAGAAUGUGACGGCAGAUAAGAACCAUUUUGCCCAUCUAGUCUGCCCAAUUUUUUAAAUACCUUCAUUAGUCCCUGGCCUUAUCUUAUACUUAGGAUAGCCUUAUACAUAUCCCAUGCAUGCUUAAACUCCUAUACUGUGUAAACCUCUACCACUUCAGCUGGAAGGCUAUUUCAUGCAUCAACUACCCUCUCAGUAAAUUAAUACUUCCUGAUAUUAUUGUUUAACCUUUGCCCCUCUAAUUUAAGACUAUGUCCUCUUUUUGUGGUAGUUUUUCUUCUUUUAAAUAUAGUCUCAUCCUUUACGGUGUUGAUUCCCUUUAUGUAUUUAAAUGUUUCUAUCAUAUCCCCCCUGUCUCGUCUUUCCUCCAAGCUAUACAUGUUAAGUUCCUUUAACCUUUCCUUGUAAGUUAUAUCCUUCAAUACAUGAACAAGUUUAGUAGCCCUUCUCUGAACUCUCUCUAAAAUAUCAAUAUCCUUCUGGAGAUACGGUCUCCAGUACUGCGUACAAUACUCCAAGUGAGGUCUCACCAGUGUUCUGUACAAUGGCAUGAGCACUUCCCUCUUUCUACUGCUAAUACCUCUCCCUAUACAACCAAGCAUUCUGCUAGCAUUUCCUGCUGCUCUAUUACAUUGUCUGCCUACCUUUAAGUCAUCAGAAAUAAUCACCCCUAAAUCCUUUUCCUCAGAUGCUGAGGUUAGGACUCUAUCAAAUAUUCUGUACUCUGCCCUUGGGUUUUUUACAUCUAAGAUGCAUUAUCUUGCACUUAUCCAGACUAAAUGUCAGUUGCCAAAGCUCUGACCGUUUUCUAGUUUACCUAAAUCAUUUGCCAUUUAGCUUAUCCCUCCUGGAACACCAACCCUGUUACAUAUCUUAGUGUCAUUAGCAAAAAUACAUACCUUACCAUCAAUACCUUAUGCAAUAUCACUAAUAAAAAUAUUACAGAGAAUGGGUCCAAGUACAGAUCCCUGAGGUACCCCACUGGUGACAAUAUACUUCAUUGACUACAAGCCUCUGUUGCCUGUCACUCAGCCACUGCCUUACCCAUUCAACAAUAUUGGGAUCCAAACUUAAAGAUUGAAGUUCUAUGUGCAACAGUGUCAAAGCCUUACUGAAAUCUAGGAAAGCAAUGUCUACUGCACAACCCCGAUCUAUUAUUUUAGUUACCCAAUCAAAAAAAUCAAUAAGAUUAGUUUGGCACGAUCUCCCUGAAGUAAACCCAUGUUGUCUCUAAUCUUGAAAUCCAUGUGUUUUUAGAUGUUCAACAAUCCUAUCCUUUAACAUGGUUUCCAUUACGUUCCUCACUACUGAAGUAAGGCUUCCUGGCCUAUAGUUGCCCGACUCCUCCCUACUACCUUUCUUGUGAAUGGGCACAACAUUCGCUAACUUCCAAUCUUUUCGGACUACUCCUGUUAACAAUGAUUGGUUAAAUAAAUAUGUUAAUGGUUUUGCUAGUAGACCACUAAGCUCUUUUAAUAGCUUUGGGUGCAUUCCACCAGGUCCCAUUGACUCAUUUGUCUUUACUUUUCACAGUUGAAAUAGACCUUUUCCUCUGUAAACUCACAUGUAACAAAUGACUCAUUUGUCCUUUUUCCUAACUGAGGCCCCCUUCCUUCAUUUUCAUCUGUAAAUACUGAACAAAAAUAUUCAUUGAGGCAGUCAGCUAGACCUUUAUCCUCUUGUACAUACCUUCCUUCUUUUGUUUUUAAUCUAACUAAUCCUUGUUUUACUUUCCUUUUCUCACUUAUGUAUCUAAAAAAAUGUUUUGUCCCCUUUUUUUACUGACUGUGCUAUUUUCUCUUCCGUGUGUGAUUUGGAAGCUCUUAUAACUUGCUUAGCCUCUUUCUGCCUAAUCUUAUAGAUCAUUCUGUCUUCAUCACUCUGUUUUUUUAUAAUUACUAAAUGCUAACUUUUAGUUUUUUACUAUUUUAGCCACAUCUGCUGAGUACCACAGUGGUUUCUUGAAUUUUUUGCUUUUACUGACAAGCCUAAUGCAAUUUUCUGUUGCCUUCAGCAGUGCAACUUUUAAUUAAUUCCAUUUCUCUUGGACUCCAUUUAAAUUGCUCCAGUCUGAUAAUUACUCCUUUAUACUUAUUCUAAUUUUAGAAAAGUCUAAAACUUGUUUUUGUGUGGUGUGACUCAUAUUAAACCACACUGACUGAUGAUCACCGGAUCCUAAACUUACACCUACAGUAAUAUCUAAUACCAAAUCUCAAAUUUUUUUUAACACUAAAUCUAGUAUGGCCUCUUUACUAGUUGGUUCCUCAACAACUUGUUUUAGAGACAAUCCCAGUUGGGAGUUUACAAUAUGUGUGUUCCUGGCACAAGCAGCUAUUUUGGUUUUCCAAUUCACAUCAGGAAGAUUAAAGUCACCCAUGGUGUUAACUUUCCCUUCAUUGUCAUUUUAGCGAUUUCCUCAACUAGAAGAUUAUCUAACUCUUUGAUUUGUCCUGGGGCCUAUAAAUCACACCUACACGAGUUACUGUGUGAUUACCAAAUUCUAACCUAACCCAAACGGACUCUAUAUUCGCCUCCCUAAAUUUUAUUAGGCUAGAUUUUAUGCUAUCCUUCACAUACAGGGCCACACCUCCCCCUUCUUGCCUUCCCUGUCUUUUCCCUGGUAUUUCUAUGUCCCAGUCAUUUUUCUCAUUUUACCAUGUCUCAGUAACAGCAACUAAAUCUACAUUAUCAGUUGCCAUUAUUGCCACAAGUUCAUGGAUCUUAUUCCCUAAACUGCGAGCAUUUGUAGACAUGACUCUAAGCUUAUCAUUUUUUAGCACACUUGCUACAGGUACCUUCUGUCCUUGUUUUGGGGGGCAAUUGGAUUGAUGCUUUAUCACCCUUUUGCCCCCCCCUCCUAGUUUAAAUACAGUGCCUUACAAAAGUAUUCACCCCCUUGACUUUUUACCUAUUUUGUUACAUUACAGCCUUAAGUUCAAAGUUUUAUUAAUCUGAAUUUCAUGUGAUGGAUCAGAACUAGUGAUGUCCCGAACGGUUCGCCGAACGGUUCGCCGAACGGUUCGCCACGGAUGGCGAACAUAUGCGCUGUUCGGUCCACCCCCUAUGUCAUCAUUGAGUAAACGUUGACCCUGUACCUCACAGUCAGCAGACACAUUCCAGCCAAUCAGCAGCAGACCCUCCCUCCCAGAUCCUCCCAGCUCCUGGACAGCAUCCAUUUUACAUUCAUUGUGAAGCUGUCCGCCGGCGAACAAUAGCGUGUUCACGUUGGGCGAACAUAUCUGAUUUCCGGUCCGCCCCCUAUACGUCAUCAUUGAGUAAACUUUGACCUGGAACCUCACAGUCAGCAGACACUUCCUGGGAGGGAGGGUCUUCUGCUGAUUGGCUGGAAUGUGUCUGCUGACUGUGAAGUACAGGGUCAAAGUUUACUCAAUGAUGACGAAUAGGGGGUGCACCGAACAGCGCAUAUGUUCGCCAUCCUCGGCGAACCGUUCGGCGAACCGUUUGGCGAACCGUCCGGCGAACCGUUCAGCGAACCGUUCGGCGAACCAUUCGGAACAUCACUAAUCAGAACACAAUAGUCUAAGUUGGUGAAGUAAAAAUAUAUACAUAAAACUAUUUAACAGAAAAUUGGCAUGUGCGUAUGUAUUCACCCCCUUUGUUAUGAAGCCCAUAAAAAGCUCUGGUGCAACCAAUUACCUGCAAUCUAAGUGUCACAUGAUCUGUCAUUACAUAUACACACCUUUCUGAAAGGCCACAGAGGCUGCAACACCUAAGCAAGAGGCACCACUAACCAAACACUGCCAUGAAGACCAAGGAACUCUCCAAACAAGUAAGUUACAAUGUUGUUGAGAAGUACAAGUCAGCGUUAGGUUAUAAAAAAAUAUCCAAAUCUUUGAUGAUCCCCAGGAGCACCAUCAAAUCUAUCAUAACCAAAUGGAAAGAACAUGGCACAACAGCAAACAUGCCAAGAGACGGCCGCCCACCAAAACUCACGGACUGGGCAAAGUGGGCAUUAAUCAGAGAGGCAGCACAGAGACCUAAGGUAACCCUGGAGGAGCUGCAGAGUUCCACAGCAGAGACUGGAGUAUAUGUACAUAGGACGACAAUAAGGCGUACGCUCCAUAGAGCUGGGCUUUAUGGCAGAGUGGCCAGAAGAAAGCCAUUACUUUCAGCAAAAACAAAAUGGCACAUUUUAAGUUUGUGGAAAGGCAUGUGGGAGACUCCCAAAAUGUAUGGAGGAAGGUGCUCUGGUCUAAUGAGACUAAAAUUGAACUUUUCGGCCAUCAAAGAAAAUGCUAUGUCUGGCGCAAACCCAACACAUCACAUCACCCAAAGAACACCACCCCCAUAGUGAAACAUGGUGGUGACAGCAUCAUGCUGUGGGAAUGUUUUUCAGCAGCCGGGACUGGGAAUCUGGUCAGAGUUGAGAGAUAGAUGGAUGGUGCUAAAUACAGGGAUAUUCUUGAGCAAAACCUGUACCACUCUGUGCGUGAUUUUAGGCAGGACAAUGAACCCAAACACACUGCUAAAGCAACACUUGAGUGGUUUAAUGGGAAACAUGUAAAUGUGUUGGAAUGGCCUAGUCAAAGCCCAGACCUCAAUCCAAUAGAAAAUCUGUGGUCAGACUUAAAGAUUGCUGUUCACAAGCGCAAACCAUCCAACUUGAAGGAGCUGGAGCAGUUUUGCAAGGAAGAAUGGGCAAAAAUCCCAGUGGUAAAAUGUGGCAAACUCAUAGAGACUUAUCCAAAGCGACUUGGAGCUGUGAUUGCCACAAAAGGUGGCUCUACAAAGUAUUGAUUUUAGGGGGGUGAAUAGUUAUGCACAUUGACCUUUUCUGUUAUUUUGUCUUAUUUGUUGUUUGCUUCACAAUAAUAAUAAUAAAAAAAUAACAAUCUUCAAAGUUGUGGGCAUGUUCUAUAAAUUAAAUGAUGCAAAUCCUCAAACAAUCCAUGUUAAUUCCAGGUUGUGAGGCAACAAAACACGAAAAAUGCCAAGGUGUGUGAAUACUUUUGCAAGGCACUGUACAUCCUAGCAAAACCUCUGAACUGCUCACUGAGAACAUUUGUUCCCUUUUGAGAAAGAUGCAAACCAUCUUUUUUGUACAGUUUAUUUCCAUUCCAAACAAAGCUACCAUGAGAAAUAAAGCCAAAUCCUCGCUCCCGACACCAUUCACCAAGCCACAAGUGAAAGUCCCUAAUACGUAUCCGCCUGUCGUUCAGAGUGUUAUGCACAGGCAGAACUUCAGAGAUUGACAGUGUGGAAGCAACCUGCCGUAUUUCAUUGGCAAAAACACAAAAAACUUCCUUUACCUCUGAAACCUCAUUGCAAGCCAAGUAAUUUGUCCCUAGAUGGACAAGUACAUCAAAUUCCCCUGUCUGCUUUGCUCGCUUAAAGGGACACUCCAGGCACCCAGACCACUUCUGCCCAUUGGAGUGGUUUGGGUGCCAACUCCCACUACUUUUAACCCUGCAACUGUAAUUAUUGCAGUUUUUCAUAAACUGCAAUAAUUACAUUGCAGGGUUAACUCCACUUUUAGUGGCUGUCUAGUAGACAGCCACUAGAGGGCACUUCCUGGUUUCUAGCACAGGAAACGCUGUGGGAGAACCUCCAGUGUCGCUCAUUUCCCCAUAGGAAAGCAUUGAAAUGCAUUUUUAAUGCUUUCCUAUGGGGAGCGCUAAUGCGCAUGUCCGGCAUUGCCGCGCAUGUACAUUAGGUCUCCACGGCCGGUGGGCGGGAGCAGUCUCGCCCACCGGCCGGCACAAUGCAGAGGAGGAUCGGCGGUGGAGGAGGAAGCAGCGAUGAGGGACAUCAUCCCUUCAGCAACCGGGGAUUGAGGGGUGGGAGGAAGAGGGGACCUGCAGUGCCAGGAAAACGGAUUGUUUUCCUGGCAUGGAGUUUCCCUUUAACAAUAUUAUAAAUACGUCUCCUGUCUCAGUGAGCAGUAGCUCCAGUAAGACAUCUCAAAAGACCACCAUUGUCAAUCUCCACACCUCUUACAAUAGAAUCCCCAACAACAGCUGCUUUCUAUUAGGCCUCACCAUAGUCUCCAAGCCUGUCUCCACAACACCACUACCCUCAGUGCCUGAGCUUGUCUCCACAACACCACUACCCUCAGUGUCUGAGCCUGUCUCCAUAACACCACUACACCUAGUGCCUGAGAAUGUCUCCAUAACACCAUUACACUCUGAAUGUGCAGAAAAUUAAUUAUGUAGAGCAACAGACUACCAGAUCCUACAGUAAUCAAUCUGCCAUUCCUAGUACGUCUCUGCGGCAGUGGCUUUGAAGCAGUUCCAGCCUGUUUGUUUACCAAAUAAUUUACAAAUCUCAGACUUCAAAAAUACAAUCUCCUGCCGCAAUAUAGAGAACAGUCUACAGAUUAGACGGCAUCCACAUCACCAAAAAGAGGACCGUGAAACAAAUGCAUAACACCUAUUACACUGAACUAAGUCUGCCAUUUUAAUAAUCAUUACCUUCAGGCUUUUUGCUGUAAACUCUGUCUUUUCAGAGAAAAUGCAGUGUUUACAUUACAGCCUAGUGAUAACUUCACUGGCCACUCCUCAGAUAGCUGUUAUAAAUGCUUCCUUGAUCAUGGCUGCCUAAAAUGCAUCCAAACAUUCAGUAUCCACUCCCUCUGCAUGCAGACACUGAACUUUCCUCAUAGAGAUUCAUUGAUUCAAUGUAUCUCUAGGAGGAGCUGUUGAUUGGCCAGGGAUGUGUUUGAAUAAUUCUGGCUCUGCCCCUGAUCUGCAUCUUUGUCAGUCUCAGCUGGAAGCAUUGUGAUUGGAUCAGGCCACCACUUCUAAUGAUGUCAGCAGACUGCUUGCUUUUCUUUGAGGCAAACAGCAUGCAGAGUUACAGCUUCUGGCUUGAAUACAGUAAGAAUUUGCUAUAUUCAUGGAGGCAUGAGUUUUAACACUAUAGGUGAUCCUUUAACCCCUUAAGGACACAUGACAUGUGUGACGUGUCAUGAUUCCCUUUAAUUCCAGAAGUUUGGUCCUUAAGGGGUUAAAUAAGAAUACAAUAUUUUAGAAAUUGGGAAAACAUUUUUAUUCUUCAAUUUUUAUUUCUCUAUUUUACAUUUAAUAAUUUCUACAUACCAAGUGCAAAUAAAGAACACUAACUCAGAAUAUGUUUACUAAUUAGUCCUGAUUGUUAAAAUAUCCAAUAUGUCUAGGAUUUCAAUUGCUUCUUUGAAGUUCUAAAACACACUUUGUAAGUAAUGAAUUACGAUUUUAAAGCUAAUACUUUGGCCUGCUGAGAAUAUAAUUUUAAUAGUAGUCACAGAUCCAAUACCACUAUACAAAUUUAUAUAUUUGUAGAGCAUCCCAUAGGCAAAAAAACUAAGAACAUUUUAACACUUUUAAUGUAUCAUAAACCUAGGUCAAAUAAGUUAAUUUUUGGUUUCUGGCUUUUUUUCCUACCCAUAACCCAGACCUAAUCCUACCCACAAUCCAACCAAUAAUCUUAAUCAUAAUUUUAUGUAUAACCCCAGUCCUAAUCCAACCAUAUAAUCCCACCCCUAAUUCCACCUCUCAAGGGAUUCCCUCGGCUGACAUUAGUCAUGACAUCAGCAGAGGGAUUUCCUAGGUCACAGUACAGAUGGUUCUGUGAAUGCUUUGUAUUGUGUGAUUGCAGCAUGAGAGGGAGACAAAGCCCAGCACCAACCCAGCAGCAGGGACAAACAGGGAGAAGUGCACGAAAAAGCCAAUUUUUAAGAUUAAGGAGAAACUGUUUCCAGAUAGAAGAUUUUAACCAGCAAGCAGAAUUUAAAAAAAAACGAAUUUAUUGAGAAAAAUUAACCAAUUUAAACAAAACUAUAUAUGCCAUUAAAACAAAAGAAAGAACAGAACUUCUAACCUACAAAAAGAAAGCCCAUGAUACCACCCUACUCUCCCCAUUAUUUUCAGUUUUAAUAAUAAAAACAAUCACAUCAAGAAAAUAAUAAACAAACAUUGGCAUCUGCUUAAACAAGAUGAUAUUUUAAAAUAAAUCAUAUCAGAUAGACCUAACAUUGUAUUGAGAGGAGCCCCCAGUUUUAAAUAUAUUUUAACCUCCAAUUUUUCUAGGGAUAAUGUCACAAAACCCCAAUCUUGUUUCCUGUCCUUCACCAAAGGUUUUUUAAAUGCAAGUGCUGUAAAGUAUGCAAAAGUACAGACAAAUCUACAAAACCUAAGACCACACAAUUCAAAUCCAAUAGAACAAAUAAAAUAUAUAAUAUCAGACUUCAUCACUUGCACUACAAAAAAAUUUAAUUUAUCUCCUAGAAUGCCCGUGCGGUCUCCAAUACGUGGGCAUGACCACAAUGAGCCUCAAAACAAGAUUAGGAGAACAAUGUUGCAACAUUACCAAUGGAUACCAAAACCACUCAGUAUCCAAACAUUUUACCCCCUAUAAUAAAGAUCCAGACCAAUUAAAAUGUACUGGCAUAAAAAAAUGCACUAUCCCAUGGAGAGGAGGCAACAUAAAGAAUAUUUUAGGGAAGUGCGAAAUUGAAUGGGUUUUUAACUUGAAAACGCUAUUUAUCCAUAUUUUCUAUUUACACUAUUUUCAUAUGUGGUGAACUGUUUUUUGUUUGUAUGCUCUUAUGUACCCAUUGUUAUCUUAUCCAUCUAUGGACUUAAUCAGAGAUAUACAUUUUUAUCAGCUAGACUUGUUUUAUUUUAUUACACUUUUUCUCUCUUAAAUGAGUACUUUUAUGCUAUAUGGACCCCUUUCAUAAUAAAUAAGUACUCCCAUUAUCUCCCAUUCAUAAAUGUAUCCUUGCUAUCUAUUAUUUUUUCGGCCUUCCACACACAAUAUGGCCACCGUGUAUGCUUUACAUGGCUUGGCAAGCCUAUUCUCCACCCAAGAUGGACACCGAGACAAUCGAUUCACCUAUCUAUUCUAACUUUAAAACGUUUUUACAGCCCCACUUGCCGAUCUUCGGCCACUCCCCUCCCUAGAGCCAAUUAACUGGCUGAACUCCCUUGAUGGCUAUUAUUACUGGCAUGUAGUUCAUCUAUAAACUACAGCCCCCAUAAUACAUAGCGGCCGGAAAUGAUGACACGCCUAUGACGCGCGGGCACGUGUCUCGGCAGUUAAUGCCGGUCAUACCUCUAAAAACACUUGUUUUUGUAAUAAUCUUACAUAUUUGAUCCCUAAAAGUUGGAUCUAUGUAUAUUUUAAAGGGAAUCUCCAGGGCCAGGAAAAGAAUCAGUUUUCCUGGCACUGCAGGUUCCCUCUCCCUCCCACCCCCCAAUCCCUGGUUGCUGAAGGGGUGAAAACCCCUUUAGUAACUUACCUGAGGCAGCAAAGAUUUGUCCCACGUCGCUGCUUCUCCCUCCGCGCCGCUCCUACUUCUGACUGCAUCGGCCGGUGGGCGAGACUGAUCCCGCUCACCGUCCGGGGAGACCUAAUGUGGACCUAAAGGUUUCCUGUGCUAGGAACCAGGAAGUGCCCUCUAUUGGCUGUCUAGUAGAUAGCCACUAGAGGUGGAGUUAACCCUGCAAGGUAAUUAUUGCAGUUUAUAAAAAACUGCAAUAAUUAUACUUGCAGGGUUAAGAGUACUGGGAGUUGGCACCCAGACCACUCCAAUGGGCAGAAGUGGUCUGGGUGCCUGGAGUGUCCCUUUAAUAAAGCAAGCUGUUAUUUAUGUGCAAUCACAUUCUGCUCUAUGAGUGGAUAGAGCAGUUUUGGCGCCAAUUUUAAUUUGUCUCAUGCCUAUAUUUACCUCAACAAGCCAGGUUGAAAGUUUUUAUUACAUUUAUAAAGCCUAUAUGGUGAAACACGUUUGAAUAUAUUGUACUGCUUUUUAAAAAAUUUAAUAAACAGAUUUUGGUCCUUUUACUUUUUUGUACCAUCAUCUUUUAUUUGCAUUUUUAUAAUUUUUUACUAAAACCUGGCAUUUUACUUUUCUUCAUUAACUUAAAGAAUUCUAGGUGGGGAUCAUACCACCUACGCUGUUGUCAUAGAGCAAUCAGCCUGCUCUAUAUAUUGUGAGUAUAUUUUAUUAUAUUUUAUAUACCAGUAAUAUUUUAUUGAGAGCACUAUUGCUGUUUUUAUUAUCUUCCCUCCAGGCUCCUGAUAUCACCAUCUUUAAGAACACUCAUCAUAUAUCCCAGAGGUGGGGAUUGUACCACUGUAUGCCUACCACACUAGGGCUAGUAUAAGCUCUGCCAAAUGUGAGUGUAAUUACUAUUAGUGAUGUCGCGAACAUGAAAUUUUCGGUUCGCGAACGCGAACUUCUGCAAAUGUUCGCGAACCGGGCGAACCCGGCGAACCGCCAUAGACUUCAAUGGGCAGGCAAAUUUUAAAACCCACAGGGACUCUUACUGGUUGAAAGGGAGGGGAGGAGACCUACUCUCCUCCCCCCCGGCCCCCACCCCUGGGCGGCGGGUGGGGGCCAUAAAGAUAAUGAGGGGGGGACCUACUGUCCCCCCCGGCCGCCCACCUGAGCGAUGGGUGGGGGCCCUAAUAACAAUAAGGGGGGGACCUAUUGUCCCCAUAACUAUAAGGGGGGACCUAUUGUCCCCCCCCGGUCCCCACCCCUGAGCUGUGGGUGGGGGCCCUAAAAUGAACAAUAAGGGGGGGACCUAUUGUCCCCCCCGCCGGCCCCCACCCCUGAGCAUUGGGUGGGGGCCCUAAAAUGAAAAAUAAGGGGGGACCUACUGCCCCCCCGGCCCCCACCCCUGGGCGGCGGUUGGGGGCCAUAAAGUUAAUGAGGGGGGGGACCUACUGUCCUCCCCCCCGGCCCCCACCCCUGGGCGGCGGGUGGGGGCAUAGAGAUAAUGAGGGGGGGGACAGUAGGUCCACCCCUGGGCUGCGGGUGGGGGCCCUGUAACUGCUGGUGGUUCCCUAAUUUACCACUAUAAUGUCUUAAAGCAUAGAACUUAGUAGGGCUAACCAUACAGAUAUAUUAGCCAUAAUUUUAUAUAGUGUAAGAGAUCCUCUAUUUAACAUACAUAAAUAAUUGAGAAUACAAUAUAAAAUAAGGAUUGUCUUGGAAGCAAGAUUGUCUUUUUGGAUUUUUAUUAUAGAAAAAUAUAAAAUCCAUUAUAGCAGAGUUUAUAAGAUUAAAUUACAUGCUUGCAAAUAUCAUUAAUAGGUUAACAUACCCUUCUGAACAUGUCAUCAUGUCAGCCUCUCUGUCAUUUUAAGAUGGAGCAGCGUCUGUCUCCAAGUCUCUCCUCUGUGUCUUAACAUUUAAAAGUACACCUAUUUAUACCUUAGGUGUCUCCAUUUUAGGUUACUGUAGUUCAAAUAUGAAAAAGUAACACUUCUUUUACUUUAUUCAAUUUAGGACCUCCCUUAAUUUGGCAAACAUACAAGGCCAUAACUAAAGGGUGUAUACGUCAUGGAAAUUUUCCUGACUUAGUUCAAGAUGGCAUCUUAAAGUCUGAAUAGGUUAUCUGUUGUUUAUACUAAGUCGUAAGUGUACAGUCGUGGGAGAUUCCCGGAUUUGGGGAAGUUCCAUUAACUUGGGGUUACUACAGUAUAUUGUGUACUGCAAGAGUCGUAGCAUAGCCUUGAAGCUUGUUUAUGCAUUAUUGUUAUUGUAAUUUGUCUGGGACAAAAUGGCGCAAACAUAUUAUGCACUGAGGUUAUUGCUUAAAGAAACAGUUAUGAAAAACAAUAUGUUCCAUUUCUAACACCUUGUCAGUUUGCAAUAUCUCUUAAAGACAAAGUACACAGUUUAAGAAAUACAACAUUUCAUUCUAAAACUUGUAAUAUUUGCAUUUGCCCGUAACAGCCCUAAGUAAAUUCCCCCCCCCAAGGUGACUAGGGAUCCCCAAGCCCCUAGUCACCCCCCCCCCAAAUAAAAAGUCCCUACCUACCCCACUCACCCUAAAAAAUAGUGAGGGGGGAAUAAAAUAACUAACCUGUAAAAUAAAAGUAAACUUACCAUUCAACGUCUUCUUUUUUCUCAAAUCUUCAUUUUUCAGCCCCAAAAAAGGCCAAAUAAAAAACCAACAUAACUGUCGAACUAAAAAAAAAAAAAUCCUGACGAAAAAGAAAAAACCUGAGUGCAAAAAAAUAAUCCAUCUUCACCCAUGGAGGGCUCCGCGCAGACUGAGCUCUGCAGGGCGGGGGAAGGCUUAUAAAGCCUUGCCACGCCCUGCAGUUAGGUUAAGAACACUCUGAUUGGUGGGUUUAAGCCAAUCAGAGUGCUCUGUGUCAUUUUACACAGCGUGGGAAAAUUCCAAAAAACUUUCCCACGCUGUGUAAAAUGACACAGAGUACUGUGAUUGGAUGGCUUGAAAUCCAUCCAAUCACAGUGCUCUGUGUCAUUUUACACAGUGUGGGAAAAUUCCAAAGAACUUUCCCACGCUGUGUAAAAUGACACAGAGCACUGUGAUUGGAUGGCUUGAAAUCCAUCCAAUCACAGUGCUCUGUAUCAUUUUACACAGCGUGGGAAAAUUCCAAAGAACUUUCCCACGCUGUGUAAAAUGACACAGAGCACUGUGAUUGGAUGGAUUUCAAGCCCCCCCGGCCCCCACCCCUGCGCGGCGGGUGGGGGCCAUAUUUAUAAUGAGGGGGAACCUAAUGCUCCCCCCGGCCCCCACCCCUGUGCGGUGGGUGGGGGCCAAAUUGAUAAUGAGGGGGGGGACAUACUGCCCCCCCGGCCCCCACCCCUGCACGGUGUGGAUUUCAAGCCAUCCAAUCACAGUGCUCUGUGUCAUUUUACACAGCGUGGGAAAGUUCAAUUUUCCCACGCUGUGUAAAAUGCCACAGAGCACUGUGAUUGGAUGGCUUUCAAGCCAUCCAAUCACAGUGCUCUGUGUCAUUUUACACAGCGUGGGAAAGUUCUUUGGAAUUUUCCUACGCUGUGUAAAAUGACAAAGAGCACUCUGAUUGGAUGGCUUUCAAGCCAUCCAAUCACAGUGCUCUGUGUCAUUUUACACAGCGUGGGAAAGUUCUUUUGAAUUUUCCCAUGCUGUGUAAAAUGACAAAGAGCACUCUGAUUGGCUUAAACCCACCAAUCAGAGUGUUCUUAGCCUAAUUGCAGGGCGGGGCAAGGCUUUAUAAGCCUUCCCCCGCCCUGCGGAGCUCAGUCUGCAUGGAGCCCUCCAUGGGUGAAGAUGGAUUAUUUUUUUGCGCUCAGGUUUUUUCUUUUUCCUCUGUUUUUUUUUUGCGCUCGGGAUUUUUUUUUUUUUAGUUCGAAGGUUAUGAUGGUUUUUUAUUUGCCCUUUUUUGGGGCUGAAAAAUGAAGAUUUGAGAAAAAAGAAGACAUCGAAUGGUAAGUUUAAUUUUAUUUUACAGGUUAGUUAUUUUAUUCCCCCCUCACUAUUUUUUAGGGUGAGGGGUGUAGGUAGGGACUUUUUAUUUGGGGGGGUUGGGUGACUAGGGGCUUGGGGACCCCUAGUCACCUUGGGGGGGGAAUUUACUUAGGGCCUCCACCCGCAGUCCAGGGGUGGGGGCCGGGGGGGGGAGGACAGUAGGUCCCCCUUCAUUAUCUUUAUGGCCCCCACCCGCCUCCCAGGGGUGGGGGCUGGAGGGGGGGUGGACAGUAGGUCCCCCCUCAUUAUCAAUAUGGCCCCCACCCACCACGCAGGGGUGGGGGCCGGGGGGGCAGUAGGACCCCCCCCUCAUUAUCAAUUUGGCCCCUACCCGCCGCGCAGGGAUGGAGGCCGGGGGGGGCAUUAGGUUUCCCCUCAUUAUAAAUAUGGCCCCCACCCACCGCGCAGGGGUGGGGGCCAGGGGGGCAAUAUGCCCCCCUCAUUAUCAAUAUGGCCCCCACCCUCCGCGCAGGGGUGGGGGCCCGGGGGGGCAGUAGGUCCCCCCCCCAUUAUCAAUAUGGCCCCCACCCGCCGUGCAGGGGUGGGGGCGGGGGGGGACAAUAGGUCCCCCCCUUAUUGUUCAUUUUAGGGCCCCCACCCACCGCUCAGGGGUGGGGGCCGGGGGGAGGACAAUAGGUCCCCCCCUAUUAGUAUUUAGGGCCCCCACCAGGGGGGACCCUUUUUUUUUUUUAAACAGUGAGCAGCCAUAGGCUGCUCACUGUUUAGUAGACAUGCCCCUACUCGCGGUAUUGCGAGUAGGGGCACAAUUUACUAAUACUAAGUAAUUUUUACUUAGUAUUAGUAAAUUAAUAGGGGGCGGACCGAACAUCGCAUAUGUUCGCCAUCCGUGGCGAACGCGAACACGCUAUGUUCGCCAGGAACUAUUCGCCAGCGAAACAUUCGGGACAUCACUAAUUACUAUAUUUUAUCAUCUUUUACCCACUGUGGAACAUACUGCACCAUUAUUGUUUCCAUUUUUAUUAUCUCCCCCUUGGAUCUCUGUCACUGCACCCGAGAGGACACUCACUGCAUAUCCUAUAAGCGUGGAUAAUACCGCUGCAAGCUAUACACACUACAGCUGGAUUAAGCUCUACUGAAUGUGAGUAAGAAUUCUACCAUGUCCUUUAUAUUUGACACCUCUUGGUACAUACUGCACCAUUAUUCCCUCAUCUCUUAUCGCCUUCUCCUAUAUAUCUGACCACCACAAGAAGCAGAACCCCACAGCCCCAGAGUCCAGCAUAGGAUCACAGUUCCACUCUUCUGGACUCUGUACAUACAGGAAUUUAUCCAAGCUAGGACUUAUAUUUAUCCACUUUGCAUAUUGCGGCGCAGCCCCAUCCUUUUGUUUGUUUACUAUCUCUCCAAUAAUUUCAAGGACACAUGAGGGAGUCCUUGUUUGGGAUUGCUGCCUCUUUCUCUUAGAAUUCAUUAGCGCUGACUCUUUUCUCCACUUUUUAUUUUAUAGGUUGUUCAAAUUUUCAUUGAAAUAUCGGGCCUUUGCCAUUUUUGUUUGUUUGGUGCAUGUAUUUCGCCAUUGUCUGUAGAUACAGUGAUCAUUCAUGGAGCCAGUACUUGAACUUGAACUUUGACCACAGUGAAUCUCUAAACUGGUACAUUUGAACGAGGUCAGCUUUAACCCAGGGCAAAUGUAUCCCUUUUAUUCACACUUUAUGCAGAGGGGCAUGCAAAUUCCAAACACGCAAGAGCUAGGACUGAAAAAAAUUAAUUGCAGAGUCUAGAUCUGGUAUUAGACUCAAUCUGUGCCAUGGCAUGUUUCUGAGAUCGUUUAAAAAGGAUUAAAGAUUACAUUUGUUGAAAGACCUGGUGAUUAUAAUCUUUGAAAACUGAAACUGUUAGGGAGAAUGUGUUAGCUUCAAAGUCUUAAACAGCGUACAUGGUUUAUUAUUUUUAGGAUUCAGUAUAAUUUUUAGGAUUCAUUAUUAUAAAAAAAUUUCAUUAACCACUAUCUCUUAGUUAGUUAACGGAAACCUAUGAUGAAAUUUGCACCGAAGAUUGGUCAUUUUAUGGCCAUUUAAUAACUGUGACCUGUCUGAACUUUUUGGUAGACAAUGUGUCUCCCAACUUUGCCAUAACUUAGUCUUCUGACAUGUUUGCUAUGACCUUAAACUCAAAGUGUGAAUAGAAUAUUGUAGAAAUAUCCAUUUUACACAAUAAGUAUAGACACUCUUAAUUAUAAAUACAUGCUAUAAAGAAUGAAAUAUCUUAUGAGACAGUCAAACAUUAUUUUAUGUUAUCUCAUCUGUGUCUGGAUUUUAAUUACACUGUGACAAUAUUUUAUUAGAAGAUAGAUAUAUAUGUCUUAGUUACAGUUUAGCAUUAACAUAUAACAUGCAUAGUAUUAGAAUAAUGAAAAAAAUAUUUUAAUAGAUACUAUGUAUUGAUUAAAAAAAUACUUAAGUUUGAACAAUGCAGUGUAAGUCGAUCUGAAUGUUUUCUUAGUCACAUUCCAAGUUUUAUGACUUAGUUGGCUUAAACAAAUGGUUAAAUAUCUGAUUGGGGCAAAAGAGGGGAAAUCAACUAUUGGUUGGGAUCUGUUAUAAACCACCUAAUAUUGGUAUUGUUGAGGAACAGCUUUUAGAUCAAUUUGGGAAAGCUGCACAUCGAGAUAACACUUUAAUUAUUGAAGCUUUAGUUACCCCAACAAAAAUUGAGAUAGCCUUCAUAUCACAGUUGGUUGAAGCUCCAACUAGAAAAGAUGCUUGUUUGGAUCUGGUUAAACAAACAAAGUUGAAUUUUUUUACCAAUAUUCAAGGAAGGCAGCACUUUUGAAACAGUGAUCACAUUAUUGUGUAUUUUACUUUUAAAUAAAAAGCAAAUGCUCAUUGGGUAUACUAAAACAUAAAAACAUUUGAGAAAACCUACAUGGUGAAACACGUUAUGGACAUGACUUUUUAAGAUUUUUAAAAUUGAAUAAAGGAUUUUGUUUUUUACUACAAUCCAUUACCUCUUUAUUUCAAUAAUCUAUUUAAAAAGUCCUGGCAUUUUAUUUAUUUUUACCCAAAGACUUUUGUCAUUUCUACUCUCAAGAAUAUCCUAGGUGGGGAUCAUACCACCAACGCUGUCAUCAUAGACCAGUGAGUCUGCUCUAUGCUUGUGAGUAAUACUCUGCUUAUUUUAUAUACUUUUAUUAUAUUACUGAGAGCACUAUUUGUGGCUAUUUCGUCUUUUCUGAGUACCGAGAUAAUCUGCCGUGAAAGACCAUCAUCAUAUCCCAUAAGUGGGGAUUAUACCACUAUAUGCAAUAUACACAAGAGCUGUGAGUGCAAUAUUUUUAAUUUUUACGUGUGGUCCGUCAAGCCCUGACAUAUUUCACUAUUAGGUUGCUCUGUCUUCUCUCUUUCCACAUACGGAGACUGAAGAAACUCAGAAGUUCCACAUCCCCCAAGUACAAAGAACCCAGAAACCACAGCUGCAUUUACUUCUAAAUGAGAGACACUUCAUAUGUGAUAUAUAUUGCACUGCUGCGACAAGACUUUAAGUACUUUUUUUCUGUGGCGCAGCCCUUCCUUAUUUGUUUUCUUUUUCUGUAUACUAAAACCUAUAAUUGAAAAAGUGAUGACCAAAUAGUCAAAGAAACUAAGAACAACCCUUCCCCCCCAUUUUAAUUAUGUUAUCUCAAAUAAAAAUAAAGUGUAGGAACACUGAAAUCAGAAAUGGGUGUGUUACUUUAUGUAGACACAGAAAGUGCAGACAUUCAAAAUAAUUAUUUUUCCUUCACUAGCUGAAGCUAUGGCAAGUGAUACACAAAUGAUGCUGCAGAAAACAUGUGAUUGGGUAACUCAGGUAAAGGGACUGGAACAACUAAAAAAAGUUAAUUUAAACAAAUUCCCAGGGUCUGAUGGUAUUCACACAUGAGUACUUCAGGAGCUUAGUGUAAAAAUAAGCAAGCCUUUAUAAGCUGUUUUUUUUCUUUAACUAUUAUUUUCUAUUAGGAAUAGUACGGGAGGAUUGAAGAAGAGGUUUCUAUGUUUAAAAAACUGAUUUGAAGAGAUGACUAUGAAUAGGUGAUCUAGAUGAUGUUGGCAUGGGUUUUGAAUUUUUUAUGCCUUUGAGUACAGUUUUGAUUUAGUAAGAAGAUAGAAAACUGUGGUUGUCUGGCCAAAGUGUAAGUAUAUGGUGUGGUAUCCCAGUCAGAUAUAAUUUGAUGGUGUUGUAUGAUAAUUUUAGUUUAAGGUGGCAAAAAGAAGUGAAAGCUAGUUUCCAUUGAAUGUUUAUUUACAACCUGAAAGUACAACAAGAAUUUGUUAUAAAUAUGGAAUGCCUUGUCGUAUGACUUUCUAGUAUUGUCAGACAAAGCUAGUUGUGAAAGGAGUCUGCCAUGCAUUAACAGAUCUCCGAAUUCAAUGUCAUGUCCUGCCAUGAUGGAGCCGGAGUAGCCACCAGGGUUGCCAUUGGUAAUGCAUUGUGGAAUACCUGAAAUAGAGAGCGAGAUAAAUGAUCAGCUGCUAUGUUUUGAAUGCCAGGAAUAUGCACACAUACCAGGAAGAAAUUAUAGUUGGUUGGCAGCCAAGUCAAUUUCCUCAGAAAGCUCAUGAUGAUCAGAGAUUUAGAAUGACCUUUGUUAAUUAUAUGGCAGAUUGCUAAAUUAUCCGAAAACAUCUCACUGCCUGACCUGACCAAGCUGCUCUCAUGCUACUGCAGCAGCUAUAAUAGGAUAGAGCUCGAACAGGGUAGACAUAGUGAAAAAAACGGAUACAUUGUACACUUCUAUAGGCCAAGCCCCCCAAAGCCAGUUAUCACUAAUAAUGGCUGCAAAAAUAGUGAGGGAGUCAGAGGAAAGUAAAGGGAUAAACAUGCUUUCCUAUUCCAUCUUCUGAGAAAUUCCUGCCACAUGCGUAAAUCUGCUGUAGCAGGCCCAUCUAGUGUAAUGCGGGAAAUAUCUGACUGAAUGCGGGGGAACAGACUGAGUAGUCUAGAUAUAAAAGCCCUGCCCUGUGGGACAAUUUCCAUGGUAAAGUUGAGGGAGCCUAGCAGACUGUAGUUCUGUAUGAUUACAGGAUUCAGCAGAGAGAUAUAAGUUGAUGUUGAAUAGGAUGCUCUCAAUCUUAUCUCUAGGCAAACUGGCAAGCAUAUUGGCCGAAUCUAACGUGAUACCCAGGAAAAUAAUAAAUGUGUCGGGUCCUUCUGUCUUUUUAGGGGAGAAGGGGACCACCAGAUAUUGGAAUAGCUGGAUCGUGGUUCUCAGUCUAUUAGGUGGGAAUAAGUUACUCUCAGUAGUCAACAAAUCAUCCAAAUAGUGAAUAACCAUGUGGCAUCUAGAGACAUUGAACAGAAGCCAGCAUAACAUCUCGGCGAAGGUAUCAAAAAUCCUGGGGCUACUUUUUGCACCAAAAGUGAGAUGAGUAAAAAAGUAAUAAGAACCGUGCCACUUAAUGCCGUGUAGAUGCCACAAAGAAGGGUGUAUUGAGAGGAGCUUGAAGGCAUUUAUAAUGUCCGUCUUACUGAGCCAUGCCCUCUUCCUGCUGUCACGAUUGCGUCAAUGGCGUUAUCAAUGGUUUCAUACUGCAGGGAAAAUGUAUCUGAAGGAAUAAGAGAGUUCAGACUGGGUGUUGUGGAAGAGUGGGGAGCAGAGAGGUUGACAAUCAACCUUUGCCUGGCUGAACGUUUACCUGAGACCACCCCAAUAGGGUUAGUUAUCCAAGCAGAGAAAGGUGGGGAACUGAAUGACCCAAGUAGGAAGCCUUGAUCCAAUUCAAUCUGUAACAGAUUGUUAACCGAUAUUGGAUUGGCAAGGCAGACAGUAGGUUCUUACAUUCUACAAUGCCGAAAGGCAUGUAAAUGAUUCCCAUAUGGAACCCUUCCGUGACACGGAAAACUCCACCAAGAGGGGUGAGGGAUGGUUCUGCAGUAAGUUGGCGAAACAAGUCACAUUAAUUGAGGCCAUGUAGGGUUUGGGAAACAAUUUAUUUGGACACAUCGUCUUGGCAUUUGCACUGAAACAAAGAGAACACACAUGCAAUAACCGGCACGCGCUAAAUCGACAGGAACCUGCAUUGAAGUUAUUGCAGAUCUGGGAUUUACCAAGGAACACAAUAUUACGGCUGAGUUUGUCCUUAAUCACCCUCUCAGGUUUAGCUGAGGAAGUAGGAAAAAGAAAGGCCGCACCCAGUAUUAGGACAUAGGUUCGUGGUGUGUGAGGACGAAGAGCAAACACAACAAGCUGGGGACCUGAGGUCCGCUAAGUGCCUGCAAAAUAUCUCUGUAUUCAACCUGUCUGAAAAUUUAACUGAGCCAGGGCCACAGAUGCCUUCGUGGAGAAUGAUCUGUGGUAAUCAUAAAAUGAUGUACCACCAUAUUUAUGCCCCAGGUCAACCAACUUGUGUAAAUAUAGGUCAAACUCCUCUCUGCAUUUAGGAUAAACUGAACACACCACGUCCCUAUUGAUCCCAACAGCCAGGACAAAAUCAGGGAUAGACAACUUCCUAUUCAACCUGGGGUCCCUAGCCUUCCGUACAACCGAGACAUCGCCAUAGGUAUAUGUCUUAUUUUCCAGGAUAUCUUGGGAGGCAAUCAGCAGUGAAAUUACAUCCUUACCUUCCAAGAUAUCCUUUUUAAUAUGUGCUGGUACCAUAUGAGCUGGGUUAAUGAUAUUAGGGUUUUGUAGUGGACCAAUUAAUUUACCAGUCAGGGUAACCAGGGUAACCAUUACUCAGUAGGUUCUGGAGUAAUCAAUACAGAUGGUUCCACUGGCCUAUCAUUAGCAUCCAUACAGUCCAGCCUAUCCAUAAUGUGUCCAAAUGAGGACAGGACUGAUGACAGAAUGGCCUGGAGGUCGGGUGACUGGUCACUACUGGGGCCCCUGCCAACCCCAGUAUUAUCCGUGUUGGUGUUGAGUAGUCUAUAUAAUUCUGCCUUCCGCAGGGUAGGGAAUAUUCCUGCACCUUAGUUUGGCCGUGAUCCUGGGUAUGGUCCAGGACCUAAGGGAAGACAGGCUGGCAUUGUCCCCUCUAUGAGAUGGAGCGAUGGACCUUGCAGAAGUACUGGGAAUGGACAGAUCUUCAAUAGCUCCUGGUAGUUCAGACAUGCUAGAAUAGGACAAAAAGAUUCUUAAGUAACCAAAGUGAUAGCAAUGUACCAGCUAGCUUAUCUAAUGCCAAGUGGCAAAGAAAUUAUCUAAUACGGGAGAGGGGAGCCCUCACUAGUUGCAUGAGAGGCUCUAGCUAUGUGUUGGCCAGAGGGGAUUUUUGAGGCCACUGAUGUUGUGGCGGGGUGGUGGCCUCUUGGUGACCAGAAAAGCAAAAGACGGCAUGGGAGUGACAGGGGGAGGCCCUCUCUAUACCACCAUGCGAGGUGACUAACUAUGCAUUGGCUAUUUGGGCAUGACUACCUCCGAAUAUGAGGAUGGGUGUUGGCCUCGGGAGACCACUAAGACUUAGGCAUGAAGGCCAGAAAAAUCAACUAAGUGGACUCUGAAACAUAUCAGCCAGUAGACCAAAGUCUUACCCUAGUAGGUAGUGCUGGAUGGGGAGGGGAAAAAGUGUAACGACCCCCCGGUACACCGACAUGUAGUUAUCAGAUGGAUAGAGUAGGAAUACAUAGAUGAACACGAGUAAUACCAGUUAAUAGACUAAGCCUAAAAUUAACCCGGUAGAGCAUAAUUGGUAAUAUAACCAGUAGGGCCUAGCACCUGGUAACAUAAAAGGAAAUAGAUUAUCCAAGCCAUGAGGGGCAGAACAUGGAUUCGUAAGACAAAUCCAAAACCACUAACUGAUGUAAUAUUGUAGGAAUCAAAAGAGAGGAGACAAUAGUGGAUAUGCAGAGUGACUUCAAUCUGUAAUAUAUAAUAUGGCCAACAUUAGAACUUCAAGAGAGCAUAACUGAUUACUAACUGACCAAAAUUAACAGAACCCACCUAAAGAGUUUGACAGUUGAACCUGAGUCAACCAGAAUAUAUAAGCCUUGACAACCUCAGAGGUACAGCAAAAAAAAAAAAAAGGAUUUCAAGCCCGGCAACCUAUAAAACGUGUUAACGUAUCAAAUCAGGCCGAAAAAUUGUAACUCCAGGAAUUCCUGUAACUAUAAUAGGGCCUGCAACAGGGUCAACCAACUAACUGUUACUGUAGCUUCGAGACAGUUCAAUAGUGACCAGAGGAGAGGGGAAAAAUCUCGGAGGCCUUGAACGGCUGAAGAACUGGAACCAGGAACGGGCAGACAUUCUGAGAGGAGGUAAGGUCUCCAUGAGGCAAGGAAUCAAAAUGGCCGUGCUGCUGCAGCUGGAAAUCCAGGUAAGCAAAUCGCCAGACCAACAAUGGUAAUGAGGAAGUGGCUGGCGGUCCUUAAGUAGGGAAAUCAUGCCCCUCCCACAACUACAGGCCCAGCCUUCCAUAUAUACAUAUUUAUAAUUCUAAGAGUAUUUUGAUAUAUAUAUAUGUAUAUUUUGUAAUAUAUGUAUAAUAUAUUAUAAGGUAAUUAAAACAUCUAAUUAGCAUAUUAUACAUAUAUAAUACAUAUAUAAUUUAUUCCUAAGUGUAUUUUGUUAUCAAUAUAUAUUAAUACCAAAAAACAGUAAUAAAAAAAUUAUUUAUGUAUUAUAUUACGUAUAAUAUGCUAAUCAGGUGUUUUAAUUAACUUGUACUAUAUUAUACAUGUAUAAUAUAUUAUUUAAAUGUUUGAUUUUAACUUUAGUUUACUUUUCAGGCCAUGUGAUUUGCGAUGUCUGUCGUGAUCAUAUGGCUCUGGAGGGCCGGAAAGGAAGCAGGGCGACUGCCUGGCUUAUGAGGUAGUCCCCCGGACCGGGAUCACAGGUCCAAGUAAGGGAAUUGCGGCUGGGGAGCUAACAAUCAUUAGGGCGUACUAUGCCGCCCUAAUGGCGUUUAAGCUCACUAAAUGCGGGGUGGCAUAGUAUGCCCUAACGGCUUUAAGGGGUUAAUUUAGGAGAGCCUUGCAACUAACUAGUGAGGAGAACCCUGUGAUAUGUUUGUAUUCCUAAUGCUAUAGUGUCUCUUAAGUAAUUUAAUUAGAAUUUUAGACUUGUUUUUGUAUUUCUAUAACAGUGUAGGACUUAAGCAAAAUGAAAAAUAAUAUAGCACAAAUGUAGAAUUGUUUGAUAUGUUUAUUGAAUUAUAAAUAACAUAUUAUUUAAUUAAUUAACAUAUUAGAAAUGGUGGAGUUUCCUGAAUGAGCCAAUUCUUAGGCUCAUGGCACCCAAGUCAGUAUAUCUUCUGUAUUCUCCAGGUCCCAGGUAAUACUGUUUGCCCCUGUAAUUUGGCUCCUCAUAGAACAUCCAGUAACCAUCAAACACCUGGCAGGAGUUGAUGUCAUGGUGAUGGAAUCUUUCAUAGACAUUAGGACAAUCUUCAGUGAAUUCCAUCAUCUGACCUCUGAAAUCAUUCCUCACAUAGACCUUCACUGUGAAUGAUCCAAGGUGCUUUAUGAGAUUAAAAAAUAUUUAUAAUUUAUAAAUAACAUGACAAAGAAUUGCAUAAUUUCAUGAGAAUAUCUAGAACCUAUACUUUUGAGAAAACUACGGCAAAACGCGUCAAGUGAGGUUUCUGGACUUUCAAUUCCACUGUGGACUGGUAUACAUUUAUAGUUUAUUUUGUUAGUACCCAUUUUUUAUCACUUUUAUUGUUUUAAUAAAGUACAUUUUUUAAGUACCUAUCCAGCCCUUUGGAUUUCUGUUUUUUUUUCUCACCUGGCUCCCUGGAUAUCCAUCAAAUUCACAGGUGGGGAUCAUUCCACCCAAGGGCUCCAAACCAGAGCAGGUUCACGCUCUGGAAAUUGUAAGUAGAAUACAUAUAUGUUAAUUUUAUAAUUGGACUACACUAUUGGUUUUCCUAUUUGUGCUUACCUGUAUAAUAUGUUAAUUUUAUAAUUGGACUACUCUAUUGGUUUUCCUAUCUGUGCUUCCCUCCACAUAUAUUACUGACUACUGCUUAAGAUAUCAGACAUCAUAUCUUUGGACAGGGAUUGUUCCGUCCUGGCAUGCAAUAUUAGGGCUAAUUGAAGCUCGGAAAAGUUUGUUUGAGCUCCAGUUUUUGCUGAAGCUCCCAAGACUGAGGUCGCAUUAUAUCCCGAAGAGGAGAUUGUACCAUUUUAAGCGUUUGGUGCUAGAGCUGGCUAUAUUUGUCAUAUAAUCUUACCUUUCCCAUUUUCAGUUCUGAUUUAGUGUCAGUAGGGCUGGCACCACCUAUAGGCAAAGUAGGCACCGGCCUAGGGCUCCUACCUCUUCACACGGCGCUUGUAGAAGUGUUGCGGCAGCAGUGGCAGUGCACGGUACAACGGGGAGAGGCAUGGGCACCAUGAGUGCCUACAAUUUGCUGUGAAGCGCUCCGGGAGUGCAGACUUGGAACCGCAUCAGUUUAAAAAAAACCAUAUAUAUAUAUAUAUAUAUAUAUAUAGAGGAUAAAGAGAUGCACUCUCAGGACUUUGAAAAAAUAGUUAAUUUAUUCCAGCAGGUAUAACAUCAAAGUUUGCCGACGUUUCGACCCAUUCGGGUCUUUCUCAAGGUCGUAUAUAUAUAUAUAUUUGUGUACGGCACAUUUCGAGGACGUAAGGAAACAAAUAAGAUAGAAAACAGUAUUAGAAAAAGUCAGCUGAGGUGUGCCGAAACUGACAUGAGGUUAAACCUGUAAAAGAGGGCAAAAAUAAAAGAAGCGAUUUCUCAAAAUACAAAUAACAAACUUUAUUAAGUACAAACAUUAUUUAGACAUGUCAUGGAAAGCCAUUCUUAUCUCUUUUUCAGAUUUGGGAAUGUAUCUAUUGUAUGCAGACGAUUUCCACCUUGCCAUAUUCUUAAUGAUGUGAGUUGGUACGUGGUUACCUGAUGCAGCUGAAGCUGCUCCAAUGCGGAAGGAAUGACCCGAGAAGGCGUGUGGGUUGUGUCCUAGCCGGAGUAAUAAUGUACGAAUAUAAAACAGAAAUUGUUUAGUGGUUAGGGGUUUCCCUUGGAUGGCUAAUAGUGGACAAUCCGGGUUGGAAGUGAUCUUGGACACCAUUAGUUUGUCUAAAACUAGGAUAGGACACCAUUUGGUCGAGGUAGGAUAGUAUUUAAUUUCUACCGGAGGUAGGACCUGUUUGGCUUGUUUUGGUAUGGGCAAUAUAUAAGAUGUAGUGGUCUUGUUUUUUAAUUAGGUGUUUCUUCUGAAGGCAUGACUUGGAAUCGGAUGCUUUCUCCACUGAAAACUCUUUGGGUCUCAAGAAACCAUAAAAGGCUAGGUAAGCUGCGGCCUUGACAAUUAAGUUUGUGGUAUGUUCAAAAGGGGACAUGUCGAGUAUAUCGGAGAUACUUUUAAAUAGUUUACUGUCUAUGGGAAGUCUCUUGACGGGAUUGUGUAAUGAUAAUCUGUGAACACCUCUUGGGAUACUUUUUACUGGUUAGGACGCUAGAAAUGGAGUUUUGUUGGGAUAGCUGGUCAACAUGUGGUGUUGUAUACCUGUUAAGUAGAGUUUGAUAGUGUUGUAUGCUAACUUAAGAGAGAUGUGGCAAAAAGUAGUGAAAGCUACAACAGUUUCAACAGAAAAAAACAUUUAUUAUAUGCAGGGGCGUACCUAGAGCAUUUGGCACCCGGGGCGGAUCCUGUGCUUGGCACCCCCCCCCACCCCUCCCCCAAAAAAACCUGUAAAAAUGUUAAAGGUUUUAUUUCUUUUAUUUUUACAAUUUGUAAACUUUGCAAAACCGCUGUCAGCCCCUCCUACAAAACCCUUGUCCUGCCCUGCCCCUCCUACAAAACCUCUGUCCUGCCCCUUCUACAAAUCCUGUACUGCCCCGUCUACAAAACCCCCGCAACCCCCUUCCACAAAUCCCCUGCUUAUCCCCCCUUAUAAAGACUCCUGUCCCAAUACAAAACCCCCGCCCCCUUCUACAAAAUCCCUGAAGCCCCACACACACAUUUACAGGCAGACAGUCAUACACUCAGUUACAGACAGACAGUCACACACUCAGUUACAGGCAGACAGUCACACACAGUCACAGGCAGACAGUCACACAUACACAUUUCCUCCGUGCNNNNNNNNNNNNNNNNNNNNNNNNNNNNNNNNNNNNNNNNNNNNNNNNNNNNNNNNNNNNNNNNNNNNNNNNNNNNNNNNNNNNNNNNNNNNNNNNNNNNAUAGAGCAAUCAGCCUGCUCUAUAUAUUGUGAGUAUAUUUUAUUAUAUUUUAUAUACCAGUAAUAUUUUAUUGAGAGCACUAUUGCUGUUUUUAUUAUCUUCCCUCCAGGCUCCUGAUAUCACCAUCUUUAAGAACACUCAUCAUAUAUCCCAGAGGUGGGGAUUGUACCACUGUAUGCCUACCACACUAGGGCUAGUAUAAGCUCUGCCAAAUGUGAGUGUAAUUACUAUUAGUGAUGUCGCGAACAUGAAAUUUUCGGUUCGCGAACGGCGAACGCGAACUUCUGCAAAUGUUCGCGAACCGGGCGAACCCGGCGAACCGCCAUAGACUUCAAUGGGCAGGCAAAUUUUAAAACCCACAGGGACUCUUACUGGUUGAAAGGGAGGGGAGGAGACCUACUCUCCUCCCCCCCGGCCCCCACCCCUGGGCGGCGGGUGGGGGCCAUAAAGAUAAUGAGGGGGGGACCUACUGUCCCCCCCGGCCGCCCACCUGAGCGAUGGGUGGGGGCCCUAAUAACAAUAAGGGGGGGACCUAUUGCCCCCCCGUGGCCCUCAUAACUAUAAGGGGGGACCUAUUGUCCCCCCCCGGUCCCCACCCCUGAGCUGUGGGUGGGGGCCCUAAAAUGAACAAUAAGGGGGGGACCUAUUGUCCCCCCCGCCGGCCCCCACCCCUGAGCAUUGGGUGGGGGCCCUAAAAUGAAAAAUAAGGGGGGACCUACUGCCCCCCCCGGCCCCCACCCCUGGGCGGCGGUUGGGGGCCAUAAAGUUAAUGAGGGGGGGGACCUACUGUCCUCCCCCCCGGCCCCCACCCCUGGGCGGCGGGUGGGGGCAUAGAGAUAAUGAGGGGGGGGACAGUAGGUCCACCCCUGGGCUGCGGGUGGGGGCCCUGUAACUGCUGGUGGUUCCCUAAUUUACCACUAUAAUGUCUUAAAGCAUAGAACUUAGUAGGGCUAACCAUACAGAUAUAUUAGCCAUAAUUUUAUAUAGUGUAAGAGAUCCUCUAUUUAACAUACAUAAAUAAUUGAGAAUACAAUAUAAAAUAAGGAUUGUCUUGGAAGCAAGAUUGUCUUUUUGGAUUUUUAUUAUAGAAAAAUAUAAAAUCCAUUAUAGCAGAGUUUAUAAGAUUAAAUUACAUGCUUGCAAAUAUCAUUAAUAGGUUAACAUACCCUUCUGAACAUGUCAUCAUGUCAGCCUCUCUGUCAUUUUAAGAUGGAGCAGCGUCUGUCUCCAAGUCUCUCCUCUGUGUCUUAACAUUUAAAAGUACACCUAUUUAUACCUUAGGUGUCUCCAUUUUAGAGUUACCGUAGUUCAAAUAUGAAAAGUAACACUUCUUUUACUUUAUUCAUUUUAGGACCUCCCUUAACUUGGCAAACAUACAAGGCCAUAACUAAAGGGUGCAAACGUCAUGGAAAUUUUCCUGACUUAGUUCAAGAUGGCAUCUUAAAGUCUGAAUAGGUUAUCUGUUGUUUAUACUAAGUCGUAAGUGUACAGUCAUGGGAGAUUCCCGGAUUUGGGGAAGUUCCAUUAACUUGGGGUUACUACAGUAUAUUGUGUACUGCAAGAGUCGUAGCAUAGCCUUGAAGCUUGUUUAUGCAUUAUUGUUAUUGUAAUUCGUCUGGGACAAAAUGGCGCAAACAUAUCAUGCACUGAGGUUAUUGCUUAAAGAAACCGUUAUGAAAAACAAUAUGUUCCAUUUCUAACACCUUGUCAGUUUGCAAUAUCUCUUAAAGACAAAGUACACAGUUUAAGAAAUACAACAUUUCAUUCUAAAACUUGUAAUAUUUGCAUUUGCCCGUAACAGCCCUAAGUAAAUUCCCCCCCCCAAGGUGACUAGGGAUCCCCAAGCCCCUAGUCACCCCCCCCCCAAAUAAAAAGUCCCUACCUACCCCACUCACCCUAAAAAAUAGUGAGGGGGGAAUAAAAUAACUAACCUGUAAAAUAAAAGUAAACUUACCAAUCAACGUCUUCUUUUUUCUCAAAUCUUCAUUUUUCAGCCCCAAAAAAGGCCAAAUAAAAAACCAACAUAACUGUCGAACUAAAAAAAAAAAACCUGACGAAAAAGAAAAAACCUGAGUGCAAAAAAAUAAUCCAUCUUCACCCAUGGAGGGCUCCGCGCAGACUGAGCUCUGCAGGGCGGGGGAAGGCUUAUAAAGCCUUGCCACGCCCUGCAUUAGGUUAAGAACACCCUGAUUGGUGGGUUUAAGCCAAUCAGAGUGCUCUGUGUCAUUUUACACAGCGUGGGAAAAUUCCAAAAAACUUUCCCACGCUGUGUAAAAUGACACAGAGUACUGUGAUUGGAUGGCUUGAAAUCCAUCCAAUCACAGUGCUCUGUGUCAUUUUACACAGUGUGGGAAAAUUCCAAAGAACUUUCCCACGCUGUGUAAAAUGACACAGAGCACUGUGAUUGGAUGGCUUGAAAUCCAUCCAAUCACAGUGCUCUGUAUCAUUUUACACAGCGUGGGAAAAUUCCAAAGAACUUUCCCACGCUGUGUAAAAUGACACAGAGCACUGUGAUUGGAUGGAUUUCAAGCCCCCCCGGCCCCCACCCCUGCGCGGCGGGUGGGGGCCAUAUUUAUAAUGAGGGGGAACCUAAUGCUCCCCCCGGCCCCCACCCCUGUGCGGUGGGUGGGGGCCAAAUUGAUAAUGAGGGGGGGGACAUACUGCCCCCCCGGCCCCCACCCCUGCACGGUGUGGAUUUCAAGCCAUCCAAUCACAGUGCUCUGUGUCAUUUUACACAGCGUGGGAAAGUUCAAUUUUCCCACGCUGUGUAAAAUGCCACAGAGCACUGUGAUUGGAUGGCUUUAAAGGCAUCCAAUCACAGUGCUCUGUGUCAUUUUACACAGCGAGGGAAAGUUCUUUGGAAUUUUCCCACGCUGUGUAAAAUGACAAAGAGCACUCUGAUUGGCUUAAACCCACCAAUCAGAGUGUUCUUAGCCUAAUUGCAGGGCGGGGCAAGGCUUUAUAAGCCUUCCCCCGCCCUGCGGAGCUCAGUCUGCAUGGAGCCCUCCAUGGGUGAAGAUGGAUUAUUUUUUUGCGCUCAGGUUUUUUCUUUUUCCUCUGUUUUUUUUUUGCGCUCGGGAUUUUUUUUUUUUUAGUUCGAAGGUUAUGAUGGUUUUUUAUUUGCCCUUUUUUGGGGCUGAAAAAUGAAGAUUUGAGAAAAAAGAAGACAUCGAAUGGUAAGUUUAAUUUUAUUUUACAGGUUAGUUAUUUUAUUCCCCCCUCACUAUUUUUUAGGGUGAGGGGUGUAGGUAGGGACUUUUUAUUUGGGGGGGUUGGGUGACUAGGGGCUUGGGGACCCCUAGUCACCUUGGGGGGGGAAUUUACUUAGGGCCUCCACCCGCAGUCCAGGGGUGGGGGCCGGGGGGGGAGGACAGUAGGUCCCCCUUCAUUAUCUUUAUGGCCCCCACCCGCCGCCCAGGGGUGGGGGCUGGAGGGGGGGUGGACAGUAGGUCCCCCCUCAUUAUCAAUAUGGCCCCCACCCACCACGCAGGGGUGGGGGCCGGGGGGGCAGUAGGUCCCCCCCCUCAUUAUCAAUUUGGCCCCCACCCGCCGUGCAGGGAUGGAGGCCGGGGGGGGCAUUAGGUUUCCCCUCAUUAUAAAUAUGGCCCCCACCCACCGCGCAGGGGUGGGGGCCGGGGGGGCAAUAGGCCCCCCUCAUUAUCAAUAUGGCCCCCACCCUCCGCGCAGGGGUGGGGGCCCGGGGAGGCAGUAGGUCCCCCCCCUCAUUAUCAAUAUGGCCCCCACCCGCCGUGCAGGGGUGGGGGCGGGGGGGGACAAUAGGUCCCCCCCUUAUUGUUCAUUUUAGGGCCCCCACCCACCGCUCAGGGGUGGGGGCCGGGGGAGGACAAUAGGUCCCCCCCUUAUUGUUCAUUUUAGGGCCCCCACCCACCGCUCAGGGGUGGGGGCCGGGGGGAGGACAAUAGGUCCCCCCCUAUUAGUAUUUAGGGCCCCCACCCUCACUGUUUAAUAGACAUGCCCCUACUCGCGGUAUUGUGAGUAGGGGCACAAUUUACUAAUACUAAGUAAUUUUUACUUAGUAUUAGUAAAUUAAUAGGGGGCGGACCGAACAUUGCAUAUGUUCGCCAUCCGUGGCGAACGCGAACACGCUAUGUUCGCCGGGAACUAUUCGCCAGCGAAACAUUCGGGACAUCACUAAUUACUAUAUUUUAUCAUCUUUUACCCACUGUGGAACAUACUGCACCAUUAUUGUUUCCAUUUUUAUUAUCUCCCCCUUGGAUCUCUGUCACUGCACCCGAGAGGACACUCACUGCAUAUCCUAUAAGCGUGGAUAAUACCGCUGCAAGCUAUACACACCACAGCUGGAUUAAGCUCUACUGAAUGUGAGUAAGAAUUCUACCAUGUCCUUUAUAUUUGACACCUCUUGGUACAUACUGCACCAUUAUUCCCUCAUCUCUUAUCGCCUUCUCCUAUAUAUCUGACCACCACAAGAAGCAGAACCCCACAGCCCCAGAGUCCAGCAUAGGAUCACAGUUCCACUCUUCUGGACUCUGUACAUACAGGAAUUUAUCCAAGCUAGGACUUAUAUUUAUCCACUUUGCAUAUUGCGGCGCAGCCCCAUCCUUUUGUUUGUUUACUAUCUCUCCAAUAAUUUCAAGGACACAUGAGGGAGUCCUUGUUUGGGAUUGCUGCCUCUUUCUCUUAGAAUUCAUUAGCGCUGACUCUUUUCUCCACUUUUUAUUUUAUAGGUUGUUCAAAUUUUCAUUGAAAUAUCGGGCCUUUGCCAUUUUUGUUUGUUUGGUGCAUGUAUUUCGCCAUUGUCUGUAGAUACAGUGAUCAUUCAUGGAGCCAGUACUUGAACUUGAACUUUGACCACAGUGAAUCUCUAAACUGGUACAUUUGAAUGAGGUCAGCUUUAACCCAGGGCAAAUGUAUCCCUUUUAUUCACACUCUAUGCAGAGGGGCAUGCAAAUUCCAAACACGCAAGAGCUAGGACUGAAAAAAAUUAAUUGCAGAGUCUAGAUCUGGUAUUAGACUCAAUCUGUGCCAUGGCAUGUUCCUGAGAUCGUUUAAAAAGGAUUAAAGAUUACAUUUGUUGAAAGACCUGGUGAUUAUAAUCUUUGAAAACUGAAACUGUUAGGGAGAAUGUGUUAGCUUCAAAGUCUUAAACAGCGUACAUGGUUUAUUAUUUUUAGGAUUCAGUAUAAUGUUUAGGAUUCAUUAUUAUAAAAAAAUUUCAAUAACCACUAUCUCUUAGUUAGUUAACGGAAACCUAUGAUGAAAUUUGCACCGAAGAUUGGUCAUUUUAUGGCCAUUUAAUAACUGUGACCUGUCUGAACUUUUUGGUAGACAAUGUGUCUCCCAACUUUGCCAUAACUUAGUCUUCUGACAUGUUUGCUAUGACCUUAAACUCAAAGUGUGAAUAGAAUAUUGUAGAAAUAUCCAUUUUACACAAUAAGUAUAGACACUCUUAAUUAUAAAUACAUGCUAUAAAGAAUGAAAUAUCUUAUGAGACAGUCAAACAUUAUUUUAUGUUAUCUCAUCUGUGUCUGGAUUUUAAUUACACUGUGACAAUAUUUUAUUAGAAGAUAGAUAUAUAUGUCUUAGUUACAGUUUAGCAUUAACAUAUAACAUGCAUAGUAUUAGAAUAAUGAAAAAAAUAUUUUAAUAGAUACUAUGUAUUGAUUAAAAAAAUACUUAAGUUUGAACAAUGCAGUGUAAGUCGAUCUGAAUGUUUUCUUAGUCACAUUCCAAGUUUUAUGACUUAGUUGGCUUAAACAAAUGGUUAAAUAUCUGAUUGGGGCAAAAGAGGGGAAAUCAACUAUUGGUUGGGAUCUGUUAUAAACCACCUAAUAUUGGUAUUGUUGAGGAACAGCUUUUAGAUCAAUUUGGGAAAGCUGCACAUCGAGAUAACACUUUAAUUAUUGAAGCUUUAGUUACCCCAACAAAAAUUGAGAUAGCCUUCAUAUCACAGUUGGUUGAAGCUCCAACUAGAAAAGAUGCUUGUUUGGAUCUGGUUAAACAAACAAAGUUGAAUUUUUUUACCAAUAUUCAAGGAAGGCAGCACUUUUGAAACAGUGAUCACAUUAUUGUGUAUUUUACUUUUAAAUAAAAAGCAAAUGCUCAUUGGGUAUACUAAAACAUAAAAACAUUUGAGAAAACCUACAUGGUGAAACACGUUAUGGACAUGACUUUUUAAGAUUUUUAAAAUUGAAUAAAGGAUUUUGUUUUUUACUACAAUCCAUUACCUCUUUAUUUCAAUAAUCUAUUUAAAAAGUCCUGGCAUUUUAUUUAUUUUUACCCAAAGACUUUUGUCAUUUCUACUCUCAAGAAUAUCCUAGGUGGGGAUCAUACCACCAACGCUGUCAUCAUAGACCAGUGAGUCUGCUCUAUGCUUGUGAGUAAUACUCUGCUUAUUUUAUAUACUUUUAUUAUAUUACUGAGAGCACUAUUUGUGGCUAUUUCGUCUUUUCUGAGUACCGAGAUAAUCUGCCGUGAAAGACCAUCAUCAUAUCCCAUAAGUGGGGAUUAUACCACUAUAUGCAAUAUACACAAGAGCUGUGAGUGCAAUAUUUUUAAUUUUUACGUGUGGUCCGUCAAGCCCUGACAUAUUUCACUAUUAGGUUGCUCUGUCUUCUCUCUUUCCACAUACGGAGACUGAAGAAACUCAGAAGUUCCACAUCCCCCAAGUACAAAGAACCCAGAAACCACAGCUGCAUUUACUUCUAAAUGAGAGACACUUCAUAUGUGAUAUAUAUUGCACUGCUGCGACAAGACUUUAAGUACUUUUUUUCUGUGGCGCAGCCCUUCCUUAUUUGUUUUCUUUUUCUGUAUACUAAAACCUAUAAUUGAAAAAGUGAUGACCAAAUAGUCAAAGAAACUAAGAACAACCCUUCCCCCCCAUUUUAAUUAUGUUAUCUCAAAUAAAAAUAAGGUGUAGGGACACUGAAAUCAGAAAUGGGUGUGUUACUUUAUGUAGACACAGAAAGUGCAGACAUUCAAAAUAAUUAUUUUUCCUUCACUAGAUGAAGCUAUGGCAAGUGAUACACAAAUGAUGCUGCAGAAAACAUGUGAUUGGGUAACUCAGGAAAAGGGACUGGAACAACUAAAAAAAGUUAAUUUAAACAAAUUCCCAGGGUCUGAUGGUAUUCACACAUGAGUACUUCAGGAGCUUAGUGUAAAAAUAAGCAAGCCUUUAUAAGCUGUUUUUUUUCUUUAACUAUUAUUUUCUAUUAGGAAUAGUACGGGAGGAUUGAAGAAGAGGUUUCUAUGUUUAAAAAACUGAUUUGAAGAGAUGACUAUGAAUAGGUGAUCUAGAUGAUGUUGGCAUGGGUUUUGAAUUUUUUAUGCCUUUGAGUACAGUUUUGAUUUAGUAAGAAGAUAGAAAACUGUGGUUGUCUGGCCAAAGUGUAAGUAUAUGGUGUGGUAUCCCAGUCAGAUAUAAUUUGAUGGUGUUGUAUGAUAAUUUUAGUUUAAGGUGGCAAAAAGAAGUGAAAGCUAGUUUCCAUUGAAUGUUUAUUUACAACCUGAAAGUACAACAAGAAUUUGUUAUAAAUAUGGAAUGCCUUGUCGUAUGACUUUCUAGUAUUGUCAGACAAAGCUAGUUGUGAAAGGAGUCUGCCAUGCAUUAACAGAUCUCCGAAUUCAAUGUCAUGUCCUGCCAUGAUGGAGCCGGAGUAGCCACCAGGGUUGCCAUUGGUAAUGCAUUGUGGAAUACCUGAAAUAGAGAGCGAGAUAAAUGAUCAGCUGCUAUGUUUUGAAUGCCAGGAAUAUGCACACAUACCAGGAAGAAAUUAUAGUUGGUUGGCAGCCAAGUCAAUUUCCUCAGAAAGCUCAUGAUGAUCAGAGAUUUAGAAUGACCUUUGUUAAUUAUAUGGCAGAUUGCUAAAUUAUCCGAAAACAUCUCACUGCCUGACCUGACCUGACCAAGCUGCUCUCAUGCUACUGCAGCAGCUAUAAAAGGAUAGAGCUCGAACAGGGUAGACAUAGUGAAAAAAACGGAUACAUUGUACACUUCUAUAGGCCAAACCCCCCAAAGCCAGUUAUCACUAAUAAUGGCUGCAAAAAUAGUGAGGGAGUCAGAGGAAAGUAAAGGGAUAAACAUGCUUUCCUAUUCCAUCUUCUGAGAAAUUCCUGCCACAUGCGUAAAUCUGCUGUAGCAGGCCCAUCUAGUGUAAUGCAGGAAAUAUCUGACUGAAUGCGGGGGAACAGACUGAGUAGUCUAGAUAUAAAAGCCCUGCCCUGUGGGACAAUUUCCAUGGUAAAGUUGAGGGAGCCUAGCAGACUGUAGUUCUGUAUGAUUACAGGAUUCAGCAGAGAGAUAUAAGUUGAUGUUGAAUAGGAUGCUCUCAAUCUUAUCUCUAGGAAAACUGGCAAGCAUAUUGGCCGAAUCUAACGUGAUACCCAGGAAAAUAAUAAAUGUGUCGGGUCCUUCUGUCUUUUUAGGGGAGAAGGGGACCACCAGGUAUUGGAAUAGCUGGAUCGUGGUUCUCAGUCUAUUAGGUGGGAAUAAGUUACUCUCAGUAGUCAACAAAUCAUCCAAAUAGUGAAUAACCAUGUGGCAUCUAGAGACAUUGAACAGAAGCCAGCAUAACAUCUCGGCGAAGGUAUCAAAAAUCCUGGGGCUACUUUUUGCACCAAAAGUGAGAUGAGUAAAAAAGUAAUAAGAACCGUGCCACUUAAUGCUGUGUAGAUGCCACAAAGAAGGGUGUAUUGAGAGGAGCUUGAAGGCGUUUAUAAUGUCCGUCUUACUGAGCCAUGCCCUCUUCCUGCUGUCACGAUUGCGUCAAUGGCGUUAUCAAUGGUUUCAUACUGCAGGGAAAAUGUAUCUGAAGGAAUAAGAGAGUUCAGACUGGGUGUUGUGGAAGAGUGGGGAGCAGAGAGGUUGACAAUCAACCUUUGCCUGGCUGAACGUUUACCUGAGACCACCCCAAUAGGGUUAGUUAUCCAAGCAGAGAAAGGUGGGGAACUGAAUGACCCAAGUAGGAAGCCUUGAUCCAAUUCAAUCUGUAACAGAUUGUUAACCGAUAUUGGAUUGGCAAGGCAGACAGUAGGUUCUUACAUUCUACAAUGCCGAAAGGCAUGUAAAUGAUUCCCAUAUGGAACCCUUCCGUGACACGGAAAACUCCACCAAGAGGGGUGAGGGAUGGUUCUGCAGUAAGUUGGCGAAACAAGUCACAUUAAUUGAGGCCAUGUAGGGUUUGGGAAACAAUUUAUUUGGACACAUCGUCUUGGCAUUUGCACUGAAACAAAGAGAACACACAUGCAAUAACCGGCACGCGCUAAAUCGACAGGAACCUGCAUUGAAGUUAUUGCAGAUCUGGGAUUUACCAAGGAACACAAUAUUACGGCUGAGUUUGUCCUUAAUCACCCUCUCAGGUUUAGCUGAGGAAGUAGGAAAAAGAAAGGCCGCACCCAGUAUUAGGACAUAGGUUCGUGGUGUGUGAGGACGAAGAGCAAACACAACAAGCUGGGGACCUGAGGUCCGCUAAGUGCCUGCAAAAUAUCUCUGUAUUCAACCCGUCUGAAAAUUUAACUGAGCCAGGGCCACAGAUGCCUUCGUGGAGAAUGAUCUGUGGUAAUCAUAAAAUGAUGUACCACCAUAUUUAUGCCCCAGGUCAACCAACUUGUGUAAAUAUAGGUCAAACUCCUCUCUGCAUUUAGGAUAAACUGAACACACCACGUCCCUAUUGAUCCCAAAAGCCAGGACAAAAUCAGGAAUAGACAACUUCCUAUUCAACCUGGGGUCCCUAGCCUUCCGUACAACCGAGACAUCGCCAUAGGUAUAUGUCUUAUUUUCCAGGAUAUCUUGGGAGGCAAUCAGCAGUGAAAUGACAUCCUUACCUUCCAAGAUAUCCUUUUUACUAUGUGCUGGUACCAUAUGAGCUGGGUUAAUGAUAUUAGGGUUUUGUAGUGGACCAAUUAAUUUACCAGUCAGGGUAACCAGGGUAACCAUUACUCAGUAGGUUCUGGAGUAAUCAAUACAGAUGGUUCCACUGGCCUAUCAUUAGCAUCCAUACGGUCCAGCCUAUCCAUAAUGUGUCCAAAUGAGGACAGGACUGAUGACAGAAUGGCCUGGAGGUCGGGUGACUGGUCACUACUGGGGCCCCUGCCAACCCCAGUAUUAUCCGUGUUGGUGUUGAGUAGUCUAUAUAAUUCUGCCUUCCGCAGGGUAGGGAAUAUUCCUGCACCUUAGUUUGGCCGUGAUCCUGGGUAUGGUCCAGGACCUAAGGGAAGACAGGCUGGCAUUGUCCCCUCUAUGAGAUGGAGCGAUGGACCUUGCAGAAGUACUGGGAAUGGACAGAUCUUCAAUAGCUCCUGGUAGUUCAGACAUGCUAGAAUAGGACAAAAAGAUUCUUAAGUAACCAAAGUGAUAGCAAUGUACCAGCUAGCUUAUCUAAUGCCAAGUGGCAAAGAAAUUAUCUAAUACGGGAGAGGGGAGCCCUCACUAGUUGCAUGAGAGGCUCUAGCUAUGUGUUGGCCAGAGGGGAUUUUUGAGGCCACUGAUGUUGUGGCGGGGUGGUGGCCUCUUGGUGACCAGAAAAGCAAAAGACGGCAUGGGAGUGACAGGGGGAGGCCCUCUCUAUACCACCAUGCGAGGUGACUAACUAUGCAUUGGCUAUUUGGGCAUGACUACCUCCGAAUAUGAGGAUGGGUGUUGGCCUCGGGAGACCACUAAGACUUAGGCAUGAAGGCCAGAAAAAUCAACUAAGUGGACUCUGAAACAUAUCAGCCAGUAGACCAAAGUCUUACCCUAGUAGGUAGUGCUGGAUGGGGAGGGGAAAAAGUGUAACGACCCCCCGGUACACCGACAUGUAGUUAUCAGAUGGAUAGAGUAGGAAUACAUAGAUGAACACGAGUAAUACCAGUUAAUAGACUAAGCCUAAAAUUAACCCGGUAGAGCAUAAUUGGUAAUAUAACCAGUAGGGCCUAGCACCUGGUAACAUAAAAGGAAAUAGAUUAUCCAAGCCAUGAGGGGCAGAACAUGGAUUCGUAAGACAAAUCCAAAACCACUAACUGAUGUAAUAUUGUAGGAAUCAAAAGAGAGGAGACAAUAGUGGAUAUGCAGAGUGACUUCAAUCUGUAAUAUAUAAUAUGGCCAACAUUAGAACUUCAAGAGAGCAUAACUGAUUACUAACUGACCAAAAUUAACAGAACCCACCUAAAGAGUUUGACAGUUGAACCUGAGUCAACCAGAAUAUAUAAGCCUUGACAACCUCAGAGGUACAGCAAAAAAAAAAAAAAGGAUUUCAAGCCCGGCAACCUAUAAAACGUGUUAACGUAUCAAAUCAGGCCGAAAAAUUGUAACUCCAGGAAUUCCUGUAACUAUAAUAGGGCAUUUGGCUGUAAUUAUACGAACAGCUCCCAAAGAGGAGCAAAGAGUCGCAUAACAACCGAACGCUCCAGUAUCACGAAAAACACUAUGACAUACUUGUUGUGAGAAUCGUAAGUAUCGUUCGAGCGUACGAACUAACUGCCGAAUGGGUGAGUAUAAUCCCACAAAAGACAAAGUAUACGAGCCAAUUGUAACAUAGUGGACAAACUACCGAGCCGUACGUUCGUAUGGAAGUUUAAACGAAAGACUUAUGCGAAAGCAUACGAACAGAAGUAUGUGGAAUAGAGUUGACCCGUGAUGACACUGUGCGCCUGCAACAGGGUCAACCAACUAACUGUUACUGUAGCUUCGAGACAGUUCAAUAGUGACCAGAGGAGAGGGGAAAAAUCUCGGAGGCCUUGAACGGCUGAAGAACUGGAACCAGGAACGGGCAGACAUUCUGAGAGGAGGUAAGGUCUCCAUGAGGCAAGGAAGCAAAAUGGCCGUGCUGCUGCAGCUGGAAAUCCAGGUAAGCAAAUCGCCAGACCAACAAUGGUAAUGAGGAAGUGGCUGGCGGUCCUUAAGUAGGGAAAUCAUGCCCCUCCCACAACUACAGGCCCAGCCUUCCAUAUAUACAUAUUUAUAAUUCUAAGAGUAUUUUGAUAUAUAUAUAUGUAUAUUUUGUAAUAUAUGUAUAAUAUAUUAUAAGGUAAUUAAAACAUCUGAUUAGCAUAUUAUACAUAUAUAAUACAUAUAUAAUUUAUUCCUAAGUGUAUUUUGUUAUCAAUAUAUAUUAAUACCAAAAAACAGUAAUAAAAAAAUUAUUUAUGUAUUAUAUUACGUAUAAUAUGCUAAUCAGGUGUUUUAAUUAACUUGUACUAUAUUAUACAUGUAUAAUAUAUUAUUUAAAUGUUUGAUUUUAACUUUAGUUUACUUUUCAGGCCAUGUGAUUUGCGAUGUCUGUCGUGAUCAUAUGGCUCUGGAGGGCCGGAAAGGAAGCAGGGCGACUGCCUGGCUUAUGAGGUAGUCCCCCGGACCGGGAUCACAGGUCCAAGUAAGGGAAUUGCGGCUGGGGAGCUAACAAUCAUUAGGGCGUACUAUGCCGCCCUAAUGGCGUUUAAGCUCACUAAAUGCGGGGUGGCAUAGUAUGCCCUAACGGCUUUAAGGGGUUAAUUUAGGAGAGCCUUGCAACUAACUAGUGAGGAGAACCCUGUGAUAUGUUUGUAUUCCUAAUGCUAUAGUGUCUCUUAAGUAAUUUAAUUAGAAUUUUAGACUUGUUUUUGUAUUUCUAUAACAGUGUAGGACUUAAGCAAAAUGAAAAAUAAUAUAGCACAAAUGUAGAAUUGUUUGAUAUGUUUAUUGAAUUAUAAAUAACAUAUUAUUUAAUUAAUUAACAUAUUAGAAAUGGUGGAGUUUCCUGAAUGAGCCAAUUCUUGGGCUCAUGGCACCCAAGUCAGUAUAUCUUCUGUAUUCUCCAGGUCCCAGGUAAUACUGUUUGCCCCUGUAAUUUGGCUCCUCAUAGAACAUCCAGUAACCAUCAAACACCUGGCAGGAGUUGAUGUCAUGGUGAUGGAAUCUUUCAUAGACAUUAGGACAAUCUUCAGUGAAUUCCAUCAUCUGACCUCUGAAAUCAUUCCUCACAUAGACCUUCACUGUGAAUGAUCCAAGGUGCUUUAUGAGAUUGAAAAAUAUUUAUAAUUUAUAAAUAACAUGACAAAGAAUUGCAUAAUUUCAUGAGAAUAUCUAGAACCUAUACUUUUGAGAAAACUACGGCAAAACGCGUCAAGUGAGGUUUCUGGACUUUCAAUUCCACUGUGGACUGGUAUACAUUUAUAGUUUAUUUUGUUAGUACCCAUUUUUUAUCACUUUUAUUGUUUUAAUAAAGUACUUUUUUUAAGUACCUAUCCAGCCCUUUGGAUUUCUGUUUUUUUUCUCACCUGGCUCCCUGGAUAUCCAUCAAAUUCACAGGUGGGGAUCAUUCCACCCAAGGGCUCCAAACCAGAGCAGGUUCACGCUCUGGAAAUUGUAAGUAGAAUACAUAUAUGUUAAUUUUAUAAUUGGACUACACUAUUGGUUUUCCUAUUUGUGCUUACCUGUAUAAUAUGUUAAUUUUAUAAUUGGACUACUCUAUUGGUUUUCCUAUCUGUGCUUCCCUCCACAUAUAUUACUGACUACUGCUUAAGAUAUCAGACAUCAUAUCUUUGGACAGGGAUUGUUCCGUCCUGGCAUGCAAUAUUAGGGCUAAUUGAAGCUCGGAAAAGUUUGUUUGAGCUCCAGUUUUUGCUGAAGCUCCCAAGACUGAGGUCGCAUUAUAUCCCGAAGAGGAGAUUGUACCAUUUUAAGCGUUUGGUGCUAGAGCUGGCUAUAUUUGUCAUAUAAUCUUACCUUUCCCAUUUUCAGUUCUUAUUUAGUGUCAGUAGGGCUGGCACCACCUAUAGGCAAAGUAGGCACCGGCCUAGGGCUCCUACCUCUUCACACGGCGCUUGUAGAAGUGUUGCGGCAGCAGUGGCAGUGCACGGUACAACGGGGAGAGGCAUGGGCACCAUGAGUGCCUACAAUAUGCUGUGAAGCGCUCCGGGAGUGCAGACUUGGAACCGCAUCAGUUUAACCCCUUCAGGACGGGUGACGGACGAGGUCCGUCACAGAGGGGAGACCCUUAACGACGGGUGACGGACCUCGUCCGUCACGCGGUAAAAUUAACCCCGGAUCGCCGCUAUCGCAGUGAUCGCGGGGUUAAUGGUGCUCCCGGUAUGCCUCUGCAUUAGAUGCAUACCGGGAGCACCCGGUCAGGCUGCCCAGCACAUGUGCUCGCUCUGACCGCAAGUCAGAGCGAGCACAUGUGCUCUGUAUACUCACCUACCGGCUCCCUGCACUUCCGGGUUCUGUGUGAAGUGCAGGGAGCCGGAUCAGUGAUGAUCCUGCCCCCUGCUGUUAAAAAAAAUAAAGUUAAUUUAAAGUGUCCCCCCCCUUACCCAUUUUAAUAAAAAAUUAACCCAUUCCCUGCCAAUUGAUCACUGACUACAGUGAUCAAUUGGCAGGGAUUACAUUUUACUAUGAUCUGAUUUUUUUUUAACCCCUGAGGGUUAAUUUUUUUUUUUUUUACCCUCAGGGGUUAAAUUAAUUAAAUUAACUAAUUAAAUUAUUUUUACAUUAUGUAUUUAGAUAGCUGGGGUGGGUGGAAGUUAGUGGGGAAUUGGGGGAUUUGGCGUUAGGCUAACUAGGGGUUAACAUUAAAAAAGUUUUAAAAGAAACUUUAAAAAGUUAAAAAUUAAGCUUAAAAAAUGUUUUAAUAACAUUUAAGUAAAAAAAAACAAAAAAAACACACUUUACCUAGUCCAAAUAAAAAUUAACCCCUUCCCUGCCAGUCGAUCACUGCCUGCAGCGAUCAAAUAGAGAUCACAGUAUUAUACUGUAAUCUAAUUUUUUUUAACCCCUGAGGAUUAACUUUUAUUUUAUUUUUUUAACCCUCAGGGGUUCAAUUUAUUUAAUUAAUUAAUUUAAAUAUUUUAUAACUAUAUAUUUUGCUAGCUGGGGUGGGUGGGAGUUAUGGGAAAAUGGGGAAUUUACUGUUAGUGCUGCGUACUGCUAGUUAGGGGUUAACGGUAAAAAAAAAAGCUUAGAAAAAUGUUACAUCUGUAAAAAAGUUUUAAGAAAGUUUAGGAAAGUUUAAAAAAAAUUUAUAAGCAAAACAAAAGUUUAAAAACUAGUUUUUAAAAGUAAAAAAGUUAUAAAAAGUAAAAAAAUACAUUUUAAAAACGCUCAUUACCACUACACCUGGAACAAACUAGAGAAAAAAUUAUCCCACGCCAAGGUUCAAAAUAUGCCUUUUGAAUUACCCCAGGGUGUAUUCUUUAAUAAAUAGUAUGUGUUUGUGGGGAAGUUUCAAUAACCAACCGUCUAAACUACUCCAAAUUGGAACAUGGACACAGCGUAAAACUUCAAAGUUAGAAAAAAACUGAAUGGCUGCGUCUCAAAUGCGCCCCUUCAACAUCCACAUAUACCUGGCAAAGGUACAUACGGGGGUAUUGCUGUACUCAGCCGACAUAGCUGAGCAACAUAUGAAGUAUUAUACAGUCAUAGUACACAUAAGGUUUGCAAAAUAUGCUGCGCAAACUCACUUUGUAUGUCAAAAAGGCAGAAAAAAUGCUUAUUACCACUACACUUGGUACAAGCUAGCGGAAAAAUGAUCCCACGCUAAGGUUCAAAAUAUGCCUUUUGAAAUACCCUGGGAUGUCUUCUUUAAGAAAUGGUAUGGCUUUAUGGGGAAUUUGGAUUAUAUAGCCUGGUAAAAUACUCUAAAAUGGGACAUAGGCACAGCAUAAAAAUUCAAAGUUUGAAAAAAACUGGAAUGGCUGUGUCCCAAAUGUGCCCCUCCGAUGUCCACACAUACCUGGCAAAGGUACAUACGGGGGUAUUGCUGUACUCAGCCGACAUAGCUGUGCAACAUAUGAAGUAUUAUACAGUCGUAGCACACAUAAGGUUUGCAAAAUAUACUGUGCAAACUCACUUUGUAUGUCAAAAAGGCAGAAAAAAUGCUUAUUACCACUACACUUGGUACAAGCUAGCGGAAAAAUGAUCCCACGCUAAGGUUCAAAAUAUGCCUUUUGAAAUACCCUGGGAUGUCUUCUUUAAGAAAUGGUAUGGCUUUAUGGGGAAUUUGGAUUAUAUAGCCUGGUAAAAUACUCUAAAAUGGGACAUAGGCACAGCAUAAAAAUUCAAAGUUUGAAAAAAACUGGAAUGGCUGUGUCCCAAAUGUGCCCCUCCGAUGUCCACACAUACCUGGCAAAGGUACAUACGGGGGUAUUGCUGUACUCAGCCGACAUAGCUGAGCAACAUAUGAAGUAUUAUACAGUCGUAGCACACAUAAGGUUUGCAAAAUAUACUGUGCAAACUCACUUUGUAUGUCAAAAAGGCAGAAAAAACGCUUAUUACCACUACAUCUGGUACAAGCUAGCGGAAAAAUGAUCCCACGCUAAGGUUCAAACUAUACCUUUUGAAACACCCUGGGGUGUCUACUUUAAGAAAUGGUAGGCCUUUGUGGGGUAGUUUGAAUUUAAAACCUGCGAAGAUGCUUGGAAAUUGCACAUAGGCACAGCGUCAAAAUUCAAGGUUUGGUAAAAACGGAUAUGGCUUGGUCUCCUAUAUGGCACUGUAGCUUCACAAAAUAGUGACAAAGACAUUCAUUGGGGGUGUAUUUUUACUCAAAAGACUUAGCUGAGCAUAAUUUGGGAGGUUUGAACUUAGUGGCACAUAUGAAAUAUACAAAACGCCCAGCAAAAAUGCAAUCCGUAUGUAAAAAAUGCACAAAAUUAUUUUUACCACAUACUUUGGCAUAUAUUGGUGAAAAAAUGGGGGUAUGUUAAGGCACAAUAUGCACCUUAUGAGAUACCCUGGAGUGUCUACUUUUACAAAUGGUAGGCCUUUGUGGGGGGUUUUUGAACAGUCAAACUGUUAUAAUACCCCAAAUGGAAGCUAAGGCUCAUUAAAUCCAUCUCUCAAAAUUCUACUGUGAAUACUGUAAAGGACAGGUCUCCUAUAUGGCACUGUAGCUUAACGAAAUAGUGCCAAAGACAUUCAUAUGGGGUGUCAUUUUACUCAGAAGACUUAGCUGAGCAUAAUUUGGGGGGUUUGAACUUAGUGGCACAUAUGAAAUAUACAAAACGCCCAGCAAAAAUGCAAUCCGUAUGUAAAAAAUGCACAAAAUUAUUUUUUACCACAUACUUUGGCAUAUAUUGGUGAAAAAAUGGGGGCAUGUUAAGGCACAAUAUGCACCUUAAAGAUACCCUGGAGUGUCUACUUUUACAAAUGGUAGGCCUUUGUGGGGUUUUUUUGAACAGUCAAACUGUUAUAAUACCCCAAAUGGAAGCUAAGGCUCAUUAAAUUCAUCUCUCAAAAUUCUACUGUGAAUACUGAAAAGGACAGGUAUCCUGUAUGGCACUGUAACUUCACGAAAUAGUGCAAAAGACAUACAAUGGGGGUGUCAUUUUACUCAGCAGAUGUAACUGAACACAAAAUAAAACUUUGUACAGGAAUAGCACACACCAACUUUACAAAAUAUACACGAGAAUUUCUCUGUUAUAAGUUUGUGUGCCAAAAACCAAAAAGAACACAAUUUUACUCCAAUAUUUAGCAGAGGUUGGCGGUGAAAUGGCUACGUAGAAAGUGUCAAAACAACCUUAGGUAAAUAGCCCGUGAUGUCUACUUUAUAUAAAUAUAUACUUUUGUGUGGCAAUUUUGUUUUCUUUUAUGGCUAUUAAGCUUACAAGACAAACAUACCAAAUUCUAAAAUCGCUCAACAUUAAAAGUUUAUUUUACUCCUUGUGCUUUGUGACCUGUAACUACCAAAAAAACCUUAAAAUCCCAGACACAUUAUAUAUUCUGUAAAUCAGAACAAAUAAAUAAACUUAUUUUUAAUUACUUUCCUUAACCUGCACUAAUUAUGCACACAUUAUUAUUGCAAAAACUGUAAAAAAAACCCAAUAUUUUUCAUUUUUUUUGCAUUUUUCUGUAUUUUUUUUAUAAUAAGUAAGCAUUUAUAUAUAUAUAUGUUAUAUCAAAUUAAAGCCCUUUCUGUCCUUUAAGAAACAGUAUAUAAUAUGUGUCGGUGCAAUAAAUGAGAGAGAUGCAAAUUGCAGUUGAACGCAAACAGCAAGAAGAUGCAAAAAUUGCUUGUGUCAUUAAGCGUAAGUCAAGCUUCUGAAGCUGUGUCCUUAAGGGGUUAAAAAAAAACAUAUAUAUAUAUAUAUAUAUUUGUGUACGGCACAUUUCGAGGACGUAAGGAAACAAAUAAGAAAGAAAACAGUAUUAGAAAAAGUCAGCUGAGGUGUGCCGAAACUGACAUGAGGUUAAACCUGUAAAAGAGGGCAAAAAUAAAAGAAGCGAUUUCUCAAAAUACAAAUAACUUUAUUAAGUACAUGGAAAGCCAUUCUUAUCUCUUUUUCAGAUUUGGGAAUGUAUCUAUUGUAUGCAGACGAUUUCCACCUUGCCAUAUUCUUAAUGAUGUGAGUUGGUACAUGGUUACCUGAUGCAGCUGAAGCUGCUCCAAUGCGGAAGGAAUGACCCGAGAAGGCAUGUGGGUUGUGUCCUAGCCGGAGUAAUAAUGUACGAAUAUAAAACAGAAAUUGUUUAGUGGUUAGGGGUUUCCCUUGGAUGGCUAAUAGUGGACAAUCCGGGUUGGAAGUGAUCUUGGACACCAUUAGUUUGUCUAAAACUAGGAUAGGACACCAUUUGGUCGAGGUAGGAUAGUAUUUAAUUUCUACCGGAGGUAGGACCUGUUUGGCUUGUUUUGGUAUGGGCAAUAUAUAAGAUGUAGUGGUCUUGUUUUUUAAUUAGGUGUUUCUUCUGAAGGCAUGACUUGGAAUCGGAUGCUUUCUCCACUGAAAACUCUUUGGGUCUCAAGAAACCAUAAAAGGCUAGGUAAGCUGCGGCCUUGACAAUUAAGUUUGUGGUAUGUUCAAAAGGGGACAUGUCGAGUAUAUCGGAGAUACUUUUAAAUAGUUUACUGUCUAUGGGAAGUCUCUUGACGGGAUUGUGUAAUGAUAAUCUGUGAACACCUCUUGGGAUACUUUUUACUGGUUAGGACGCUAGAAAUGGAGUUUUGUUGGGAUAGCUGGUCAACAUGUGGUGUUGUAUACCUGUUAAGUAGAGUUUGAUAGUGUUGUAUGCUAACUUAAGAGAGGUGUGGCAAAAAGUAGUGAAAGCUACAACAGUUUCAACAGAAAAAAACAUUUAUUAUAUGCAGGGGCGUACCUAGAGCAUUUGGCACCCGGGGCGGAUCCUGUGCUUGGCACCCCCCCCCCCCCCAAAAAAACCUGUAAAAAUGUUAAAGGUUUUAUUUCUUUUAUUUUUACAAUUUGUAAACUUUGCAAAACCGCUGUCAGCCCCUCCUACAAAACCCUUGUCCUGCCCCGCCCCUCCUACAAAACCUCUGUCCUGCCCCUUCUACAAAUCCUGUACUGCCCCAUCUACAAAACCCCCGCAACCCCCUUCCACAAAUCCCCUGCUUAUCCCCCCUUAUAAAGACUCCUGUCCCAAUACAAAACCCCCACCCCCUUCUACAAAAUCCCUGCAGCCCCACACACACAUUUACAGGCAGACAGUCACACACUCAGUUACAGACAGUCACACACUCCGUUACAGACAGUCACACACUCCGUUACAGACAGUCACACACUCCGUUACAGACAGUCACACACUCAGUUACAGGCAGACAGUCACANNNNNNNNNNNNNNNNNNNNNNNNNNNNNNNNNNNNNNNNNNNNNNNNNNNNNNNNNNNNNNNNNNNNNNNNNNNNNNNNNNNNNNNNNNNNNNNNNNNNGCCGGGUACAGGAGACAGCUGCUCUCUGUACCCGUCGGACCAUCAUGCUGCAGUGAGGGAGCUGACAGGAGCGCUUCCCUCCUGUCAGCCCCUCUCCUCAGGCUGCGCCCGGGCGGUGCGGUCCGCCCUCAUGGACGCACCGCCCGGGCAAAGCUGCAGCGGCCUGAGGCUCUACAGAGCGCUCGGGCGGCUGCAGCAUGGGGAGGGCGGGGGGGCUGGCCAUGGCACCCCCCACCCGGCUGGCACCCGGGGCGGACCGCGCCCCCCGCCCCCCCCUUAGUACGCCACUGAUUAUAUGAUAAGUAUGAACAAAAUUUUUGAACAACUUGUAUGCUCUGGAGUAUACUUUCCUUGUAUUAGUAGACAAGCCUGCCUGUGCGAGAGACCUACUAUGUUGUAAUGGAGAACUUAAAGAAUAAUAAGUUCCGAGAAGCUUGGAGGUUCUCUGGGAUGCAGGUUUGCUGAUGGAUGAAGUCUGAAAAAUUCCUGCAAAUUCAAGCGUGAGAGAGCAUCAGCCGCAUUAUUUUCAACACCUGGAACGUGAAUACAGGUUAUGCAGAAUUGAAGAUUAGCUGCUAGCCAGGUCAGUCUCCUUAUUAAUUUCAUAAUCGUGAGGGACUGAGAUUGGCUUUUGUUCACUAUAUAACAGGUAGCUAAGUUAUCUGAAAAGCAUCUGACAGAAUGUCCAUGCCAUACUUAACCCCAGACAUGUGCAGCCGCUACCAUAGGAUAAAUUUCAAAUAGCGCUGAGGUGGUAUUGAAAUUUUCGAGUGAGGUGGUCUCAACUGGCCAAGAGUCGUAUAGCCACUCAUCACCGAAAAUAGCAGCAUACCCCAAUGCACCUGAGGCAUCUGUCCAAAUAACAGGGGAAUCGUCAGAUGUGGGUGGAACAAAUAGUGACCUGCCAUUCCAGGAAGAUAGGAAGAGCUGCCACAUUUGUAAAUCAGCUCUAGCUGACUCAUCUAAGGAAGUUGUGGAAUCGUCGUCGGGGAGACCGUGCAACAGUGAGAGAAUUUUUGAAAUGAAAGACCUACCCUGAGGAAUAAUUCUCAUUGCAAAAUUUAGUGAACCGAGUAGUGAUUCCCCUGUUUCCUGGUGCAAGUGCCUUGUGAGGUGCAGAUGUUUAUGUAAGAAAGAAUCCAGUCUAUUUUCUCUUGAGGCAGGCUUGCCUGCAUAGAGACAGAAUUGAGUGUAAUUCACAGGAAAGUAAUCACCGUGUUGGUACCUUCUGUUUUGUCCUGGGCUACAGGGACUCCUAAGUCUUUGAACAAAGUGAGCAUGUGAUUAAGACUGUGGGGUGUGUGUUGGUGUGGUUCAAUGGUGAGGAAGUCGUCUAAGUAAUAUAUGACUACUGGACAUCUGCAAAAGUUCAGUAGUAGCCAGGUUAAAGUUUCGGCGAAUAUGUUGAAUAACUUGGGGCUACUUUUGGAACCGAAGGUCAGUCUAGUAGCGAAAUAGUAGCUGUCCUGCCACUUAACACCAUGCAGAUGCCAGAGUGACUGAUUGAUGGGGAGUAAUUUAAAGGCGUUAGUGAUGUCAGAUUUACUUAACCAAGCUGCCUUCCCGGAAUGAAUGAUUGCUUGGAUGGCAUCGUCAAUUCUGGCGUAUUGAAGGGAAAAGUCUUCUGACGGGAUCAGAGCAUUAAGGCUAGGUGUAGGGGAUGAGUGAGGUGCAGAAGAGUCAAUAUUCAAUCUCUUUUUAUUGUUAUAUUUCCCUGUGGCGAUUCCUGGAGGGUUUGUCCUCCAGGAAGUGAAAGGAAGAGUAGAGAAAGGACCUAUCAUGAAACCAUUGGUGAUGUCUUUCUGUAAGAGUUCUUGUAUGCUGUCUGGGUCUGUGAGUGCUGACUGUACGUUGGGGCAUUCCAAAACACCUGUGGAGAGUGACACGAACCCUGUGUGAAACCCAUUAGUGAACCCAGACGUGAGAAAUUCCACCAAAUGAAAAGAAGGAUGAUUAGCCAGGUAACGUUGCAACUUCGGUACAUUUAUUGGAGUGGAAGUUUUGUUAGGGUACAAUCUGUUGGGGCACAUAGUUUUGGCAUGUGUUCUGAAACACAGUGAGCACACAUGAAGAAGCCUACAUGCGCUAUAACUGCAACCCCCGGCAUUGAAAUUAUUGAAGACUUGUGCUUUGCCUAGAAAAACAAUCGGUCUGCCUAGAUUGUCUCUUAUUUCCCUCUGGGACGUGUUAGAUUGGUAACCAGUAUUGGCGCUACUGGUAGAAGGGGUCGCUACGUUCUCUGGACAGAAAUUGACUGAAUGAGCAGUGGAAGAGCAUAUAGCACAGGAAGGGGUUUUAAGGCUUGCAAAAUGCAUAAGAAAUAAUUCUGUGUCUAGCUGUGCCCAAUCAGUAAUUGUAUCUGGAAGCAAAUGACUUAUGAUAAUCAUAAAAUGCAGAGCCCCCAUACUUGUAUGCUAAUUCAACCACUUUAUGAAGGUAUAAGUCAAGUUCCUCUCUAUGGAGGGGGAAAGCUGUACAGAUCACGUCUCUGUAUAGAUCGAAAGCGAGGACAAACUCGGGGAUGUUAAGAUUCCUAUUUAGUCUAGGAUCUCUAGACUUCAUCACUACUGACAGAUCCUCAAAGGUAUAAGCCCUGUUUUCUACCACCUCUUGAGAUGCUAUCAGUAGUGAUGUCCUUCCCCUCUAUAAUGUCCCGUCUUAGAGACUGAGGAAUGAGGUGAAUAGGAUUUAUGAUAUUUGUAGCUCUGUUAGCUGGUAGAGGGUUAUCUUUACCUCCUGAGUUAGGUGCGGGCUGAGCAACGGGCACUGGAAUCUCUGGAAUUGUUGGAACUUUAUUUGACUCCAGAUUAUCCAACCUAUUGUUAAUCAUUGCUACUGAAGAAACAAGGGAGGCCAUCAUGACGUGUAAUUCGGCAAGGCUAUUUUGUACAUUGAAUUCCGUACUAUGGCCAGGCCUUUCGUUUUCUCCGUAAUAUUUAGUAAACGAAACAGUUCGGCUUUCCUGGCUGUAGCUGGGAAAGGAAUAUUCCUUUUUUUAAGUUCUGAGGUUAUUUUAGGGAUAGUCCAGGAACGAUAGCUGGAAGCUAGACUUGGUGGAUUGGUUCAUCUCUGUGAACCUGAUCUGAGUGGGGUGCUGGCGAUCGACAGAUCGUCUUCUUGUGUAGAAGCGUUAGACAUGCUAUGAAAGUGAGGCAGAUGGAUAAGGUUAGUAUGGUACCGUAAAGAACCGUAGUGGCCCAGCUCACUAUGAUAGUGCCUAGUGGCGAAAUUGUAUUAACUAGCUUAUGUUGGUGACAGGUGAAACCCUGACUACUUGUCAAGUGGCUAUGAGAGGCUCUACCUAUGAUUUGGCUCAUGGGGCCUUUGUGCCACUGAGGUGGGUGGCGGGGUGUUGGCCUCUCGGUGAUACGUAAAGGAAUGUACAACUAUUGGCCGUGAAGGGUGAGGCCCUAACUAUGACUUGAUGCAAGGACGAUUGGGACGAUUUGGCACGAACCUCUGAGUGGCAGGUCUAAGAGUAUGCCUUGCGGGACCACUCGACUUAUAGGCGAAGAGGCCUAUGGGAUCAUACCUAAUUUGGCGAGCUCAAACCUAUUUGUAAUCCUGCCCUUGACCUCAGCUAUUCCAUUACUGACCCCACUGCAGGUCCUAGUCCCACUACAGGUCCUGACCUCUUACUACUGCCUCUGCCCCCCCCACCACUAUCCCUGCCCCCCUACCGCAACCCCUGACCCCCUACAACUUCCCCUGACCACCUACUACUGACCCUGAAACCCCACUGCAGGUCCUAACCUACCACUUUAGUCCCUAAACCCUUACUUCAGCACUUAACCCUCCACUACAGCUUCUAACCCCUUAUUUAAUCCUCUAACUGAUCACUACACCCCCUAACUCCACACUACACCCUCACUGCAGCCCUUUUCCCCCCACUGCCCCUAACAUCCAAUACUGCCCCUAACAUCCACUACUGCCCCUAUCCAUCUGCUCCUUGUCACGUAUUCAUCCGCUUAUAAAAAUGUGGUUAAUGACAUUUACUGUCCACACAUGAAAAGUUGUGCCGAGCAGCAACCAAAUCCACAGAAGGGUUCAUGCUGAGCAGCAAUUAUGCAAAUGGAAACCUGGUAACUGCCUUUGGGGUCAAAGGCUGGUUACAGCCUAUCAGAUCUAGAGGAGGGGUAUUUAGGCCCAGUUCUCAUCCUGCUCAGUGCCCUGUCGUGGUUUCCCUUGUGGUUGUCCGAGAGCACGUUAUUGAUUCUGGUUAUACUGGUUAUUUGACUUUGGCAUUGUUUUUGACUUCCCUGUUUUCUUUCAUCCCUGACUCCUGGCUUUUUGUCAUCGUUGUGUCUCUUUCUGUUUCCCUUGAUCUCGGCUAUUCCUGACUAUUCUUUAGUACGUUAGUCCGGCCAUUCUAAGGUCCGGUAUACAUUACCUAUCAGUCCUCUGUGUUACACAAUUCUACGGACUGGAUCAUUCUGUAAUCCUGACAUUACGACAUGGCCAUAGAUCCUGUAGAAUUUUGUAAGCACAUAGCUGCUUGUGAAAGGAAACUGUAGUAUAAUGAUCACCGCAUGGAUCAAUUUGCCAAGGCCUUCAGUACGCUACUUACCCGAACAGCGCUUCUGCAACCUGCGGCCUCACCUCCACCUUGUGUACCUCCAGCUAUAACACACAAGGCACCUACUAUCUCCCUAUCUCCUCCCCUGCAUUUUGAUGGUAAUAUUCAAGAAUGCCGGUAAUUUAUUAACCAAAUGGAGUAUCAUUUUGAGGCCUCACCGGGAUCUUUCCCCACAGACAGAGCUAAAAUUGGUUACCUAAUAAAUCAAUUAAAAGGUAAAGCUUUAGCUUGGGCCAAUCCAUUAUGGGAGAGUAAUAGGAGUGUGUCACACAAUUACCAGGAGUUCCUUACGUUUGAACCUUUAGGCAGAGAGGAUGACGCCUCUACUGCCCUGAUGCACAUCAGACAAGGGAACCGGUCUAUUUCGGAAUAUGCCAUAGAAUUUUGUACCCUAGCUUCCGAGGUAGACUGGACUAAUAGUGGGUAAAUCUUUUGCUUUUAAAUAGGGAUUAUCUGAAAACUAUGCUAGAUGAGAUUGCCGCCAAAGACUUACCCAAAAAGCUUAAUGAAUUUAUCACUUUUGUCAUGCAGAUUGAUAAUAGAUUAAGAAGCUACUAGAAACAAGACCAGACACAUGAGUAUGCAUUUAGCAUCCCGUUUCUCCAGAGCUAUUGUCCCUGAAAUUCCUGUACAGUCUGAACCUGAACCCAUGCAGUUGGAGGUCACUAGACUGUCAGAAGCAGAAAGACAAUAUAGGAGAAAAGAAGGCCUAUGUCUAGAGACAUAUGAGAAACAAUUGUCCCAUAUGUCCAGAAAACUACUGCACCUAAGCACCUUAAGGGGACAGGUCUUAGGUGUAAUGGAAACGUCCUCUGAAAAGAAUAAAAAUAGGUUUCUCCUUGACAUUUCUAUCGCCUUUGACAAAAAUAACUUUUCAUGCAAAGCCCUGAUGGAUUCAGGUCCUGCUGGAAACUUCAUCGACGUUCAAUUUGUCAAAGGUAAUACUAUACCUAUCAAAGAGAGACUAUCACCCCUAGCUGUUGAAGCUAUUGAUGGGAGACCACUCUCACAACCAUUGAUAAUGCAUGAAACCUUACCCAUUAAUAUUUCCAUUGGUGCCUUACAUAAGGAAGAGAUUACAUUUCAGGUGAUUGCAUCUCCUUCUUGUCCUAUUAUAUUAGGAUUCCCAUGGCUUAGCAAGCAUAACCCUCAUAUUGACUGGGCUAAUGGGGAAAUAUUAGAAUGGGGUAAGGAUUGUAAUGAAAGGUGCAUAUUGCAUGUCACCAAAAGAGUGGGCACUAUUGAAUUACCCACUAGUACACCUCAAAAUCCCGAGAUCCCUAUACAAUACCAAGACAUUAAAGAAGUAUUCAGCAAGACUCAGUCUAAUACUCUACCUCCUCACAGACCAUAUGACUGUUUCAUUAACUUACUACCAGGCGCUAUGCCACCUAAGGGAGCAGUCUAUGCUCUAUCCCCUCAGGAGAGUAGUGUAAUGGAGGAAUAUAUUAAACAUUCAUGGAAUAAAGUCCAUAUACGAAAAUCAUCCUUGCCUGCUGGUGCAGGAUUCUUUUUUGUAUCUAAAAAGGAUGGUGAGUUGCGCCAAGUAUCGAUUACAGGGCAUUGAACAAAAUCACCAUUAAGAACGCCUACCCCAUUCCUCUUACUGCUGAAUUAUUUGACAGACUCCAGGGCGCUAAAGUGUUUACUAAGCUUGACCUUAGAAGCGCUUACUAUUUACUGAGAAUCAAGGAAAUCCACGAGUGGAAGACUGCAUUUAAUACAGAAGUUGACACUAUGAAUAUCUAGUGAUGCCAUUCGGGUUGUGCAAUGCUCCAGCGGUUUUCCAAGAUUUCAUUAAUGAUGUACUCAGGGAUUACAUUUACUUGUUUGUCUUGGUCUAUCUGGAUGAUAUCCUUAUUUAUUCUCCUGACAUUCAGACUCACCACGAUCACGUUAGACAAGUUCUGCAGACCAUGUUAAAGAAUCAACUUUAUUGUAAAUUAGAAAAAUGCAUCUUUGACCAAUCUGAAGUACAGUUUUUGGGAUAUAAUAUCUCUGCCUCGGGGUUUCAGAUGGAUCCUAAAAAGCUGGAAUCGGUUCUACAAUGGCCUUUACCCACUGGGUUGAAAGCCAUUCAAAGGUUCAUUGGUUUCGCCAAUUAUUACAGAAGAUUUAUAAAGGAAUUUUCUUCAAUAAUAGCCCCCAUCACCAAUAUGACACACAAGGGGGCUAGUAGUAUGAUAUGGUCUAAGGAGGCAAUUGAAGCCUUUGAAACUCUCAAACAGCGGUUUGCCUCCGCCGACAUAUUGUUACAUCCUGACGCCAGUAAGCCUUUCAUACUGGCGGUUGAUGCUUCAGAGACAGGGGUACGGGCAGUUCGCUCAUAGAGGGAGAGCCAGGGAACUCCAUUACAUCCUUGUGGUUACUUUUCUAGAAAAGUUGCCUCCUGCUGAGCGCAAUUACGAUAUUGGCAAUAGAGAAUUGUUGCCCAUUAUUCUAGUGGCAACAUCUUUUAGAGGGUUCCAAGGAGAUGCUAAGCGAUUAUCUUCUAGACAAGCUAGGUGGUCUCUGUUUCUUUCUCUCUUUAAUUUUCUUAUCACCUACAGGCCUGGUUUUAAAAAUGUCAAGGCUGACGCCUUGUCCAGGCAGUUUGAUACUGAGGCUAUACUAGAGCAAGAAACAUCCCAUAUCAUUCCCCCAGAAUGUAUAAUUGUGUCCACUGUCCUCUCAUUGUCCUCUCCACUACUUGGCUCCAUCAUGGAGGCUCAGUCUCAGGCGCCCUGCGGUAAACCUCAGAACAAACUGUUCGUUCUAUUGGGGAAAGGGUUAAUAUCAUGAAGGUGUUUCACGACAAUGUGUCUGCUGCUCACCCAGGUAUUAUUAAAUCCACUUAUGCUAUCAUGAGGUCAUUCUGGUGGGAUUCCCUCAGAAAGGAUGUUAAGGAAUAUGUGCAGGCUUGUUCUGUUCUGUGCGGUUUCCAAAGUGCCUCAUAAACUCUCUUGUGGCUUGUUACAAACUCUUCCUAUUUCUGAGGUCCCAUGGUCCCACUUGUCCAUGGACUUCAUUGUUGAACUUCCUAGUUCUAACAGUUAUACCACCAUUCUCAUGGUUGUGGACCGCUUUUCUAAAAUGGCUCAUUAUUCCUCUCAAGAAAUUACCGUCAUCUCAAGACCUGGUACUGAUCUUUAUACAUGAGAUUGUCCGUCUGCAUGGCAUUCCUCACAAUAUUGUAUCUGAUAGAGGUUCUCAGUUUGUAUCCUGGUUUUGGAGGGCUUUUAAUAAGCAAUUGGGGAUUGAACUGUCUUUUUCAUCCUCUUACCACCCCCAGACUAAUGGUACAGCUUAGAGGGCUAAGCAGUCUUUGGAGUUAUGCUUGCGUUGUUUUGUUAACAGCACUCAAGACAAUUGGUCCAAAUUAUUACCAUGGGCCAAGUUUGCUAGGAACAAUGCUGACCAUGAUUCCUCUGGGCAUAGUCCAUUUUUUGUUAAUAAUGGCCGGGAUCCUACUGUCCUACCGGCUGUUUUUUCUGAUACAGCUAUUCCUGCUUUGGAUGACCGUCUGGCUUCCAUCCAUGAUACCUGGGUUUAAGUUCAAUCUGCUCUGGGUACUGCUGCUGACCGUUUCAAGCAUCAUGCUGAUACAUGUCGAGGUGCCAACCCUGUAUACCAAGUGGGUGAGAGGGUUUGGUUAUCUUCUCGUAACAUCAGGCUCAAAGUCCCUAGCAUGAAAUUUGCUCCUAGGUUCUUGGACCUUUUCGUGUCCUUCCUAGGAUUAAUCCUGUUGCGUACUCUCUGGCCCUUCCAGCCUCCUUGAAAAUUCCUAAUACCUUUCAUGUGUCCUUGCUCAAACCUCUUGUUUGCAAUAAAUAUACUGUCUCAAGUGCCCCUCCUCUUCCCUUAGUUGUUUCUGGACAGGAAGAGUAUGAGGUCUCCUCCAUAAUUGGUAACUGCCUUUGGGGUCAAAGACCAGUUACAGCCUAUCAGAUCUAGAGGAGGGGUAUUUAGGCCCAGUUCUCAUCCUGCUCAGUGCCCUGUCAUGGUUUCCCUUGUGGUUGUCCGAGAGCGCGUUAUUGAUUCUGGUUAUUCAGGUUAUUUGACUUUGGCAUUGUGUCUGACUUCCCUGUUUUCUGGCAUCCCUGACUCCUGGCUUUUUCUUAUUGUUGUGUCUCUUUCUGUUUCCCUUGACCUCGGCUAUUCCUGACUAUUCUUUAGUACAUUAGUCCGGCCAUUCUAAGGUCCGGUAUACGUUACCUAUCAGUCCUCUGUGUUACACAAUUCUACGUGCUGGAUCACUCUGUAAUCCUGACACCCCUUACCCUGACUGCUGCCUUUAAACCCUCACUACAGCACCUAUACUCCCCCAACCCCCUGCUAUAUUAGGCUGAGGGGGAGCUAACUUGAAUCUUCCUUCCCAUCUUGUACUAAAUGGAAACUCCACUACCUCCUACGUAAAUUUCCCAAACGUCACACAUUGUCACGCAUAACACUUACAGCAGCCCAAACAUAUCACUCACAGCUUCUCACACUGCCACACAUAUCGCCCAGACACUGACAGCUUUACACACAUUACACAGCCUUAUACAUCAUGCACAGAAAGCCACAACAUACACUUCACACAUAGCUACAACACUUUCAGCCACCCUACACAACACACAUACUCACACCACACAUCCACUCAACAUUUUUUUAAAUAUUCACAUUAUUUAACAAUAAAAAAAUUACAUUGGGGAAAAAUGUCCUGGUGCAUAACCUAAUAAAAUGGUCUGCACAUGCCUAUGCGCACAUGUGCCGGCUUUACUAGAGUCUGGGCAAAUGAGCUGCCCAGGCAGACCCAGCAAAGAGCAUUAAUACUGGCCAGAUGGUCAGACUGCUGUAGAAGCAGUCCCUCAUGGAUUGGCUUUAUGUGAUGUCACGACAUGGUCGGAUUAUAUGGGUAGGACAUUGUAAUGCCACUACAUGGGGGGCAGCAAAUAAGGAUUUUUAUAGGGCGGCAGAAAUCCUUGCACCGGCCCUGAGUGUCAGUUGAUCUGAUCAAACAGGUUGUGCUGAAAUUUUAGAUGAGGGGCCUUUAUUUGCCAACUAAAUGUCUCUUACAUACAUUGAAAGCAAAGUUGAAUAAUGCUGAGCUGUUUUCUUUCCACCAAUAAUUUAAUUGUAUAGUUAUUGUAUCCUUUUAUUGUAUUUGAGAAAGGUCUGUAUUUCCAUUUGACUGAUGUGUGUGUGGUUGCUGGCCCUUGCAUUCCCUGAAUCCUAGAAAGAUCUGCGUACAAUAUUCUGACAGAGAUAUUUUGUGAAUUGGAAUUUUUUGUACUAACACGUAAGUUACUAUUACAAAAAUUAAAAAAAAAUAAUAAUAAAUAAAGGUCUGAAAUUGAUGCAUUUUUUAAAAUAUGUUAGAGGAUGUUUUCAGUUUACUAUCAACAUAGUUACAUAGUUGCAUAGUUACAUAGCUGAAAAGAGACUUGGGUCCAUCAAGUUCAGCCUUCCUCACAUAAGUUUUUGCUGUUGAUCCAAAUAAAGGCAAAAAAACUAGUCUGAAGCGCUUCCAAUGUUGCAACAAACUAGGAAAAAAUUCCUUCUUGACCCAAAAUAGCAGUCAGAUGUCUCCUUGGAUCAAGCAGCUAUUACCCCACUAAUUAGAAAUUAUAUCCCUGUAUGUUAUUUUCUUGCAAGUAUUUAUCCAAUUGCAGUUUAAACAUCUGUAUGGACUCUGAUAAAACCAUCUCUUCAGGCAGAGAAUUCCAUAUCCUUAUUGCUUUUACUGUAAAAAAAACUUUUCUCUGCCUUAGAUGAAAUCUCCUUUCUUCCAGCCUAAAUGUGUCCUAUGUAUAACCCUGUUUAUGAAUCGAUUUCCAGAUAAUGGUUUGUACUGGCUCCGAAUAUAUUUGUAUAAUGUUAUCAUAUCCCUUCUCAGGCGCUGUUUUUCCAAACUAAACAGAUUUACAUUUUUUAACCUUUCUUCGUAAAUAAAAUGCUCCAUUCCUUUUAUCAAUUUUGUAGCUUGUCUCUGCACUUUUUUCUAGUGCCAUGAUAUACUUCUUUAGAACAGGUGCCCAAAAUUGAACAGCAUAUUCAAGGUGUGGUCUUACCAGUGAUUUAUAAAGAGGCAAAUUUAUAUUUUCAUCCCGAGAAUGUAUGCCCCUAUUUAUAUAUGCUGCUCAACAGGGCUGGCCUUAGGCCCUUAGGCGCCCUGUGCGAAAAAUCUUCGCAGCGCCCUCCCCCCCCCCUCCACCCAUCAUUCCUUUUAUAGUGUAUUAAAUAAAUAAUGAUUUUAAAACAAAUAUUAAUUCCUCCUUUCCUGUUGUUAUCUAGUUGGAGAUGGGCAUGUGGAUCUGAAUCUGGUCUGCCCCUCCACUGGGUGCAGACCAUGCAUAACUGUCUUGCAAGCUCAGGGACUUGCAGUGUCCUGUGGUAAUCUGCGGCAGUGCUCUGAUUGGUCGGAGCUAGGUAGACAGCUAAUUUUGGUCUGCAGCCAACAGAUGUGCAUGCCAGAUGUGUCAGACUGCAGAGUCACAUGCACACAGUCCCAUAGUCAGAUGCACACCGUUAUACAUAUCCCCUGUCAAAUACACAGGAUCAGGCAGAAACACACAGGUACAGGCAGUUACACACAAACAGUUACAGGCAGAUACACACACUCACACAGUUACAGGCAGACAGUAACACAUACAGUCUCUUUCACACACACACACACACACACACACAGUUACAUGCAGACAGUCAAUUACACAGAGGCAGACAGUCACACAGACAGCUUCACACACAGACAGUCACACAGGCAGAUAGUAGCACACACACACAGGCAGACAGUCACACACACACAUACAGACAGACACACACACACACAGGCAGACAGUCACACACACAGAAACAGGCAGACAGCCACACACACAGGCAGACAGCCACACACACAGGAAGUCAAACACACACAGACACACACAGACAGGUACUCACACACACAUACACAGGCAGACAGUCACACCUACACAGGCAGACAGUCACACAGGCACACACACAAAGGCAGACAGCUACACACACAAGCAGACAGUCACACACACAGGCAGAAAGUCACACACACAGGCAGUCAGCCACACACACACAGUCACAUGCACACAAGCAGACAGUCACACACACACACACACAGGCAGACAGUCAUACUGCCAGGCAGACAGUUAUACACAUACACAGGCAGACAGUCACACGCACACACACACAUGCACACAGACAGCCACACACACAGGUACUCACACACACAGGCAGACAGUUGCACAUACUGACACACGCUCACAGACAGUCAAUCAUACAUGGUUACCUCUGUCCUUUAUGGUUUGGGAGGAGUGAAGGCAGUGCAGCUAUGGUUGUUGGGGAAGCCACCGCUGUUAAGCUCCCCCCUGCCGUCAUUUAAGCUCCGCCCAUGCUGCAAGGUAAGCUUUGCCCCCAUAGCAAUGCUGGGAGUUUUUUUUCUAAGCCUGGGUGGAAAAUAAUGUAAUCCUCCACCCAGGUAGCCGGCCAUGUGUGAGCUGUGUCGGCCACAGGGCCCCCCGUCUCCACAGCACCCUGUGUGGCCGCACAGCUCGCACACCCCUAAGGCUGGCCCUGCUGCUCAAUUUUCUCCCAGGAUUUUGUUUAAAGGACCACUAUAGGCACCCGGACCACUUCAGCUUAAUGAAGUGGUCUGGGUGCCAGGUCCAUCUAGGGUUAACCCUGCAGCUGUAAACAUAGCAGUUUCAGAGAAACUGAAUGCUUUCCUAUGGACUGACUGCGCGCGCAUGCGCAUUCAGCCGGUGUCAUCAGAAGAGGGAGGAGAGUCCCCAGCACUGAGGGAGCCCAGCGCUGGAGAAAGGUAAGCCUUUAACCCCUUACUUCCCCUAGGGCCCGGCAGGAGGGGGGCCAUGACGGUGGGGGAGGGGGGGACCCAAAGACACCAUAGAGCCAGGAAAGUCCAAAGAAAGCUUUUAAAGCAACCUUGAUGAUGCUUUACCUUAAUUCCCCUUAUAUUUCCCACAGAGUGGCAUCUUUUCGCUACUAUUGAUUGGACAUAUAGAUUGGGAGGUUAGUAGUGUAAAUGGGAAAGAAACUAAUUAUAGGCCUUAUAGUGGAAGUAUAAUUUAUUGCUGUUUAUAUAUUGUGCACCUCUAAAAUGCAUCGUGAAUGUGACCACUAAGCAGAUGUCUUAAAUUGGUUCCUCCAAAACCCCCACGGUAAACAGUACCUCACCCAUAUCACACCCGGAGGUGAAGGUGAUUGACUGAUAGCAUGCAGCUCCGAGAUUUUUUCUUUUCACAUGCUCAUUUUUUGUGAUCACUUUGUGCUCACAGGGGGGAAUUGUUAUGGACAAUUUUAUUGCUUGUGCUUGAUGUAUCAAAUUAUAUAUAAUGAUUAGAGAUUGUUUAGCUGUAUCUGUGAAAUGGUUUAAAAUGCUUAGUAGGGGUUUCUUCCCUGCCUGAAAAACAAGUAUUCCACCACACAGUGAGUUAUACUGUUCAGGCUUGCUUAUCUACCUAUAACAUACAGAAUUGUAUGUAAUGUGUUAGAGUUGCUUGGAUUUCUCAAUCUGCGAUUGGCUGAAGAAAGUGUAACACCCUAGACUAAUAAUCUAUAUAUCCCCUUUGCAGUGAAGGAGAAAAUGAAAUGCUUGCUUGAAAUACAUUGUGUUGCCCUAUGUGUGUUAUUUCUAACAGACCUUUUCCCACAUCUGAGAAAGAGAUAAGCUGGAAAGCAGAAAUUUGGUGACAGGUCCAUGGUAGUGUGAGAGACCUGAGAAGUAUCCAGCCUUACAAUUAGGUAAAGGUAGAAUUCAUUAAUCAAGGCGUUGAAAUCUUAGUUGUGGAUGAUAUCACUGCUGUUACAUAUUUCUAAAUUAAAUCUGUUUACAUUGUGUUUGAUCCACCAACUAUUCCAGAAUAAGCUCUGGGUAUUCUAUCUGCCUCCAUGAUUGGCAUAUUGCUAAACAUUCUAAAUUGUACCAAGGUGUGAAUUAAAAGAUAUUAUUUGCAUUAUUAUUAUUUAUACAGCACCGACAAAUUUGUCACCACAGUAGGUGGACUUACAAACAAGUAGUUGUAAGAAAACAAGUUGCACUUAUAGAAGCAGAAGACACAUUUGGUAAAAUUAUACAAAAAGUAAAGGUGGUGUAUUUUAUGUAAUAGAAAAGAAAAAUGCCUGAAAGUUUACAAUGAAGACUUUUUUUAGAUGACACAGUUACAGGAGAGGAGGUUGAUUAGUGAGGUGUGGGGAGGGAAAGCUGUUAACCAUUUAAUUCAAAUGCCUUCUUGAAAAAGUGAGUUUUCCUAGAAUUCCUUACUAGAAUUCAGUUGAAGUUAAUAUUCACAAAAUGAGUUAAUAGUAAUAUGGUACUAGCCAUGCCACAAGUGGUGUUCAAUUUUGCAUAUUCUGUUUUACCUUUUAAUUAUCAUUUACAUUAUUAAGGCACCCAGACAACUACAUCUAAGCAUUUUUAGCCCUGCAAUCUAAAACAUUAAACUCUCUGAGGUGCAUCGGAUUGGAGAAGAAUCGAUGCCUCCAGGAUGACGUUGCGGGAGGGGGAAAGAGUCUCAGCACUUGAAGAAAUGUUUAAUUGGUUUUAAUUUAGUUUAGGGGGUCCCUGCAUCUAACUGGUGAACAUAACACUAGAGUGUUAGAAAUAUAUGUUUAUAUUCUUAAAGCUAUAAAGUUCCUUUUUAGAGUUGAUUUUGUAUUUCUGAUGCAUCUGUAUAUGACUACAGCUAAAUUAGGUAAAUAUUGCACAAAAUAAUUGAUACAUUUAUUGAAUUAUUAAUAACAUUUAAUAUUAAUAACAUUUAAUUUCAUUAUUUAAAAUAACAUCUUAGAACUGCUUGAGUCUCCUGAAUGAGCCAAUUUUUGGGCUCAUGGCACCCCAGUCAGUAUAUCUUCUGUACUCUCCAGGUCUCAGGUAAUACUGGCGGCCCCUGUAAUGUGGUUCCUCAUAGAACAUCCAGUAACCAUCAAGCACCUGGCAGGAGUUGAUGUCAUGGUAACGGAAUCUCUCAUUGACAUUAGGACAAUCUUCAGUGGAUUCCAUCAUCUGACCUCGGAAAUCAUCCAUCUCAUAGACCUUCACUCUGAAUGAACCAAGGUGCU
rnacentral:lncRNA from 1 species